rnacentral:lncRNA from 1 species
AGCUCAAAAGCUGCAGUUUGCAGAAUUUGAUUCUUUAGCUCUCGAAAACCUUCCGUAACUUACUUUUGAUCAUUUUAACACCUUCGGACUUUCCAAAGUGUACCGUCCUCGCACUUUGGUCAAUUUGACUAAAGUUCGAUAUUUAUUUUCCGAAUUUUCGGUAUAUUACAAUCUUCUUAUCCCACCUACUCCAACCAAACACUAUUUUUCAUUAUUUUAGACUAACUCCAACCUCCAACCAAACACAAAAAAACUUUAAUCCCACUUUAACCCUGAACUUAACUCUAUCCCUGGAAUAGCUACUUUUUCCUUAACCCCGAACCAAACAGAGGCUUAGGGAUAGGUGGAUUCCCUGUAAACGACUCGUGAACAAGAAUUUAGUAUAGCUAAGCACAUAUGCAUGAUUGUCGGAAUAGGUAAGUUCCGAGAGAGUUGUUGGCCCUAGUUCGUAGGGUGUCCUCACAUGGAGAGGAUAGAUCAAGCUCAUGGUCUGUUAUUGGGGUGGUAUAGCCAUCCGGGGUGGUAUAGCCAUCCAUGUCGUCGAGUACUCCGGAGUGUCGGGCGAUUGGGACAGAGUUGAUGUUCGCAGACAGUCCCGGGUUCGAGAGCGAGUUGAGUCUCCGCAUCCUACGGGAUGGAUAUGUAAGGCGAGGGCGAACCUAAGGGAUUCGCCAAGGAUUGGGUAAAUGAAAGAAUAGCAUUGUCAUUGAACAUCGCUUAUUGGACAUGAUUGAACAUAGUAGCAUGAUGGUAAACCUUUACUAAACGAUGCAUGCAUUCAUUACUUGUGAUUAUGGGUAUAGUAGCAUAGUUUUCCUAUUAUGUCAUUUACUGUUUUGGAUAUCUAUCUAUUUAUCGAGUUGUUACUUUUGCCCACUUGGACCUAGUGGGAAGAUCGGCGGAGUCGGCGGCCAAANCAGUCAUUAUUGCUAUUGUUAUUGUUCUUACCCUUUCCUUUUGGGGCCUAGUGGUGCUUUGAGCUGAGGUCAGUAAUUGCCCACUGGGAACUAUAAAUUAUAGUUCUCACGCCCUCUUUAUCUCGAUUUUUUUUCAGAGCCUUCCACGCAGGGUGAGGCCAGGGAUCGCGAGAAGGGAGUUGCUACGAGCUAGCUUCCUUGGAGGACGAGUUGCUAGGUGGUCUACCUCUCGAUGUCUUAUUUUAUUUUUGCGAGAGGUUGAGGGUUUUACCAGUGUACUAGAGACCACCAUUUUUGUACCAGAGACAGUUAUUGUACUACUUAUGGUUUCUUUUAUUGUCUAACUUUAUUUCUUCACUUUGGUGUAGAUGAUGGAAUUUUUACUCGCUCUGAUAUCACUAGUUGUUACUAUUCUAUUUGUAUUAUUUCUUGUUUUUACUUCCGCUGUUACUAUAGACGCCUUAUAUGUGUUGACAUAUGGCGGGUCUGGGCACGCUACCGGGAAGGCCCCUGCCGGUCCCGGGGCAUGACAUUUAAUUUCUUCCGACCGCCAACGUACUGUGGAUUGUUAUCUUGCGUAAAUAGUUCUCCAUUCUAAUGAACAAUAAUAGCCACAUUACUACCCGUCAUCCUAACUUUUACAAAAGAUAAUAUUUGUAAACACACAUAAUCAUAGCAAUUUUUGACUAAUUUAAAAUAUCAAUUUGCAAAUGACAUGUGUUCACUACACCGAAAAAAAUUUAUCAAUUUUCAGUAUAAAUUUAUCAAUUUUUAGUAUACAUGUAUUUACUACACUCAUCUUUCAAAUUUCAUCAAACAAUGAUGCAAAUAGGGUUUAAAAUGUGAUCUAAAGUGUGUAUGCUACCAAAUAUAGACAAAUACAACAAAUUAUAUUGAGAAAACAUAAUAAUCUAUAAACAAUCAACUCUACUUUAAAAAUCAUUAGAGAAAGGCGCGGCGGCAGCCUUGGUGGUGGUAGCAGCAGCAGAGGCUUCGGCGCCGGCGACGGCUGCAGCGACGGCAGCGUUGGAGUCGUGGGGUUUGGGCAGAGUGAGGGAGAGGAGUGAGGGAGACAAAGAGGAGCUCGGGGAGAGGAGUCAGAGAGAAAGGGUUCGGGCAGGGUUAUGUAUUCUAAUUAAAGGCGGUGAAUAGUUCAUUGCCCUUAAACGCGGUAAACCAUUCACCGCAUAUAAAAACGGUAAACGGUUUACCGCAUUUAAAGACGGUGAAUAUUUCACCAUCUUUAAAUAGUUUACCGUCUUUAAGAGAACGCAGUAAACUAUUUACCGCAUUUUUAAAUUUUCACGCACUUUUCCAAGGGCUGCCAGAGUCCUACAAAUGCGAUGAAUGAUUCACUGCAUAUAAAAGAUUUUACGCAACCCCGUUGACCUGGCCUAGUUGAGGCUUAUUUUUGCAAUAAAAUUUAUCGGACAAUUUUUAUAAAAAAAUUUUAAGUAAGCUUAUUUAUAAAAAAAAAUUCCUAAUAAUCAUUACAAUACUAGUUUAGGGCCUACGCUUCGCGGCGGAUCAACAUCGGCAACCUAAAAUCUCAGUUUGAUUUUCGAUUUAAAAUUUAAAUUUAAAUUUUGAUUUUAUAGUAGAAUUUUAAACUAUCAUUCAGAUUUAAAAUUCUAAAUUGAUGAAUUUCAAAUAAACAUCUUUCAGACAUAGAUUUUAAAUAUUAUUUUUAACUUUUAAAUAUCAAAUAUCAAAUUUAAAAUUUUAGGUUUCAAAUAUUAGAUUUUAUAUUUUAAAUUUUAAAAUUCAAAAUUUGAAUAUAGAAUGUACAAAUUUAAAUUUAGAACUGAAAUUUAAAGUUAAAAUAUGUAAAAUUGAAAAUUUUAGUUUUAGUAAUUAAGAUAAAAAAUAAAUUUUAAUUGUAAGUUUUAAAUUAAAUUUCAAAUUGCAAUAUUUUAAAUAUUAAAUUAUAAAUUGAAUUUAAAAAUUUUAAAUCUUAAAUUUUGAAUAUUUUAAAAUUUAGUUUUAGUAAUUAAGUAAAAUAUAAAAUUUUUUUAAAUUUUAAGUUGUUUAACUUUUAAAUUUCAAAUUUUAAUAUUUAAAUAUUAAAUUAUAAAUUGAAUUAAAAAUUCAAUAUUAAAUUUCAAAUAUUAAAAUUUCAAUUUCAAAUUUUAAGAUUUAAAUUUUAACUUCAAAAAUUUAUAUUUUAAAUUUAAAUUUAAUUUUAAAUAAUAAAAAAUUUAAAAUUAAAAUAUUUAAUUUUAAAUUUAGAUUUGAAAUGUAAAGUUUUUUAAACUUAAAUUCAUUUUAAAUUUACACUGUGAGAGAAAGAGGGAGAAGAGAAAGAGAGAGAGGCGCGCUCGAGGAAACGAGAGAGAGAGGAGGGGGCACUCGAGAGGGGAGAGAGAGAGGAGGAAGAUGGAGAGAGAGCAGAGAGAGAGAGAGAGAGUCACGCGUGCCAGCCAGCCCGCGCCUCGGCGCUGCCCGCCACAGCGCGCCCGCGCCUCAGCACUGUCUGCCCCGCGCGCCCGCCUACCCGCGCCCCGCGCGCCCGCGCUCACCCCUGCCAGCGCCUCCACGCUCGCCGCCACCUAUCCCAAAACUAAGGAUUUAUAUAUACUACAGAUUUGCACGCUUUAUAAAUUAAAUUUUAUAAUUUUACGAUAUUAAUUUUAUAAUUUUACGAUAUUAUUUAUCUAGUGAUCCCAGUGGUAUCAAAAUCACAUCCUAUAUAACAACCCUUUUAAAAAUUAUCAAUUUUCAGACUACUAUAUAAAUGAUUUUGAAAAUAGCAUAAAACAUGUUCUGUAGAAAGUUCAUCAAAUGCCCAAGUUCACGUUAGCGCGCGCUAAUCGCCCAUAUGAAAUGAACUACUACAUUUACUAAUAGAAGCUUCUUAGCUAGCUCUGUGAAAUAUGCCUAUUAUCUAUCAUGUAACUUUACCACAACGCAUCCUGUUUCACAGCGAAAAUCCACAAUAAAGUAAAAAAUUAGUGAAAUGGUCGGAAUAAAUUCGAACGCACGCAGUGUAGAACAAAGACCUUUCUGCCAAACAUCCAAAAACGCUACAUAAAUAAAAAAUAAGAACAAGGAUUGAAGCAAAUUUCGUACAGUUAAAUAACUAUUGAAUUACUCACCAUUGCCAAGAAUGAAGGCAAAACCUUUUUAUCUCUGCUUACUAAAUCUUUCUGAAACUAAAUGAGGUUCAUACAGAACCAAAAUUUACUGAUUCGGCACAAACUAUGAUUAGACCAAUAUAGAGGAAGAAGGCAUCCCAAAUAACUACAGCAACCCAUAAAUUGAAGAUAUCAAUUUUCAGGGGGGCAAAAAAAAAAAACAUCCGCUCACAAAACAGCUGAGAUAACCAACAAAAAAUUAACCAAAAAUACUUUUCAUCCCUAUAUUAUUUGCACGCUAUACUGGUUCAACAGCCAGCAAAUGAAUGGCUAUUCAAUCUACCAAAUAGGUCCCUGAAAAUUUUGGUUACACCAACUCAAGCUUCCUGAGAAGCUUCUAUGGCAAAGCAGCUCUUUCAAAUGCACUGUCUCCGUGACAUCAACAAAGUAGAUUGCUAUAUCAAUACAUGCUACCAUAUUCCUAUCAUCAUCUGCCAUUUGCACCACAUGGACACCAACAUAUGUAGCAUUACCUAUAAAAACUUCUCACCCAAAACUGCACUUCCUCGUUUUCCUUUUCCAUGUUGAGUAAAUCUCAAAAUACAUGUCACCUGAGGUUCUAAAUAUCUCUCAAUGUCAAAAUCUCAUGCAUGCAAUUGAUGUCGAGCGGAAGAAAAAGAUAAUCUGAAAGCUCAAUUUCACAGCUUGGUGGCUCAAAUCUUUUGUUAUCCUUACAAGUUGCGCCAGUUUUGGCGAGGGUGCUUUCUCCACCGUCUCAGGAUGUGGAUACAAGCGCCUGCUGUUAAUAACCCACAAGCAGCAAGUGCCAUGAUUGUAGAAUUCUCAAUGCUUCGAUUAUAUGCACGCUACAGAGAAUAGAAUAAUUUAUUCAGUGAAUCGUUAGUAUUACACGAGAAGGCGGACACAAAAUAAAAAAUGUAGGUUUAGAGUGAAGGGGCGUACAUUAAUUAGAACAAGCAAGAUGACAGCAUUUGCGGGAGCUAGAGACAAAGUAAUCAUGCCUCCACGCAAUUCAUUCGGUAAGUACCUAUAAGAACAUGAGUAUGAGAAAUAGAUCAAGCUAACAGAAACAGUAAAUUUCACAACAACCCCUUGUGAUGUAGCCGGUUUCUUUUAAUAUCCUGCUGUCGAGUCUACUAUACUAUCCUAAGAUUGCCCUUCUAGUCGCAUAUUAGCCGUUGCUAAUAAAAUUAACCAUGAGACAGUCACAUAGCUCAUAAUCCCACUAAGGCCCCGUGGAUGCAUGAAUAUACUAUUCCGAAUAUACCUUUGUUUUACUUAAAAAGUUGUAGUAUUUGGUAGAUGAGCAAUGUGAUCUAACGUCUAGAAGAGAAUAACACAUUUCACUUUCUAGUUUAUUUUUUGGAAGAAGAUGAAUCAUCUUGUAGGGGAAAUAUACUAUCCUAUCAUAUCAUAAACAAUAAGACCUUUCAGGAAGGAAAAAAAUCAAGCUUUUUGUCUUCAAUCGCACAUGAAAAACAUCAUGCUGAAUAAGCCAGCAUCAAAACAGGGCCUAAGUAAAAAAAAUGAUCAAUAAGCUUAAGCAGUUGAAACCUUAUAUUUCAUAUUUCUAUUAAAUUGCAGGGUUGUCUCAUGUUCAACUUUUACAGCAGUUAUAGGAGAGAUGCAACAGUAGGGCAGUAAAUUUCUAAUCUGAAUAACCAGAGAUAAAGUGAACCUGCGCUCUAUCACAAGAGGGCCAUGUAAAAUUCUUUAUAAGAAAGACUAGUCAACGGUUACAAUAAGUUGCAACUUACAUGGACCUUAGUUUUGCAAGAGAAGGUAAGAUAAAGCCUACACAAGCAUGGAAGAUGCAGAACAAAAUCACCAACAAGCCAAUUUCCUGUCAUAGGUAAUCUCUAUGAUGCCUGAAAUUAUGAGGCCCAAUCCAAAUUCCAAACAAUUUCUUGCCUUACCUGAUAAUCAUAAACGACAAUCGACAAAGCCGCAGCAGCAAUAACAAAAGAUGCUGUCAAGCUAUCCUCAGUGUGCAACGAAGAUGCAAUUCCUGAAAACAAUGGGAAGGCUGUACUCCCAAGCAUUCUUGAACCAAUAAAACAAGGGUAUAUUCGUGAUAGAUGAACUUCCCUCCCAUCUGCCUGUAUUAACAAGUAAUGUUACACGGCAAACUUUUUUAAUCUUGGAUGAUAAUAGACAUUUUAGAUAUAAUAUGCAUGAAAUCCAUUUAACAAAUCAUCUAACUUAUAUUUCACUAGUGAUACAACUGCAGUGAAUUAACAUGUAAAACAGGUUGCCUAAAUAUUACAGAUCUGCAUACACAGUCAUUUCAAUAAAUUACAAAAAUGUACAGUGCCAGGUUUGAUCUCCCAAAGAAGAUAUACAUCACAUAUUACUCGAUUAGCCAUUUGUGCUGAAUUCCAACCAAAAGGAAAAACGCUGUAUCAAAAAGUUCUCUAGUUCUUUUAGAAACUAAAAACGUUAGCACCAGUAGUGCAAUGGACAAUGUGUCAAAGUAUUUACAUUUAAGACAAUGGGUAUACCUCUAAUAUGUUAAAACUAUUCACAUCAGAUUUUUGUAGGAAAAAAACAUAUGAUUAGUUCUCUCAGACUGCUGUAGAACCCAACAUUUUUAAGGUAAUUUUUCUAGAGGAGGAGGAUAAUCACGCAAUUUGGACUAUUUUCCAACGAAACAAAAAUUGUCACUUUCGAGGUUUGUCAGUACUGUAAGUCAUGUGAGGGACCUUAAUGCAAUUUCACACAAUAAAUCGGAGAUAAAAUGAAAUGAGGGUUUUUAUUCAAAAUGCGCGAUAUUUCAUGUGUCAAAUGUGUGAUUUUUUAUGUAGAAGAAUUUAUGAGCAAAACACACCUGUGAGUGAGUUUUGAAUAAGAAAAUGUGAAUCUAAGGUGGCUAAACUAUAAUUUAUACAAAAUGAGAAAAAAAGGGCAAUACACAAAAAACUUAUCAUUUCAUGUGAGAAAUUUUAGAAUUUUGACGGGCAGGGGGGCUCAUAUGAAAGUAAACUCAGAGAGGGACGCGCGGAUACCAAUUUCAACACAUUCGCGGAUUUCUGUGCAAAAUGGCACAAAAAUGAAGAUCGAGAGUGCCAAAUCUGUCCGGGGGUUUUCUUGGUGCGACAUUUAAUGUAAGUAAAUUAUAGGAAAUACACCAGCUGAGGAGUUUUAAGCAAGAAACUCAAAAAUAGAGGGACGAAACUGCAAUUGUUACAAAUUUUUGUAAAUAAAGGUUUGAGUUUUCUUAACCAUUUUCUCUCCCCCUCUCCCUCUCCCAUACCUCUGCUCCCACCUCCCAUCUCCGGGCUCUAGCUCGAGCCUACCUGGGCCACCAUCGGCAACCUCGCAAGCGACCGAAAAGGCCGAGCCGAGCUCCCUCCUCGAGCUUCUCCCUCGACCUCUCACUAUUUUUCUCCCUCUCUCUGUGUUGUUGAAGUUCCAAGCAUGAGCUGCCGCCAUCAUCACCCCCAGACCACCGACGACCUUUCCGACACCGCCCCCACCGUUCCUAGCCCUUCUCAAGCCCAGAUCUAGCCGAAGCUCGAGAACUGAUACUCUCAGCCAAAUUUGGUAGAUCCGGUGUUGCCGCAGCUUCCGGUAACCGGCCAUCGCCUUUCCAGCAUCCCCUCCACCGAACUCGACCUCCUCCGGCCAGCGCUGGCCACCCCUAGUCGCAUGGGAGCGAGAUCCCUCUAUGUUGCUCUCUGCUAGCUGAAGCUCUUCCUGGUCGAGCUCUCCUAUUCCGGCCACUCCAGACGCUAGUGCAACUCCGAUGAGUGAGCACAGUACUCUCUUGACCUCCCUGGUACCUAUGCUCACCUUUGUGUCGGUCGUACUUGUUGCAAGGAAUUGGUAUGGAUUGCGCGCUCCCAGGGACUUUCCGUUUCAAAGAAAAACUGCUCCAACUUCGUCAUUUGCAAUUGUCGACCCUUCGAAUCGCGAGCACCAUGUCCAAAGCCUCGCUACCAACCCUCCGCUGCUAUUGGAUAGCUUCCAAACCAUGGAAGCAUCAACAAAUGGCUUAAACUCCAAUUUAUAUUAUAAUAAUAUGAUUAAUUGGAAUUAUAUUGUUUGCGCAAUCAUAUGUCGCGAGCUAUUUUGGACAGCAGUAGUUGGUUGUGUUUGAACCUUGGACUAAUUGUCCUAUGUUCGAAAACCGUUCGGGAGCUCAAAUAAGUCUUUAGACACGUAAAUCGCCAAAAUUGACUAUAAUAUGCAGUUUGGUUUGAAUUUCAACAACUGGCCCAAAAUGCUUAAGCCCAGUUAUUAUUACUGGCGUGAGGUCUCAGAUAAACUGAUCGGAAUCAGUAUCCCAUCUGAUGAGGGACUAUUAGGGCGUUACAAACUCCCCAUGUUUAGACCCUGACGUCCUCGUCGAGUCCAAACCAAAUCAUAGACAGACAAACCAGGACCAGAAUUACCAGGCGAUGUGAGAUUCUAGAGGUGGCUCCUACGGGUUCUAAAGGUGGCUCCCAACAAAUCCGUUGAUGUAGCACUUUGUCCCGCAUAGCACUUAGCUCUCACACUUCCGGCUGGUAUUCGGCUCUGAUACCAAUUAUAACGACCCGGCCCGCUAGCAAUAAUAAAUCGUUAGGCCCAACCCACCGGCCCAAAAUGCUUAAGCCCAGUUAUUAUUACUAGCGUGCGAGGUCUCAUAUAAACUGAUCGGAAUCAGUAUCCUAUCCAAUGUGGGAUUAUUGGGACGUUACACUGACCUUCAUUGUUUUUGUCUCUUUGCAGAUAACAAGAGAGUCAUGGUGGAUUUUGAUGCCGAAAACAGCAAACUUCAAGACCAUCAGAGCAAAAAACCGUCAUUUUGAUGCAACCGUCAUUUUGAUACCCCAUAUUUUUUUACUUUUAUUUAUUUGAUAGAGGAGGAUUAUUUUGCUCACCUUAAAAAGUCUAAGGGUUUAUGUGCAAUUAUGCAACCCUAAUUAAUAAAAAAACUCCUAAUCUCUUUUUUUUUCUCCCCAACCGGUUCUUUCUUCUUCACUCGUUCAACCUCAUCGGCACACGCCUUUCGCACACACACGUGAUCUCUCUCUUUCUCGCAUGAUUCGCAAUCUUGUCCUUGUGACACCGCCGUCACCGCCGCGCUCCUUGCUCUUCGUUGGCAUCUUUUGUUCAUGGCCGGCAUCGUUGGAUCGUUAAAGACAUCUCGCUCAUAGUCGUUUCAUUCAUCGUCAUCGAAAAAGUUUCAUUGAUUAAUUUAUUGCCCUACGUUUGACCAAAUAAUAUUCAGAUUAUUUAGAGGUAAGGGACCUAAUGUCUGUUAGUUUAUUUUUUAUUAAACGAAUUAUAAAAAUAUGUUACGGCAACAAAAAUUUCUUUUUGUAUAGUUUUUCAAAAUAAAGGUUAAGCAUGCUUAUAUAAAUUACAAAUCGUUGAAAGAAAAAAUUUCUAAAAAGUUUUGAUUUGACUGUUGUGCAAUUUUUCUUAUAUAAAUUACAAAUCGUUGAAAGAAAAAAUUUCUAAAAAGUUUUGAUUUGACUGUUGUGCAGUUUUUAGAAAAAUAUGUGCUUUAGAAAUUGUGCUUAAUUGAUAAAAUUUCAGUAUUUAAUAAUUUGUUACUUUUCUUUCCUUUUUAAUUGUUGACUGGAUAAAUAAUUUUGAAGUCAUAGUGUCUUUUGGUAAUAUUACUACAAUGAUGUUGGCCAUGUCGACAUGAAUUUUAUGAUAGAAGCUAGCUUCGAUUUUGUGACGAACCUCCGAGUGCAAUUUUGUGACACAUGCACCUUUGGGUGCAAUUUUGUGACGCACCUCUGAGUGCAAUUUUGUGACGCACCUUUGAGUGCAACUUUGUGGCGCACCUCUGAGUGCAAUUUUAUCACGCGCCUCUGAGUGCAAUCUUGUGACGCGCCUUCGGGUGCAAUCUUGUGACGCGCCUUCAGGUGCAAUCUUGUGACGCGCCUUCAAGUGCAAUCUUGUGACGCACCUUCGGUUGCAAUUUUGUGAUGCGCCUUUGGGUGCAAUUUUUUUAUGCACCUAUGGGUGCUAUUUAGAUUCAUCUCCGAAUGCUUUUGCUUUAUGAUCGUGCCUUCGGUGUCUCUGAUGCCUUUAGGAUCUUAGCCAACGGAUCUCUAGUUACUGGAGACGUUCGUUUUGAAUCUAAUUUUCGAAAUAAGAAUACUUUUAUCAAAAUUCUAUUUCUUUUAAUAUUUUGUAAAAUAUGUGUUUAAGACUCCAAAUUCUAAAACAUAAUUUGUAAAAAAUUGUGAAACUCAGUCAUUACUAUUAUAUUUCAGUAUGAAAAUUUAUAUCUCAUUAUUUACAAAAAUUUUUGUUCCAUAUGCUUAAUGGCUUAAUCCAACUAAUAUGGUGUAUGGUUGCUUACCCAGGGUUCGAGACUCUUUUGCCGGGCGGGAGCGAGACCGAAUGAACGCUAAUCAUAAUUUGUUGUUUAGGUUGCUUUAUUUUGUUAUUUUGUCCAUGCAGUUAGGUAGAUGUUAAGUUGGUUUUCGUGAAUUAUCAUUUGAUUUUACUUAUUUUAUUUUGUUCUUUCUCCAUAUUGUGGUAUUUAGUGAAUUUUUAUGACUACCAUUAUGUCUAAUUCUUUGUUAGGUUCUGUAGCCUUGAAUAUUUGUUAUUCUAGCAAGUAUGCAGCGUUUGUUACUUCUUGGGUUUGGGGUGUGACAUAGGCUCCUGAAUUUGUGGAAGUUUUUACGAAGGGUAUUCAUUCGCUACUUCAGAAAAACCCCCAGCGAUAUGUUUCUUUAGGCGAGUGACACCUCCGCCCAUUCCGACCAUAUUACAAUAAUUGCACUUCCAAUAAAAUCUAUUUUCAUCAAUCAAUUGUUCAUGUUGCCAACUACAAUCUUCUAUUCUUUUAGAUAGCAUUAUGAUCUAUAAUUAUUAACAUACAGAUAAAUAAAAUAAAAUCUAUUCCAGAAAAAUAAGGAAAAAAACAACAUGAUGAAAAAAAAGAAUCAUAUCUAUCAACUUUGAAAAUUCUUUUGUUUUUAUUUUUUGAUAAAUUUUAAAAAAUUAUAACAGAUAAAAUUAUAAAAAAAUUUAUUUUUUCUAAAAACUUUUCAAAAUCUGUAUAUUGAUUCAAUUAGGAAGCAUAUAAUGACUAGAAAAACCAAAAUAGGACCGCAAUUACAUUCAUAAUUUUUUCUUUUUUAUUCUUUUAAAAAAUAUUUUACAAAAUACAAAGUUAGAGAAAUAGUUUUCUAAAAAUUAUAAUUUUUUUAAAUUAUUUAAAAAUUAUUUAUAUUAUUUUUUAAAAUUAUUGUAGGUUAUAAUUUUCAAAAUAUAAAAACAUCUUUUUUUCUUUCUUUCUUUUGAUUGUAUUACUGUCUUUCUUUUAUAAGAUACAAAAAUAUAAUUUUUAAAAUUAUUAUUUUUAAAUUUUUUUGAAACAUUGUUAGAUCAUCAGAAAAAUAGCAAUAAAUUAAAUGACAACUAAAUUAAAAUAACUUAAAUAUCAAUUGAUUUAAUUUAGCUUUUGAUUUUAUCAAUAUUUAAUAUCUUCUAAUGCAAAAAUAUUGAUUUUAUCAAUAUUUUAAAUAAUAAGAAGGAAAGAAAGAUAGAGCGCGGGAGUCGGGGGGAGAAAGAAUAAGGAAGAAAGAAAGGAGGUAAGAAAGAUGAUCUACAAUUAUUGACAUACAAUAUAAGGACUGAGAUUUGACAGUGUAGCUAAAACUCUCUGUUGACGAUGUUUUUGUGUGUAAUUUAAUUACAUAAACACUCAUCAAGUUUCAGGAGAAAACGAGUUAGGAUGGAGAAAUUACGCGACCUUUACUAAUCACAUAAAGUGAAUAGUAACUCCGGUUUUCCGGAAAGGCCAAUCAGUGGAUAUGGCUUCUGGUGCGUAUUGAACUCCGUUCAUAGUGAUCCAAUAGCUCGUUUUCGAUGGUUCAACUAUUCUGGACCCAAUGGCACCGACGGAUUUAGGUUUUGAUGCACGAUUUUUGAGAAAAAGGAGAUUUAUUGGAUUUACACAUAUUUAGGUGUAGUUUUGGAAAAUUGGAGUGGAUGGGUUUCAUCGCAAAUCGCUGACCAUAUCGGGCAAAACAAAAUCGGGAGUUCGAUGCCCCGAUCGUGCCGAACGCGCUGGCGCAAUCCAAUUUAAAAUCCGCUGGACGGAUCUCCGCAAAUCGCAUAAUGUUCGCUCAGGGGUCGAAAUUGGCAAACAUGAAAAAUUUGCAAAAAGUCCUAUAAUUUAUGUACCAUUUUGCGCAAUUUCGAACGUCGAGGUGCAUACCCGCGAAUUGCACGCGCUGUGAGGGACAGGGCUGAAAAUAUUCAGCUUUGGAGGACUUUUCUGCAAAACUACACAUAUAUAUAUGUAGGUGUUAGGGUUUCAUGCCGAUCAGCUCCUCCAGCUGCGCGCUAGCCGUCACCAGCACCCUCCUGCCCUAGCCGCGCAUGCACCCCAACCGCCGGUGAGCGACUUCGGCCGCCGAAAAAGCCGGCAUUGCCUCUCGUCCACCAUCCUCCACCAAGUUGCCAUCUUCCUAGCCGUCGACCUCAAGGAGUAAACCACACGCGUCAAGCCCCCUCCCUCGGUCGAGGUCCGACCUCCGGCGCCGUCCUCGCCGGCCCCCGCCGUCACCGCUUGAGCGACCCGCGGCCAGCUCAGGCCGAGCUCAGCUGAGCUCGUGGCCCGCAAGCCACCGCCGCCCUAGAUCGGCCGCACCGCCCUCCUAGACCUCUGGCGAGACCUCUGGUGACCUCUCGCACGCCUCCCCCGCCGUCCCCGCGGGCCGUCGGCCGCCACCCUAGCUCCCCACGGCUGCCCAGGACAAGUUCGGGCCGAGCCAGGGUCAUCUGUCCCUGCGCACCGCCGCCGCCCAAGGUCGGUUGCGUCGCCGUCGCCCCGGUGCGCCCCCGACAGCCGCCUGGCCGCCGUUGACCCAUGAGCCCGAGCCGAGCCGCGCGGGCUCGUGCCUCUCCAACGCGCCACCAGCCGCCUCCCGCGGUCGGCCAACGCGUGCCUGGGCCCCCCUCCGACCGGUGCCCCCGCCUCCUGCCAGCGCGCCCGCCAUCUGGCCGCCGCCGGCCAUCCCAUGCUCAACCUAGCUUCGGUGAGUCCAGUUUACGGUUUUUGCGCACUGUCUCGAGUUCGGGUCACUAUUCCGGCAAUCCGAGGGCACCCUGACGCUCCUGAAAGUAAGCACGACGAUCCCUGAUCUGUGCCGAUCAUCAUGCUCACCUCCUUUGGGGUCAGCGAAGCCCCGGUUUGCGAGAUAAGGGCUGUUGAGGCAUUGUGCGCGUUGUUCGCAGAUUUUUGUGUCACUCCCGCGCUCUCUAUAGUGGACGGCCAUGCUCUGAAUCGUGAGCACGGCCUCCGGCACUUCGAGACCUGUCAGUGUGUCUCAGCCAGCCUCGGAAGCUCUCAGUUUGCGCUGUCGGGCCGUAAAACCCCAAAAAUCACAUAAAAUGAUGUGAUUUUAUGCGAUCGCAGGGCUUAUAUGCAAAUUUACGCUUCACGGCUACUGCGAGCAGUGUGUGCGGGCAGCGGGUGACCUCUGGACUGGUUGUCCAAUGCCCCAGGCCUUUUCAGAAAUCGAAUGUUGAUUUACAAUGCGUCUUUCGGCAAAAUCCGCCGACGGAACGCGAUUUAGGUUCGUUAUUCAUCCGACGAUGCCUCACGGUAAAUUAUGUUGUCGCUGAGCCUUGUUGGCUGGUCAUCCUCAUCGUUUCGAGGAUUCCAAAACGGCGGGUAAGUGACGGUGGGUUCCGGUGUCGAAAUUGACACUUCCGGGAACCCGGAUCGGGACUAUAAUCCUACGAUAAUCGUUUCGAUGUGAGGAUAUGUGUUUGCUGCCAGGUCACACAAAUUAUUGUGUUUGGUGGCAGCGGGUGACUCGUGGCACGAGUCGGUGAGUUUCAAGACAGUACGUAGGUCCCGGCGAAGUCCCGGUUCGAUUUUCAGGACUUCCGCCAAGUUACGAUAAUCGGUGUAGGGGAAACCGAUUCCCGUCGGUUUACAGGUAGGAAAGUUUGUGUUUUAUAUAAGUGGGUUGGAUUCUAACCUGGUAGACCCUCUGUAGGUCCAGUUGACGUUCUUCCGCAGUCGGGAGACAGGUGCUACGUACGUACAAGUGGGUACUUCGAUCCGAAGUCGGAACAGUGGUGCACGCUCGGUGACAUCCUUUCCACCCAUUUACUAUUAUUUUGCAUUUUAUACGUUGAGCCUUGCACCUUUAUUACCUCUUUAUUGAUCUACUUGGUUUGUUUACAUAUCUAGCAUCAUGAGUAGAAAUAGAGAGCAGGUUUAUGAUUGCAUGUGAGAUUUGUAACCUAGUCGGCCUGUAAGAUACCGAACUCCUGAAAGUAAGAAGUUACGGUAGGAUAUAGGAUGUCGGAAUUUAUUAUAAAAAUAAAUAUAAAUAAAAAUAGUGUGAGAUACUAUUUUUAUUGGACUUAUAGAAGUAAAAUAUAAGCCUGGAAUGACCCGUGUUGAAAUCGGAGCAAAAACAGAAGAUUUAGAAUUUUCUGUGUCAAACGGAACAGAUAAAUUAGCAGAAAAUGCAGUGUCAGAAAAUUAUGAAAACUGGAGGAUAUGUCAGAAUUAUUUUUAUGAGGCUAGAUUUAAAGUUUCAUACCAUUCUGACGCCCGGAAAGUAGAAAAUAAAAUCCGACUGCUAUCUGAUAAAGAUUACAGUUCGGUACAGCCAAGGUUUAAAGUGCCGUGGCACGGGGGCGUGCCGCUACGUCCUUGGCACGGUACGGCACGGGCACGCUUGUGUGCCGACACGUGGCACGCUUGCGUGCCGACAGAUACGCACGACCUCCUACUGGCACGCUUUGGCACGAAUUUAUUUAAGUUUUUUUGGUUCCAGUAAGCUUUUAUAAUGUUAUUUUGAAAGAUUUAGGCAAGUUAUUAUUAAUUUUUGCUAUGUAUAGCUUAUUAUACUCAUCAAUUAACAUGCAUGUAAGCAUUUUGUAUAUAAAGUACAACUAUACCUGAUGUAGAAUAUAAAUUAAAAUUCUUUUAUUUUUAUUUUUUUUUAUUUGAAAAGUACAACUAUACUUGCUGUAACAAUUGAAAAUUCUUUUGUUUUUAAUUUUUUUAUAAUUUAAAAAAUUAUAACAGAUAAAAUGAUAGAAAAUUUUAUUUUUUCUAAAAACGUUUCAAAAUCUAUAUAUUGAUUCGAUUAGAAAGUAUAUAAUAACUAGAACAACUAGAAUAGUACCGCAAUUACAUCCAUAUUUUUUUUUAUUCUUUUAAAAAUAUCUAAUCAAAAUUUGUUUAGGAGAUCAAUUUUUUUUCCCCUGAUUCAUCGAAACUUCGCGGUGCGACAAAUUUUGACACAAAUAAUUUGCGAAGAAAAAAUGGAUGUCUGUGGUGGAUCGGGAUUUAUCAACUAAAAAUUUGCUUUUAUAUUGUUAAAUAAGAAGUUAAAUUAUAAUUUUUAAUUUAACAAAAGAAAAAAAAAAGUCAAAAGAAAAAGCCAAAAGGCAAAAAAAAAAAAGGCAUCAGCCAAAAGAAAAAAAAAAGUUGACAAAAAGACAACACAAUGUCAAAAAAUAAAAGAAAAGUGAACAAAAGGCAAUAUAGAUGGCGGGCGAAGGUCUUGUAUCCCAGAGACAAAAAAAAGAGACAAAACCAAAAAAAAAAAAGCCAAAAAAACUAUAAAAAAAAGUAUAUAAUAACUAGAACAACUAGAAUAGUACCGCAAUUACAUCCAUAUUUUUUUUUAUUCUUUUAAAAAUAUCUAAUCAAAAUUUGUUUAGGAGAUCAAUUUUUUUUCCCUGAUUCAUCGAAACUUCGCGGUGCGACAAAUUUUGACACAAAUAAUUUGCGAAGAAAAAAUGGAUGUCUGUGGUGGAUCGGGAUUUAUCAACUAAAAAUUUGCUUUUAUAUUGUUAAAUAAGAAGUUAAAUUAUAAUUUUUAAUUUAACAAAAGAAAAAAAAAAGUCAAAAGAAAAAGCCAAAAGGCAAAAAAAAAAAAGGCAUCAGCCAAAAGAAAAAAAAAAGUUGACAAAAAGACAACACAAUGUCAAAAAAUAAAAGAAAAGUGAACAAAAGGCAAUAUAGAUGGCCGGGCGAAGGCUUGUAUCCCAGAGAACAAAAAAAAGAGACAAAACCAAAAAAAAAAAGCCAAAAAACUAUAAAAAAAAAAAAGCCGGCACGCGGCACAGUGCCGCGGCACAUGGCGCGUGCCGCUUUGUCUCGAGCGGCACGCGGCUUGUGCCGCGGCACCCAGGGGGGUCCGAGACCCCCUGUACCGUGCCCCUUCUUGGGGGCACGUACGGCACGCCCCGUGCGUACGGCACGGGCGGCACCUUCAAACCUUGGUACAGCUUUCGGUGACCAACAUGGUUGAAACUGAACAUUAAAAUUUCUUUGGACUUAUUAAGUAAAACCGAGCCUGCUUGUCAAAUUUAGGCGCAAACGGACGUUCAGAAGGGCUCGGCGAAAAAUGUCAGUUUUAAACUGCUGAAGUGAAUACUGUUUUGGGGAAGUUUACUUGGAGGUGAAGUUUCCUCCUAAUAUUAUAUAUAUAAGGGUGUUAUGUCAUUUCCCUCAUUCCUCUCUACUUGAGCCAACAUAAGAGAAAUCUCUCUCUCUCUCUCUCUCUUCCGUCUCCUCUCUCUAGGAUUUGCUCCAAAGUGUGGAGUUUGGUAGAGGAAAAGCUUGCUUAGAGGUGAAGCUUUCUUUUUCUUCACCAUUGGCUUGAAGAGAGCUUGGGUUUGAGAGGUAAGCUUUGAUAGCAACAAUGGUAGAUUGUAAGUAAUGAUUUGUAUGCUUAGAAAUGGGGUUUAGUGAAACUCCUAGAUGCUAAAUAGAUGGUUGAUGCUCGAAUUUAGAGAUCAAAUGAUGAAUCUUGCAUGGUUGCAUCUUAGGGCAUCAAAAGAGGUUUUGCUUGUGAGGGUUUUGAUCUAAAUUGAUCAUGUAUAAACCUAAUUGCUAGGUUUUCUGACGCGUUGGCGAAGUCGGUUCGGCGAUACGACGAGGCUACGUGAAGAUAUUAAAGAACGAAGCCGUUAAGGUACAGAUUGCCGCAGCUCGCGGCGAAAGCUUCCAAAAAUCACGAAAUCGGAACCCUAACCUCGUGAUAGCGAUAAAAGGUGGGAGGUGUCAUCCCGAAGCAACUGGGCUUCUCCCUAUAUCUAAGUAUUUCUAUGUUGAACAUACUACAUAUAUAGUAUCAUGCAUGUUAGGGUAUUUAGAUGUUACUUUUACUAUUCUUGCAUGCUCCCUUAUAUUGCGGCAUAGUAAGCUUGGCAUGUGAACUUAGGGUGCAUGAGAAUGAGUUUGUGACAUAAAACCCUAUAGAGAUAAGUUAAACAAUAACUUGAUCUUGCAUGGAUGACAUAUGACUAGUAUAGUCGGGACAAUUGCAUUAUAGCAAGUGACAUGUGAACCAAGUAAACAACUUGACGAGUGGCAUUAUAACUUAAGUGUUAAAAGAACACUUGUGCAUGUUGGUCAUAUGACCGGGUACCUUCGUUGGAAACGGAUUUGAUCAUACUCACACAGUCUGUUCGGCGCUUGUGGCGGUCGCCCUGCACAAGUAGUGCGAGCUUCGGAGUUUUGGCACGUGAAACGAUUGGGAUAGCCUAUUUGGGGUCCCAAGGGAUAGCCUAUGUGGGGUCCCGCAGACAAUCCCUCGGGUGGUUCGAGUCCCCCUUCAUAGACGGAUUUGAGUUGUGAGUCGAGGGCGCGCCUAUGGGCCAGCCAGAUGAUUGGGUAAUAAACUCAAGAGGAUUAUGCAAGUUGAGCAUAUUGGGCAUAUCGAGCAUGUUAAGCAUGUUGAGCAUAGUAGAGUUGCAGGUAUACUUGAUAGAGUUAUGAUAGCAUGUUAGAGAUUACAUGGCUAUGUGGUUUACUCUUGUUUUAAAGGCAUAGUAGAAUCUUGCAAUUCUUUCUAUAUGAAUCAUUUAUAGCUUAAGAUAUCUAUCUAUCUACCUAUCUGCUUAUGCCUGCUUAGACCUAAUGGGGAGAUCGGCGGAGUCGGCGGCCGAACCCACUGGGAACUAUAUUUAUAUAGUUCUCACCCCACUUUGUUGCAAGGCCUAGCGAGAGAGCACCGGCAGAGGAUCGUGGUAAGGGCAUCGCGCCCUAGGUAUAGUUAGCAGCUUCCACUUGCAUUAGUGUACCCUCGUGUACCCCGUGACAUAUGAUGUACUUUGGGAGGUUGCUUGUGUAUUUGGGAGAUUAUCAUGAAUGUUCAUUUUGGAAAUGUAAAUGUAAUCAAGGAUCUAAAUGUUGAAUGCCUUGUGGAUGUAAUAGAUAAAUGUAUCUCUCCUUAUUUCACUUGUAUAGUAUACUUGUGCCUUGCUCUUAUUUGUUAGCACUUGUUGUGCUCUUGUGAUUGUGUACUUAUGAAUUGAUUCCUGGGUAAAUUCUUGUACAUGAUCGUUUGCUUAGCCUUGGGCGGACAGGGGAGGUGCUGUCCGUCCGGCGUCUGUUCGAUGCGCCCGAACCGAACCGAAUUGGUAGCGGUCUCGGGGCGUGACACGGCCGGUUCUUGUAUCUCGUACUAGACCUAUUCGGUCGGCUUAUUGCAUCAAGCAUUAUGACCUACUUGGUCGAUUGGACUACUUGGUGACCUAUACGGUCGAUACACCCUGAGGGGCAGGAUUGUCAGUUAAUUGCCGACGGUUGGCUAUUGAGCAUACCAGCAUCGAUCGCCACUGCUCGUAUGCAUUUCACGAACACCAGCGAUCUGAUCCACCGCAUCGGGGUGUUCUUCUCCGAAAAAGUGGUUGGGAAUGCCUGCCCAUGAGCCCAAGAGUUUAUGCUAGAGUCAUAUGCCUUUCAGACCCAAGAGCUUAUGCUGGGGUCAUAUGCCUUUCAGACCCAAGAGCUUAUGCUGGGGUCAUUUAUAGGUUUGAGCAGUUAUGGCACAAGCCUGAGGUCUGCGAACCAACAUGGCAAGUUUCUGAUUGGGUUACUUUCGGAUUUGUCGUUCGGUUGAUACAUACAUACAGUAGCGGUAGUAAUUCAUAUAUAUAUCUCGUUUCCUUGUUUAUCAUUGCUACUGUAUUAUUACCAUUAUCUGUACUUUUGUUUAUCCUCUUUGACUGGUGAGUACCCCUCGCCCUUGUUGGCUUGCGGUACCCACUGGGAGGGAAGUCAUGCGUACAUGUUCUCACCCCCACCCCCUUUAAGGUGACGUCGCAGGUCCGAGGGGAGACGGUUCGUGAGGCGCGCAGUUUAGCGAUUGAUAGAGCUAUCGACCCAUCAGUUUGGUUUAAUUCUUAUCCUGACUUUCUCAAAAUAAUCGACUUAGUAUUUAUGGUUCAGAUGGUUUUCGUUUAUCUGGAUAAAUGGAAUUUCGUGAAUGUAAUAAGUAUUUAUGAAUUUCUUAUGAAAUGAAAAUAAUUUUCUACCCCUCGUGGUAGCGUGUUUUAAAAGAAAAAGGUUUCCGUGUGGGAAACGAUUUUAAAAAAGUUUUUCGUGGUUUUUCAUGACUCUUAUUGUUUCAAAAUGAGUUUCCGAUAAGGAAACAUUUUAAACUGAUAGUUAUGGAUUUAUGAAUGAAUAUCUGUGAAGGAAUGAAUGGUGAAUGUAUGUGGAUGCUCAUAUGUAUGUGGUUGUAUCUUGUACUUGUGCGACGCCGUGCAAAUACAGGGGAGACUCUGUCCGUGUGAACAGUGAAUUCCCUAUAUUUGCGGCGGAUCUGACAUACUCUAGGGUCCAGGUUUUCAAAAAAAUAAAGUACGAUGAAAAAAAUUUGGGCACUUCCGUAUUGAUUCUUAAAUCAAAAAGGGGACCCAGGGCGUGACAUACAAAUAAAAUAAAAUCUAUUCCAGAAAAAUAAGAAAGAGAACGACAUGAUGAAAAAAAAGAAUCAUAUCUAUUAACUUUGGAAAUUCUGUUGUUUUUAUUUUUUUUACAAUUAAAAAAAUUAUAACAGAUAAAAUGAUAGAAAAUUUUAUUUUUUCUAAAACUUUUCAAGAUCUAUAUAUUGAUUCGAUUAGGAAGCAUAUAAUGACUAAAACAACCAGAAUAGGACCGCAAUUACAUCCAUAUUUUUUUCUCAUUUAUUCUUUUCAAAAAUAUUUGAUCAAAAUUUGUUUAGGAGAUCGAUUUUUGUUCCCUUGAUUCACCGAGAGCUUCGUGAUGCGACAAAUUUUGACAAUAUUUUGUGAAGAAAAAAUAGAUGUCUGUGGUGGAAGCGGAGGGCUCGGGCCGAUAGACCCGAGCUCAUAGCCCACCACCGACAUCCGAGGGGGUUGUAGGGGGGCGAAGCCCCCCGCGAUAUGGACCGGAUAUGUCAAUUAAAAAUUUGCUCCUAUAUUAAUGAAUAAGAAGUUAUAUUAUAAAUUUUUUCGACUUACCUAACAAAUAAAUCUGCAAUUUGCGAUAUUUUGCCUCCUUUUUAAGCGACGAAAAAAAAGAAGAGGGAUGAGAAGUAGCAGGCACGGGACAAAGGGAGGGGGAAGAACAAAAUAUAAAGGAAAAAGAAAGGAAGGUGAGGCGUACCUACGCGAGGGGAGAAGCGAUUGAGGGAAGGCAGGAAGUCAAGAAAAAAAAAAGUGACAAGACAAGCAAAAGAAAAAAGCGUACGGGAAAAAUCAACAAACAAGAAAACAAAAGAAGGCAUCAGCCAAAAAGCAAAAAAAAAAGUUUAAAAAAAGACAGCAAAGUGAAAAAAAAGGACAAUAUAGGUGGCCCGGGGAGGGAGGGGCUUGGUGGCCCGGGGAGGGAGGGGCUUGGUGCCCCAGAGAACAAAAGAAAAAGAGAAAAGGCCAAAAAGCCAAAAAGGAAAAAAAAAAGGAGUGGCACGAACCAGCGUGCCGCUUUGUCUCUCGCGGCAUGCACCAACGUGCCACGAGACUUGGGGGGGGGUGCGAUACCCUCCCUAUAUCAUGCCCACUUCUUGGGGGCACGAUAUGGCACGCCCCAUGCCGUACAACACAGGGCGGCACGUAAUUCCUUGCCACCAAGCUCCUAGCAUAAUUAAUUUUGUCCUAUUUAAUUCAAGUCCGCCUCUUGGGCCUAUCAAAAGUCUUAAGCCCAACCGUGAGGAGAAUAUAAAUAUUAAAAAACACGGUUCUCCAGCCAAUGGGCAAGAGGCAAGGAUCAGAGCUUCUUUGAAAGAAGUGCUAAAAGUAAAAUACUUUCAUUUAUAUGCUUUUUGCAUACAUAGAAUCAAAACAUAUUACUUGCCUAUAAUCAUCUAAAAAAGUGAAUAUUAACUUUUAGGCAGUUACAGUUUUGACUAUCAAUGUCAAUGUUUAAUACCAGCUUUAGAGUGUUUUUUCUGCAGUAUGCACCCACAUUCAUGACUUACAUUCUUGAGAGGAACAAAUGAAAUACACCCUUUAUCAAGAGUGCUUGUGCAAACUCUCCUUGCUAUGAAAGUGGAGAGAAGAGUAUAAAUCGGAUAUUCAGACUGUGGUAGGAAUACAUACAACUGAAGACACAGGAUUCAUGAGGUACAUAAAAAAAUGCACAAUGAGAUAUGAUGGACAGCUCUAAGUAGUUUCUAAGAAUAGCACUUAGACAAAACAAAAUCUGCAUAAUACAGUCAAAAUUCUUUAUGGAACUCAAAAUGAUAAGGAAAUUUACUAAUUUUUAUGGAAGAGGAACUUAUAAGACAUACCACUAUAGUUGGUGCCCAGAGAAACCAAAAUACCACGACGGAGAAAUGAAUGCUUGCUUGAGCCCAUACCAAGAUCCAUAUUUUCUUGUCUGAAACAAAAUAAAAAUAAUGACCAAUAAAUAAAUAAAGCCCAUAUGUCGAAGCAUGCUACAAGAUUAGCGCAAGACUACAGAAGUAUACAUACAAUACAUACCUAGUACAGGAUUGAACAUAAAACAUAAGAGAUCAAAUCCCAUACAGAAAGAGCAACCAAAGUAAGCAAGAUGCUUCUUUCGUUGUUAAAAGAACACUUAAGUUCAAACUAAUAAGAAUUGUGACACAGCCAAGACAGUUGACCAACAGCAUGGUAAAUGGAAUAAAGAUAUCUAGUGAGGACUACAACGAAGGGAAGUUAUAAAAGAAAUAUUGUAAGCUAUAUGUGGUGCAUUUGCUUUUUUGCCUUGAAAUGAAUGAACUUAUAGAGGGCCUAGAAACCAUUGUAACUUCUGCAGAAAUGCUAAAUAUGCAGCACAUUACUUCCAUGCAGAAGGGAUACAAAAAUAACAACACCAAACUUUGUAUAUUAAUCACUAACAAAUUGAUGGAAAUCUUUCAAUUGACUAGACCCAAUCACAUUCUGGAUUGAAUUGAAUUUCUAGGUUCUUAGAGGGAAAUUAAAUUAUGUGUUUUUGAGUACUUAUACAGCUAUUAGUGAGCUCAAAUUUUCCAAUGAAAUAUAGAAGGCUUAAUAUCCGAUGUAUGGUAAAGAAGGGUGUCCUGAAAGGAAAAGCACAAAAACAUGUAAAUAGAACGGGAUAUGUGUUUUAAGAUUCCAAUGACUUAAAUAAGUAGAGAUUACUUCUCAUAAUUUAAAAACUAAUAUAUGAGACCUAAGGCAACCAAAAGACGCAAAGAAGUCAAUGUAAAACACAGAGAAGCUAUCACCAAUUAAAUAUACUGAGAAAAGAACUUUCACGCUAUAUCCAAACAACAAAUAUCUUAAUUAUUUAUAAUCAAGAAUAAAAAUUCAAUAUUAGUCCAUCAGAUUUGGUUUAAGCUUUAGAGAGUAUGUGAACUUCAAUAGCUCAAUCUCAAUUUAACUUCCAUUCCAAUACGCAACGUAUUGGUGUAUUGUGUUUGUCCAUCAAAGUUUCAAAACGUUCAUUCAAGCCUUUUAAAAUAUCCAUAGUUUAACUAUGUUGAAUACAGGACGGAAAAUGAACAUCAAAUAAAGAUGACCAUUGAGAUCAAGUUUUAAAGUGUAACAUUUUCAUAGAAAAUACAAUAAGCAUUCUAAGUUCUUUGCACUAUUACCUCUAAGAACAUGAGCAGAAAAUGACUUUCUAUAACUUCCAAUAAUUGAUACAUCCUGGUUUCCUUUCCAUGCUUUCCUAAUAUAAAGAAUUGUUAUAAUUGCAAAUAAAGCAGCGAAAGCACCGAGCCGAGAAAAUUUUUUGUGAAGAUCCUUAACCAAUAUGUUUGCAACUCCUUGGCUUCCAACUAGGGAUGCAGACUCAUAAAAUGUCAUUAGCCAAAAGGUGUCAUUCAGAAGAUCUUGCUUGUGACCAUGCUGCCAAAGUAGAAGAAAGACAUUAAUCAACUUUCAUCAAAGACACAUAAAUGCGAGUCAAAAUCAUGAUCUCUCUCUCUCUCAUAUGUGCGUCAAAAUGAUGAUUUCUCAUCAAGGUUUUAAGUGCCCGUCGGCACGGGCCGUAUCCACCGUGCCGUACCGUGCCAACAAGAUACCGGCACGAUAUAGACCCCGUGCCGAUGGCACAGCCAAAACCUUCUAUUCUUUAAAUUAGUAAGUAAUUUCUUCAAUAAAGUUCAAAAGAUGUGAUAAAAAGACAUAAUAAAUAGUUAGAAUAUUUUGUUGCUAAAGAAAAUAAAUAUUUCAUGCUAUUAUGUGUUGGCACACAAGAAUUUUUUUGACCGGCACGCAUCGGCACGGCUCGGCACGCAUCGUGCCGUACCGUGUCGGCAAGUUUCCGGCACGACCCCGUACCACGGCACUUAAAUCCUUGUAAAUUCUCAUAUAUAUAUAUAUGAAGAUCAAUAACUUCGAUCUUGAAUUUAAAAAUAUAUAUAUAUAUAUGUAUUUAUAUAUAUAUAUAUGAUGUCAAAAAUUUAUGAAAUUCGAUCUUUAAAAUGUUUAAAUACUGUAAAUUAUAUUUAACAAUAUUAAUUGUCAAUUCAGAAGCUCCAUCAUUGAAAACAACUUAUGAGUACAAAUGCGAUCGUACUCAUAAUGGUAUAGUAGCAAGUCUCUCUCUCUCUCAUAAAUAUAUAUAUAAAAAUAAACAUAUAUAUGUUGUACUUAAUUAGACUUAAUUACUUUCAAUUGUCUAUAUCAACUACUCAAGUCAAAGCAUAAGCUAGUGAUGCUUUCGGCUACUGGACUCUAGCCAUCUAGGGUGCAGUACUCCACCCCUUCGCCUGCCUCGCCAUGGUUAUUGAUUAUUACCAGCUCUAUCUAUAGAACAAGAAACGAAUUAGCUUAGCUUUCGAAAGAACCGGUGAAGGAUAAAUUUGUCCGUCAACGAGUCAACGAGUUGCCUUUUUUGAGUGACUGCAAAGACCCAAUUCACCUGGGCUGGGAUGACUUUUGACCUAAGGGGGGCUUCACCAAUCGUGAGUUUUUGUCUACAAGCGCUGCACUAAACAGAAAAGGUUGACCGCAACCCUCAAGCUAUGACCAUGAUUGGUCCUCGAUCGGAUUUUAUAAGCAUAUAGCUCAUGAUCUAGCCUAGUGGAACCUAUCCUUAUUCCCCUGGUGCCUAACUAGCCUUGAACUACAGUUGUUUCAUCAACUAUAGCAAUAUUCGAUGUAGUCGCAUUACCCCUUUUUCAAAGGUUGGGCAAAUGCUUUUUCUAAGCAAAUGCAAAUAUCACGAGACAUUCUUAGUCUUGUCAUUUGACUCUGAACGCAAGGUUACAUCUAAGGUUGAUAGGAUUUGGCAUACCAAGCACGAACGGAGCAUUCAUACUUCAUUUACUUUCCUCGUUAAGGACAUAUAUAUGUAUGUAUGUAUGUAUAUAUAUUAGUACGCACAAAAUAGUACCUCCUUAAAAAAUACCUUAACAAAAAACCAACUCACCCAAUAAAUUUGAUGACUUCAUAUGGGUAUUUUUGUAGGAAACUGCAUUUUGGAGGGGCAUAAGAAAAACAGAGAUUUUAUAGGGCUACAUAUAUAUAUAUAUAUAUAUAUAUAUAGAGAGAGAGAGAGAGAGAGAGAGAGAGAGAGAGAGUAGAACUAUUAUACUCUUAUCAAUACUGAGGCCUUCGUACUCAUAAAUCGUUUUUGAUGAUAUUAGCUUCCGAAUCAACGUUCCGUACCGUUAAACAUGAUGUAAAGCAUUUAAAACUUAGUAGAAAACGAAUUUCAAAAUUUUUCAAAAUUACAAUAGAGUCCAUCAAGCGGGCAUAAAAUGAACGGUCAAAAUCAAACGAAAAAAUAGAGAAUCGGAUGCUUCAAUUUAAGAUGGGAGUUAUUGAUCUUUAUCUAAAUAGUGAAUAAAAUUUUCUAUCAAAAAUUCAGUUGAUUCUGAUUCUUUUGCACCGUUAUACUAGCAAGCAUCUGAUACCGGCCGUUAAAAAUUAUCAAUUUUGAUAUCUUUUAACCGUAUGGUAAAUGAUAUCGAAAAAUUGUGAAACUUGGUUUCUAGAAGUUUUCAAAUGCUCUAAAUUAUGUUUAACGGUAUGGAUCGUCAAUUCGAAAGCUCUAUCAUCAAAAACGACAUAUGAGUACAAAGGUGAUCAUACUCAUAAGAAUAUAGUAGCUAAACUCUAUAUAUAUGUGUGUGUGUGUGUGUGUGUGUGUGUGUGUGUGUGUGUGUGUGUGUGUGCGUACACACACAUAUAUAUAAGCUAAUGAUUGCAAGAUCUACGUAGUAACUAAUGAUUUUGAAGGGUUAUAUAUAUGAAAACUUCCCGCAUAUAUGUAAAGCAUAAGACAAAAGCAAACCUUCUCAUGCUCCGUUACCAUCCAUGUCUCAAAACAGAAGUGGAAAACAGAAGAAGCUAGCGCCAGGCAUAUGCUUUCAACCCACAUGCUUCGAAGCCAUCUUACAGUCUUCAAAAGACCCACAAGAAGAUGAAGUACGCAAUACAGCAUACAAGCAUUCCGUGGUCCUCUAACAAUACAAUUAUAUUAAUCAUUCUAACAAAUCACAACAAACCAAUAGAGAAGGUGAACUUAGUAAUAAAAGUAGCAAUGCAAAAUGCAUGAUCAUCUUUCAAAAGCAAAAGAUACAAAAAAAGUAAACACAUGCCGCAGUGGUUGAUGUUUGAUAACAUCUAAUAUUUAGUUUUUCGUUGAAACCCCAUUGAUUUAAUCAGUCACAGUGAUACUAAUGGACUGCAUUAAUAACAAUCAACUUUAAAAUAACCACGUGGACAGAUCCAUAAUAUGUUGGAUAAUCAAGCAUGGAGAAAUAGAAAUUAUGUUGGACUACUCUGUGCUAUCAUAUAUGUUUACUAGACUAACUAUAUAAUUAAAGUAUAAUUAAUCGAUCAAAUAAUAUGUACAGGAGUACAUACAUAUACAAUUCGUCUUCAAAAAUGCAAGUCCCUGAGAAAAUAAAUAAUAAAGAGAUGUUUCUUGAUGUCAUAAUUUGCUAAGUUAUAAAGUGACCGCUUUCUUAUUAUCUUAUACAAUCCUACUCAAAUUUAUGUUACAUGCAAUCAUUAGACAACUUAAGGCAAGAGAGAAGAAAAAUAAUGAAAGUCAAUAAUAUCAGAAAAAAAGAAAGAAAAAGGUACAAUUACAAAAGCCAGUUGUUAAAUUAAUUCCUUUUGCACAUCAAAGGGAUAAACCGAUAAAGGAAGGAUAUUUGGUGUCACAGGAAAAUGCUGCUCUCAUCCGCAAGGACAUAAAUGUGCUGCUAGCAUGCUAGUUUUGUGCCAUUGAAUCUUAGCAUGUUUUCUAAGGCUAUGUUUGGUUCGGGUAAAAGUAAGAAUUGCUUAUUCCAGGGAUAGGCACAAGUUCAGGUAUAAGCAGGAACUAGACUAAUUUUGCGUUUGGAUGAAAAUUGGGAUGUUUUAGGAAUAAGGUAAAUAGUGUUUGGAUAGGUAGAUUGAAACAAGAGGAAUAAGAGUUAUAAUGUUAAAUUAAAAUUAUUUUAUCUAAUUAAUUAACAUCAAAAUAUUACUUAAAAUUAAUUUAAUAAAUUAAAAAAAUUAUUAGCUACGAAUAUUGUAUAAGAUAUUAAAAAUAUAUUAAUUAAUUAAUUAAAUAUAAAAAAUAAUUUAACUUUUUGAUUAGUUACUAAAUUAUUUUAGUUAGAUAACUAGUAAAAAAUAAAUAAAUUAGAUUAAUAAAAAUAUUAAUGGUUGCUCAAUAUAAAUAUUAGUUUAUAGAUAAACAUAUUAAAUUAUUAAUAAUUAAUUAGGUAAUUAAUUAUAAGUAAUAAACUAAUUAAUUACUUUAUUAUUUAAGCAAUGGAUAAUGGUUUAGAUAUAUUAAUUAAAUUAAUGAAUGAUUUAAUACCAUAAUUACAAUUAAAUUUAGGCUUUAAUUAACCUUGUUCCCACUUGGGAACAAACUUGUUCUAGAAAAAUGGUGGAACAACAGUUCCAGCCUUUAGGGCUCGUGUUUGACUCGUGUUCAGCUCGAUAUUCGGCUCGCUCGAGCUCGGCUCGAAUUAAUUUCAAGCAAGCUUGAGCCUAAAUUUAGGCUCGAAAUUAAUUUCAAGCCGAGCUUAAGUAUUACUCGGCUCGCUCGAAUUAAGCUCGAAAAGCUCGAAAUNAUAUAUAUAUAUAUAUAUAUAUAUAUAUAUAUAUAUAUAUAUAUAUAUAUAUAUAAUUUGUUUACUAUACUAUUAAUAGUACCAAACACUUGCUAUUAGGUUUUCAGCCUUUAGAUAAAGGGAUGUGCAGUUAGAAUAAUAGUGAUCCCCUAGGGUUGAGUGGGUGGUUAGUCAAAUAAUAUGAUCUAACAGGUGAAAAUGGUCAAAAAGAUAGAUCUAACGGCACAAAAUUUGAUAGCACCAAGCAUUUGGUACUAUAGAUUAUAUAGUAGCCGAACUCUCUCUAUAUAUAGUCCAGCUACUAUACUAUCUAUACUAUCGAUAAUAUUAAGCGCUUUGUACUAUUGAGUUUUCUGCCGUUAGAUCUGUCUAUAUAUAUAUAGAGUCCGGCUAUUAUACUAUCGAUAAUACCAAGCAUUUGGUGCUAUCGAGUUUUCUGCUAUUAGAUCUAUUCCUUUGGCCAUUUUCAUCCGUUAGAUCAUACUAUUCAACUAGUCAUCCACUCAACCCUAAGGAGCUAGUAUCAUUCUGACCGCACAUCCCUUCAUCCAAGGACCGAAAACCUAAUAGCAAGCGGUUUGUACUAUCAAUAGUAUAUAUAGUAGCCUAACUAUAUAUAUAGGCGCCUCGAACUACUAUAUUCUUAUAAGUAUAAACCCCUUUAUAUUUAUAAAUUUUCAGUCGUUGGAUGUGCGAUUAGAAUGAUAGUGGUCCCCUAAGAUUGGGUAGGUGGUUCGUUGAAUAGUAUGAUUUAACGGAUGGAAAUGGUCAAAAAGAUAGAUCUAACGGUCGAAAACUUAUGAGUAUAAAGAGGUUUAUUCACAUAAAAGUAUAUGUAGUAACCAAACUCUAUAUAUAUAAUUAUAUAUAAUAUAUAUUUUAAUUAUAUAAAAUAAUAUACAUUAUGUAUUUUAAUUAUAUGUAUAUAGAAUUUAGAUUAUUGGGUCCACAAAACCAAACCAGCAAAAUAUCCUACUCUAAUUGCUCUCUUUCUCUCUUUUUCACUUCUUUGCAGAGUCGUUUUUCUUAAUUUUUUAAUAUUAUAAUAUCGUAUUUCAUGCAUUCAUUUUGUAUAUUAAACUAUUAAAUAUUUUUUAUAUCAAAUUUUAGAUAAUGUUUUAUAAAAAUUAAACUAUAGAUUGCACUAUGUUAAGAAUUUCAACCAGAUCGUUUAGGACUCGAGCUUGCUCGACUCAAAAUUAGGGUCGCUCGAGCUCGGCUCGAAUUAAUUCAAGCCAAGCUUGAGCCUAAAUUUAGGCUCGAAAUUAAUUUCAAGCCAAGCUUGAGCUGAGGUAAGCUUGGUCGAGCUCGGCUCGUUUCCACCCCUACCAGCCUUAUACCGAGUUAUACCAGCUUAUUCCCAGACCAAGAACUAUUGUUCUCGAGUACGAAAAUUCUCGUUUGGGAACAAAAGGGCGAAGAAAGGCUUAUUCCCCCCUUGCUCCCGAAGCAAACAUUGCCUAACAUUUUGUCAGAAAAGUCAACUCGAAAUGUCUUUGAUGCGAUUUUGUAUAUUCUUUAGUAACUCAAUUGAUGAAAAAGCUUACAAGUUUUAGUGAAAUGUUUUUUAAACAAUAUGUGAUUGUAUGAAAAAAGUGUAUAUAAACAUUUCCAAUAAAGGUUUUUGGCCUAUCAGGUUGACUGUAUCAUAUCAACAUGAACAGAUGAACUUAUUAACAUGGGGCACUAUAUAUACAAUUUCGAUAAAGGUUUUUGGCCUGCCAGGUUAACUACACCAUAUCAACAUGAACUUAUUAACAUAGGGCAUGUUUCCACAACCCACCAGACUAUUGGCAAGGAAAAGACUGAAAGACAAGACUUCGAGAGCAUAGGCUCAUAAGGCUUUAGAAAGUAACUGGAUGAAGUGGAGAAUUUUGCCGUCACUAGCUGGAAGAGCAACCUUGUUAUAUCACUCGUGUAAUACAUCGGUGCAUUUAUUAUGCAAUAUGACAACUCAAAGUUACCAAGGGUUCGGAAAAAAAAGUUUAGAAAUUUCUUGCGUCAUCAUAAUUUGUAGAACCCAAGAUUUUUACAGUAAUUUUCCUAAACACGUAAUGCAACUAUUUUCCAACAAAACAAAAUUGUCGCCUCAACAUCUAUUAGUGCUGUAAGUUAUAAGAGGGACCUUAGUGCAAGGAUUAAAGUGCCCAUCGGCACGGGCCGUAUCUACCGUGCCGUAUCGUGCUAACAAGAUAUCAGCACGAUACAGCUCCUGUGUCGAUGGCACAACUCAAAACCCUCUAUUCUUGAAAUUAGUAAGUAAAUUUCUCAAUAAAGUUCAAAAGAUUUGAUAAAAAUACGUAAUAAAUAAUUGGCAUAUUUUGUUGCUAAAGAAAAUAAAUAUUUCAUGCCAUUACGUGUUGGCACACAUAUUUUUUGUGACUGACAUGCAUCGGCAUGGCCCGGCACGCACCGUGCCGGCAAGUUUCCAACACUACCUCAUGCCACGGCACUUACAUCCUUGCCUCAGUGUAAUUUCAAAGUGAUGUUUCACAGAUAAAAUCGGGCGAGAGUGAAAUGUUAAAACAAAAUUUUAUUCAAAAGAUCACGAUAUUUCAUGUGUCAAAUUGCAUGAUUUCAGAGGUGGAGAAACUUAUGAGCAAAACACAGCUGUGGAUGGAUUUUGAGUAAGACAUUGUGAACUAGAGGGGUUAAAGUGCAAUUUUUACAAAUGAAAAGGGGCGACGCGAAAAAAGUUAUCAUUUCAUGUGAGAAAUUCUGAAGUUUUGGAGAGCGACUCUUAUGAAAGGGACGCGUGGAUUCAAGUUUCAUAAAAUUCGAAAAUUUCUAUGCAUAAUGGCUCAAAUAUGAAGAUUGAGAGUUUAAAAUUGUUUGGAGUUUUCUAUUGAAAAUUGCAACAUUUUAUGCGUGAAACUACAAUUUCACUAUUGAAGGCAUUCCAGCGCAAAGUGCGCUAUGGAGCUAUAAGCAAGAGGGAGACUAUUCAGGGACUUGUAUGCAAAUGUUACAACAAAAUAAUGAUAAAAAUAGGAGUUCAAAACCCUAAACCUAAUCCCUCUCUUCCUCUCCUCCACGAGCUCUCUCUCUCUCUAGAUCUCCCUCUCGCUUGUGGCUACUAUCGCCCUCGAGCGCUGCCGCCACCAGCCGGAGCUCCUCCCCGACAUCCCUCCACCACCGGCUGACCCUCCUCGACCCAAGGCUGAGGCCCAGGGUUUAGACUUCCUCGGUGUGGCCACCCUUUGUCAUUUUGUUUCCUUCUCAGGCACAAGCCGUCGCCGCCGCCGCUGUCACCAUUAGCAGCCGCGUCCGUGGAACUCUCCACCCUCCAGUCAACCUUCCCCUACCCUCCUGGACUGUCCAACAACUUCCCAAGGUUGCUAGUGCUGUUGUUGCUCCUAUAGGCCUUACUUGUGGCCAAGAUCUCAGUUCCGGCAGGCAGCCGCCUCCGACGAACACAGCUUUCCUUCAUACUUGUACAUGCCCGUGCUCCACUGAGUUGCAGGUAAUAAUGGGCUCGAAUGGCUGGUUUCAACACUGCCCACCCGGUACUCGAAGAAAUGCAUACAAUCAACCCAGUCGACGGAGAUCACUGUUCUUGGAAGCACGACAAUCCAUUGGCUUUCUUCUACGCCAUGCAUACCUCGCUGGUGCGAUCCGGACGAUUCGUGGCAGUAUGCACUCGUUGUAAACCCGGAACCCACUUCGUGCAGCCUUUUCUCGCUCCCGAUCUGGUGUAGCCAAAGUUAGUCUAUUUGCUGUCAAAGUAGCUUAGGCAUGGACUAGCUAGUUGCGACACUUUGUAAUUUAUUUGGGCUGUCAAAGUAGUCUAUUUGCUUGUUGGUCCACCGUCCUACACGAGAGAGAGAGAGAGAGAGAGAGAGAGAGAGAGGGAUGUGGUGUAGCCAAAGUAGUCUAUUUGCUGUCAAAGUAAGAGCCAUGUUUAUUGGCUGUGCCACAUCUAGGGCUGGCAAAUGAGCGAGCCGGCUCGCGUUCGACUCGCGUUCGACUCGAUAUUUGGCUCGCUCGAGCUCGACUCGAAAUUAAAUGAGCUGAGCUUGAACAAAAAAAAAGGCUCGAAAUUUAUUUCAAGCCGAGCUUGAGUAUUACUCGGCUCGUUCGAAUUAGGCUCGAAAAGCUCGAGUAUAUAUAUAUAUAUAUAUAUAUAUAUAUAUAUAUAGUAGAGCUACUAUGCUAUCGAAUGUAUAGAGGAUAUGGUGCUUUCGAUUUUUUGAUUCUUAGAUCAAGCCCUUUAAUAAUUUCUUUGAAUUAAUACUAGGGAUAUUAUUUAAUCCUGGGGGGGGGACCGCAAUCAUCCCAAUCAUACAAUUCUUAAUCAAAGGAUUAAAAAUUCGAAAACAUCAAAUCCUCUAUAUUUUCGAUAGCAUAGUAGUUCUACACUAUAUAUAUAUAUAUAUAUAUAUUAAAAAAUAUAUAAAUAUAAUAUAUUUUAAUUAUAUAUAGGCUGAGUGAAUAAUCUGAGUCUAGUUAAAAUUGGGUCAAUAUUAGCCCAUAAAGACAAACCUAAUAGACAAAUAAAAGAGCAAAAUUUUACUAAAUUUAUAUAUUUUUCCUUUCUUUCUUUCUUUCUUUCUUUCUUUCAUAGAGCUCUAAAUUUUCAAUAUGUUUCUCUCUUUCUCUUUUUCUGUCUUUCACCCUAAGUGACCAAGCCGGAAGCCCUCUAAGUUACCAAGUAACAUCAUAUGCCCGCCGUUGCCUACCUUGUUAUUAAUUGUAUGCUUGAGAAAAUAUACAGAAUAUUUUUAAAGUAAAAAAUUAUUAUUCAUAUAAAAUUUUAAUUUUAGUUAUAUAUGAUUGGAUUCGUUUAAUCAAUAUUUAUCUAUAUAAUUUAUUUAUUUUUGACUGCAUAAAUGAAAGAUGAAAUAUAUAGAGAUUGAAGAGGGAAGAAAAAAAUGUAGGCUGAAAAAAUUAGAUAUUCAACUCAUAAAUAUUUUUUUUCAUAUUAUAAUACUAUAUUUCAUAAAAUUAUUUUGUACUUUGAACUAUUAGACAUAUUUGUAUCAAAUUAUAGAUAAUGUUUUAUACAAAUUAAACUAUUGAUCGUAUAAUGUUGAAAAUUUCAAGGGCUCGUUUAGGGGCUCGAGCUCGCUCGACUUGAAAUUAGGCUCGCUCGAGCUCGGCUCGAAUUAAUUUCAAUCCAAGCUUGAGCUUAAAUUUAGGCUCGAAAUUAAUUUCAAGCCGAAUUUGAGCCGAGAUAAGCUCGCUCGAGCUCGGCUCGUUUCCACCCCUAGCUGCAACUAGCAACACAUCAUCAACUCCCCCUUGCACCAUCGGUUGGCUUCCACCUUGUGGAUGUUCGGUAAAAUAUUCAAAAAGCCUUUUUCGUUACCAUAGUAAAUGCUUUAUAUGAUUAUGGUGCGAAUUCGGCUUUUCAAUACUUUUCACGUCAUGGGAGGUGCUGAGCGGUGUCAGUUAACAUUGUUUGACAUUUGGACUAGUUGUUCGAGGUCUGAAAACCUUUCAUAAUUGAUUUGGUGCAAAAUGACACUAGUUAAGGCAAAAUAGGAUCGUUAUCGUGUGUUUCGGUUUCAUUUUCACGGAAGCAGUAUUGUUGUUGUUAAAUAUAAAAAUAUAUAAACACCAUACUCUAACAACUUAAGCUUUUAGAGUACAACAGUUAUUUCACGCCAUACACUGUUUUGCAUGGUUGCGUGCCUUCCGACUUGCAACUUGUUCGAGUGUCUAGAUGUUUGUGUUAUCCUGAUCUACAGGACAUUGUUGCUCACAAACUCUCCCCGCGAUCGCAUCCUUGAGUUUUCUUGGGACUCUGCGCUCAGCAUAAAGGCUUUCGUUGCCUUUAUCCGAGCACUGCAUUUCCCAACAUGUUACCUUUGUUGAAAUAGUGUUUCCUUAUUCCUGUCUUUCAAAAUUUUCCACCUCUUCAGCACCGCAUUCUAUUAUUUCAAAUUUUCAUAUGUUUCAAAAAGAAAUUUCUAAUCCUCAUUUAUUGGGUGCUAGUCCGUCUACUAUUCAUGCCAUCUCUGGGAUCUAUUUCAUUCACUUCUCAACUGUUAAUGGUCUUAGUACUCCAUCUACCAAUAUUAUUUCUCAGUCUGUUUCACCGUCUGAGUUAUUAUCUCACUUUCCUACCGCUUUAACUGAUACUGCCAUACAGGUUCACCUUGAGAAUGACACUUCUGUUGCUGAUCAACCUAGACUCCUGGUCUAUACCAGACGGAAUAUGUGAACCCACUUCUCCUACUGAUAUGGCACCCUCACAUUCUGAACCUCUACCUUUCCCCCCACCUGACGCUGCCCUAGCUAUUGUGCCCUCUGCUACUUUACCUAUUGUCUCUUUGUUCCCUUCCCGUACCCACUCUAUGAUCCACCCAAUCCAUGGCAAAGAGUUUGUCUUAGUCUACCACCUUCUUGGCUUCUAAGAGCUCUAGUCUUCCUAGCGAGCCUAACUCUUUUGCUAAGGCUUCUCAAGAUGUAGGUUGGUGUGCCGCUAUGGCUGAGUUUGAUGCUUUAUUGGCUAACUCUACUUGGGACCUUGUUCCUCCUCUCUCAUCUAUCAACCUUAUCAGCUGCAAAUGGGUGUACAAAGUCAAGCAGAGGGCGAAUAGUUUUCUUGAGCAUCUCAAAACUCGUCUUGUGGCUCAGGGCUACAAACAACAACACGGUAUUGAUUUUGAUGAGACUUUUUCCCCGGUUGUCAAGCCAACUACUAUUUUGUACAGUUCUUUCUACUGCAAUCUCGUCUGGGUAGCCACUGCAGCAACUUGAUGUGAAGAACGCCUUUUUCUUAAUCAUGUUUGCCGAUUACAUAAAGCGAUCUAUGGACUUUAGCAGGCGCCUCGGGCUUGGUUUUAGCGUUUUACUUUCUUUCUCUCUGAACUAGGUUUUAUUGGCAACACCAUUGAUCCCUCGAUGUUUAUUUGUCACUCCUCCUCUUGUUCUUCUUUUAUAUGUUGGUGAUAUUAUUGUCACCGGAAGCUCAUCUUCGCACUUGGAGUCUCUUACAAGCACCUUGCAACGGGAAUUUGCCAUGAAAGACUUAGGUCCAAUAUAUUAUUUUUUGGGUAUUUAAGUUACCUGCUCUACUUCUGGUCUUCAUCUGGCUCAACAAAAUUAUGCACAUCAACUGCUUGUGCAUCGUGGGUUUCUUGACAAUAAACUUGUCUCCACUCCUGUCUCCAACCACUCGUCUUUUGGCUCAUGAAGGGCGUCUUCUUGAAGAUCCCUACACCUAUCGUCCGAUGGUUGGUGUUUUACAAUACCUUACCUUUACACGACCUGACGACUAGAUAUUUUGUACGCUGUCAAUUCGGUUGCUCAAUAUCUUUAUGCGCCUGGUGAGCCUCACAUGCAAGCAAUUAAACGUCUUCUCCAUUAUAUUCAGGGCACACUGUCAUAUGACAUUUCUAUCCUCGCUGUGUCAAUCCUUCACUUGUCGCCUUUCAAGAUGCAGAUUGGGCCGAUUGUCCGGAUACACGCCUGUCUACUUCCGUAUAUUGCAUAUUUAUUGGGCCUAAUCUUAUUUCGUGGUCUGUUAAGAAACAACCUACUAUUUCUCGUUCUAGUUCUGAGGCGAGGUAUCACGCUGUGGCUUACACGCUUGCUGAGACAAUUUGGAUCAGUUGUCUACUUCGUGAUCUUGGUGUUUCCUUAUGGCGUUCUAUUUGCAUCUGCUAUAAUGGCGUUCUAUUUGCAUCUGCUAUAAUAACCUUAGCACCACAAAUCUUGCUACCAAUCCUAUUCUUCGCGCUUGUACGAAGUAUAUUGAGCUUGAUCAUCAGUUCUUGCGGGACUAAGUCCAAUCCAGUGAUUUGGACUUAGUUCAUAUAUCUUUUGAUAAGCAACUUGCUGACAUAUUCACCAAACCCUUGUCCCCUUCUCAGUUCUCCAUGCUGCGAACCAAUCUUCGCAUCCGACCAGUGGAUGGUUAGCUUGUGGGGGAAUGUUACAAUAUAUUUUAGUAUGCUAGGAUAUAUUUAAUAUUGUAUUAUCCAUUGCCUUUUAUAGUGUAGGACUAUAUGGUAUCUUUGGUUGUAAUAUUACUAUAAUAGGUUGAUUUGUAUACUAUUUAUUAUCAUCAAUAAAACCCUAGAGGGCUAUGCUCUUUUGCCUUUUUUUCAAUUGCUGUCUGGAAUAAUUGUCGAGCCCUGUUGGCUGGCCUAGCCUUGCUAUUUGAGUCCCUCGCGGAGUGCGCCAUGGGUUGGUCUUGAUACCAAAACAAGUAUUUUGGAUACCCGAUUGACUUCCUUUAGGAGUCGUGGCUCCCGUUUUUGCGCACUUUGUGUCUAACCAUCCUAACACCCAAAGUGGAGCUUGGGACAGCGGAUGAGAUUUGUAGGCCUAUAGCAUUACUCGAGAUACUUCGUGGGCAGAAGUAGCAUCCCGGUGAGUUUAUGCGAAAAUCGGCGGAUUCUGAAAAUCGGUAAGUAGGUCCAAUGUUCCGAUCAAGCGAUUAUGAGUUGUGGGUGACUUUGUCACAAUUUAGUAAUGAUGUGGUAUUGAGAACAUCUUAGAGCUGAACACUUAUUGUGUGUGUAAUCCGACACUGAAGUAAUGUCCGGAAUAUCGAAUCAGUGCCUUUGAUUCCCUCGUGGCCUAGUUCCGCAAUCACUGUUCAUUUUGUCGAGCACUUGGCAUGCAGUUGUCCCAACACCAGAAGUGGUGCGUCUCGGGAUAGCGAACGUGUUGUUGUAACUCUCUGUUGAGGCGGUUACUUGUUGGCCUAGUUUUAGAAGUAGGUUUGUGGAACUGAUGUUCUUUUUGUGUCGUAGUGCAUGGUGGUGUGGUUUAGACGUAUAAGUUGUAGGAGCUAAUGAUGGCACUUGGUUGCGUUGUUUAGGUUCGAGUGACACCUAGAAACAACGAUCGAGUCGAGAACUCAGAUACUUAGUGAGGCGGGUGUUUCAAUUCAAAGUCGAUAAAGUUGUAUCUUACUUGGUUUUCCUCUAUGAUCCUUCUAUUCCAUUACAGUUGUCAAGUACUACAACUUAUCAUGAGUUGGUACUCUACAUGUUUGUUGCUUUAUCGUAUUGGUUACAUACUGCUUAUGAUUACUAUGAUUGUGUUCCAUCUACUGAUGAUGUAUUACAUGUAGAGUAGGAUUCGUUCUAGUUGCAUAGCCAUCUAACUAUGAUAUGACCUGGUAGGUCAGUGUUACUCAGUUUGUUGAGUUUUAACCCUGUUGGUCAGCUGAUUCACUCCCAUGUGAUUAGACCUCAUCGGUUGACUAUUCUCUUAUAUGUGAUUUGACCUUGAGGUUGGUAGAUUUAUUUCAUUAGAUUUGACCUAGUAGGUCGGUACUUCCUUUAUGAUAUUGACCCUAGAGGUCGGUUGACGUAUCUUGUUCAUGAUUGAGAUUACAACAUGCUUCAUCUUGACCCCUUGCAUUUGACAUCAUCCCCUUUGAUACUUGCGUAGUAUAGCAUGCUAGUUUUAUUUUAUUUUUUUGAGAGAUAGGUAGCAUGCUACCCGCUUCGUUUAUUUUAUUUAGAAAUAAACUUAGCUAGAAAUGUGAAUCAACUAGGAUUCGAACUUGGGACCACGGGUACCAACCACCAAGCCCUUUGCCACUUGCACUAGGGACGGUCAGUUAUAGCAUGCUAGUUGAUCUUGAGAUUUGUGAGUUUGUGAUCAUGGACCUAGUUGAUUUUAAUGACACCUUUGGAGAGUAUAUGUUGGUUCUUUAUUGUUGCCUCAAGCAUAGAUUAGACUGUUGAGUCUGAGUUGUUGGAGGCUUGAGCAUACGUAUGUGACUAUAACUUGAGAUGGCGCUAUUGCUGUUAGAUAGGGUUCACGACCUUGAAUGCUUUUAGUUUGCCAGCCCACUGGGAGGUGUAGCUCUUAGACAAAGUUCGUCAUCCGGAGUACUUCACUCUUAGAUUUGAUGUACACCACUUUUAGACAGGGUUCGCGACCUUGGGUGCCGCAUGUUGUGUCCCUCCGAAAUAGAACUUGGUUAUUGGUCCUCGCGACCUAGUAGGCAAGUCUGUUCGGUGCAUAGUAGGCAAGUUUGUUCUAAGUUGUCUUUAUGGCAAGCCAUCAUGAUAGGAUUGAUUUUGAACGAUCUAUAUGUCUGGUCGGUGCAUAGUAUCUCUGUUUGAGUUAUACAUGAUUUUCUGUUGGUUGUUGCAAUUACAAAGCAGCAUCUUUCAAAUAGUUUAUUCAUCACAUUUGAUUAUAUACUAUCUUGCUACUGUAGUUGGCAUCUCUAUCGCAUUUAUAUAAUUGACUCUCUUUUACAGUAGCGGCGGUAGAUUGUAUUUCAUUUUGUGAUUCUUCCUUAUGCUCGUGCUAAUGUAGUUGAGUACGCUUAUAUCUCAAUUGAUUAUAUCAAUUAUCUUCUUAUCCUUGCAGUUAUCUUUUUGUCGUACUCUUUGUCGACUAGUGACUACAGCUUGCCUUCAGUGGCUGGUUUCCCCCAUUAGGAAACAUAUUUAUAUAUUUCUCACCCUACUGUUUUUAAAAGUGCUGCCAACAGUGUGGGUCGGAGCGUUGCGUAAGGACGUGGUUAGUUAGCGUCUAAAUAGCUCGUGCCUUGGACUCGCAUUACUAGAUCCUGAUUUACUUUCCUGUUAUUAUUAUCUUUAUCAUGUUAAGAUUAUAUACCUUAGCCUCAUAGUCUUGAAUUUAGAUUUGUUGUUGGGUUUACCUAUUCUUGAGAUUUUCGAUUUCUUGUUUGAGAUUUGUGGAUCAAUUAAUUGUUAUAGUUGUUAUAAUGAUUCCUCCCUGUUUAGGUUGUUUGUUAUAAUUGUGGUUGUAUUGUCUGUACUUCUAUGUCGUGCAUGUAUAGAGGAGACUCUGUCCGUGUGGAUAGAGAAAACUCUGGCACGUGGCGGGUCUAUGUGCGUCUCGCGCAAGAUUUUAAAAAAAAAAAUUAUACGUUUUUUCGCAAACUCUUAUCUUUAAAACGGAAGGAUUUCCAAAAAAAAAUACUUUCCCAAAGGGCCCUGGGGCACGACAUAAUUACAUGUGAAAAACUUAACUGGUAAUUUGGAUUAACAUGUUAAGACAAGAAGCAUAUGUUGGAUCGGAAAUAUCAAGCCUUUCGUCCUUGAAGAAAGGCAAUGAUAGCAUAACUUGGGACUUUGCCCUAAAUUUAAACAUUUCAAAGCAAAGUUGCAAUGACAAAAUAUUGCUUUGAUAUGAACUAACUGCAGGAGGAAAUGAAAAUAGAAGUUCAAGUAGUAUCAACAGGUCUAAUGAAAUGACUUGUUUGAAGUAAAUAAUGCUUACAGCUAUGUUUCUUGUCUGAGAAAAUUAAUGUAAAGAGGUUAUAAAUUUUCCCAAUGUCACAAACUUCCACAUGGUGUGUAGCAUCAACAAUUAAUAUGAAAGAGCAUGCUUUACAUUUAAUGACAAAUGCAUCAUCUUUAACAACAUCCAGAUAAAGAUAAUGGUUUCUCUCUUCAACUCAUCUUUAGAAAUCAACAUUGGGUUUAUCCACAAGGGCAAAUAACAAGUUACCUCAUCACUACCUCAAAUAAGUAACACCCUUAAAAGCAUUACUCUAAUCAAGAAAUAGGAACAAAUGAGAACAUAUUAAGGAUGCAGAUGUAAAAAACAACUCUUGACUUACAUCAUGUCGAAAAGAAUUCCAGAGAAUGUACCAAGAAACAGACCACCAGCAGCUCCAGCUGCAAGAACCAAUGCCAUCUGCUCCCUACCUAGCCCAUACUGCAUGUAUUCGUACUCCCCCGAUAUUGUUUGAAGUACUUCAAUCACUGGAAAAUAUGAGGAAGCUCCAAAUAAAACUAAACUUCAAUGUAAGAAGUGAGGAAAGGCGGCGGUCAAAAUUACAAGAAGGGUAUCAAAGGAAAGCACAAUACAGCACCUAAGUCUUAUUCGAGAGCAUAAAGGCCCUGUUUGGAUUUAGGAGUAAGUUAUAUAACUUGUUCAGUAUGGAAUUUUACUUUUGUGAUUGGAGGCUGAGGAUUUAGUUUUUGCUCAUGGAAAGUUCUUGACGGUCAUGAUUUGAUAGGAUAGCAUAUUUUCUCUUCGAGAUAAUUUAUUUUAUUCCAAGAAUAAAAUUUGAGGGCCGAAUAUGGUAUUCAAUUUCAUAACAUUUGAUCUCGCUGCUCGCCCACCAAAUACUACGGCGUUUUGUGUAAAUCAAGAAAAAAAAAUAUGUCGAACAAGAUAUUUAUGCAUCCAAACAUGGCCACAAUCACAACCAAGCGGAAAAGGGAAAAAAAACAAAAAGGCGUAAAUGUUAAAGUGAAGACAGGUGGGGUGUUCCCAGAUGCGAAAACCUGAAGCUAUGGAGUAGAUUAGCAAGAAGCUUCGUUGGAACCGCAGGAAUGGCGCAGAAGGGCCGAGAUCGAAAGGAUAUGCGGACGCGGCACCUUUCGCUGAGCCCUUCGAAAAGUAUGGGCAGAGGAAGAUGGACGCAAAGCAGGAGACGAAAAGGAAAACGUAGGCGAGGGGGUUCAGCUCCCACUCCUCCCUCUCAAUCACCACUGUCAUUGCAAAUCGGGCUCCUAGCCCUAUCCCAUCGUCUCCUGCGGCCGUCGCUUGGUGCGUGGUGGGUGGUGGUGCCGAACUGCCCGACUUGUUGGGCUUGGGCCGGCUGUCAACGAGCCGAACUCAAGCGAGCCAGAGCCAGCUCGAGAUCGGCUCGAAAGUGCUCAAGGUCGGCUCGUCUUCGGCUCGAGCUCGUGAUGAGCGUCAAAUGUCCAGCUCGUGAUCGGCUCGCAAGUUAUUUGCACUAGCUCGUUUUUGGCCCGUUGGCUCGAUUAUUGCUACCUUACAAAAAUAUUUUGCUCGACGGGUAGGAAGUUGAGCAGGAUACGAUCUACCUAAAUUUCUGUAAGAAAAUUCAUAUCAAACUCUAAUUAGAAGCUCAAGAAAAAAAAUUCCUUAUAUUCUGCUAAAAAAAACCAUAAGAAAAAGAGAAAAAGGAAAGAUGAAGAUCUUGGAAGACGAAAAACGAACCUGCUGAAAGCGCCGCUACCGGAGUUCCAUCGAGAUAUGCGAACGGCAAAGAAUGCGCUGCCGGGAGUGUGCGAACGGUGAAGACGGAAGAGCGCUGCCGAGGGGUCUUCGGGCGUAGAGAGAGAGAGAGAAAGAGAGAGGCGGGCGUGUGUGUGUAAUGUGUGUAACUAGUGUAGACCCGCGCUUCGCUGCGGUGUUUAUAGGUAUAUUGCGGUAAAUAGUUUAAAUAAACUAAUAGUAAGACAAAAUUUAUGUUAAUUAUAACAUUAAUAAAUUGAUAGUAGAAAGUUCUAAUACAACUUCAGUACACAUAAUAUAAUGGAGGAGUACUACAAUAUUAAAAAUAGUCUUUCAGCAUAAUGCAAGAGUAAAAUGCAAUAUUAAAUGUAAUCCUUCACAUCUUGUCUUCAUCUGUAGAGGGAGCAUCAUCAAGACUGGAAAGAAAAGUAAAGAUUUUUAGUUUAAUUUAUGCUGACAUAAAAAAUAAGAAAUAAGAGAUGAUAAAUAUUUGAGGGGAAAAAAUGGACGACAUUAAAUCUUACAUAAGUCGGCGUUUUUUCGCUCGCGGGAUUUCGUUNCUGGCUCGUGAACGACGAGCUGGAUUGCCAGCCCUAGCUUGGGGUGGGCUAAAGUACUGAAAGGGUGAGAAAGGAAGAAGGAGAAGGGAGGGAAGGUGGAUCAGAUUCGAUUGUAGGUCGGGUUCAAACCCAGAUUAUCCUCCUAUCCAUUCUAAAGCCAAGUUCAUGCAAAUCUGUAAUUUACAAUCUUCUAUAAUCAAUAAUCUAUACCUAUACUAGUGAAAAUAUCUGCAUAUUAUGAUUGGGGGUUCUGAAAUUUUGAUGGCGAGCGGCGCGUGGCCUCGUGGGGAGUUUCAACAACGAGCGGCGUGCGGCGGGGGGUAGGGGAGGAGGCAAGAGUGACACGGAUGAAAAGUCUAGGGCAUGUUUAUUGAGCGGGGGGAUUUUUUUUUACAGGUGAGAGUUUUUCGACCUUAGCAUUUUUUUUCCUUCCUUCAGGACGUGCAAGACGGGUGUACACCUCUUUUUUUUCGUCAAACAAUUUAGCAAUCGUGAAUUAUUCACGAAUAAUAGCCAUAUAAACUCACAAAUUCACGUAUUAUUGUAAAUAUUUGAAAAAAAAAAUAUAAACAGACCGUUUUAUUCGAUUAUUCAAUAAUUCACAAACAAUUCACGAAUUAUUCGUGAAUUAACUAACUAAGAUCUAUACUACUUAUAAAAGAGGAGAUUUUAAAACUUUUUUCUUUUUCAAAAUGCCACUUUCUAUUAAUAUAAUUCCAAUCAUAUAUUAACCAUAUCAUUCAUUCAAGUUUUAUAGGUACUAGUUAUAGUGCAUGUGCGAUGCACGUCACAUUUAAUUAAAUUAAAAUUAUAUUUAUAUUUUAAAUUUAAAUAAUUAUUGGUGGUAUAAAUCUAUUUAUCAAUUAAUUUUUUUGUAACUUUAAUUUUUUUACUGUGUAUCCAAAGUUUAAAAUUUGGAAGUAAUUCUAAAUUUUAAAUUAAUGAAUUUAGAUUUAAAUUUAUGAACAAAACUCAAAAUUUGAAGUUAAUUUUGAAUCCAUAAUUUGAAUAUAAAUAAUUAUUAGAGAUUAUUUAUCAUUCCAUCUAUUUUUCAAAUUUUAUAUAUUUUCAAGUUAAUAAAUUAUUUUCAAUUUGAAAUACUGCUUACACACCCAAAUAUUAAAAUUUUAAUUAAUUUCAAAUUUUGAAUUAAAAUAUUAAUUCACAUUUGAAAUUAUGAACUAAAUUUAAAAUUUAAAGUUGAUUUGAUAAGCUUAUUUAAAUUAUUUUAUUUUCCAAACUUAAUUUCUUUUUAGUAAGUUAAUUGAGAGGUAGUGUAUACUAAAUAUUUUCAAUGUGUGUUACGUAGAGAUUUUUAUAUUUUUGAUGAGUAUGGAAUAUUCUUUUAUGGGGCUACAGCAAAUAUUCAACAACUAUUUUAAUAAUUAUCUAAAAUUAAUAUAAAUUUGCGAAUCACAAAGUUUACAUUUUUAAAUUGUAAAUUCAUAUGUUAUAUUUUAUUAAAAAAUAUCUCAUAUUUUAAAUAUUAGUAGAUAAAAUUGAGAUAAUUUUUAUAUAUUUACUUUAAAAAAAUAUGAUUAAAUAUUAUAUAUACGGAAGAUAUUACGUGAUGGGAUAUUAUGUAGGUGGCGGGCGGUUAUUAGGAGAUAGGGUACAUAUUUAAAGAGUGAAAUUUGAUAAGAGGGUAAAUUUAGGUAAAAAAAAUUGACAAAUACUUAAUUCGUUAGUAGAAAAAAAAUUUUAAAUUUCGUAUAGUUAUAAUUAGUGUUGGCAAUAACUAUUUUUUAAAUUUUAGUUAGAAUAUAACAGUUAUUUUUUAUUAAAAUAUAGCAAAUAAAUAUAUUUUUUAAAAUUUUAAAAUUUUUUUUUGUUAAUUAUAAAUUUUUGAAUAAAUAUGACCAUAAAAAUUUAUGUUAAUUUAAGAUAACUAUUAAAAUAAUUAUUACGCGUAAAUUUUCACAUAUGCUCAACUAGUUAUUUUAAAAUAAUAAAAAAUAACUAAAUUUUUUCGAAAUAUUUUAUCCCAACGAAAAAAAAUAUUUCCGUUUGCGAAAUAAGGGGGAUAUAUGUUAUCCCCGUACUUCCAGAAACUGCUUUGCGUAUGCACGGUUGCGUAUCGUCGUACUUCCUCUGCUUUUUAAGUUCGUUGACAAUUGAGGCCUAUAUAUUCACCGCAGCGAUCGGCAGCGCUCAAGAAAAGCGGUUCCAAGAGAACUCAGCGGGACGACUGCUGAAGCGAUGGGAGGCGGCCGACGUCCUCCCCAUCAUCUCCUGCCGUCGGGCACAGCCGUCGUCGACGCCACCGACAAUUCAUCCUCUUCCACCNAAAUUAUAUUUAUAUUUUAAAUUUAAAUAAUUAUUGGUGGUAUAAAUCUAUUUAUCAAUUAAUUUUUUUUCUAACUUUAAUUUUUUUACUGUGUAUCUAAAUUUUAAAAAUUUGAAGUAAUUCUAAAUUUUAAAUUAAUGAAUUCAGAUUUAAAUUUAUGAAUAAAACUCAAAAUUUGAAGUUAAUUUUGAAUCCAUAAUUUGAAUAUAAAUAAUUAUUAGAGACAUUGACUUAUUUAUCAUUCCAUCUAUUUUUCAAAUUUUAUAUAUUCUCAAGUUGAUUUGAUAAGCUUAUUUAAAUCAUUCUAUUUUUCAAACCUAAUUUUUUUUAGUUAGUUAAUUGAGAGAUAGUGGGAUCUAAAACAACAACCAUAUAUGAACUAAUUCCUUAUACUCCCAAACAAGUACCAAGUGAUCAUAAAAUCUUUUAUAUAUAUAUAUAUAUCUGCAAACAUAUCUUGUAGCUAGCUAGCCUUCAACCAAAUCAUACUGGCAGCUUCAAGCUCUCACACCAACAAGUUUUCCAAAUCACUCACUUAAGAUAUAUUUGUAGCAAAUGGGCUGGGAGAAGAGGUGAGGUGGAUAUAUAUAUACAUAUAUAUUAAUGUUAAAGGAGACCUAAUUCUAUAGAAUGAGAGGUGGUGCAUGUAUAUAUAUAGUGGUUACUAAUUAGGAGGAAUUAGUGAAUGAAUUAGCAAAUCAAUGAUAUUCUCUUUAUGCUAUUGGCUUGAUUACAAAUUUGAAACUCUGAGAAUGAAAUUAGAAUCCAAUCAUAGAUCAAGAGCUAAAUUGCUACAACUGAAACUCUUGGAUGAAAUUUCAGGGACUAAAUAUUUUUUACUCAACGGCUUUUUUCUGCGCAUUAUUAUUAUGUUUUUGUUAUAUAUUAUCAUAUGAUGAAUUGCCAUUAACUUCAAAUUGCCAUAUGAAAUUUUAGGGAGCUAAAUUGCCAUUAACACAGUUUAGUAAACAUGUGUUAAUUAAGAGACUCGUAAGUAUCUCAGAUGGCAAUUUGAAGUUAUAAUGCAGGCUUGUAUUUUAGUGUUUAUUUUCAAUUUGACAUCUGGGGCUUGUAUUUUAGUGUUUAUUUUCAAUUUGACAUCUGGGGCUUGUAUUUUAGCGUUUAUGUCCAAUUUGACGGAUUUGGGGCUGUUUCCAUUGUUGUUAACAAAUCAAUUUCUUAAAUGGAAACAGUUUCAGCUUACUCCAAACACUAAUUUAUAUUAACACAUGCUUAGUAAACUUAACGGAGGAGCUGACGAAAAGAAAAUAAGAUGAACUGAUUCAGUUUACUAAGCUGAAUCAGUUUAGUAAACUGUAUCCAUUGUUAAGAAACUGAUUAGUAAACAUAUGUUUAUAUAAAUUAGUAAACUGAUUUACUUCAUUAAAAUGUGUUUUUUUAUUUCUGGAUAAACUUAAUAUGGUUGCUUGCAUCAGUUUAUGGAUAACAUUUCCAGCUAAUACUAAUGAAUAAUGCUCUAAUAAAAUUAUGUUAUUUGUUUCAAAUGAAAUCCCAUACAAAUCUGGAAUAUCUGGUUAAGAGUUUCCGGCUUUCUGUGAUUUGUAAUUUAGCAUCAGUUUAUGAGCAACUGUAUAUAUUCUGGUAGGAUGUUUUUAUAGUGUGCGUUUAAUUUAGCUAUUUUGAUACUCUUUUUCAGUGUUUUCAUAUGGAUAGUAACAAGGCAAAGAGAUGGGUAGACUAUAGCAGAGUAAGUAAAGAAUAUUUGGAUGGAGUAGAGGCCUUUCUUAAUUUUGCAUUUGAAAACAGUUCCGUCGAUGUAAAAAUUCCGUGCCCUUGUCAAAAAUGUGUGCUUUACUACCACCAAAUUCGGGCUGACGCAUUCGAUCAUUUUGUGGUCAAUGGAAUUAUGCCAGGAUAUGAUUCGUGGUUUUAUCACGGAGAAACAACAUCAUUGUUAAGUCCUUCACAUGGAGUUCAUUUAGAGCAAAAGAACUAUAAGAGUGAUGACAUGGUAGGAAUGUUACAUGAUGCUUUUGGAGUACACAAUCUAGCAGCAGAUAUAGACAUAGAUUGUGGGGACUCUGCAGAGCCAAAUAUAGAUGAUUUUGGUAUAGAACAACCGGCAGAGUAGUUUUCUUCAGAAUGGGAGAAGUUUAAAGAGCUACUAAAGAUGCCGACGAAGAAUUAUAUCCAGGAUGUCGUAAAUUUUCUAAGUUGUCCUUUAUAUUGCAUCUUUAUAAUAUAAAGUGUCGUUUUGGAUGGUCAAAUGAGUCAGUCGGCGCAUUGCUUAAACUUUUAAUAGAUGUGUGUCACGCCCCGGGACCGGCGGAGGCCCUCCCGGUAGCGUGCCCAGACCCGCCAUAUGUCUACACAUAUAAGGCGUCUACAAUAAAAAGCGGAAGUAAAGCAAGAGAUAGAACAAAUAAAAAGAAGUAAAAUAACUAGCAACUAAUGAUAUCAGAGCGAGUAAAGUUCUAUCAUCUAUACCAAAGUAAAGAAAUAAAGCUAGACAAAAAAAGAAACCAUAAGUAGUACACUAUCAGUCUCAAAAGUACAAAAAUGGUGGUCUCUAGUACACUGGUAAAACCCUGAACCUCUCGCAAAAAUAAAAUAUAUAUCGAGAGGUAGACCACCUAGCAACUCGUUCUCGAAGGAAGCUAGCUCGAAGCAACUCCCUUCCCGCGANCGAGCGGCGACGACUCCCACUCCCAAUUCGUCCAAAACCGAUCCUCGGCCUCCUCGGCCUCGCUGCGGCAAUCCGAGACGUACGCCGCCGUUCUCGACACCUACGCCGCCUCUGCCGCCGCGGCGCGGGGCCGUUCGAUUCAAGACGCCAAAGAUUUGAUCCGAAGGUGAGCGAACAGCAGUAGGCAUAUAUAUAUAUAUAUAUAUAUAUAUAUAUAUAUAUAUAUAUAUAUAUACUUUUUGUGGUUUAUUUAUGUUUGAACCCUGCUUAGCGAAUCGUGAGCAUUUUCGGUAGGUAUAGACCCGGCGAUUGGAUUGAGGAGGUCGGCGGCACCAAAGCCAGCGACUACGAAAUCCCGGAGACCACCACGCUUCUUCUGAUCGGCCCGAGAGGGUCCGGCAAGAGCACGCUCGUGAAUCGGAUCACUCGAGUUUUUGACGACGACCUGUCUGCGCCGGUUAGGGCUCAGGUUUGCCGUAAGUUUUCUUCCCGCCGAAGGUUUUGAAAUUUGAUAUUUAGGCGUGUAGAAAUGGUGGAUGCACUGUUCUGUACUACUGUUGCUGUAGAUAAUGCUUCCGCGGUCCCCGGGACCUGCUUCUUGCAAGAGUACAUGAUCCCAAGGAAUUCGAAGUCUCUAUGCGUCUACGACACUCGGGGUUUGUCGACGAUUCCAUCUGAGAACUUAAAGCUGCUGCAGCAGUGGAUGACCCGUGGAGUGAGGCAUGGGGCGAUGGAUUUUUGGUAUGAGUAUUUAUGACGUUUGAUGCAUUUUCAGUGUGGCUAGUUUGAAAUUGUCAUUAUGAGUUGAUAAUCUCUAGAACCUGAAUCUUUUUUUUUUUUUUUUUCCCAUAGCAGUGCUUAUUCCUACUAUAGUAUUCUUGAUUUAAGUGAUCUUUUAGUGAAGUUACGAAUAAUCCAUUUGAACGAAAACGUUCCUAGUAGUCAGUAGGUAAAGCCUUUCAAGAAUUCCUGGUUAUUAUUUUUCUGCAUUUGCCUUCACUGUUAAUCAGGAAUUUUCUCGUGGGACAUUAAUCUGUCAAGUAUAAAUUGACUCAAAAAAAAAAAUGUCCGACAUAAUAAGACAUAGUUUGCUUACAGGGAGAGUUGUGUUUUCUUUCAUUACAGGGAUUCUGAUGAUGUAGCUACAAAGCAAAACAUUAAAAUUAUGGCACGACAUGGUGGAUUUCUUCAUUGCCAAAAGAGAACUGUGAAUUUUGUCAUCUUUGUUGUUGACGGAGUCUCUAUACUCAACUCAAUUGAUAGCGAGGAUACACAGUACAUCAACUUGGUCGUCGAAAAUUUUAAGUAUCCAUUCUUGUCAUUUAAAGGUGUGCAUGCUCAUUUCUCUUUAUUUUGAAAUUGUAAUUGUUACAUAUUCUUUCAUGAUUGCUCAUUUCUGCAUGUUAACAUGUGUAUUUUUAUUUGUGGAUUGUAGUGCCAGUCCUUGUCUUUCACACAUUUGUUUACAGAUACUUAAGCUCAAAUUUGAAUCUGCUCCCUUUGAUGUCCUUCCCAAAAAUUUCAUCUUUUUAUACAAUUUUCUGAAUUUAGAGGUCCCUAUUAAGUAUCUUUUGGAGAAUCUAAUAACAUACUGUUAGCACUUUUAACUUUAGUUGCCUUUUUCACAAUUUUACCCUUUAAACAACAUAUCACAAUUCUUUAGUGUAAUUUUACCUCUCACUAAAUAAAUAUACCCUUAGGCUUCGUUUUGUUCGGGGUUAAGUAAGAACUAGUUAUUCUAGGGAUAGGAUUAAGUUCAGGGUUAAGCCUGAAAUAGACCAAUUUUGCGUUUGGAUGAUAAUUGAGUUGUUCCCGGGAUUAAGAAAAAUAGUGUUUGGAUAGAUAAGAUGAAAUAAGAAGAAUAGUGAGUAGUUAUAAAUAGAAAAUAAUGAUUUUGCCCCAAUUAUUAUGUUUAAAUUUAAAUUUUUUUACUUUAUAUUUAAAAUUUAAAAUUUAAAAUUUAAAUAGAUAACUUAUAUAAUUAAAAAAUUCCAAAUUAAAAUCUAUAUUUUAAAAUCUCAAAUUUAAAAAUUUAAAGUUAUAAAUUUUAAAUUUUAAAUUUUAAAUCAAAUCUAACAAAUAUAAAAUUACAAAUAUAAAAUGUCAAAUUUAAAUUUAAAUAAUUAAAAAUAAUUUAAAAUUUAAAAUUUAAAAAUAUAAAUAUUAAUUUUAAGAUAACAAAUUAUAAAUUAUAAAAUUUAAAAUUUAAAUAUUAAAUUUAAAUUUAAAAAUAAUCCCACCUCUAUUCCAGAGGGGGUGGGGAUAGCUAACCCCACCCGCCAAAAAUAGUGUUUGGGGUUAAAGAGGGGGGGAUAACCCCCUUAUCCCCCCCUUUAACCCUGAACCAAAUGCUAGCUAAGAGGCCUUUUGGUUGGAUGCAAUUAGAAAUAUAAUAUAGUUGGAGAUUCCUGCAGUUGGAAAUGCAGUAGUUAUGACGACAUGCAUCUAGUUUGGUUGGAUGUCGUAGAAAACGCUGCAACUAUAAAUAAUUUGUUUGGUUAUAUACAAUUAUGAAGUACAUUUUUUAAAUUUUAUAAUUUUUUUAUAUCUGGUGGUGAGAUCACCUUUGAUGUAGAAAAGAGAAAUAUUUUCUAUUUAAAAUGUGAUUAGGGAGGUAAACUUACAUUUUGUUUUAAGUUACUCGCUCUAACUGAUGCAGUUAGGCUUGUUCAUGUAGUUCCAAUUGCAGCAGGUGGAUUCAAAUGCAUCAAAUUAAACACUAGAUUUGGAUUUGCAUAUAGUUACAAUUGCAAUACAGUUGUAACAGCGUGCAACCAAACAACCCUUUAUAUAUUUCGUAUGCAUAUCAAAUUCAAAGGAUAAAAAAUUGUACUAGAAGGAUAAAAGAAAAGACUGAGCAGAAUAUUCCUAAAUUUUAUUGGAAGAUGAAAGUUAGGGCUUUUUUAAACUUGUUUUAAAGUCAAUAUAUAUAGAAACUUCCCCUAUAUAUAAUGACGACCAACUUAUUUGAAAAUGUAUUACUAUGCUAAUAGUUUCUCAUCAUCAUCUUUUACAGAUGUUAUAGGAACAUCAAAAAUCACCUCCCUAAUGCAAUAAUAACAAAUAUAAAUGGCUUAUUAGGAUUUAUGCAAUGUUCUCCUAGUUUGAGGUUUUUCACUCCAUUCUCAUAAAAUAGCAGAUUAUUCUCAGAAAUUCUUAGGAAUCUUUUGUCAUUUUGACAUGCGUAGUAGACAUGACAAGAAACCUGUUUUGACACGCAUAGUAGACAUGACAGGAAACUAUUAGAAAACUUAUGCUUAAACAGAAGCCUACUUAGGGCAUACUUGCUAGAUACGUGAGGGACAUACGAGAGUGGGGGAUAUACGAUGAUCUCUUUUUGGUCUGAUUUGUCAUUUCAUGUUUGGAAUCAUUCUUGGCCCAUAUCCAAAUAACUCGAGCUUGUUUGAGGUAUUUAGGACCUAAAUAUGAAUCAAAAUGAGUGACUCCCAUUGUUGUUGUUUAUUUGAAGAUUCUUUUUAUGCUUUGGGAAUUGAGUAUCUACAAAAUAAUUUGUACCAUGGUGUGACACCCCAGGAUUUGGAAUAAUUCUAUAGAUGAUAUAUAAUAGGGCUAAACCUUUUAACCCGGCUAUAGUAUGUUGGGCGGUGGUUAGACCCAAGAGGUUAAGAGGGUUAAGCGUACUAGAACUAGAGUAGUUCUAGGAUAGGUGAUCUCCUGGGAAGUGGGCCGUCGCUGUUGGUAUCAGUGCCAUUCAUCGGUCGGAAGUAUGAGAUGAGUCUCAGUUGAGCUAGCGUCAUACAGUGGGUGCCUCGGCUGACUACCGUUGUAGGUGGAGCACGGCUCUCCAUAAGGUCGGCUAAGGCUAACAAGACGAGCCUCACAUCGCAUGGUACUUGUGAGUGUGCUUGAGCAUAACGAAGACGUCAAGGUUUAAAGGGGGGGAGAAUGUGACACUCUAGGAUUUGGAAUAGUCCUAUAUAUGAGAUAUAAUAGGGCUAAACCUCUUAACUCGGCUAUAGCAUGUUGGGUAGUAGCUACGCCUAAGAGGUUAAAAGGGUUAAACGUGCUAAAACUAGAGUAGUUUAGGAUGGGUGAUCCCUUGAGAAGUGGGGUGUCACACAUGGAGGUAAGAAUCAACUUAAUUUUGGGUGGCGCAAGUGAGGGAGGAACACCUUUGACAAUCAUCAACAACAAUAAUCUAAUUCAAAUUGCAUUUUUAAAUUGGAAUUUGAAUUUUAAGUUCAAUUUGUAAAACCAUAUUUGAAUUUAAAUUUCAAAUCAAAUUAUAAGUUAGAAAUUGUUGAUUCAAUGUUGAAUUCAAGUAUAAGUUUAAUUUCUAACCUUAAUUUAAAUUUUAAACUUCAACUCAAACUUGAAUACAAACUGUGAGUUCAUUUAAAUGUUUGAGUUCAAAUUGUAAAUUUAGAUUCAAAUUCCAAUUUUAAGUUCAAAUAUAAGUUCAGUUUGAAAUUCUAAUUUUAAUUGAAGCUAUGAGAUUGUGAAUCCAAUUUUUAAUUAAUCUUUUUUUUUUUAGUUCAAUUUUUAAUUCAUCUGUAAGCUUGAUUUUUGAAUUUAUCUCAGGUUUGAAUUUAAACUUGAAUGUGAAUUAGAAUUAUGAAAUCAAUUUAACAUUUCAGUUUGAACUAUGAAUUCAAAUGUCUAUUUGAAUUUAAAUUCUAAUGCAAGUUCAAACUUAAUUCAAAUUUUAAUCAAACUUUUGUAAAAUUUAAAUUUAAAAUCAAACUGUUGAAUUCUAAAUUUAAUUUUGUAAAGUAAAAUUUUCAUGUCAACAACUUGUAUGCAGUCAAUCACUUUGCCGAAAAACAUAAUAGUGGGAAUCAAUGAUUCCAAUUCCAAUUUCUAGUUUGAACUGAUCUCAUUAAAGGAUUUCCCAUUCCUUUUCUAUUCCACUCCAUACAAAUUGCUAUUCCAAUUCCGAUUUUCCUUUUUAAUCAUUUGCCCUUGUAUAUUUAUGUUACCUCACUAAUGCAUCUGGAUUAAAUGUGUAUCAUGGAUAAUUCAUGGUUGUUGAAAGUCAAGAUUAAUGUUGGUCUGAUUAAUUUUUAGUAUUGAUGAACAAAGCUUACCUUCAUUUUUAUAUUUUUACUCAAGUAACUUGGUUUUUUACUUCAUGUUUUUUAAUCAUCUGACUAAUAUUAAUAAAUAUUUAAUAAUAUAUGUUAUAUGCUCUGCACAUCAUGGCCUAAAAUUUUUGCCAUGUGUUGUGUCAUCGUUUCUGUAUCUUAUUUGUAUUUUGUACGCCUAUUUGUGCAACAUAAAGUUUCCUGUGUAGAGAAAGCAUACCCCUCUUUGAUUACUACAAAAGGUCACAUGUUCGGAGGCCCAAAUUAGCUGGUCUUAAGUUUUCCUUCUAUUCCGUGUGUGGAGUCCAGUAUAAUCCUCCCAAGUAUAUUCACCUGUCUUAUGGGUGAGCUAUGUUCGAAUAGCUUUGCUUAUAUCAUUUCUUGCCCUAAGAUUCAUAUAAAGAGGCUCUUUUAUCUAGUUUAAGUAAAACAUAAACGUGAAACGUCAUUUUCUGUCAUAGAGGUCUAAAGUUCCUUAUUUGGGAACUUCGACGAGUUUGCCAUGGAUUCCACCAUAUAUUUGAACAUUUCUGGUUUUUCAGCUUAUGUAUAUCCAGAAACAUUUUAUGUUGUGUUUAAAAACAUUUUGUCUGCUUCAUAUACAUGUUCUUUAACUAAAUAAAUGAGCCUACCUUUAUAUGACCAACUUUUUGUACCAUUAAAUUUUAAGUGAUUAAUUUUUUCUCAGAUUGCACUUGUUUUGUUAUACAAUUGUUUUCAUUGUAGGAAGAAUCGCAGCCGGGUCUUUCUCCACCUUUUAGCACACUGUUGCAUCCAUCCUUUCUUUUAUCUUUUAUUCUAACAUUCUGAUGUAGUUUGUUCUUUCUUUCUUAUGUCUGCUUCAUAUAUAUGUUCUGUAGCUAAAUAAAUGAGCCUACCUUUAUAUGACCAACUUUUUGUGCUAACUUUUUUGUAAAAGUAGUGUUUUGUUGGGAUAAUUUUGGCCAUCUUCAUUUUGUAUAUUCUUUCAAUUCUUACAGACUACUAGGUGCUAAUGUGUUUUUAAAGUUCCAUCUGAUAAAUAGCAUAUUCAUUAAACGCUAUUCACUUCUUUUCUGCAUAUAUUUUCUCUAUUGUACAGUUCUGGUUGUUUUACCAGGUAUUUUGUCAUUUGUUGUUGCUUCUUUUGCCUUGUUCUUUGUUAUUGGUCAGCAAUGGCAUCUAUCAGUAGCCACUGUAGCUAUUUGUUCCUGGCCAUAUGUUUGCAGAUAGCAAGCCUGUUGUUGUGGUCACCCAUGGGGAUAGACUCUCAACCUUUGAACGUGCUCGUGUUCGCGUUCAGUUAGGAGAGGUACUCGGCAUUCCUCCUACUUCACAGAUUUUUGACAUCCCAGGUGAUAUUUCAGAAAAUUUGUGAUAUUGUUGGGCAUCAGAGAAAGUUUUAUCUAAAUUGGAAGUUGGAACAAACCAAAUUACUUUUUCAGGUGUUAAUGAUUAUGACACCGAGUUAACCAUAUUGGACAUGCUGCGUUAUUGUGCCGAACAUGCUGACAGGAAUCUUCCUUCAAAACAAAAUUUUCUAAAAGAGGUUAGUUUUCUCUCUUCCUCAAUGUAUGUUGUAACUUAUACUCUUUAGUGUAUCUCAGUUGUUAGUUUUAUAUGAAAUUAGCACCUUUAUUUUAUUUAUAAAUUCUCUUUUAGAUGGCUAACUACCUACUUGAUUAUCUUAGGAAUUGUGAUCUUGCAACAUUGUUAUCUUUGCUAGAGUUCUAUUUAUUGUUUUAUUGUCAUGGCAGUGGCAUGAAUGAUGAUAUAUUGCGAAGUCGUGCCUUCAUGGAUAUAGUUUACUCCAUAUAUAUAUAUAUAUAUAUAUAUAUAUAUAUAUAUAUAUAUAUAUAUAUAUAUAUAUAUUUCGUAAUAGCUGAUUUUGCUCAAAUUAACGGUGUCUUAUACUCUUAUAUGACCUUUUCAUAUUAGUUAGUGAAUUGAGAAAUUGCAUUUUGCAAGAAUGAAGAGGAUUGGUGUAGAAUGCAAAGAGCUUUAAGGUCCUAGGUCAUUCAACUGUAGGGUUAUGCCCCUAAAUCAUAGGCUAAUCUAUCUCUUCUUUUGCAUAAGGGGAUUUCUCUUUUCGAGGCUCAAUAGUGAACUUAGGCCUGCUGUAUUUUACAUCCCUCAAUAUUGCUAUUGGCAUUUUCCAAUGAAAUAGAGAUUCUUAAUAUGAACAGUAGGAUUAAAUUUGUAAAUAUACCUAUUUAAGGAAUUGAGGAUGUCUUCAAUUGAAUGGCGUCUUUGAAGGAACUAAAAUCGAUUGCGGAAAUUCUUCUCACUUUGUUGUCCUUUCUUGCAUGAAACUAGGGUGCUGACAGAUUAUACAGUUAGGAAAUAAUUGCAGCAAUUGGGGUUUAUUGUCACCAUUUAGAGCUUGUUUGGCUUACCUAUUUUAGACUAUGGAAUCGGAAUGAGAUUUAUUACUUUUGAUAGUUAUUGUUUGUUUUACAGGAAUCUGAUUUUGAUUCCUCCCUUCCACUCUAGAAUAGAAAUGGUCCAAUUCAUUUAUAUCCAGCUUUGAAUCUCGGAUUGGCCCAUUCCAAAGUAAACCACUCCAAGCCCUCUCUCACAGACACAUCUCCCUUCAUCACUUUCCUCUCUCUUAACCAAAAACCUAUCUCAAAAUCCUAGAUAUCCAUUCCAAUUUCCAUUCCAAUAAUGAACCAUUUUUUGCAUGAUUCGUCAUUCCAUUUUUCAUUCCAAUGCAAUCCAAUUCGUUUUCUCAUUCCAAUUCCAAUCAUGAACCAAACAUGCCCUUAAGAGUGUUGUAUAACUGACAAACUUGGAAAGUUAAAGGUAAUGUAUGGUGUUCUUUAGUAGUUGAAUGCAAGAUAAAUCUGUGAUUAUAGGAUGGCCAUUCGACCUUAUUAAUCAUGUUUCUAGUCAACUAUCAUUUUAGUUUUGUGCAAUGUCAUGCCCGAGUCAUAGCGGAAGCUUUUACUGGGUACUCGACCAGGUCCGCCAUAGACACCAAGGCCGCAACCCCUGUCUGUAUAGUGUCAAUAUAGAGCACCUGCCAAGAGAGAACAUAACAUCCUAGAUAAUACUAUAAUUUUUUUUCCAAUUCUAGCAUCAAAUGACAAGUCGGAAACAUCUAUUACAUAAACAAAACCUUAUACUAUCCUAUUAUAAAAACUUGUCAUUCACAUAUGUUUUGUCAUGCACAAUUCCCAAAAUGUUGCUAUUACAUCAGUAACUCCAAAAUGUGUAGAAUCUAUAGCCCGAACUGGGUAAUAUCUACAUGUGACCUUUGAACAAGUUUCCUGGUGGGGACAACAGGCCGCAAGGGACGAACUAUACCCACCGGUUCACUCAAAAACAUAAAUAGAUAGAUAUUGAAAGUAGAUAGGAAAGUAUGAGUGAAAACUGUAAGGAUUCAACUGCACUAUGAUACUACAGUAACCAUAAGUAAAGAAAACUCAUCUAAUGGUAUAAUGACAAUAAUAAAAUAUGCUCAUGCAUCAAUGCCUCUAAGUACUCCAACUGCUCAACGGUAUCUAAUCUAACCACUGGUCGGUCAUGGGAAGCCGAUCAAAGCUUGCCAACAAUGCAUUGUUGGAAACUCCAGCAACGAUUACUUCGUUACGUACAAGGCCGGGCUUGGCACCAUGGCUCAUUACCACGUAAGCAUGCAAUUGCUAUGGUCGCCGCAUAACAAUUACCUACUUCGGAGAGGACUCUAAAGGUGCUACCCAAAGCAUCUGUCUUAGUAUUACUGUGCUGCAAGCUAUAGUCAUAUGCAAAUGUGCAAGGAUCGGUAGCAGACCUAUCAAGUAUACACAAUCUCAACGGCUCCUACAAGGCCAAGAUUAUAACGAUGGUGGUACGACAGAUUAAGAUAAUAACCUAUCAUUUAGAAAGAAAUUACUCCAUCAGCAAUGCAAGAAUACAAUUGAACAAUCACUAACAAACAAUUUUGUUAUAAUUUACAACUUACCUGCUAGGUACAAAUUCCGACCCAUCUGAACAUCCCAAAGUUUGUCGAUAAUUUUUAGAUAAGAUUGACUCCGCAAUGGAUUGGUUUUCUUGAUAUUGUCUUUAGCCAUCCUCAAAUUACAAUAGAUGUCCCAUUUGAGGUAUUUUUUUUCUUAUCCACUAAUCGAAGGGCCACGUAUAGCAGCUCUACUAUAUCAACUAUCUCUUUUACAUAAUCCCAAAAUUUGGUGAAAAGAAUUAUUUGCUCAAUCGAAUUUUGCAUCAGCCGUGGAGGCAUAACGGGAUGUUCGCCAUUCAUUUGAUGCAAACAAGGACUUUAAACCCUUUUUUUGUUUGAAGGAUACUGGGACGUAUGAGCUCUCAUCCAAUGAAUUUCUCCAUUAAAACUAGACCAAGAGAUGAUUAUACAAUACUUUGAUACGUGUAGUAUCUACAAUUUUUUUUACCCGAUUUAUCUCACCAAAGUCAGACAUCAUUAGUUUGAUGCAAUGCGCAGCACAAGUAGUCCAAAAAAAGUGCGGAUGCCUUUGCAUCAGUAGUUUGCGAGCUUUCUUGAAGUUUGCACCAUUGUCCGAUACUAUCUGUACCAUAUAUUUCUCACCAACCUCACCUAGAACUUGCUCUAAUAAUGCAUAUAUGUAAUCGGCAUCUUCAAAUCGACCGGUUGCAUGACUGACUUGUGGAAGACCACCUUACCAUUGCAAUAAAUUAAAAAGAAUUAUGAUGCUUAUUUUUGUCUGUCCAGUCCAACUAUCACACAUCAAGGUAACCUCAUACAUCUCCCACUAUUGUUUGAAGUUUUUUACCUAUGCAUGGAUAUCAUUAACCUCCGCAUCAAGGUAUUUGCCAGCGAUCUCAUAUGGCAUUGGGGGUUUAGCUCCUGGACCCUCCUUUUGUAUGACAGUAAUCAUUGAUCUAUAAUAUUGAUUACUUGCUGCAUGGGAAGGAAUAUGACUGAAGUGAAAAAACUUCGCUAUUGUUCGACCAAUUAUGCCUUUUAAUCUUUUUUUAGCAUUGUAUUUAUGCAUUGUUGUUGAGCAUCUGGGCCAGGAAAUGCCAUUGGGUCCAUAUCUAUAAUAUUUGGAGCUUUUCCACUUUUCCUUUUGGCCCUUUUUUAAUCUGUCGAACAUGUGGCAAAUAGAACCACUUCGAGCUAAACCUGAUAGUGCAAAGCUAGAGCCAGAGCCAUACCCACUACCAGCAUUAAACUGAGAGGGCCCAAAUAGUGCUUUAUGUCGUUGGUCUUUAUCUUGCUGUCAUCUUUCUUGUAGAGAUGCUUCCAUGGCAGCUCUAGUAUCAGCAUCAAUUCAUCACCUGUACUUUCGUAUAGGGUCAACAGGGGGAUACUCAGUCGCUCGUUUAUCUAGUUUAUCUCGGUCGUCUGUCUCUUUCUUUUUGCUAUCUUUGUAGAUUCUAACUCAAUUUUCAUUGCGUCUUAUUUCCCAAGGAACUUUAGGGCAUUUCGCUACUUAAGAAAAAAUCUCAGCGAUAUGUUUCUUUAGGCGGGUGACACCUCUGCCCAUUCCAACUAUAUUACAAUAAUUAUACUUCCGAUGAAAUCUAUUCUCACCAACCAUUUGUCUGUGCUACCAACCAAAAUCUUUUGUUCUCUUAGGUGACAUCAUGAUCUACACAAUUUUUUUACAUAAAGACAACUAUCAUAAAAUUCAUUCAAAAAAAUAGGAAAAAGAACAUCAUGAUGAGAAAAUCAUAUCUAUCAACUUUGAAAAUUUUUUAGUUUUAUCAUUUUUUUAGAACUUAAAAAAUUAUAAAAUAUAAAAUUAUAGAAAUUUAUAUUUUUUUCCUCAAAACUUUGCAAGAUCCACAUACUUAUUAAACAUUUGAAGAAAAUUAUUUUGGUAUUAAUAUUUUUAAGGAGAAUUGUUAGAUAUAUCCAUAAGAAUUUAGAAAUAAAUAAUAUGACAAAUAAAUUAUAUAAAUUUAAGUAUCAAUUGAUUUAAUUCAGCUUUUAAUUUUAUUAGUAUUUUUAAUCUUCUAAGUUCAAAAAUAGAAUCUUUUGUUAGAUGUGCCUCGAAAAAAAAAAACUCGGCACGAUACGUGCCGCGAUACCCUAGCGGGUAUUGCACUGUCUCGCGCGAUACCCGCGGGGUAUCGCGGCAUGGGUCUAGCGUGGUACUUGCUGGGUAUUGUGGCACCGGGGGGUCCUGCGAGAUCCCCCUUGUACCAUGCCUCUGCCUUGGGGGCACGGUAGGUGCCGCCCCUUGCCGUACGGUACAGGGCGGCACUUAAAACCCUGGUGGAGAAGACAUAUAUUAUAGAAGUUUUGACUUAUUAGUAGCAAAUUAAUUAUUGUGGGCCCUGGUGGAGUGAAUAGAGAGGAGAAGAGAACUAGAUUUUGUCUUCUCUUUGGGAUACACGUGUAAAAUUUUAUACUUAAUUAGGCUCUAUGUGGUAUUUAGUUAGCAGAGGUGUGCACUAAUUCGAAGUGUAAUAAUUAGUGUGUGCACAAGUGAGGAGUGAGAACCGCACAAGUAGAGAGGUAGUAGAGAGAGAGGAGAAAGCGAGAAAGAUUUAAAAAAGAGAGCUUGGGGUUUAAGCUACUCUGGUGUUAGAAGAGAAGGUUGGUGUAACAUUUCUCUUAACAAAUCCUUAUAAAUAUUUUUUGCAUUUUUUUCUAAUUUUUCCUACCUCUACUAUUUCAAUACUUCUGCCGCAAAAUUUCCUAACAAAUCCAAACUCAAAGAGCUACUAGCAUCAAAUUGAUUCUAAGAAAACAUAACGCUAACUCAAAUAAGGCCUAAACUCCAUCCCGAUUCAAAUACUCAUAGUUAUAACUGGUAAGCACAUAAAAUAAAAUAACUAACAAACUUAAUUGGACCUAAAACGGAGUCCUUAUUGACCAACUAAACUACAACAGACUCAAACGACAAAAAAUAUAGUUUAAAAUAAUUGCCACUAAAAUUUAAGUUGAUAAUAAAUAAUACGGCCAUUCGAUAAUUGCCACUAUUAAAUUGCCAUUAAAUGUCUACUUUAUUGUAGUGAGAGGACCGAGGCCUCAGAUGGCCUUAAAUGGAAUAGGGCUAUUCUUAUUUUGGUUUCCUAUGUUUUGUGGGAUUGUAAAGCCUUAACUUGAAGCAAGAGCUCAAAAGAUAUGAAUCAUGGAUACUUCAAAUUUCAUUCUGUACCUGUAUUGGACACGUAUCAGAUACUGAUAUACAUCCGAUACGCGCCCAAUACGUGUCUGAUAUAGGAAUGAAGUAUCCGACAUUUUUAAAAAUAAAAAAAUAUUGGAUACGGCUCGGAUAUGGGAGGUAUAUUGCAGGAUACUGACGGGAUACGACCAGGUUCUAUUUUGGUCUAAAAUGAUAACUUAAAAUUUUUCGAAAAGCCCACAUCCAAACUUAUUGGAAAUAAGGAAAAGAGAGAAAAAUGCCAAUCUCUAUUCAAUUGGUCAUUUCUUCUAUUUUUUUGCUCGUGAAUGGUUGAAGGCGCUGCCUCUCGUACUAUCUCCACACAGUAUUAAGCCAUGGUUCAGAACUUUACCGCUUCUCUUUUACUCUUUCAUCUAAUUUGUCAACCUUGCACUAAGUAACAAAGGCUAUAGAGAAAGUUUUUUCUUCUUCUAUUACAUUGCACCAUAUUUUCUUUUACUACUGUUUUAAUAAUAGAUCCUAAUAAAACAGACAUAUAUGUUGAAUGGCUGUGUCUAGUUUGUGUGACUAAAUAUUUAUUGUUAUCAUUUGAUCAAGUUGGAUGAUAAUUGGUUGAUACGUUUUGAACUAUUAUUUCAUACGUUUGAUUAUCUUUUUUAUGAACAAAUGUAGAACAUACAAUCAACAUAUAUUUUAAUAUAUAUAAAAUAAUAAUUUUAUUCAAGUAUAUCCCCCGUAUCCUGUCCUAGAAGCUUUAGGAAGUGCCGUAUCACCGUAUCCAUAUUGUGUCGUAUCCGUAUCCUCGUAUCCGUAUCUGUGCAACAUAGUUCAAAAUGUUAUACACUUGCAAUGAAUUAAAUGAUCGAAAAAGGUUGAAAGGCUCCGACAAUUCUGGAGUUCAAGAUUGACCGGUUACCAGAAUUAAUGUGAUGACCAAAAAAGUGCUAACUGUUCAUGACCAAAGAACUGUUGCUGAUCUCUAUAACAAAGUCGCAUUAGAAAUGCAAUAAUGCAAUGGGACGCACUAGACUAGUCAAUAUUGAUGAAAAAAUACCAAAGCUUGUUUGAGAUGAGACUAAAGGGGCUUGAAAGGCUUGAGCUGUACUUUAGGAGACUCAAGAGCUAGCUAGACUAACCUACAAGUACCGCCGCAAUUAUCACAUCUAUUACAUUUAACUGUUGUAGCAAAGACGGACCAAUAGCAGGUGGACCAAUAGCUGUUAUAACAAUUGCACCUUAUCCCAUCAAAAUUGGGGCACGAGAGUUAGUUGCGCACUUUUUUAUUUUUUAAAUUUUAUACUAUUGGUAUUACUCUAGAUAUAAAUUUGUUAGUUGCUUGCCACCCACUAUAGGUUGCGUAGUCAAACUUAAAAGCUAAUCCGUACAACCAUCAUUUAUUCUUACUGUGUUGGAUAUUGUCCGCAAGAUCAUCAAGAUCAACAGGACGAUAUUUGUGGUAGCUCAAAGUUCAAAAGGUAUUUAAGCUUCUUCCAAACUAUAAAAUGAAAGUGAAGACGAAUGAAGGGAGAAGAUAGGAAGCUUAGAAAGUCAAGCCUAAGAGAGAGAGGAGAUGGAAAGAGAGGAUCUCGACCAAUAUAGGCCAAAGACGGGAAUGGGGGAGGAGGUAAUGAGGUAAAGCCUAAUCUCCAAGAGUUUUUGCAUUUGAAACAAUUUACAGUAGCCCUAAUAAGCUUAUUUAACAUAAAUAGUGCUAUAUUGUCCCUAAACAACCAUUACUAAACAAAUCUCUUACUAGAAGAGAUUUUGUCUUAUCCUUAAACAAGAGGAAUAUUUUAAUAGCCAUAUAUUAUCAUUAUUCAACUAUAAAUUGAAAUGUAAGUAAAUCUAUCAGGGAUUCUCAGCACACUCGAGGGAAGCAAAUAAUUCUCUUAUUCGAACAGAUUCUAUCUUAUCCUUAACAACAGGUAAAUUGCAGCACUGGUCCUUGAGCCUUUUAGCCAGGUUUAAUUUUGGUCCUUUGAACUUUUAAAGUUUGAUAUUCGAGAUCCCAAAGUCUUAAAAGUGUUUCACUUUAGUCCUUAUACUUAUGUCCUAUUAAAAAUUAAUUACUAUCAACACAUCUCUAUAUUCACAAAGCACGUGUCUAUAUAUUUUCGAUCUCCCAUCUCAUAUUUCAAUCUUCCCACCCAUUCAGUUGCAACCAUCUUUAUUUUUGCAAAUCAAACUAUUGAGUUAGAAUUAUAAGAUGGAUUCAUAAGAUAUCGGCAUGCAAAUGAACUAGGUGUAGGCUGUGAUUUUUUCCCCUUAAGGGAAGGGCUUAAGUGUAACAAUUUAAUUUUAAAAGUUAAGGUAUCAAAUGUUGAACUUAGAAGUUCGAGGAUCAAAGUUUAACUUGACUAGAACUUUGUUAUUCCUGAAAAAACCAUUAUUCAAACUUAAGAAACACAUCCCACCAAAGAGAGGAGUUACACCUUCCUUAAUAGAAAUUAAAAUAAAUAUUAGAUAAAUUUAUUUUAUUUUAUCUCCCAUUCAUAUGAAUUAAAAUAACUACUAGAUGAAAUUUAUUUUAUUGCAUCUUCCGUUCUUGGACUAAAUCAGUGUUGUGUUACUUGAUCUUUAGACCUAAGUGGUGAUGAAGUCCAAAGCCUCCAUCUUGAACUAUUGAUAUCAAUUGAAUAUCUAUGUUGCUCUUAUAGGAGGAAGAUUGUCAAUUCUUUAGAACUUGAUCAUAUAGUAAAUUUUCACCGGAAUGUCGGGGGAAGGGUUUGCGAACUUGGGAUGGAUCUUCAUGAGGUCUAGGGAUGUCAAUGGGUAUGGAUAUCCGAAAUAUUAUCCAUACCCGAACCCGAACGGGGCGGGUUUACCCGAGUUAAACGGAUAUGGAUUUGGAUAUGGGUAUAACAAAUAAAAAUCCGACGGAUAUGAGUACGGGUAUGGAUUUUGUAUAUACCCGAACCCGAACCCGAAUAUUAUAUAUAUAUAUAUAUAUAUAUAUAUAGAGCUAGGCUCCUAUACUUUCGAAAGUACGGAGGCCUCCGUGCUUGUAAAUUGUUUUCGAUGAUGGGACAUCCGAUUCGGCGAUCGGUUUCGUUAGACAUGAUCUACGUUAUUAGAACUACCUAGAAACCAAAUUUCAUAAACUUUUGACUUCGUUUGUCUAGUAAACGAGUGGCCUCAAAAUGAACGGCUGAAAAUAAAAAUCUCAUAAAAAAUAGUGAUAAAUGACUCAAAUUUCAAAUCGGAAGUAUUGGUCUUGUUAUUGAUGUUAAGUAGAAUUUUCUAUUAAAUUUUCAUCUAAUUUGGAUAUUUCUACACCGUUGAACUUAAAAACGUGCCACAUCGGCCGUUAAAAUAGUCAUUUUUGAGACCUUUUGAUCGCUUGGUAAAUGAUGUAAAAAAAUUAUAAAAUUUGGUUUCUAAAUAGUUCCAAUAGGAUAGAUUAUAUUUAACGGCGCCGAUCGUCGAAUCGGAUUUCCUAUCAUCGAAAAUAACUUACAAGCACGGAGGUCUCCGUGCUUUCGAAAGUAUAGGAGACUUACUCUAUAUAUAUAUAUAUAUAUAUAAUAUUUAUUUAUACAUUAGAUCCUAAUCCAAUGGCAUAUCUUUGAUUUCCUAUUUUCCCUUACUUUCAAUGUGGUCCUCGGGAGUCGGGAUGAGGCGAUGAGCGGCCAGACUCCAGAGUAAACCACUAAACCCUAAUAGGUUCCUUACUUCGCCGGUUCGCCCCAUUCGCCAUUUCGCCCUAACUCGGCAAAGGCCAUCCGCCAUUUCGCCGCCCCUUCGAUCUGCCGUCCGCAGUCUCCCCCGCCCCGCCGCCCGUCCUAAUCCGACAACGCCCGCGGCCCUUCCCCAGAUGCCUAGCCCACGGCCCGUCCUCAGUCUCGAUCCGAUCGAAGUCGAACUAUUCUACGAUUUCUCGUACUCGGUACUCUGAAUCUCACGACUCCCUUCCCUCUCCUCUUCCUCCUCGAUCUCUUUUUCCUCUUCCUUCCUUUCUAGUUUUCUUUUAUUUUUAUUUAUUUAUUUUUUUUGCUUCUUCUUUCUCGAUUAUGAUGAUUGUUUAUCUUUUCCUAAAUCUUUGUUUGGAUGUGCGUAUGUCUGGGUUCGGGUUUUCGGGUUCGGGUUCGGUUUUCGGGUAUUUGGUCGGGGUCGGAUAUGGGUAUGGAUUUUUUAAAUCCGUCGGGUUCGGGUUCGGGUUCGGGUAUGAACUUGGUAUUCGGGUUCGGGUUCGGGUUUUUAAAAACCCGACCCAAACCCGACCCGUUGACAUCCCUAAUGAGGUCUCACAUGUAUGGAACAAGUGACUCGCCAAACCCUAAUCAAUAAAACCACCAGAACUGAUUCAAGGUUUGAAGGCUAUUUUAUAAGGUACAUAACAACGGUAAUAGUAUUCUAGCACUCCGAACAACAUCACUAAGAAUUGGAUAUGCCCUAUAAUGAGUCCGAAGGUCCGUCUUAGGAGUGCCCUUGUAACGAUCUAGCCCACUAGUUCUAGCAACUUGUUAGGCCCAAACUACUGACCUAGAAUGUUUAAGCCCAAAUUAUUAAUACUAAUCUGUUAGACACCUCAAUUCAUAAAUUGGUAGGACUCGUAAGUCACUUCUGCCCCCGUGUUCUAUAGCCCAACCAUAGUGAUGUUAAUUGUGGUUACAUCCAUUUGUAGCUUGGUCCAUUUUUGUUCCUUUUCAAAAUAAGGUUUUCUCACUCUCCCAUAUUAUCCAAUAUGGGACUAUUGAAGUGUAACAAAUUCUUCCCAUUUAGGCUCCGAUGUUCUUGUUAGGCCAAAUCACACACACAAUUCAAGAUCACCGAGUGAUGUGAGACCUACCUACACUUUUGGUUGCCAAUCUUGCUUUGAUACCAAAUUGUAACGACUCAAACCUACUAGUACUAGUAAACUGUUAGGCCUAAACCAUCAGUCCAAAAUUCUUUAGUCCAAAUUAUCAAUUUUAAUGUGCUAUAAGGCUCUCAUACUCUUCAUGUUAUUUGAUGUGGGAUUACUGGGGUGUCACAAUUGUUGGCCUGGAUCUUGAGCUGGUGGUAACCAGAUUUUAAAUGCCCUCGGAGCCCUAAAGUUGGUCAAACAGGUCAACAACAUGGAUAACAGACUUUCGUUAGUCAUCAUGGCCUUGUUCAAAUCUUGAUGAUUGAGGCAAAGUCUUAAGCACCCAUCCUUUUCUGGAAAGAACAUCGCAGAACCUUAAUCAAAUUGUCUUGUAGGUGAUCCUUCAACUCCAAUUCCAUCGUGAUGCAGUACGGGACAUUGCCCAUGAGCCUUGCACCGGUUAGUAGAUCAGUAGGGAAGUUGAUCAGCCUCCGAAGGUUAGAAGGUUCAAAAUCUGGAGAUUCUUUGGUACUAAGAUUGUCCGUAAUAACUUCAGCUUAUAAAUAGUGCUGAGAAUAAAGACUGAAAUGCCAAACAAUUAGAAGAUUUGUGUCCCAUCAGCAAAGUUAAUUCUUAACGGAGGACAACUUUUGCUACCCAAAAAGGUGAAUUGGUAUGUUGAAAUUGUGAAAUACGACCAUUGCUGAUGCAAUCUAUAGUUCGCAUGGUACACAAUAAACCAAUCUAGUGAUUCUAGAUAUAAUGUGGAUAUCCAGGCACAUAAAAAAAUGAUAAGAUCUGUGAGUAAGCACUCCCCAUAUAUUUUCAUGGGACAUGACUUACAUAUCUGAUUAACUAUAUCACAGCCUAUAGCUUCAACCAAGUCAUAUUAAGGGUUAUAACACCUUACCUAAGGCUGUAGAUUAUCAUACAAUUAACAGCUAAUUGACAUUAAAAAAUGAUAACUGGACUAGCAGUCUGAAUGUUGGUUGACUGUCAACUGGUUGGUGCUCGAUGAUUUAGUUAUCCCAUUAGGUUGACUCUGUCUUCCUGCUGAACAGUCAACCUAGAGCAGUGAUGCAGGUUCCUUUUAAUGAUCAGUGCACAACAAUCUGAGCUCUAGACUUUUAAUGCGUCAUUAAAAGAUCUGGUAUUUUUCCUCUAUUGGGCAUAAAGCACGUUCAAGCGGUUUCCUUUUACCGGUGAAUACUAUAAGUGUAGCCAGACGUUUGGAAGCAACAACUCUGUUCUCUGUAGAACUUCUCUGUGCAGUUAUUGAUAUACGAAUUGGCCUUUUCUUUUUGUUCAAGAAUCACGAAAUUUGCUAAUUCUUCUAUCGCUAUUCUCUAUAUCAUAUUUUACUUUCAUCGAUUCUUAUAUUAGCUGCUGACCCAAGUGCACUAGACCUAAUGUUAACUUCACUUAUAAUUGCCAAUUUAAGGUCCUAAUUGAUGUACUGAAAUAGUUUGACUUUUUACUUGCGCAACUAUCUCACUGUAAUCGUCAAUUUGCAUCAGAAUGAUCUACAAUGUAGAUAUUUCCAUGUAAAGGCUGAAUACAGGUAACUAAUUUUAAGUUUUUAUUUAUUUAUUUAUUUAUUUAAUAAACCAUUUGUGGGAUCGGAAAGCACUUGAAACUCCAAGAACUUUGGCAUGAUACAGUAUUUGUAAUGUAGAGUUGAUUACAUGUGUUAGUUUCGAUCUUCAAACAAAUGAAUGAACAUGCUUGGUUAAAAGAGUCCUCUCUUGAAAUGUAAUUAUCAUUUUCUAGUCACAGUUAAUGGAAAUCGGAAAGUUUCUCAUGUUUAGUACUAGUGGUGUGCUUUUCUUGAAUAUGUGAUUUUGUAUGACCACAUUCUAGUAACUGUUGAGAUGAUUUUACAAGGCAAUGCUUUGCAUUCUCUCCUGCAUCACUAGAUGCCGUUAGGUGAUUGCCUUUAGUAUUUGAGUGAUUCUUUGUCCUUUCAUGCAAAUUUUCUAUUCGCAACAGACUCUAAUGCAUUUCUUUUUUCUUUUUUCUUUUUUAUCAGUACUGGGGAUCGGAGAUCUCUAUAAAGACUAUAUACAGAUAUCUGGGCCUUGAUGGAGUCCUUGAUGUUGGCAUUUGUAUUUGUGUUAUGAUCGUUUUACUGCGCUGCUUAGAUAUGAUUGUGAACUGGUGAGUGCAUCCCAUCUACUAUAAGGAUUGAGAUAGGUUCCGGCAAUGAAUACAUUCUGAUGUGCGCAAGACUUUCUAGACUGAAGUAAUUUGUUUGGAAUUCUGGCUUAGAACUUUCAUCGUUGUAAAUAAUCUUAAAUCAUGUUAGUUUUUUUCUUUCUUAUUUAUUUUUGGGGUUCAAUCUUUUGUCUUUCAUGUAAAUAAAGAACAGGCAUCGAGUGCCCCAUAAAGAACCUCCUGUGCACUGUUGAUGUGUUAAUCUCCUAGAUGGUGUCGUCAAUUAUCAAUCAAAGUCCUCCGUAUUGUGUAUCCUAGUACAUCAUAAAAGCAGCAGUUUGAAGGACUAGCAAUGUAUAUAAAUAAACAUAUGCUUUGUCCGUUAUAACUAAUGAUAACUAGUUUAGUUAGCCGUGUAAUGCCACGGGCAGAUAUUAUGAUAAAAAAAAGUGGCACAAUCAAAUAUUGCAUAUAUUGCCUAAAUAGAGAAGCUGUACUAAAUCAACUCACAUGCUACAGGCAAAAGUGGGAAGAAGCAAUAAAAAAAAAAAUUAGAGUACUUGAAAGUGGAAUGCCCCUAAACUAUCAAGUAUUAAAAUAAUGUGCUCACAUAAGAUUUAAAAGUAAUCGUGGGUUCAUACUUACACUACAAUUCAACUUGUACAAAGUUACUAUAACUAAAAUGAACUUGAAUGAAAUUAUAAAACAAAGGUUCAGAUCCUGAUAUAUUCUUAAGGGGCUGAUGACUGUAACGGUUGCCUAUGUGGUCAUCCAAGCUGGCCUACGUUAUAAACUUUAAAUAUUUAUAAUGAACAAUUAUUGGUUAUUGAUCAUGAUCGCCUAUUAAAUUAAUACAAAUAUUAGCAACUUAUUUUUUUACUUAAAUAAAAUGCCCUUUUUGAGAAUUUAUAUAGAAAACAAAGAUUUAAAACGAUUAAUGUGAAUGAAAUUGUAAAACAAAGGCUCGAAUCCUCAUAUAUUCUUGUAUCAUGAGGCUCAUUUUUCCUCAGCCAAAUCAAUACCUUAAAGGGAUGAUAGCCGCAGUGGUUGCGUUGCCUAUGUGGCCAACCAAACUGUCCUGCCAUAUAAACCUUUAAUAUUGAUAAGAAACAAUUAUGGGUUAUUGAUCAUUAUCGCCUAUUAAACAAUCGUACAAACAAAAUAGCAAAAGGAUCGGAUUAUUAGAUGCAGUGAAAAUGGAUGUUAGAGGUGUUAUAAUAUAGUUGAAUGGAAAGUCGUGAGAGUAUAGGAAGUGGCGCUGCAAAACGCUUCGCCCAUGGUGGAUUAAUGCAGAAUCGAAAACAACGACGAAGGAAGCGAAAAAUGCUUUGGAAGAAGGGGUAAUGAGGGGAAGGAUCCAUCAUGCCUUCCAUUUCAUUUGGAAAAUGCUUUCAAUUCCAGUAGUGAAAAUAACGACGAAGGAAGAGAAAACGAUGAUGGAAAAAAUAGCAGAGGAAGAGAAAGAUUGAAACAUGAUGAGCAGUUGUGCCGAAAAGUGCACACUCCACUUGGCAGUAAUUUUGUGUGAUGUUGCCUUAGUAACAAAGUUUCAGAUCGUGACAUGCUGCCUUGCCAUCUACACCUUCAAUAUUGAUAAGGAACAAUGAAGCAAAGAAAGAGGAAAACAUGUAGAGGACUUCCACCUGUUCGAGUUGGAGCCCACACACAACAAUGAAGGCAAUGUUGCCAAGUAGCAAAUUUAUUGGAAAUAAUGUGUAGGCUCAGAUUGUGAUAUAUUCUUGCAUCCUGAUGCUCUUUUUUUUCCCUCUCAUCCAAAUCAAUCGCCUAAAGGAUUUACAUUUAGGGCAUGUUUCGUUCAUGAUUGGAAUAGGAAUGGGAAAUGGAAUUUGAUUGCAUUGGAAUGGAAAAUAGAAUGACGAAUCAUUCAAAAAUGUUUGGUUCAUUAUUGGAAUGGAAAUCGGAAUGAAAAUUUAAAAUUUUUGAGAGAGGGUUUUGAUUAAGAGAGAGGAAAGUGAUGAAGGGAGAGGAGGUAGGUAUUGAUAAAAUAGGAUUUUGAAUAGUAUACUUUGGAAUGAGCCAAUCCGAGAUUCAAAGCAGGAUUGGAUCAUAAAUGGAUUUGGCCAUUCCCAUUCCGGAGUGGAAUGGGAAUCGGAAUCCGAUUCCUGUAAAACGGUAACUACCGGAAUCAAUGAAUUCCAUUCCGAUUCCAUAGUCUAAAAUAGGUGAACCAAACAUGCCCUUACAUUCUUUUGCUUGGGCAUAGGGUGACCUACACUUAGUGACCCAGCUAACUAGGGCGCAACGCUCACGCCUCGGCCCGGUGCUGCUCCGCAAAUGGUGGCUCUGCAACAAUAGGGGGUGAGAACUAAAAGGAGUUUCCAGUGGGUUCAGCCGCCGACCUCGCCGACUUUCCCACUAGGUCCAAUAAGGCGUAGUAAUACAAAAGGAGAUAGCAAUACGAUAUAUAAGCAGCUAAAUGUGUAGUCUACCACUACUAAACAUACAACAUGCAAUAAUAACUAUUACUAUGCCUUACAAUAAGGAAUGAAUGUCAUGGUCCAUUAUGAUCAAUAGUGUCCCUCACACACACUUGGCCCGAUUCAUUCUUGACUCAAUCGAGGCUUCUCACAAGACCAAGCCCAACUCACAAGAAUAUCAUGAUCGACCCAUACAUAGCAUAUGAUCUCACUAUGCUCACUCUCUACAUAAGAUGCAACAAUGCAAAUAGUAUAGGAUACAAUAUGGUCAAUCAACCUAUCUCUUUUUUUUUUUGACCCAAUCAUAACGGUUCACGCGAAGUCAAGCCAAACUCACCAAUCCAAAUCCCUUAGUCGGGGAGAAUUCUGCUACAACCCGCUGGGACCGUCUGCUACGGAGAGUUCCGCUACCGCCCAAAUGUGACAACUCCGAAGUUCACUGCUUGAGGUGGAGCGACCACCCUCAAGCUAAUCAGACUAUAUGUGAGUAUGAUCCAAUCCUCUAACCUUGAGGAUAUCAUGCCAACGAAUGCCAUAACACUCGGAUGUACUAAUCCCUAACGUGGUUCAGAGGAUCUAUUUCAAUCCCUUGCAUGCUCAAUAACAUCGUAACACUAGAUGCAACGCUACAAAUGCACCGACCCAAUCUUUUCCACAUAUACUCGAGAGUUUACUCAACUCGUGUAGCGUGCAUCGAUAGGCUAUACAAACACCACACUAUGUGGACACAAGAAACUAUGCAAUGCUUCAUAAUUAUAUGGUAACUCAACAUCAUGCCACGAUGUAAUGACCCAAUUUCUUAUUCAUACUUGAGGCUUUCUCAAUUCAUGCCAUAUCCCUCUCAAACACAACACAUUAUGCCCAAUCCAUAGUUCCAUCAUAAGGUUCACAAUCAAUAUUACAAUGACAACUAAUGUAUCAUUUAUUUCAAUGUCCACAAUAUUUUCUAUGUCCAAUCCGCUAGUUUUCCUCUACUAGUUCAACAUGUCACUAGGGUUCAUAUGUCACUAAGUUCCAAGUUAUCACCACAAUUAUUCAUAUAUACAUCGUAGGAGGCAUGCAAGUUUCUAUAACAAGAAAAUACUUGAACCCUAUCACAUAUAAUCAAUAUACAUAUAUAUAUGCUCAACAAAGAGAAUUAGACAUAGGGAGAAAUCCAACCAUUCUGGAGAGCACCACCCACCUUGUAUUGAUGUCAAGAAGCGAGAAACCAAGUCCCGCAAUUUACCGUUGCCGUUUUGGCUCGACCCAAGGCUAACGAAGGAAAAUCGGUCGUUUUCCUCAAUAGGACGCCAUAGCCUCGUAGGAACUUCAAUUGAGUUGCCCCAUACGUCAAUUUAUCCUUCAAUUAGAGAUUUAUAAGGUCAAUUUAACUCAAAACCCUAAAACCACAAAAUCCCCAAUUCUCAUCCUAGGGUUUUCGUAUUAUCAAGAACACCCUAAAUACAUGUUAAAUCCUAGACCAAUCUAGUUUAGAAUUAUACAAAGAUCUCAAAUACCUCAAUUGUAGGGAUUUAACCCAAACCCUAACUCAAAUCCCAUGAGCUUACCUCAAAUCCGAGCUCCACUAGCUCAACCUAGCACCAAGAGACUUGCUUCACCUCCAAAAUCCAUCUCCAAGCUUGAUUUCCACAAGCUCCCAUGGCUAGAAGAAGAUGUCGAAGAAGAGGGAUGAAAGCUCCUUUCUCUUUCUCUUUCCCUCAUGUGUGCGUGUGUGGGUGGGGCUAACAGGGGAAAGGGGUAAAGGGUCCCCUUGUAUAAGCCCUACUAUGAAUUUACCAAAAUACCCUUCAAAAAUCGCAUUCUACAAUACUGCGUACCAGUACUCGGGUUGGCGUACCGGUACUCGGGCAUCCAGUACCAGUACCCAGUUUCCAGUACCUCAAUACCCGAAUGUUGGAUUUCCAAUUUUCUACUGCGUACUGAUACUCAAUUUUCAGUACUGGUACCCAAUACAAAUCCAGUACCGGUAUUCAAGUUUGAUUCUGGUAUUCAAGUUUGAUUCCUCAAAAUUCAAGAGCUCGAAUUUCUCAUUUUGUAUUAUGUACCGGUACUCAGAUUCCAGUACCGGUACUUAAUACAAAAUCUGCAACUUAGGCAGGUUUCAGCUUUUGGAGCCCGUUUUCGCGCCCGGUUUGCACCGAAAAUACUCGAAUGCUCUCCAAACUUCGUCAAAACUUAUUUAAUAGCUUUUUAAGCUAGUUAUCACCAAAACUUCAUAAUUGUAGAAAUUUGGUAUAUUACAUUCUCCACCCUUUAUAAAGAGUUUCAUCUGCAAAACUCAAAUUACAUCUCAAUUCGACUUGUCGUAUAAAUGAGAGUACCAACACAUUCUCCCACUCCUGAGCGGCUUCACGUUUUUUGUGAUUGCUCAAGUGGCUCAUAAAAAGGGACGUGGGUCCAAGCACAAACUUGCUCGUGGUACGUGAUACAUGAAACACUUUAUGAAUUCCCGUAAGUCUUGGUGGUAGCGCGAGUCGAUAUUCAACGACUCUACACGCUCCAACACCACUCAUAGCCCGGCAUACGAAGCACUUAUCUUGCCUUGUAUGCCGAUUCAUUUACCCCUAUCUCGGGUGGCAUUUCUCAGGAAUGGCAAUCACUUACUGCACACAUUCCUAUCUAACCAACGAUUGCCCACAUACUUUGCUUAUCGGGCCCGUGUUGUCACCAACCGUCAUCAAUAGACGACAAAUCUCAUUAGUGCCACUGGAUACUAUUUUCUUCGAGAUCGGGACUACCUUCUUUCGAUUUUGGUGCUAUGAAUUUCCUUGCCAAAUGGUGCUUGUGGAUUAAGGCUUGCAUUCAUCCUCGUGGUGUGGAUUGGACAUGUCAUGCCCCGGGACCCAGCUGAAGCCCGCUCGGUGCGUGUCCAGACCAGUCAUAUGCCUACAACAUAUAAGGCGUCUACAACAAAGCAAUAAUUAAAGCAAUAAUAAUAGGCAUCUAGAGAUAUCAGAGCAUGAUUACAACUAAAUUCUAAUGACAAGUAGAAUAUAAAAGAGCUAAACAACUAUCAUAAUCCACAAGUAGAAACAUCAUAAGAUCUCAAAUACAAGUGCUAGAAAUACAAAAUGGUGGUCUCUACACAUAGGUACAAAAAAAACUCUCACUCUCUACCAUAAAUACAAAAAUAGAGAGAUGACCACCUAGCGUAAAAACUUCUCGCUAUCUAGCUAGAUGCGAUUCCCUUUCCGCGAUCCCGAGCCUCUCCUGGUGCGUAUGGCUUUGUAAUAAAAACAACAAAUAGAGGGCGUGAGAACUAUUAAUCAAUAGUUCCCAGUGGGUAAGCCGUCGACCUCAGCGAAAUACACUACUAGGCUAUGGAGGCAUAAGUAGUAAGUUCUAACAUUUAAAUAGAAUGAACAACAUGUAUAUUGAGCAUGAAUAAAACUUGCUAAACUACUAUGCCUCUACUUAGCAUGAAUUUCCACAAGUGUAAAUGCUAUUCUAACAUGAAUAUGCGUAUGUAUAAAUAACAUGAUAUCCACAAGUACAACUAGUAAAAUAUUAUUAUUUACUAAAUUGUCCAAUGACCACUUUGCAUUUUAGUUCAAGUUUAUUCCAAUCAUGUAGGACCUACACAAGGUAGUCCGGCUUGCGCCGUGCCUAAUGGCCCCGUGGUAGUCAACAUUCCCACCCUAGGAAUAAGCCUCCCCCACGGCAUCCCAUUUCGGCGCCCAAUGCCGCACGGGCGAGCUUAUAUCGCGAUGGCUAUCUCCGGAGUGCCGGCUUGUGGGGAGCGACCCUCACAAGCAUGUGCGAAUGAGCACAAUGGCAAGCAAGCGUAAUCAUUCGUCUCAAGUCUAAUGUCAUCAUGUCUAAAACAUGGUAUAAAAGCUAGUGACCCAAUGGCCUAUCACUAUGUCAUCAUAUAGGAGUUUAGCCAUUUACUAGGUUGAAUGCCUCUUUAUGGCAUUUUUGUCUACUAUGUCAAACAUGAGUUCUAUGUCCAAGAGCAUGUUAUUCUUGUCAUUUUCAUUAUAUGAAACAUGAUUCCAAGCCACAUAAAAGAAUGCUGUUCACAUGCAUGAUUAUAAAACACAUAUCUCUCUACUACAUAGAGGUGAUUUUUUUUAUGAAACAAAAUACAUGUAUUUUAAGCAUUCUAAAAUUCACAUAUGCUCUAUCUAGCAUGAAUAUGCAUGGAUUUUUAUUUUAUAACAAGAAAAAUAACAUAGGGGGAGUUCACCCAUUUCGGUGAGGUCAAAUCCACCAAGAACUUCUUGCAACCCUUUCAUUUGCGUGAACGAAUGUGCCCACAAGUCUCCUAACUUCCUAAAGAAAAUUUUAAGAGGGUUAAACGAAAUGAAUGAACACUACACGAGUUCAUCUUUAACCAACCCAAGAAAAGGGCAAAGCUCACCUAUAUGUUAGAAAAACCCUCUCAAAUCCCAAAUGAAAGCUAGAGCCCUUCUAAACCAACCUAGAGGAAGGUUCUAAACCAAUCAAAUGAGCUCCAAAAGCUACAAAUAAAAAAUUCCCAAUUAAACCCUAGAUUUCUCAUUUCUAGGGUUACUACACAAAAAUUCUACCAAAACAUGAUCCAAAUGAGAGAUCAUAGCUAUUAACCUCUCUUGAUGUUCCAAACCUAGCUAGGAAGGUGCUAGAGUUGAAGUUCUUCCCUCCAACAAGCUCCACACAAAGCUCCAAUGCUUCUCCAAUAGUGGAAACCCAACAUGAAGCAAAGAGGAGAGGAAAAGAGAGAUCAAAACAAACUAAAACCAUGAGAAAUGGGAGAAAACCAAGGGAGAAGGCCCUCACCUGAGUUCUCCAUGGAUUAGGGCUCAAAAGGGCCAUCCAAGGGGCUGUGGGGGGUUAAAUAGAGAUGUAACAAUCUCAAAAAGGCUCUCCAACAACGUGCAGUCUGCACUGCACUGCGUACCGGUGACACGGGAAAGAGUACCGGUACCAGGCAACAGCACGCGCAAACCCAAGCCUCGGGUUGGCGAGAAAAUACACUGGGUACCGGUACCAUCGCGAUGCAGUACCGGUACGGGAUCAAUGCAGUACCGAUACUCUGCCCUGCAUAGGCAAACCCGAGAGCAAUCCAAACUCUGCAAUUUGGAGACUUUAGUGCUAAGUUUUAAUCCUCACUUCUCAGGAUGCGAGUCAUAGGUCGGAACACUGUCAACGACUCUCCAGAAUAUCUGAAAAACUCAAAACACAGAUCAAAACUCGAACAUCGCAAUUUGCAAAAGUCCAGUGUGUUACAUUCACCCUAGGAGUUUCGUCCGCAAAACUAAAAAGCAAGUUACCUCAAGACUCUAUCUGAAAAAAAUGGGGAUAGCGCUCCUGCAGUGCGCUUUCCAACUCCCACGUGGCCUCGUGUUAAUCGUGGUUGCUCCAAAGAACCUUCACAUAAGAUAUAUCACGAUUCCGAAGCUUUUUCAUCUCGCGAGCCAAAAUCCUCACCGGUUGCUCUUCAAAGCUUAGUCAUCCUUCAGCUCUAAUGGUAUAGCUGUAAGGUACCGGACUUCUAAAAUCAUGAGGUUACGGUGUCCAUUUGGUUGGAGAGCCAUUUGAAUGGUUCCGGUAAGGUUGCGGUGUAAUGUAAUAUACCGAAUUUAAAUAUAAAAAAUAGAAAUAAAUAAAAAUAGUAUGAGAUACUAUUUUUAUUGAAUUUAGAGAGGUGAAAUAUAAGUUGGGAAUGANUUAGUAGAUGAAUCGUAGAUCCUUUCGAUGAUUAAGCAAAGAUCUCGAAUUUUGGGUUCGUUAUCUCUUUACGGUAAUUUCGAGAAUUUCGAAUGGAAGUUUCGUACGAGGUUACCUCUCCUUUUUCUACUUCAACUACUUCUAGUUGAAGGUUCGAAUGAAGAGGUGGUUUAGGUAGGUAAAACCCUCUCUAAAUCUCUCUCUUUUACCUUCCGAAGAGAAAGAGGGAGAAAGGUACGCACACACACACACACCGCACAAGCACACACCACACGCCGGCUUCCUCUUCUUCUUCGUGGUCGAAGAAGUAUUAUGGGGAGUUUGUGAUAAGUAGGUCCGUUGAAUUUUAGACUAUUGAAAGCGGCCUCGAGGGACUUAUAGGCAAACUCGAGUUUGAACUGUCAGUACAAGCCAAAAUGAAUUGAAUUGUUCGACUGCUAGUGACCAAGUCAAAGCUGGGACAAACCAGUGACUUUUGACAUAGCUUGACGUUAGAAAUAGUCUAUCGAAAGCCUAAAAUAAAGAGUGAGAUGCCCACAGUCUUUUUAUACUUUGGAAUUUAGCUCGGAGUAUUUUUAUAAAGACUGUAGAGACGGUUAAAAGUAUUAAAAGACUCUGACACGUAAAAGACGAUUAAAUAGACGGGGCAAAGGUUGUCUUUUAAGAUUUAGAAGACAAAAUUAAGGCUAAAGUCGUGUCCAGUAAGGGUUGAAUAUAAAGUGAAAAGAUUUAAGUUAUUUUUAUCAUAGAGUAUGAUAAAAAUAAAUAAAGAUAAAAAUAUAAACUUAGGCCAUAUAAUGUAAUGUGGCGUUGGAAUGGCCUUGGUAAGUUUAUAUGCUUAGAUCCUAAGUUCUAAUGGUGGGUUUUUACCUAUUGCAACAUAGAGCUCCAAAAUGAGGGCUUUAAUGGUAGAUCUCUAAAGAUAGGUCUAAAUGCUUUGGAAAUGGUUUUAGUGGAACCCAUUGAUGCCUAAUAGAUGGUUAAUGUUUGAAUCAUAGAGCAAUUUAAUGAUUUCUUGCAUAGUUGUAAACCUAGGGCUCAAAAUGCUAACUUUCAAAAUAUGAGGGUUUGAUCUCAUUUGACCCUUCGUAAACCUAAUUGCUAGGUAAUGAAACGCGUUGGCGAAGACGGUUCAGCGAUUCGUCGAGCCGGUGCAAAGUUAUUAAAGAAACGGACGUUCAGGCUUCGUUUCCGCCUGGAGGGCCGAGGCGACGUCGUAAAAUCCUGAAAACGGAUUUGAAGCAUCGUACCAAGAAACCGAAGACCUUUAAUUUUCGGAUUGCGGAUCGGAGGUCGUUUGGUGGUCGCGCGCGGAUUGGGUCAAGCCGAGCGGCGUGCGCCGCGGGAGGCCGAUUGCAAGUGACGACAAGCAAUCGGAACGCGAUAAAAGGUGGGGGAGUGCCAUCCCGAAGCAAUCGGGCUUCUUCCUAUGUCUUAGUGCUUAUCCAUUAACAUGUAGCAUAUUGUAUAUCGAUACCUUGCAUUAUAGGAUGACAAUACAUGCAUUCCUAAUCCUUAUAUGAUGUUUAUGAUCAAUAUAGUAUUAUGAUAUGGAUAUAUGAUGUAAUGGACAUAAGGAUUAUGAGAUGACAUUGGUAAACCUAUGAUGCUAAAUGAGAGAAGAACCUAGUGUUGUGUUUAAAGACAUAGUUUACAAGUGGCAUUGAACUUAUUGUGCUAAAAACACAUAUGACUUGAGCUAGUAAUGGAUUGGUUGUUGUACUAGAAACUCUAGUUAACAUUGAUCAAGUUGCAUAUUGGGAUAUUGCAUUAUAGGGUACUAGUUGGCAAUUGUUACAUGUCAUGGCAUGCUAGUGGGAGUGUAGUGUUACUUGAUUAAUACUUGUACCUAGUAUGCAUGAGAUUGGGACUUAGUGCGGUGAAACCCUAUAAGGGCAUGAUUAAUGUGGAUUAAACUUUGUUGAGUGCAUUAAUCGAUUAAGUUGCAUAUUGUAUUUAUUGCAUUUAGAUGCUAAAUGAUUGUGGUCAUUGCUCAUAUUUGCAUGCUAGUAGCUAUACAUCUUGAUGAUUGAUCCAUGAUCUAGUAUGCAUGAUGAUUAUAUGAUGAAAACUUUAUGAUAAAGACCUAGACCCUAUGUGAGGUGAUUAAUGCUUAUGUUGCUAAAGAACUAGUAUGAUGUAACUAGUGUUGAAAUGAGUCUAAAUGUCGAGUGGCAUCUAGUUUAGAAAACUAUGAUGAGUGGCAUAUGAUUGUUGAUAACCUUGACAUGAGAACCUUAGUGUAGUUGAAACACUAUGAGAUUGGGUACAAGAACACCUUGAUUCCAUGAUGAGAUUACCCUUAGAGGGUAGGUUGCUGUUGCUCGUGAGAUGAUCACGCUCACAUUGCCUGUCUGCGCUUGGUGGGGUCGCUCCCCUCAAGUUGUGCGCUCCGGAGUUUGGUCACUAGAGAGGCAGCCCUGCUUGCUGCUCGGAUAGCCGCUUGUUAUCCGCAGGCGUACUCGGGGAUAGUCCAGCUAGGCAUCCCUCGGAGAUUGAUAUGUGAGCCUUGCUUGUGAACCUUGUGUUCACCACGAGAUUUGGUUACCUAUUGAGUCAUACUCAUUAUUGUUGUUCAUGAUAGCUUGCUUCCAUAGUUGUUGUUGUUGUUCAUAGUAGCUUACUAGUGUUCAUAGUAGCUUACUUAUUGCUCAUGCCUUCAUGAUAUACUAUUCCUUCACCUAUGAGAUUUGAGUACCUAUUGAGUCAUAUUCAUUAUUGUUGUUCAUGAUAACUUGCUUCCAUAGUUGUUGUUGUUGUUCACCUAUGAGAUUUGAGUGGAGUAGCCCUGUACCUAGUAGGUCGAGAUGUGAGUCGGGCAAAGUGCGGGGUAGCCUUUNGAAGGUGCUAGAGUUGAAGUUCUUCCCUCCAACAAGCUCCACACAAAGCUCCAAUGCUUCUCCAAUAGUGGAAACCCAACAUGAAGCAAAGAGGAGAGGAAAAGAGAGAUCAAAACAAACUAAAACCAUGAGAAAUGGGAGAAAACCAAGGGAGAAGGCCCUCACCUGAGUUCUCCAUGGAUUAGGGCUCAAAAGGGCCAUCCAAGGGGCUGUGGGGGGUUAAAUAGAGAUGUAACAAUCUCAAAAAGGCUCUCCAACAACGUGCAGUCUGCACUGCACUGCGUACCGGUGACACGGGAAAGAGUACCGGUACCAGGCAACAGCACGCGCAAACCCAAGCCUCGGGUUGGCGAGAAAAUACACUGGGUACCGGUACCAUCGCGAUGCAGUACCGGUACGGGAUCAAUGCAGUACCGAUACUCUGCCCUGCAUAGGCAAACCCGAGAGCAAUCCAAACUCUGCAAUUUGGAGACUUUAGUGCUAAGUUUUAAUCCUCACUUCUCAGGAUGCGAGUCAUAGGUCGGAACACUGUCAACGACUCUCCAGAAUAUCUGAAAAACUCAAAACACAGAUCAAAACUCGAACAUCGCAAUUUGCAAAAGUCCAGUGUGUUACAUUCACCCUAGGAGUUUCGUCCGCAAAACUAAAAAGCAAGUUACCUCAAGACUCUAUCUGAAAAAAAUGGGGAUAGCGCUCCUGCAGUGCGCUUUCCAACUCCCACGUGGCCUCGUGUUAAUCGUGGUUGCUCCAAAGAACCUUCACAUAAGAUAUAUCACGAUUCCGAAGCUUUUUCAUCUCGCGAGCCAAAAUCCUCACCGGUUGCUCUUCAAAGCUUAGUCAUCCUUCAGCUCUAAUGGUAUAGCUGUAAGGUACCGGACUUCUAAAAUCAUGAGGUUACGGUGUCCAUUUGGUUGGAGAGCCAUUUGAAUGGUUCCGGUAAGGUUGCGGUGUAAUGUAAUAUACCGAAUUUAAAUAUAAAAAAUAGAAAUAAAUAAAAAUAGUAUGAGAUACUAUUUUUAUUGAAUUUAGAGAGGUGAAAUAUAAGUUGGGAAUGACCUGUGCUGAAAUCGGAAUUAAAAUAGAAGAUUUAGAAUUUUCUGUUGGAAACGGGACAGAUAAAUUAGCAGAAAAUGCACAGUCUCAGAAAAUUAUGAAAAUUUGCAGAGAUGUCAGAAAUAUUUUUAUGAGGCUAAAUUUAAGGUUUCAUAUUUUUCUGACACCCGUAGAGUGAGAAAUAAAAUCCGAAAGCUAACNUAAGGUCUAAUGAAUCGGGGGCUCAACUUACCCCUGAUGCCAAAUCUUUUAAUCCCUUUGGUUGGCAAGACUUUCAAGAAGACAUGAUCUCAAAUCUGGAACUCCAAGUCUCGUCGAUGCCUAUCGGCAUAGCUCCUCUAUUUACUCUGAGCCGUCAACAAGCAAUGCAAACUUUAUCCUCUGCUUCCUGGAGCACAUCAGGGCCUAAAGCCAAUCUCUCGCCAACUUCACUCCAAUGAAGUGGCGAUCUACAUUUCCGUCCAUAGAGUGCUUCGAAGGGUGCCAUCUUGAUGCUUGCUUGAUAACUAUUGUUAUAAGCAAACUCCGCCAUCGGUAACUGCUGUGACCAUCCUCCCUUGAUGUUUAUAACACACGCUCAAAACAUAUCCUCUAGAGUCUGUAUAGUGCGCUCAGAUUGCCCAUCACUCUGAGGGUAGAAAGCUGUACUAAAAUCCAAACGCGUGCCCAAGGCAUCCUGUAGACUCCUCCAAAAGUGAGAUACAAAUCGAGGGUCUCGAUCAGAGACUAUCGAAGUAGGUACCCCGUGAAGUCGCACAAUCUCAUCCAAGUAUACCUGUGUGAGCUUCUCGCCUGUCCAAGUAGUAUGAAUAGGUAUAAAAUGCGCCAAUUUCGUCAACCUAUCCACGAUCACCUAAAUAGCAUGAUGUCCGGCCUGAGAGCGAGGCAAUCCCAUAACAAAAUCUAUGGUGAUCUUUUCCCACUUCCAAACGGGAAUCAGUAAACUCUGAAGUUUUUCCGUCGGUAGUCGGUGCUCAGUUUUCACUUGUUGGCAAGUUAAACAUCGAGCUACAAACUCGCCCACAUCUUUUUUCAUUCCGGGCCACUAAUAAAGUAACUUCAAGUCCUUGUACAUCUUGGUGCCUCCCGGAUGCAGAGCAUAGGGUCGGUGAGCUUCUUGGAGAAUAUCCUCUUUAAUUGUCGAUUCCGCCGGUACGCAAAUCCGCUCGCAGAAACGCAACAACCCUCGAUCAUCUACAAGAAAAUCACCGGUGUAACUAUCAACCAUUUUAGCUCGAAUCUUUUGCAACUCCACAUCGUGAACUUACUUUCCUUAAUCCUUUCUAAUAACGUAGGUUGCACCACCAAUGCCAUCAGUCUCAAAGGUGUAUCAGGAGCCACCACCUCCAACUCUAACCGCUUCAUCUGCUCAAUCAACGGCGGUUGAGUGACUACAAGUAUCACUAAGUUUUUCGUCGAUUUUCUACUUAGUGCAUCCGCCACAACGUUAGCCUUGUCCGGGUGGUAGAGAAUCGUCAGAUCAUAAUCUUUGAGCUCUACCCAUUUGCGCUGUCUCAAGUUCAACUCCUUCUGAGUGAAUAAAUAUUUUAAGCUCUUGUGAUCCAUAUACACUUCACACCGCUCGCCAUAAAGAUAGUGACGCCAUAGCUUUAAUGCAAAGAUUACGGCCGUCAACUCCAAAUCAUGUGUAUGAUAGUUCCUUUCAUAUUCCUUCAAUUGGCGAGAGGCAUACGCGAUCACCUUUUCAUCCUGUAUCAAAACGCAGCCCAAUCCAUUAAAAGAUGCAUCACUAUAAAUCACAUAUCCUGCUCCAGUAACUGGCAAGGUCAAGAUCGGGGCGGUCGUCAACCGAUUCUUCAACUCUUGAAAGCUUUUCUCGCACGCAUCAUUCCAAACGAACUUAGUGCCUUUGUGCGUGAGCCUCGUGAGGGGAGUAGAUAACUUAGCAAAUCCCUCAACGAAUCUCCCGUAGUAGCUGGCCAAACCAAGGAAACUCUGAAUCUUCGUGACACUUGUCGGUCUAGGCCAAUCCUUGAUUGCCUUAAUCUUUUUAGGAUCCACGGCUAUAUCCGAACCCGAAAUCAAGUGUCCCAAAAAUGCCACCUUUCUAAGCCAAAAUUCACACUUUUUCAACUUGGCAAAGAGUUUCUUUUCCCGAAGCAUUUGAAGUACAAGUCUUAAAUGCUCCUUGUGAUCUUUAUCACUUCGGGAAUAAACCAAAAUGUCGUCGAUGAACACCACGACGAACCUGUCUAAAUAAGGCUUGAAAACACAGUUCAUUAAUUCUAUAAAAGCUGCCGGGGCAUUAGUAAGCCCAAAUGGCAUAACAGUAAACUCGUAAUGUCCAUACCGUGUUGUAAAAGCCGUCUUUGAUACAUCCUCAGGCUUGAUCUUAAGGUGGUGGUAUCCUGACUGCAAGUUUAUCUUAGAAUACACACUUGAUCCUUGAAGCUGAUCAAACAAGUCAUCAAUCCUCGGCAACGGAUACUUGUUCUUAAUUGUGACUUUAUUAAGUUCACGAUAAUCCACCCACAAGCGAAGUGAUCCGUCCUUUUUCUUGACAAAUAAAAUCGGUGCUCCCCAAGGCGAAACACUUAGCCGAAUGAAACCUUUGUCUAAUAAAUCCUGCAGUUGUGCCCUCAGCUCUUUCAAUUCAGCCGGUGCCAUCCUAUAGGGUGCCUUUGAGAUUGGGAUAGUCCCAGGGACGAGAUUUACCACAAACUCAAUCUCCCUAUCAGGUGGCAUACCUGGUAGCUCUGCUGGAAACACAACACAAAACUCCCGUACCACUAGAAUAUCCUCAAUCCUAGGGGUAUCAUCAUCACCCCUCAGCACCACAUUAGCCAAAUAGGCUAUACAAUCCCUGCUGAUCAACUGUCUAGCUCAAGACGAGCUGAUCGUCAUCGCAAACAACAAACUCCGACAUCCCUUGAACACCACUUCCUUCUGCCCCGGUUCUCUAAAGGUGACCGUUCGAUUCUUGUAAUAAAUAGUAACGAAGUACUUUGUCAACCAAUUGAUGCCCAAAACCACAUCAAACUCUCCAAGUUUAGGUAAUGCUAGUAGAUCCAUGGGCAUGAUCCAAGCUCCUACCUAAACAGGGCAACUGGAGCAAAACUCCCCCAAUGUCCAAAGAGUGGUCGGGAACAACAGCACGUCUCGGAUGCAACAAGAAAACUAGUGGAAUGCCAUGCAACUCGGCAAACAGCUGAUCUAGGAAUGAAUGCGAUGCACCGGUAUCAAAUAAAGCUCGAACUCUAAUGCCAUUUAAUAAAAUGAUACCUGCCACCACAUCCUCGGCUGCUGUCGCCUCCUCAGUCUGGGCCGCAUACAUGCACCCGCUAGGGGCCUGUCGUGACCCCUCAGUCUGACACUGGACGGGUGGCCGCCCAGGUUGGUAGUGUGCCGAUGGAGUCCCCUGACUAGUAGUUGGUAAUGCCGGUGCUGAUGCAGAUGACGGUGCCGGCAAUGAACCCCUCAGGCACUCAGUCCGGAAGUGGCCCUCCUGGCCACAAAGGAAGUACCUGCUUCCCCGCUGUGGGCACUGCGGUGGAAUGUGGGGACCACCGCAGAUCACGCACUGGGGAGGUCUGCGACGAUCAGAUCCUCCGCACUGCGUAGAUGAGCCACAUUCUCUCGACUGGCUCCUAGGGGGACUUGGCGGCCUCUUAGAGUGCGCCUGACUCGCACCCUCUGCCGUGGGCCUUUUGCCCUUACCCUUGUCCAAGCCCUCUCUCCGCUCUUGCAUGCCCGCCUCGCCCAUCUCCACAAUGAGAGCGCAGUUCACCACUUCUCGGUAAGUCUACAGAUUUGACGAUUGCAUAAACCGGAAGAUCGACGGUCGAAAUCCACUCUAAAAAAUGCGGGCCAUGUCCUCAUCAUCCCGCACGACAAAAGGCACGCAAUGUAGAAGCCGAGAGAACUCCCUCUCGUACUCGUCUAUCGUCCGGUCGCCCUGGCGCAAGCCGCGCAAGUCCUCCAUUUGCCUCUUGACACUGUUGAGGAAGUAGUACUCCAACAAAAGCUCUUUGAACUUCUUCCAAGAAAUAGCUGAUAGAUCAAUGUUGGGGUUGUCUCGGAUGUCCAACCACCAACAAUAGGCCUCGCCGUCCAAGUGAUGUGUGGCGAGCCAAACACUGUCCCUCUUCUCCACGAAGGUAUCAUAGAAAAGCUUUUCCAUGUGCAUCAACCACUUCUCCACGAUCCAGUGGUCGGCCUUCUCUCCAUCAAAGAUCUGGGGAUUGCACCAUCUGAACUCAUUGAGGCGAUCCAUAAGUUGGUCUCGCUCCGCUCCCUCAACCAUCACGGGAAAAACUGCCCCCGCCGGAGGCACCUGCAUAGGUGGUGCCGCGACCACCUCCUUCUAAGGCGCGACCAUGGGCGCCGCACGCGAAGAGCCGGGUGCGAGAGACGGUGCCCUCGAUGCAACAUCCUCCGCUGGCGCGGGUGGCGUGGGAACCUGUGCCUCCCUAGCAGCCGCUUGCUGAAGUAGCAAAUCCUCCAAUCGCUUCAUCCGCGUCUCCUGUCGGUGCGCCACAUCGGCCUGCCGUUGAGCCGUCGCCGCCUGCUGAGCCACUAAAUCAGUGAGGACCGCAAGCUGGGUCCUCAAGUCACGGACUUCGCUAGAUCCGGAAGUAGCGGAGGUCUCCACCUCCUCAAGGUUUGCCGCAUUCUCUGCCCCAACAGAUUUAGAGCGAGUAGUUAGCAUGAUCACUACAACAACAUAAAAGUGCAAGUUAGUAAAGCCCACGCUAUCGUAACCCAACUCAAAGGAAAUAAUACCCCAAAUCAUGCAAAAGUAAGGGAGUGUCCUUCACCUUUAACUCCCGAUGUUAUGUUGUCGGCCGCAAACGUAACCCGCCGCGAAGUUAGAAGUUGUACACUUCGAUUCAACUCCAACAUUUUAGAGUUUAUAUAAUACCCAAUCGUGAUACUUUCGCUUACAAGUCAAAUAGACCCCGUCUCUCACGAGCCUAUUUCCUAUAGUCCAACCGGCCUAAGGUUUGCUAAGUCCACUAAGACUCAACCCUAGGCUCUGAUAUCAAAAUAAUCUGUCACGCCCCGGGACCCAGUGGAAGCCCGCCCGGUGCGUGUCCAGACCCGCCAUAUGCCUACAACAUAUAAGGCGUCUACAACAAAGCGAUAAUUAAAGCAAUAAUAAUAGGCAUCUAGAGAUAUCAGAGAUGAUUACAACUAAAUUCUAAUGACAAGUAGAAUAUAAAAGAGCUAAACAACUAUCAUAAUCCACAAGUAGAAAUAUCAUAAGAUCUCAAAUACAAGUGCUAGAAAUACAAAAUGGUGGUCUCUACACAUAGGUACAAAAAAAACUCUCACUCUAUACCAUAAAUACAAAAAUAGAGAGAUGACCACCUAGCGUAAAAACUCCUCGCUAUCUAGCUAUAUGCGAUCCCCUUUCCGCGAUCCCGAGCCUUUUCCGGUGCGGAUGGCUCUGUAAUAAAAACAGCAAAUAGAGAUCGUGAGAACUAUUAAUCAAUAGUUCCCAGUGGGUAAGCCGCCGACCUCAGCGAAAUACACCACUAGGCUAUGGAGGAUAAGUAGUAAGUUCUAACAUUUAAAUGGAAUGAACAACAUGUAUAUUGAGCAUGAAUAAAACUUGCUAAACUACUAUGCCUCUACUUAGCAUGAAUUUCCACAAAUAUAAAUGCCAUUCUAACAUGAAUAUGCGUAUGUAUAAAUAACAUGAUAUCCACAAGUACAACUAGUAAAAUGUCAUUAUUUACUAAAUUGUCCAAUGACCACUUUGCAUUUUAGUUCAAGUUUAUUCCAAUCAUGUAGGACCUAUAUAAGGUAGUCCGGCUUGCGACGUGCCUAAUGGCCCGUGGUAGUCAACAUUCCCACCCUAGGAAUGAGCCUCUCCCACGGCAUCCCAUUUCGGCGCCCAAUCCCGCACGGGCGAGCUUAUGUCGCGAUGGCUAUUUCCGGAGUACCGGCUUGUAGGGAGUGACCCCCACAAGCAUGUGCGAAUGAACACAAUGGCAAGCAAGCGUAAUCAUCCGUCUCAAGUCCAAUCUCAUCAUGUCUAAAACAUGGUAUAAAAGCUAGUGACCCAAUGACCUUUCACUAUGUCAUCAUGUAGGAGUUUAACCAUUUACUAGGUUGAAUGCCUCUUUAUGGCAUUUUUGUCCACUAUGUCAAACAUGAGUUCUAUGUCCAAGAGCAUGUUAUUCUUAUCAUUUUCAUUACAUGAAACAUGAUUCAAAGCCACAUAAAAGAAUGCUAUUCACAUGCAUGAUUAUAAAACACAUAUCUCUCUGCUAAAUAGAGGUGAUAUUUUUUAUGAAACAUAACACAUGUAUUUUAAGCAUUCUAAAAUUCACAUAUGCUCUAUCUAGCAUGAAUAUGUAUGAAUUUUUAUUUUAUAACAAGAAAAAUAACAUAGGGGGAGUUCACCCAUUUCGGUGAGGUCAAACCCACCAAGAACUCCUUACAACCCUUUCGUUUGCGCGAAGGAAGGUGUCCACAAGUCUCCUAGCUCCCUAAAGAAAAUUCUAAGAGGGUUAAACGAAAUGAAUGAACACUACACGAGUUCAUUUUUAACCAACCCAAGAAAAGGGCAAAGCUUACCUAAAUGUUGGAAAAACCCUCUCAAAUCCCAAAUGGAAGCUAGAGCACUUCUAAACCAAUCUAGAGGAAGGUUCUAAACCAAUCAAAUGAGCUCCAAAAGCUACAAAUCAAAAAUCCCCAAUUAAAUCCUAGAUUUCUCAUUUAUAGGGUUUCUACACAAAAACUCUACCAAAAUAUGAUCCAAAAGAGAGAUCAUAGCUAUUAACCUCUCUUGAUGUUCCAAACCUAGCUAGGAAGGUGCUAGAGUUGAAGUUUUUCCCUCCAACAAGCUCCACACAAAGCUCCAAUGCUUCUCCAAUGGUGGAAACCCAACAUGAAGCAAAGAGGAGAGGAAAAGAGAGAUCAAAACAAGCUAAAACCAUGAGAAAUAGGAGAAAACCAAGGGAGAAGGCCCUCACAUGAGUUUUCCAUGGAUUAGGGCUCAAAAGGGCCAUCCAAGGGGCUGUGGGGGGUUAAAUAGAGAUGUAACAAUCUCAAAAAGGCCCUCCAACAACGUGCAGUCUGCACUGCACUGCGUACCGGUGACAUGGGAAAGAGUACCGGUACCAGGCAACAGCACGUGCAAACCCAAGCCUCGGGUUGGCGAGAAAAUACACUGGGUACCGAUACCAUCGCGAUGCAGUACCGGUACCAGCUCCAGUACCGGUACGGAAUCAAUGCAGUACCAAUACUCUGCCCUGCAGAGGCAAACCCGAGAGCAAUCCAAAUUCUGCAAUUUGGAGACUUUAGUGCUAAGUUUUAACCCUCACUUCUUGGAUGUGAGUCAUAGGUCGGAACACUGUCAACGACCCUCCAGAAUAUCUGAAAAAACUCAAAAUACAGAUCAAACACUCGAACCUCGCAAUUUGGAAAAGUCCAGUGCGUUACAGGACAAGAAUGUACCAACUAGUCAAAUAAUCCACCACCACCCCCAUGCAUCGCAUACGGGUAGACCUCCUCGAUUCACACAAGAGUCCAUAGAGUAGCACUAUACUAUCCUGGCCAUUCAAGAGUCUACGUCACCAUGUACGACUCUUCUUUACACUUACCCUUUCACUAUGGAACUCACUCUGAUUCGAUCACCGACAUUGCUUAGAAGCAAUAUCACGAAUGCAUCGCUCGAUCAUGAGUGCUCCAAUCACACGUGGACUUUUAGCUCUGUAGCGAGAUGGCACACUUCGGGACACCCUCAAAUUCCAGUUCACUUGAGAGCAUAGUCCUCAAUCCUCACGUGGCUUUCCACUAGCUCGUUGUCUCAUAAAGAGCACUUCACUUUACUUUCAUCUGCCACGGUCACUAUCAUGUUGUUCUCGCGAUGAGUUCACACGAACAAUUCGUUCGUGAAUCCAAUUAGGCGAGUGGUAUGACCGAGCCUCCGCUCCUAUAGUCACUAUUCUCAGUUCUCCUAUACACAAUCAAUACUCGCACAUUAUCAGAGCCAUCGGCUAAAUCGCUUACCUUGGUUUAUCAUAGAUGGUCCACAGACCAGAAUUCCGACGUAGGCCUACUACCUAAACCUGUCUCGAUAAUGUGCAACAUCUCUCACUCGCAAGCGUAAACCCAAUCAUCACUGGGCAAAGUCCUCACUUGGGGCUUCGCACACACGCUCCAACUAGGAGCAACCAAGUCCCCAAACCGCUACAAGUCCUCGAGUUGGGUCAUAACUACACCCUCAGUGUACUAUCGGUCACACAAUUUUACACGUGGCGUUCCACGUUCCCGGGUCUCAGCUUGAACUACCGCCCCGACAUGAUCCGUCGGUGGAGGAAGUAAUAUUGCAGUGCCUCCCCGAUGGAUAUAUGAAAUCAGAUUAAAGAGAAGAAAAGAACACAAUAUUUUUAUGUGGAAGAGUCUGUAUAUUAAUUCUCUCUAAACUGGAGUGACUUUACAAGAACCAAUAGUGCCUCUAUUUAUAGCCUUCAGGCUUACAAGAAGAUAAAAACAAAGUAUUUUGAAAAUAACAACUUUAUCUUUAUUUUAACCGAAGUAGUUGGAACCACCUGGAUCCUUAUCCUAACCGAAAUAUUUGGAACCACCUCGAUCCUUAACCUAAUUGAAGAGUUGGAACGACCUCCGCCUUAUCCGUAACGGUUGAAACUUAUCCGAAUGGUUUGAUCGUCCCGGAUCAUGGCUUUCCAAUUUUUGAGAGAAACUAGCACCUGCUGGAUCUAGAACUGCAAGUGAGGAAACUGAGUUUUCCCAGUUCCCCUUGUGAACCACUUAGCGGCACUUGGCUUUUGACCUUUCUGUCCAAUACGGAAGGAUUUACGUUCACCUUUGCGUGUCGUCGUGACCUUGCGUUCUAGGAUAGUAUUCGCGUUUUAUCACGAGAUCUUCCACGGAUGGUAGUACUUCUCCGAGCUCAUCGUCUAGCAUUGAUGGCUCAAAGGACUUUAGGUUUUCGACAGUGACAACCGAAUACAUUUUCAUGUAUGCGAGCAACUCCAAUUGAUAAGCAUUCUCACCAAUUCUGCUUAGGAUCUUGAAAGGUCCAUAACGAAUAGGUUUAAGUUUCUUACCCUCGCCUUUCAAGCUGUCACGCCCCGAGGCCGCUAAUUUGGUCGGUUCGGGCUCGCCGACAAACGCCGAACGGACAACACCUCCCCUGUCCGCCCAAGGCUCUAAUCAACAAGUAUAAUACAAACAGUUAUACUAGGUUUGCACGAGGGCAAACAACAACCAACUCACAUGUGAAAGCAUCGAAACUAACUAAGCAUUUAUCCACAUAUAUGUCAUUUGAUUACAUUUGAAUCAAACACAAGCAACCAUCAUUUACAUUCAUUCUUUUCCAUUCAUUUACAUCACAUUGUCCUUUAACCCAAUAUACAUGAUUUACAUCUUUUUACAUUACUAGUUCAAUAUACAAAAGUUGAAUGUACAUAUAGGGUAUGCCUAUAAACUUCGAGGCCGCUAUCUAUGGCGCUAGCCCCUUGCCUCGAUCCUCCGCCGCCCCGCUCGCGCAUGGAUCUGCAGGGUUAGUGGUGGUGUGAGAACUAAACGAAGUUCCCAAUGGGUUUGGCCGCCGACCGCACCGACUCGCCCACUAGGUCUAUUCAGGCAUAUGUAUUUCAAGAAAGUAGAUAACGAACCAACUAAUGCACUACUAAUACAAUGCCUGCAAAAAAGCUGUCAGCAGAUAGAUAGAUAAUCCAAUACAUGAUAAUUAUGCAUGCAUGUUCAUGUCUCAUUCUCUUUGGCCUUUACCCAAUCAUCCCGGGGUACUCCUAGUUCACCCCAAACUCACAAACCACAAUUUUCGUCUACCGGGGGAGGCUACUAGCACUGCCAACCGAGGGAACGAUGACGGGGUCUCUCCCCAUGGUGUCUACACUCCGGAGUACACCGCUUGAGGAGGAGCUAUCUCCCUCAAGCUAAAGCUAUUGUGAGUACGAUCCAAUCCUCAAUUUGAGGAAGUAAUUGCCAUACCUGUCUCAAUGCCACAAUACAUCAAUGCCAAUGAUAGGUUGCUACCAUCUCAUGUAUACCUCUAUAUCUGAGUCACAAUAGUCCUGAUGCCACAAUGGUUAAACCUUAUUUAGCCGCUUUAUUUUCCAAUACCAAUCAAGUCACUAUAGUCAAUGUCACCCUUAUUUACUAUUGUCAUGGUCUGUUCUCGCAUUCACAUACACAUAGGGUUCUUUCAAACAUGGUUCACAUGGUUCUUUAUCAAUUCACAUAUUCUUUAAGUAUCUAAAUGCAUUACAACCAAGAACGCAUAUCACACUACCCUACAUGCAUGAAUGCUAAUGCCAAUAUGCUCAACAAAGGUAACAUAGACAUAGAGAGAAAUCCGGUGUUUACGGACAGCACCCCCCACUUGUGGGUAUGCUAGGAUGCCGUGGUCCUGUUUUCGUAAUUUUUAGACCUCUACGCCGCAAGCUGCGACGAUCUGUACCAAUUUAGCCUAUUUCCUUAAUAUAUCCGCGUACGCUCGUCGUAUCGCCAAACCGAGCACACCAACGCGUUCGUUAACCUAUCAAUUAGGGUAGAAUGAGAUCAAUCCCAAGCUUCAACCUCAAAAUCCAAAAACCCUAAAUAUAGGUUCCUCAAUAAUGUCAUCUUUCCCAAUAUUUGUCCUUAACAUGAAGAAACAUGGGGAAAAUCACCAUAAGAGCGCCUAGAUGCAAAUACUAGAAGCAAAUACCAAAACCCUAACUCAAAAUCAUGGAAACUCACCUUGGAGUCCAAGCUUUUCCUUCAAAAGCUCUUCACAAUCUAGCCUUCACCUUGGAGAGCUUCUUCUCCAAGCUUUGCUCCUCCAAAUCCCUUCCUUGAUCCUAGUUCUAGAGAGAGAGGAAGAGAGAAGAGAAGGUUUUAGAGAGCGAGAGAGGGAAAGGUCUUAUGUUGGUGUGUGAGAGAAAUGAGCCCUAACACCCAUCCCUCUCACCUAUAUACCCAACUCAUGCCACAAUUGCCCAUAAGCCCCCGACUUUCCAUCUUUCACAUCAGCCCAAACUGGGCAAAAUUCGCAUACGGGGAUCGGUCUCUCCCCGCAGGGACUCGCUUUCUGGAAAAUACUCCAUUAACAGGAUCUCCCGGAACGUCUCCCAAGACAUAGUAGCCGGAUCCAAAGACCGACCAUUCUUUACUCGCGUCUACCAUGCUCGAGCCGACCCCUCUAAACAAUGAGCCGCCAGGCGUACUUUAUCCUUCUCAAGGGUGUAGAUAUCCUCGAACAAUGCCUCCAUCGCUGAAAGCCACGCCUCCAUUAACCAAGGGUCCUUCACAUCACCCUGGAACGUCGGAGGGUUGAACCGCUUAAAGGCCAUCAACAUCACCAACGACCGCUCCUACUCGGCCUCAAGUACCUCCGGGAUAGGAGCUGAAGAACCUGAAGCCGUCGGAGGAAUAGCCGUCAUCGGUGCCGCCGCAAUCGCAGGAGGAGGUACCACAGGCGCAGGCGGGUCCUGAGGUACAGGUGCAGCCGCCGCCGCCUGUCGGGCCACCAACUCAUGAAGCCGUCCUAUCUGCUCCCCUUGCUGUCGCAUAGCCCCGGCCAAAGCCGCUACUUGGGCCCGCAACUUUCGGACUUCAUCAGAUCCAACUUGCUCGGGCACUUCAUCAGGCAAUGCCGGAGCGGAUCGACGCGUGUAACAUCUCGGGGAUAUUAGCUCCUGAAACGAAACACACAUGUUAUUACUCGACACGCGCAACUCUUACACAUUCCAAAUAACCACCUGUGGGUAUGCCAGGAUGCCGUGGUCCUGUUUUCGUGAUUUUUAGACCUCUACGCCGCAAGCUGCGACGAUCUGUACCAAUUUAGCCUAUUUCCUUAAUAUAUCCGCGUACGCUCGUCGUGCCGCCGAACUUAGCGCACCAACGCGUUCGUUGACCUAUCAAUUAGGUUAGAAUGAGAUCAAUCCCAAGCUUCAACCUCAAAAUCCAAAAACCCUAAGUAUAGGUCCCUCAAUAAUGUCAUCUUCCCCAAUAUUGGUCCUUAACAUGAAGAAACAUGGGAAAAAUCACCAUAAGAGCUCCUAGAUGCAAAUACUAGAAGCAAAUACCAAAACCGUAACUCAAAAUCAUGGAAACUCACCUUGGAGUCCAAGCUUUUCCUUCAAAAGCUCUUCACAAUCUAGCCUUCACCUUGGAGAGCUUCUUCUCCAAGCUUUGCUCCUCCAAAUCCCUUCCUUGAUCCUAGUUCUAGAGAGAGAGGAAAAGAGAAGAGAAGGUUUUAGGGAGAGAGAGGGAAAGGCCUUAUGUUGGUGUGUGAGAGAAAUGAGCCCUAACACCUAUCCCUCUCACCUAUACACCCAACUCAUGCCAUAAUUGCCCAUAAGCCCCCCGACUUUCCAUCUUUCACAUCAGCCCAAACUGGGCAAAAUUCGCAUACGGGGACCGAUCUCUCCCCGCAGGGACCGGUCCCCGAGAGCACCACUCUAAGGACUUAGCCAAAUUUUCACAUUUUUGGCUGGCUACGCGCACAGGGACCGGUCUCUCCUCCAGGGACCGGACCCCGAGAGCUGGACUUUUAGAACUGUAAUACACUGGACUUUCGCAAAUUGUAGAGUUCGAGUGUGUGGAAAGAAGUGUGGAACUAUUCUACAUGUUCUAAAUGACUUGGACAAGUUUUUGAACAAGUUAGAGAGUGAUUGGAGGGUUAAAAGUGAGAAAUUGCAUCAAACAGGCGAAAUCAGCCUUUUUCUGCUUGUUGUACCGGUACAGCCAUCACCUUGUACCGGUACAGACUGGCAGAAAUCUGGCAGCAAGGCUAAUUUGGUCAUUUCACGUUUUGAUCCUAUCUAUUUGAACCCAGCACGACCUGGGAUACUCAGUGGAGCCUGCUGGAGUCCAGAGAAGUGUUCUCCCAUCUUUCUCUUUCUCUCUCUCUAGGGUUUUUCUCUCUCUACGUUAAAUUCGCCGAUUUCGCUCGUUUUCGUCGUCGCGUGCGUUCUUCGCGGGUGGCAAGCGUUGCAGAGCCUAUGUGGACGUGUGAGAGAGUAUUUUGGAAGGUUCUUUGCAACUCUGAACCAGUGGGUUGCUGGUUGGAAGCUUGAGAAGGUAACGACGCGAUGUUUUUCCGUUAUCGGCAUUCUAUUCGUCGAUUUGAGUAUUGAGUUUGAGUUUUUGCUUCUAACCGAUGUAAACUGAGAAUUCAGCUAUUAUUAAUGAAUUAUUCAGCUGUGAAUUAAGCUCCUUAGACUAGGGAUGAGCUUCUUUGAAGAUUAAUUGAGAGAAUUAGCCAUUUAUGAAGCUUAAUCGGAACUAUACGCGGAUUAUUGACGCAGUUUCGUAUGAUUCCUUCGCAGCAGGUUUUCGAACCAUCUAGAGCUAAUUUGGUGACCUUGGGGAUUGAUUUAGAGGGUGUUCUAACCUGAGGUAAGCAGGAAUUUCCAUUCUAAAACUGAUUUCGCAAGAAUUCGGCUAAAUUCACUAGUAUACAUGCGCGUUGACGUCGUUUAAGUGAGUUGUGGGCAGCUCCGGUGCAAUCGACUUUGGAUCACUUUCAGUCAUUGUAGUGAGAGCUUUUGGAAGCUUAACUUGAGGUAUUUAUUGAGCCAAAACAGGGAUUUCAGCUAUUACGAUGUAUAAGUGCAAUUGCGCAAAAUCGGACAUUUCGGAUCGUAAUUUUGAUACGAAUAUUUAUGCUUCAUGUUCCAGCAGGAUUGCGACGUAGUGGAGCUGAUACCUUGAGGACUCCUUGACUGAUUGGGAGGCAUAGUAGACUAGGUGGGUUUGACCUACAGAGCAAGUGAAGUCCCCUAUGUUCUAUAUGUAUUUAAAGACGUGGUUUAAUUAUAUGCUAUGGUGAUUGUUAAGCUCGGAAUUCGUCAUCAUGACGUUUAUCAUAUGUGAAAUGAGCGUUAUGUAAAAGUACUUAUUUAGCCAAUUAAGAGUAUUCUUGUUUAGUUCAGUAGAAAACAGGAGAUCAGUUUAUUAUGUUUCUAUGAUAUAGAGAUACAUAUAAAUGAAAGUCAUUUUUUUCUAUUCAUCAGUUGAAUGGGCUUAGAACAAGUGUAAGGAUGCAUUUAUAAGUAGAGAACAAUGACAUUCUCCUGACUCUUAACGUAAAACUAUGACAUGCUCAGUGAAGCUUAUGUUGAUAGUGCAUACUAGUUGGAAAGAUUAUAAUGCUAUGCUGAUUUAGGCUUUACCCCUACAUGUUACAAUCUAGUGGAUAUAGCUUUUGUUACUAUUUGUGUUUGACAUUCGAUAGGAUUCGAGGAGUAUCGAUGGGUGUUGACUUUGCAAUGAAAAUAUGUAAAUUGAGAAUGUGGUAAUGUACUUUGUUGCUUUGCCAUUCGUGUCAUUCGCAACGCUUGUGAGGGUUAGUCCCUACAAGUCGGUCACUCUGCGGAGUUGGCUACGCCGACAGUUGCUCGCCUGUGCGGAUUGGGUUGGAAGUGAUUGCCGUGGAGUGUUUAUAACGGGGCAUUAGGCGCGGCGCAAGCUGGACUACCUUGACGUAGGUCCUAGUGAAUGAAACAUGAAAGUGUUGGAAUAUGAUAAUGAUAGUAAUGAAUGAGUAUCAGUUGUAGUGUACAGUAGUACUUACACUUCUAUGAUUAUGUUUAUGUUCAUGUUUAUAGUAGUUGCGAUACUUCUAUUAUUCAGUUGAUUCAUUACUGCAGAAAUCAUGUUUACAUGUUGAAUACAUGCCUGUUACCGGUUAGCACUGCAUAUUUCUAUAUCAUGCAUUUAUCGCUUCUACUUACUUUCAGUACAUCAUGAGCCUAGUGGUGUAAUUCGCCGAGGCUGGCGGCUUACCCACUGGGAACUAUUGUUAAUAGUUCUCACGCCCUUUUGGUGGUUGUUUUUACAGAGCCAUCUACAGGAGAGGCUAGGGAUCGUGGCAAGGGAGUCGCGUCUAGCUAGACAUUGCUAGGAGCAUGCUAGUCGAUCACCUUGCUACUCGGGCUACGACCGAGGGUGAUGUCCCGUUGUAUAGAGAAACCACCAUUGUACCUAUCCUAUGUUUGUAUACUCGUGAUGUAUAUGUACUACUUGGACCGUGAACUGCAGUUGUGAUACUUCUCUUCUGUCGAGAUUUUGGAUUGUAUUUUUCUUUGUUCUUUUACUGAUAGUAUAUCGACUUGUACAUUGCUCUGAUAUCAGGAUAGGACUCUCUUUGUUUUACUUCCUAUCGACUUGCUUUCUUUGUAGACGCCUUAUAUACUGUAGGUGUAUGGCGGGUCUGUGCACGUACCGGAUAUGCUUUCGCUGGUACCCGGGCGUGACAGAUUAUAGUGGUAUCAGAGCCUAGGGUUGAGUCUUAGUAGACCUAGCAAACCUUAGGCUGGUUGGACUAUAAGGAUAGGCUCGUGAGAGACGAUGUCUAGUCGAGGUAGUUGUUAGCGAAAGUACUUUGAUUGGGUACUUAUAAACUCCGAAUAGUAGGAGUUUGAUUGGGAUAUGCAAUUACUAACUUUGCAGAGGGUCACGUUGGCGGCCGACAACAUGACAUCGGAAGUUAGUAUGCGUUACAUCUCAUUACUUUCGCUUAAUUAGCUAGUUUAUAUCCUCAAUGAGGGUUUAGUUGUAUAGGGUUUAUUGACCUAUGUUUGUUUUUGUGCUGCAGCUUAAGAUGCCGUUGACUCGUUCGCAAGCCGCCGGGGCAGCUGAGGCGGCGGAUGCAGAGGAAGAAGGCACUUCUGUUACUUCAGGAUCUAGUGGGAUCCAUGAGUUACAGGAUCAGCUUGCGAUGUUGACGGAUUUGGUUACUCAGCAGGCUGCAGCAGCACGACAGCAGGUGGACGCUGUGCGUCGACAGGAGGACAGGAUGAAGAGGUUAGAGGAUCUGUUACUGCGGCAGACGACUGACAGAGAGAUUCCAGAUUCUGUACUUCCAGAUUUUGUACCUAUAGCACCAGAGAGGGGUACGACUGCGAGAGCACCGUCACCGGUACCCGAUAUACCCCCAGUAGCCCCGAGGGUAGAGACCCGACAGGAGACAGUGGUACCACCACCAAUGCAUAUGGCAGCAUCAGGGACAGUGUUACCCGAGAUGGUGGGGAUUGAGGAGCGAGAGCGGAUGAUGGAACGACUGAAUGAAUUCCGUCACUGCAAUCCUCGUGUCUUUGACGGGGAGAAAGCAGAUCAUUGGGUGGUCGAGAAAUGGUUAAUGCACAUGGAGAAGUUAUUCUAUGACACCUUUGUUGAGGAGCGGUAUCGAGUUUGGUUUGCGACACACCACCUUGAUGGUGAGGCUUACAGGUGGUGGGUGGACAUUCGUGAGGAUCCCCGUGCUGAUUUGUCUGCUACCACGUGGGACAGAUUCAAGGAAUUGUUAUUGACUACUUACUUUCCUCAGAGUGUAAAGAGACAGAUGGAAAGGGAUCUGAGAAACCUGAGGCAGGGGGACAGGACAGUGGCAGAGUACGAGCGAGAGUUCUCCCGAUUACUGCACUGCGUUCCUUUUGUAGUUCGAGAUGAUGAGGACAAGGCUCGUAUCUUUAAGGUAGGUUUGCGGCCUGCGAUUUUCAGAUUGGUCCAGGCGUCAAACCUCAAUUCCUUUCCUAUUUAAAUUUAGAUGUAAAUAUGAAUAGAAAUUAACAGUAAUAUAAGAAUCCUUAUCCUAAUAUAAGGAUAUAUAUUAUAUACCCUCAAAAAUCUUUUGGGAUCGGCAGUAUAGAGAAGAGAGAAGGUAUAAGAUCGUUCUUUCUGCAAGAAAAACGUUCCCUCGAUCGUGGGGCCACUCCUGUAGCUAGUUUAGUCCUUGGAGCACACCUAUGGAUAUCUCCAGCCUGCGCACACGCCGAAGUUCUCUUGGGCUAAGAUGCUAGUAGUUUAACUCAACUUCUAGAUAGUUGCUUUUUCCAUUUCUAAGCUAGAAUGAAAAGAGGAAAUUAGAAUUUCUUGUACUCCCUAGGAUUAACGCACCAAAAACUUUAACCUAGAGCUCUCAAAAGUUUUUAGUUAAAACAAACUAAAGAAAAAGGCGACACAAAAAUGGUAUGCGUUAAAAGAUUGUCUCCCACGUCCGUUUCUUGGAGAGCCCGUGAGACUUGUUUUCACCGGGAGGACCGGCGUUUCUUUUGUGGACGGGGGUGCGACACCUGUGACACCGCCAUGCACUCCGGGUGGUGUCUAUUAUGUUGCGCCACCAGCUGCUGCGAGUCCACGAGGUGCCCCGCGGCUUCUUGGAGCUGGGGAGCUGACAGGACUGACAGGGGAGCCUAUGAAACCCCCAGAGGAUUUCCUGACGACUGGUGACCAGAGCUGACGUCCAGAGAAGGGAAACGAAGCUAGGUGUUGUAGAGAAAGGAAGUAAUAGAGACGGGGAAAGAGCUGCUAGUUCCGGGCCAAGUGAUGUAGGGCCAUUCACCUNNNNNNNNNNNNNNNNNNNNNNNNNGUUGGUCACGCUCGGUACCCUUGUUCUCUAACAACCACCUGCAUAUUCGCUUCAGUGUCCCCACACUGUCGACUCGAAACUCGUCUACCCUGAAAGGGAAGCGACCUAUGCACCAAUCUCAUCGGAUCAAUCACCGUCCCCGUGAUGAUCCAUUGAUCGGGAGCAUUUAGGAAUUAAUCACCAAUGACACAUGUCUCAAAUUCUCAACACUUAAGAAUAUAUGUCAUCAUCUUAUUAAUUCUUUGGACGAUUCAUGGACACGUACACAACAUGAAUGGAAAUAAAAACCCAAAGUUAUUCAUAAUAUUUUAAAAUCAAAUACAAAAUUAUGUCCUAGAAAGAAUACAUGUGUCGGCCUGGUUGGCUUCUAGGGCAUACAUCUAACACCCUCGUCAGCGACUGCACCUGCAUCUUCAGCUCCGAGCCAGGGGACCCCGACAGUACCCUAUCAGUCUAGGCGACCAUCAGGACAGCGGCAGUCGGAGAGUUCGCAGCAGGAUUCGAGUGGGCGGAUGUAUGCCGCCCAGACCGAGGGCGACGCAGCAGCACAGGAGGUCGUAGCAGGUAUUAUUAUGCUUUAUGAUAUUCGUGUUCGUGCAUUAUUUGAUACUGGUGCUUCGCAUUCUUUUAUUGAUCGGCAGUUUGCCGAGUUGCAUAGCAUUCCUUUAGCACCUACUUUGCAUCUGGGACGAGUGAUUGUACCUGACCAUACCCUAGAUGUUCGUGAGUUUUGCUCUUGCUGCCCAGUUAGGGUAGGCGACUGGAUUAUGCCAGUGGAUUUAUUGGCACUACACAAACUAGGUGAGUUUGAUGUAGUAUUGGGUAUGGAUUGGUUGACACAGUAUUAUGCCACUAUAGAUUGCACGAACAGAACGGUGACCUUUAGGGAACCGGGUCAACAGGAGUUUGUUUAUAAAGGGUGUCAGAGUUCAUUGUUCGCAAUGACUAUUAGCUCUUCGCGAGCCCGACAAUUGAUCCGGAGGGGUUGUGUAGCCUACUUGGCUAGUAUUUCUGUGAGGGGUGGUGAAGCCAUCAAGAUUGAUGAUAUUCCUGUUGUGCGAGAGUUCAGGGAUGUGUUUCCAGCUGAAUUACCGGGCAUGCCACCUGAUAGGGAAGUUGAGUUUGUGGUAGAUCUUGUCCCUGGGACUACCCCUAUUUCUAAAGCGCCCUAUAGGAUGGCACCCGCUGAAUUGAAAGAGCUGAAGGCACAGUUACAAGAUCUUUUAGAUAAAGGAUUUGUUCGACCGAGUGUUUCGCCCUGGGGAGCACCGGUGUUAUUUGUCAAGAAAAAGGAUGGAUCUCUUCGAUUGUGCGUGGAUUAUCGAGAAAUCAAUAAAGUCACAAUCAAGAAUAAAUAUCCAUUGCCUAGAAUUGAUGAUUUAUUCGAUCAGCUGCAAGGAUCGAAAGUAUACUCCAAAAUCGAUUUGCAAUCAGGCUAUCAUCAGUUUAAGAUUAAGCCUGAAGAUGUUUCUAAGACUGCUUUUAGGACACGGUAUGGACAUUAUGAAUUUACAGUCAUGCCGUUUGGAUUGACUAAUGCCCCAGCAGCCUUUAUGGAUUUAAUGAACCGUGUCUUUAAACCCUAUCUGGAUAGGUUUGUGGUCGUGUUCAUCGCUGAUAUCUUGAUAUAUUCUCGAAAUGACAAGGAGCAUGAAGACCAUUUGAGAGUGGUGUUACAAGUACUUCGAGAAAAGAAACUAUUUGCCAAGCUAAAGAAAUGCGAAUUUUGGCUUCGAGAAGUGGCAUUUCUAGGCCAUGUGAUUUCAGAAACUGGGAUAGCUGUGGAUCCCAAGAAGAUUGAAGCGAUUAAAGAUUGGCCUAGGCCGACCAGUGUCACUGAAAUUCGGAGUUUCCUCGGUUUGGCGGGAUACUACCGAAGAUAUGUAGAAGGAUUUGCGAAAAUGUCUACUCCUCUCACUCGACUUACACAUAAAGGAGCUAAAUUCCUGUGGAAUGAAGCCUGCGAAAGAAGCUUUCAAGAGCUGAAGAAACGGUUGACCACCGCCCCGAUUCUGGCUUUGCCUGUUACCGGAGUGGAUUAUGUGAUUUACAGCGAUGCAUCACUGAAUGGAUUAGGGUGUGUUCUAAUGCAAAAUGGCAGAGUAAUUGCCUAUGCUUCUCGCCAAUUAAAGGAUUAUGAAAAGAACUACCCUACACAUGAUCUUGAGUUAAGCAGCUGUGGAUUCCUUUAAAGCUUUGGCGCCACUUACCAUCUACGGCGAGUCGUUGCGAAGUUGUCAUAGAUCAUAAAACCUAAAGUACCUUUUAACACCAGACAGCCGAAUUAAACUGAGCAACCGAGAUGGGUUGGAAUUACAUCAAUGGAUUAUGAUUUGAUAUCCUCCUAUCAUCCAGGAAAAGCUAAUAUUGUAAGCAGACUGCUCUUAAGUCGAAAAUCAACGGGAAAAGUUUGCGAUGUCGAUAACAAUGCAACCACUUUGGUAAAGGAAAUGGAAAGAUUGAAUUUUGGAAGUUCUAGCUCCUGAUAGCCUUGGGAGACUUAUGUCGACUAGCUGUCAAAACCUAUCCCUGAUCAAACGAUUAAAGAUAACAAACUCACGAUGAACUUUCUAACAGAAGAUUUCGAGCGAGACUCACCUAUGAAGUCACAUUGAUUGAAUUCAAGUGGAUGAUUCAGGGACUUUAAGACUUCGCGGCAGAUAACCGAAUCUGUGUGCCUCCCGAUCCAGAUGAUUAACAGAGGGACUUUUAAAGGAAGCACAUCGGCACCUAAACCAAAUCGCGCACCUAAAAAAACAAAAAAGCUACAACCCGUAAAACAAAAAAAAAACAAAAAAAAAAAACCCCCCCUAAAACUUUAAAUUAAAAAAAAAAAACAAAGAAAUAAAAAAAAAAAAAAAAAAAAAAACUAAAAAGAAAUUAAAAGUACUUUACACCCUGGGAGUACGAAAAUGUAUACAGAUCUGAAGCAUCAAUAUUACUUGUGGCCCUGGAAUGAAAAAGGAAGUUGCGGACUUUUGAUAAGUGGCUUAACGUGUCAGCCAGGUUAAAGCUGAACAUUGACUUCUUGCGCGGAAACUUCAGAGCUUACCACAAGUGUGGAAGUGGGAAGGAUCACUAUGGAUUUCAUCUUGUGUAUUACCUCGCUCACAACGCAUGUCACGAUGCAAUUUGGUAAAUUGUCGAAUCCGAGUUGUCUACAAUUGCCACUUUUAUUUCUAUAUUCAUACUGUGUGUCGGGGGGAUAGACUCGCACACAGUGUAUCUUGAAUGAAUCUGUCAUUAUACGCGAGUACCUACUUUCUAUUGUUCACGAUCGAGAACACCCAUUCCGUUCACAUUUCUGAAGAGCUUCCAGAGUGCUAUGGGUACCCCGCACUGAAUUUUAUUACUUGCUUUCCACCCGAGAGCGAUGCAGUCUGAGCCGUACCAUCCAGACCCUUGAGGAUACUUUUGCGGGCUGUGGACUUGACUAUCAGGGCAGUUGGCCACAGUUCUUCGCCUAUGGCUGAAUUUGCUCUAUAACAAUAAGUUAUCAGCCAGUAUUCAGACUAGCAGCGGUUUGAAGCCCUUAUAGGUGGAGACAAGUGCAGAGAUCACCCACUUCAAUUGGAUGUGAAGUGCGGGAGAGAUUUGGUUUGGUCCCGAUGUAAUUACAAUAGUUCAAGCCUAAAGUUCGACUUGCGCGAGAACGUCCUAUGACACGCCCAAAGUUCGACAAAAGAGUCUAUGUCGGACACAACGUACCGGCGAGAAUUGGGGAAUUUUAGUCUGGCGAUCAUCCCGUUAUUUCUGCUGAAGUGUCUUAUCCAACGAAAGGAGUUAAGAGAUUUGGUAUUCGAGGAAAGUUGAGUCCUCAAUUUAUUGGCACCUACAGCUGUUGCGAACGAAUAGCCCCCCGUAGUUAUCGGUUGCCUUGCGGCCCGAACUCAUCGGGAGUCCACGAUGUAUAUUCAUGUAUUCUACCUCUCACGAGAAAUAAUGUUUUUGAUCCAACUCAUACUACGUUCGGAGGUACUCAGUGGAUUGUACACUCGAAGAUUGUAGCUUUCGAGAGCAUCCCAGUAGGAUACUAUCGAGAAGAUAAAACGGCUUCGAAAACCCGAAGAUCCCUUACGAAAUGAUCCUCUUGGAACAACUCAUGCAUGAACGGGAAGCCACUGGGAACUGGAAGAGUGCAAUGCAAGGCCAUCUAUCCUAUCUACCUUCUCGAUGGACGUUGAGGUAUGUGUUUACAAGUUUUGCGAACGAAACUUCUUCCUUAGAGGCGGUGAGACUGUAUACACUGGACUUCGCAAAUUGCAGAGCUUCGAGUGUGUGGAAGGAAGUGUGGAACUAUUCUACAUGUGUCUAAAUGAUCUAUGGACAAGUUUUUUGAAAAGUAGAGAGUGAUUGUGAGGGUUACAAAGUGGUGAGAAAUUGCAUCAAACAGGCGAAAUUAGCCUUUUUCUGCUCUGUUGUUACCGUUUACCAUACUACCUGUAGUACAAACUGGCGCAGAAAUUUGGCAGGCAAGGCUAAUUGGUCAUCUUCACGUUUUUGAUUCUAAUCUAUUAACCAGCACGACUGGGAUACUCAGUGAGCUGUGGAAGUCCAGAGAAGUUUUCUCCCAUCUUUCUCUUUCUCCUCAUCUCUAUGGUGUUUUUUCUCUCUCUUACGUUUUGAAUCGCGAUUUUCGGCCUCGUCUUUCGUCGCCGCGUGCGUUCUUCGCUGGUGCGCAAGCUUUGCAGAAGCUAUGGCGUAGGGACACUGGUGAGAGACGUUAUUCACCUGGAAGGUUCUUCUGCAACUCUGAACCAGUGGCGCUUGCUGGUUGGAAGCUGAGAAGGUACCGACGCGAUGUUUUCAUCCGUAUCGGCAUUCUACUUCGUCGAUUUGAGUAUUGAGUUUGAGUUUUUGCUCUAACCGAAGUAAACUGAGAUUCAGCGUAUCUAUCUGAUGAAUUAUUCAGCUGCCUGAAUUAAGCUCCUUAGACUAGGGAUACUUCUUUGCAAGAUUAAUUCCGACGAGAAUUAAGCCAUUUAUGGAAGCUUAAUCGGAGAACUAUGACGCGGAUAUUGACGCAAGUUUCGUAUGAUUCCUUCGCAGCACGGUUUUCAACCAUUCAGAGCUAAAUCUUAGUGACCUUGGGAUUGAUUUAGAGGGUGUUCUAACCUGAGUAAGCAGGAUUUCCCUUCAAAACUGAUUUCGCAAGAAUCUCGUAAAUUCCAUAGUCAUACUGCGCCCGUUGAACGUCGUUAACUCUGAUUGUUGCGCAGCUCGACGUGCAAUCGACCUUUGGAUCACAUUUCACUCCAUUAUUGAGACGCUUUCUUGGAAUGCUUAACUUGAGGUAUCUCUAUUGAGCCAAACAGGGAUCUAACUAUGUACGAUGUACAAGUGCAUUCGCGCCGAAAUCCGGACAUUUCGAUCGUAUUUUGAUAGAUAUUUAGCUUCAUGUUCAGUCCAGGAUGUGCGACCUGAUGGGCUGACAUUUUUUUUUUCUUUUUUUUUUUUUUUUUUUCGCGGACUCCUUCGACUGAUGGGAAGCAUAGUACUAGGUUGGGUUGACCUAACCAGAGCCAAGUAAGCCCCCUAUGUUUAUAUGUAUUAUAGACGUGGUUUAAUUAUAUGCCUUUGUGAUGUUAACGAGGCUCGGAAUUCAUCAUCAUGACUGUUUAUCAUAUGUGAAAUGAGGUUCAUGCAUAAAAGUACUCAUGCCAUUUAAAGUAUCUUUGUUUAGUUCAGUAGAUACAACCAGUGAGAUCAGUUUAUUAUGUUUCUAAUGAUAUAGAGAAACAUAUAUACAUGGAAAGUAUUUCUUAUUCAUAUUCACAUCAGUUGAAUGGUUAUGAACAAGUGUUAUAGAUGCACUUUAAAGUAGAGAACAAUGACAUUCUCAACUGACUCUAACGUAGAAACUAUGACAUGCUCGAUGACUAUUGUUGAUAGUGCCAUACUAUGGGAAAGAUUAUCAAUACUAUGUGAUUUUAGCUUACCCUCACAUGAUUUACAAUCUACGUGGAUACUAGCUUUUGCUGUUACUAUUUGUUGUAUUGAAAUUUCCGAUCAGGAUCGAGGAGGAUCGAGGGUUUCUGAACUUUGCAACGUUGAAAAGUAUGAAAUGAGAAUGUGCGACUAUGGACUUUGCUUGCUUGCCAUCAGUGCUCAUUCGCACACGCUUGUGAGAGGUAGCUCCUAAAAGCCGGCGACUCCGGAGUUGGCCUCUACGCGACAAGUUGCUCAGCUCGUGCGGGAUUGGGUGCCGAAGUGGAUUGCCGUGGAGUGAGUGUAUACUACCACGGGGCCAUUAGGGCGGCCGCAAGCUGAGACUACCUUUUGAGUUAGGUCCUAGUGAAUACGAAAAUGAAAGUGGAAAAUGGAUAAUGAUAGUAAAUAAUGAAUGUAUCAGUGUGUACGUGCAUACAGUAGUACUUACACUUCUAUGAUUACUUUAUGUUUCAUGUUUUAGUAGUUGCGAUACGUUCUAUUAUUCAGUUUGAUUCUCUAUGCAGUAAUCUAAUGUUCUACAUGUUAAAUACAUGCCCUGUUAUCACGUUAGCAACUGCUAUUUCUAUAUCAUGCAUUUAUCGCUGUCUACUCUACUUUCCAGUACAUCAUGAGCACUCAGUGGUGUAAAUCGCCGAGGCCUGGCGGUUACCACUGGGAACUAUUGUUACAUAGUUCUUCACGCUCCUUUUGUGUUGUUUUUACAGAGCCAUCUACAGGAGAGGCUAGGGAUCGUGGCAAGGGAGUCGCGUCUAGCUAGACAUUGCUAGAAGCAUGCUAGUCAAUCAACUUGCUACUCGGGCUACGCCCGAGGGUGAUGUCCCGUUGUAUAGAGAAACCACCAUUGUACCUAUCCUAUUUUUGUAUACUCGUGAUGUAUAUGUACUACUUGGACCGUGAACUGCAGUUGUGAUACUUCUCUUCUGUCGAGAUUUUGGAUUGUAUUUUCCUUUGUUCUUUUACUGAUAGUAUAUCGACUUGUACAUUGCUCUGAUAUCAGGAUAGGACUCUCUUUGUUUUACUUCCUAUCGACUUGCUUUCUUUGUAGACGCCUUAUAUACUGCAGGUGUAUGGCGGGUCUGUGCACGUACCGGAUAUGCUUCCGCUGGUACCCGGGCGUGACAAGAACUUAGCUGCUGGGCAAUUCUCCAACCUACGGGGACCGGUCUCUCCUCUCAGGGACCGGUCCUUGAGAGCAGAAUUGCUGGGACUUAACCAUUUUCCCAACAAUCACUCUCCCGGGUCCCUACACCUUAUACAUAGAUUCUAAAGCACUUGGAACCCAUUGUAACUUGCUCCAACAUGUCCGACUCUACGUUCCGCUCGUUUCGACGGAACUCGGCACAUUUCUUGGGGAAGUGAUAAGUUACAUUCCCCGCCCCUUAAAAUUAGUUUCGUCCGCGAAACUCAACACGUACCUUAGUUCAUUUGCUCGAACAAGUGAGGAUAGACCUCGCGCAUCUUCUCCUUGAGUUCCCACGUGGAUUCACGCCUCGAGUGAUUACUCCAUUGCACUUUUACAUACGGAAUAGUCCGAUUCCGUAGCUUCCGCUCCUAUCAAGCAAGAAUGCUCGCCGGAAACUCUUCGUAAGUGACAUCCUCGCGCAACUCCACCGGCUCAUACUCCAACACAUGUGAGGAGUUCUGAAAAUACUUGCGGAGAUUCGAUACUUGGAACACGUUGCGCACUCUCACAAGCUUCGGCGGUAAUGCUAACUUGUACGCCACGGGCCCAAUCCGCUCAAGGAUCUCAUAAGGCCCUAUGUAUCGGGGACUAAGCUUCCCCCGAAUACCAAAUCGCUUUACCCCACACAUUGGCGACACCUUGAGAAACACACGGGCGCCAACCGCGAACUCCAAAUUCUUUCGGCGCUUAUUCGCAUAGCUUCGUUGCCGCGAUUGUGCCGUCAAUAAUCGUUGGCGAGCAAGAUGGACUUUCUCUUCCGCCUCUCGCACCACAUCUGGACCAAGGGUGACUCUUUCACCCACCUCACUCCAAUGAAUAGGAGAGCGACACCUACACCCAUAAAGUGCCUCAAACGGUGCCAUCGCUAUACUUUCUUGAUAAUUAUUAUUGUAAGCGAACUCCGCCAUCGGCAAAUACUCAUGCCACCCUCCAUUGUAAUCGAGUACACACACUCGCAACAUAUCCUCGAGUAUCUGAAUUGUCCUCUCUGACUGGCCAUCACUCUGAGGAUGAAACGCCGUACUGAAAUAGAGCCGCGUGCCUAGAGCAUCCUGCAAGCUCUUCCAGAAAUGAGAAGUGAACCUGUUAAGUCCUGUGUGUUGGCAAGUUUCGUGAAGUGAGUCGGAGUCUUGAAAAAUCGAUACGUAUCGUCGAAGAUCGAAGAAUUAAAGAUUUCGAAGAAAUUGGAAAAUGACUCACGAUGUGAAUCACGAUGUCUAGGUAAAGUGUUAAUUCAUGUUGUGGUGAUUCAUACUUAGUUGUAGGCAUUAGAAUCAUAAUACCAAUAUUUACUGGAUUAGAAAGUGCAUCGAAACUUUGCAAAACUCGAAACGGUGAAAAUUUGCAAAGUGUACCGGUACAGCAUCAGAAGUGUACCGGUACAAAAUGUGUACCGGUACAGCCAUCGACAUGUAACCAGUUCCACUGUUUCAUCAGUUUUUUCGUUCCGUCAUCGUGUAACCGGUGACAGCUUAAAGUGUACCGGUACACAGUGUAAAAUCGUAAAAACUUUCUAAUCCGACUCCGAUUGAUUCUAAAACCUAUAAAUAAGCUAUUGGGGUUCUCUAACUUAUCAAGUAUCAUGAAAAUACAUGUUUGAGAAAUCCUAGAGGCUCGGAUUUCAUCUAAAACCUAUUUUCUACAUAUUAGCCUCUUUUAGGUCAAAUCGAGAUAUUAGAAUUUCAUAUCUAUAUGUCGAUUUGAUCUUCGCUUCGCUUGGAGUUCUCUUCCUGGUUUUCAUCGAUACUCUAAGUGAAGGAUCACCAUACACAUGAUGUUCUUCAUAACGGCGUCGUGGAUUCGGCGUGACUGACGGCGGUUCGUGGAUUCGGAUCGUGAGCUUCGUGGAUUCGGAGCGGAGGCGUUUCGUGGAUUCGGAACGUGGCGUUCGUGGAUUCGAACGUGAGAGCGUGGACAACCCGGAGGAUUGCGCGAGAUUCAUAGGAGGUUAAGAGAGGUUAAGUCCGUGGAGUCGGUAAUCAUCUUGUAAUCUUUUCUCUUAGUGAAUUAUUUCUUCGCGUGUUGGUCCCGUGGGUUUUUCUCCAAGUUGGAGUUUUCCCAUGUAAAUGUCGGUGUGAUUUUUAUUUUCCGCAUUUAUUUUUAUCGCAUUGAGAUUUGUGGUUUUUGGCUAUUACACCUAUUCACCCCCCUCUAGGUGUUAGAUACAAUCUAGAUAGAUCCUUGGGCUCCUCAAAACUUACAAUUGGUAUCAGAGAGGGAUCUAGAUAAAUUGUUAUCUAAUGGCCGAAGGCGGAAACAUUAAUCGACCACCGCUCUUCGAUGGGACAAACUAUGCUUAUUGGAAAGUUCGCAUGAGAGCUUUUCUAAUCGCAAUCGAUGAGCGCGUUUGGCAAUCAAUAGAAUUUGGAUGGAAACAUCCUAUUGAAAAAGUCGAGAAUGUUAAAACGCCAAAACCACAGAACAAGUGGACGAAAGAUGAAAACAAGUCAUCUUCGUUUAACGGUAAAGGAAUUAAUGCUUUAUUCAAUGCUUUAUCGCAAACGGAGUUUACUCGUGUUUCGGCAUGUGAAACAGCAAAGGAAAUUUGGGAUACUCUACAAGUUACGCAUGAAGGAACAAGCUUAGUAAAGGUUCAAAAAUUACAAAUGCUAACAAGCAAAUUUGACUCAAUUUUUAUAGAAGAAAACGAGACCUUUACCGAGUACUAUACGCAUCUACAAGACGUUGUGAAUACAUGCGCUAACUUGGGAGAGAAAAUCCCGGAUGCUAAGGUUGUUAGAAAGAUUCUUCGAACUCUUCCCGAACGCUUUUGGGGCAAAGGUUGCCGCAAUCGAAACCGUUAAGCAUCCGGACGAGAUGAAAGUCGAAGAGUUAAUAGGCGCUGUACAAACGUAUGAGAUGACUUUUCCUACUAACCCAUCUUCUUCCAAGUUUUUUUCUAAAAGCACAGGGGUUGCACUCAAAUCAACAAAGAAAGAAGAAGACGACUCGGAUUCUGACGGAGAUAUUUCGCUCGCCGACUUUGAACAUCAAUUGGCGCUCCUCACGAAGAAGUUCCGACAGAAUUUUCGAAAGAAGAACAAUUCGGACAAGGCUUCAUCUUCGAAGCAUAAAUCUUUUUCAAGACAAUCUUCAAGUGCUAAAUCUAAGGAUAAAAAACUUGCAAAGUCUUCGAAAGAAAAAGAUGAAUUUGAAGGCGAAAUUCAAUGCUACAAAUGCAAAGGCUACGACCAUAUUGCAAUGGAUUGUCCUUCAAAGAAGUCUUAUAAGCAAAAGGCUUUGCAAGCUAAGACUUGGGAUGAUUCUUCUUCUAGUGAAUCAUCUUCAAGUGACGAAGAAAAGAGGGAUCACAUUGCUUUAUUUACUAACACUUCUCUACCUUCAUCUAACGUUGUUUGUUUAUCCUCAAUUGUUUCUAAUUCUAAUGUUUCUCUCUCUUCGCAUGAGUUUUCGAGCGACAAUAGCAGAAGCGAGGAGGAAUCAAACGACGAGGAUAUAGCGGAAGCAUACAAUCAACUUCUUAUUGAUUCGAAAAAGAUGACCAAGCUCAAUAAGAAGUUGAGGUGUCGGUUAUUGGACAUUAAAGAGGAGAACAAAAAUGUGAAGACCACGAAUAAAGCUCUUGAGGAGGAAAGGGAAUCAAUAUUGAAAAACAAUUCGAUCCUCCAAAAGAAGCUAGAGAAAGAGGAAUUAACGGUCAAAUCAUCUAAAGACAAGAUUGAAUUUUUGGAGCAUCAAUUUCAGGAAAUUCAUGCAUCCAAUCAAGUCUUAACUAGUCAAGUUUGUCAACUCAAAUCCGAUCUUCAAAAAUUUUCUUCUGGAUCAAAGAAACUAGAUCAUAUGCUCGGAUUGGGUCAAACAAACAAGUUAGGCCUCGGAUAUGAAAGAACAAGUGUUGAGAAGGUUUCAAAAUUAACUUCUAAAGUCUCAACAACUUUGAAACAGAAGGUGUGUCAUAAAUGUGGAAUCAAAGGACACAUCAAAAAGAAUUGCCCAAAUAAGGAAAAGAAGAGUCAAUCGGCAAUGUUGGAACCUCAAUCGGCAUCAUCUACAACUCGGCUUCCCCCACGGAAUCAAAAGAAAAUUCAACUGGGUCGAGUACCUCAAGGGAACCGGACUUCUAAGCCGCAAUGUCAAGUUCAACCAUUCCCACAAGCAAACCGGAAUUCAAAGUUUCAUCAACAAUUCCAACCGAAGCUUCAAGCGACGAAACGACCAACGGUUGAUCAAAACUUAAAGCAAAUUGUGCUUAACGUCGACAAGACAAGACAACGGAAAAUCCGACAAGUUUAGAUUCGGAAAGGUGAUAUCUUUCCUUACUCUUCGUCUUAGUUUGUUUUGAUUGUUUAUGUAAUGUUUUGAUUGGUGCUUGUUGCAUAUUUUUUUUCAUUGCAUUACAUGAUGAUUUCCGUGUGCAAAAUUUAAAAAAAACAAAAAUUUGAGAAAGGAUGUUUGGGAAUUUUAAAAGUUUUUUGAGAAAGGAGACGAUUGAAAAUCUUUAUUUUGAGGAGAUUAGAAUUUUUUCCAAAGUGUUUUUAACCGGAAUUCAUCUUGAAUUAAAUUCAUAUUAAUUAUCGGUUUUACUCCACUUUUUAUUAUUUUGAUGAUAAUUUAAUAUAUGAUUUCUUAAUACAUAUAUUCAACAAAAUUUUGAAAUCAAAUUUGAUCUCUUGAUGAUUAAUCUAUCUCGGUUGUGUGUGUUGGAUAUGAUAGAUGGAUAUUCGCUAAUAGACUAAACUUUGUCAAAAUAUUUUCAAUUGUGAGAUUGUCUAAUUUAGGGGGAGUUUGAAAUUAUUUUUUAAAAAAAAGAGAAAAAAAGGAAACUCCUAUGUUUAAAAGAUGUGCAAAAAGUUACAUCCAAAAGUAGUGUGAAAACUACCACCACAUGUAGGAAAGAGCUACCACCUUGGUCAUUCGACAAGUGUGUGAAGCUACCACAUGAAGAUUGAAUUGAAUAACCGAAAAGGUCGAAAAAAUUGAAUAUUUUAGAAUUUUCGGAGUUAUAUGGUGUUUGUUUGAAAAAGAAGCUCAAAGAGCCACCCCCGGUAUCAUAUUAGUAAAAUCUCUAUUUUGAACGGAUUGCGACAAAUUGGUGUCAAUUUUGCCGAAUUUCUAAAAAUCAUUUUUCGUGAACCGUUACAUCUUUAUGAUUUUGAAACUCGAGGUCAUGUUUGAUAACAAAAUUGUGAUAUUUCGAUGUAUUUUGAAAUCUUAUAAUAUUUUACCUUCAUUAUAAUAAUUUUUGGAGUAAAGUCCUUAAUUUGUAUGAAAUUAAUUUAAGUUUAAAGGGUUUUUAAAUUCAAGUUUUCAAAAUCUGGAAAAGUGUACCGGUACAAAAUCCCGUGUACCGGUACAAAUUACUGUAGCCGCGGAAAUAAAACCGGUUACAGGGCUUUUUUUCUCCUCCAAAUCUAAAUCAAAUUUCGUUCUCUCUCUCUCUCUAAAAUCUCUAGGAGACUUUUUCUUCCAGAUCUACUCGGUUUUUCCAAAAAUUAGUGAGUAUUUAGCUUGGAUUUAAUCGUUUCAUCGCGUUCUUGCCUAUUUUUCGAAAAUAUUCCGAGUUGAAGUUAGAUCUCUGUUUUGAUUCAUUUUUGAUGGAAUUUUUUGCUUCGUUUCAGUUUGUAUGCAUGUAUUCUUGCUUCUAGAACGUUUAGAUCAUGUCAUAAUGCGUUAUUUUUCGCUGAUCUAUGUUCCUUAUAUCAUAAUACAUGGAAUUUCGGGAUUGUUCUUGAAAUAUCAAUUUUUGAUGAAAUUUUUUGCAUGAAUGAGUUUGAAAUAGCGUUAGUAUGCAUUCUAAGAAUAUUAGAUAUUUUUUCGCUAUUUUUACAGAUUUUUUCAAAAUUUUCUUCAUGUAUGGCUCAUUUUAAUGUAGGAAAAUGGUGUUUUCGCUUGUGAUUCUGCAUUUGGUGCUUAUGGCCGCGGGUCGUGGCCGUGGUAGUGGUCGAGGACGUCGCGGGACAUCAAAGAGAACUCGUACUGCUAACGAGUCAUCAGGAUCCGAUCCGGAUUAUCAAGCAAGCUCACUUGAAGCUACUGAAGAAGCUGUUACUAGGGCUGCUAAAGGAAAAGGCCUAGCAGGAGAAUCCUCGCGAGGAGGUGAUUCUCGUGCGUGUGAGAGUCGCUCCAAACGUGCUGCAAAGGCUUCGUCAGAGCGACGGAGGAUAUAUUCGAGCCGAUCAGUUCUAGCUGAGCGCUAUGUCAACUUUACUGAGCUGAUCAAGGAGGUACCAGAUUUUGGUCGAUUGCUGCAGAGGGUCCCUAUUGAGCCCGUAGGACGGGUUCCAGCUCGUGCUCCAUUCUGUGUGGAACUCAUUCGGGAGUUUUACAUGAACGGGAUGAUGCUUGCAGAGGAUGAGGAGACUGGGAUUUAUGUGUUUGAGACAUAUGUGCGUAAGCAGAAAAUUCAAGUCACUCCUUACACGAUUGGAGAGCACUUAGGCAUGCAUGUUGAUACUACCGGCCUUCACUAUACGACAGGGCUUUAUCAGUCUUCGACCCACUGGGAGAUUGUUAUAAAAGCUAUAUGCAAGGAAGGCAUGAGGACAAAUCAUUCAUACGUGGAAUCCAAAGAUUUGCUACCCGAGUAUCAUCUACUCUCCUUGGUGAUGAGCUACAAUGUUCAACCUACAAUUGGAACAAAAAGGAUUCGUUGGGAUCGUCUGGUGCUUUUAUAUCUUCUUGGAUAUCCUGAGGAAGCGGACGGGUUGAACAUCAAUAUUCCCUUUCUGAUGUGGCAAAGAAUGGCUCAUGUCAUACAGUCUCAAGUUCGACGUGAUCUACUUCCGUUUCCGUUGCUGAUCACGAGGAUUCUUCAAGAAUACGGAGUUGACGUGUCGUGUGAGAAGUAUGACAUUGGACUUGGACCGAUUGAUGCUGUAACCUGGGCCAAGUCAAGAAGCACACUAAAGACUUUUCAGCAAACUAAGGGAUCAUCCAAAGGAGCUUCUAGUUCAGCACCUCCACCUCAUACAGAGCAUGAGGGAUCUUCAAGCUCAGGGGGAGUGAUUACUGUAGAAUCACUUCACCAUGAUGUGCGCUCGUUGAAGAAGAAAGUGGCAGAUCUUGCUAGAAAGGUAGAAAUGGGAAUGAAGAGAAUGAUGGAGAAAUUGGAAUGUAGGCAUGAUGAUAUUUUUCCUACUCAGUCUACCUACUCCACUUAUACCAGAUCGACAUCGCGACAUCCACUCAUUCCACUGUCCGGUGAUGCUCGUGAGGCUGGGGGAUCUGGAGCUGGCGCAGGAGAUGAUGAUGAUGAUGACGAUGACAUGGAGUGAUUUCUUCCUCGAGCUCAGUCUUUUUACUUCACUGUGUUUGCUUUUUAGGACGAUGUUUUAGUUUAGCUUUGCUUGCUUAUCUUUCUUUUGCUUUAGGCCUGUAACUAUGACUUGACUACUCUUAUACUUUCUAGUAUGUUUUCUCUCUUUAUAUGCUUUAUCUUUGGCAAUUUUUGCAAAAAGGGGGAGAGCAAUGAUGAACAGGUGUUGAUCGAAGCAGUGUAACUUGUAAGAGUGUCUAGGUUUCAACUUUCUAUAUCUUUUUGGAUAAAUUGUUUUGCAGGAAAUCAAGACUUCAAGACUCCUUGUUGCGUCUAAGUCAUAAAGUCUGUUUUAGGAGUUUUUUAUGUACUUUUGCAUUUCAUAUUGUAUUUGGAUCACAUGCGAGGGGUUCAAUGUUUUGGUGAUGACAAUUGAACUUCGUUUCUUUAAGAUGUAAUUUUUGAGUUUUUGUGUGUUUUGUCAUGAAAUUGCCAAAGGGGGAGAUUGUUAAGUCCUGUGUGUCGGCAAGUUUUGUGAAGUGAGUCGGAGUCUUGAAGAAUCGGUGCAUAUCGUCGAAGAUCGAAGAAUUCAAGAUUUCAAAGAAAUUGGAAAAUGACUCACGAUGUGAAUCACGAUGUCCAGGCAAAGUGUUAAUUCAUGUUAUGGUGAUUCAUAUUUAGUUGUAGGCAUUAGAAUCAUAAUAUCAAUAUUUACUGGAUUAGAAAGUGCAUCGGAACUUUGCAAAACCCGAAACGGUGAAAAUUUGCAAAGUGUACUGGUACAGCAUCAGAAGUGUAUCGGUACAAAAUGUGUACCGGUACAGCCAUCGACAUGUAACCGAUUCCACUGUUUCGUCAGUUUUUUCGUUCCGUCAUCGUGUAACCGGUGACAGCUUAAAGUGUACCGGUACACAGUGUAAAAUCGUGAAAACUUUCUAAUCCGACUCCGAUUGAUUCUAAAGCCUAUAAAUAAGCUAUUGGGGUUCUCUAACUUAUCAAGCAUCACGAAAAGACAUGUUUGAGAAACCCUAGAGGCUCGGAUUUUAUCUAAAACCUAUUUUCUACAUAUUAGCCUCUUUUAUGUCAAAUCGAGAUAUUGGAAUUUCAUAUCUAUAUAUCGAUUUGAUCUUCGCUUCACUUGGAGUUCUCUUCCUGGUUUUCAUCGAUACUCUAAGCGAAGGAUCACCAUACACAUGAUGUUCUUCAUAACGGCGUCGUGGAUUCGACGUGAUUGACGGCGGUUCGUGGAUUCGGAUCGUGAGCUUCGUGGAUUCGGACUGGAGGCGUUUCGUGGAUUUGGAACGUGGUGUUCGUGGAUUCGAACGUGAGGGCGUGGACAACCCGGAGGAUUGCGCGAGAUUCAUAGGAGGUUAAGAGAGGUUGAGUCCGUGGGGUCGGUAAUCGCCUUGUAAUCUUUUCUCUUAGUGAAUUAUUUUUUCGCGUGUUGGUCCCAUGGGUUUUUCUCCAAGUUGGAGUUUUCCUACGUAAAUCUCGGUGUGAUUUUUAUUUUUCGCAUUUAUUUUUAUCGCAUUGAGAUUUGUCGUUUUUGGCUAUUACAUCUAUUCACCCCCCUCUAGGUGUUAGAUACAAUCUAGAUAGAUCCUUGGGCUCCUCAAAACUUACAGAAGCGGGGGUCUCGAUUUGACACAAUCGAUAAUGGAACCCUAUGCCAUCUCACUACCUCAUCCAAGUAGGCUUGUGCUAACUUGUCUCCUAACCACGUGGUGUGUAUCGGCAAGAAAUGAGCCGACUUCGUCAAACGGUCCACAACCACCCAUAUUGCAUCAUGUCCGGCUUGCGAUCGGGGUAGUCCGACUACAAAGUCCAUCGCUAUGUCCUCCUAUUUUCACACGGGGAUUGGUUAGCUCUGCAACUUCCCCGCGAAAAAUCGACGCUCGACCUUCACUUGUUGGCACGUCAAACACUGUGCCACGAACUCCUCAAUGUCUCUUUUCAUGCCCGGCCACCAAUAAUGCAAUUUCAGGUCUUUGUACAUCUUAGUGCUGCCCGGGUGAAUACUAUACGGGGAAUGAUGCGCUUCUUGCAACACCAUCUUACAGAUCUCGUCAUCCUUGGGCACACACAACCGGUUUCUGAACCGAAGUGCAUCGCCGGAUCCCACGCCGAAAUCACCGGCGCGUCCGGCGUCAAAGUCAUUCCGCACCUUUUGGAGAUAUGGAUCAUCAACUUGCCGCUCCUUAAUCCGUUCCAAUAAGGUCGGUCGAACCACUAGCGCCUCCAAGAUGGUCGGAACCUCUGGCGCCACCACUUCCAAUCCAAACCGUUGCAUUUUCUUUUGCAACAACGAUUGACUAGUAAUCGCCGUCGCCAAGUUCUCAACAAAUUUCCUACAUAGCGCAUCGGCAACGACAUUAGCUUUCCUGGGGUGGUAUAGGAUAGUAAGGUCAUAAUCCUUCAACAGCUCCAACCACCGCCGCUGUCGCAUGUUUAACUCUUUUUCGGUGAAUAAGUACUUGAGGCUCUUGUGAUCGGUAUAUACCUCACAAUGCUCACCGUAGAGAUAAUGCCUCCAUAGCUUUAGCACGAAAAUGACCGCCGCUAACUCAAGAUUAUGUAUCGGGUAGUUCUUCUCAUAGCUCUUCAACUGGCGCGAAGCAUAUGCAAUGACUCGCCCAUUUUGCAUAAGUAAGAACACACCCGAGACCAUUGUAGGAAGCAUCACUAUACACCACGAAACUCUCUCCCGGAUGCAAUAAUUAAACUGCUUGUGACCCGAAUUGUGAAGAACCUGGUAGAGCUCGGAAAUGAGGUAAGCUGAAUGUUUAUCCCUGGUUUGAGUGUUUCUUUUGAUUGCCUAAGUUGAAGAAGGCAACAAGCAAUUGAGUUCUGAGCUUGAACUAGUAGCAAAAGUGAAAUUUCAGCAUUGAGAUUGAGUACAUUGAGGCUUAUUGAAGCUACUAUAGUAGUAAUGCAUAUACUACUUAGAGUCGAGAUACAAGUUUCGCUGAGGUGUAUGUAUAACUUCAGUUUAAUCUCUUUUAUUCUCCUAUGAAGGAAAGUUAAAUAUACUCAAAGGUCUAAAUUAAUAUUUCGACAGGUUCUUGGUACGCUAAUUACGAUAAAGCCAGUUAGGCUCUAUUUGCAUCUAGUCGGGUGAUACCUUCGUGGAUUCAGCCCGAGACGUGAGUUCUAAUUGUUAGCAUCACUACAGGUGGGUGGUGCUAUCCGAAGUCUUUGAAUCACCUUUUAUGUCUAUGGUUUUCCAUUGAGCAUAUUACUUGUAUUCAUGCAUCACAGGGUAGUGAUAUUAUGAAAGUGAUAUUUGAAUAUGUGAAUGUUUAUCAAUGUUGAGAAAAUGUGAACUUAGAGUGUGAACAUGGAACCCUAUGAAGGUAUGGACUAUAGCAAUAGUAAACUUGGUGACAUUCAACUAGAGAUUUGGUUAGCAUCGAAAGAUGGAAUUGUGAAACUAGUAUAAAGAACUAGUUAGAGUAAAGUGUGACAGUGUUUGUCAGUUGAAUCCUCUAAAAGGGGGAUCAGAUCAUACUCACAUUUGUUUGGUUCAAGUGGGGUCGCUCCCCCUUGGACGAUGAGCUCCGGAGUAGUCAUCUUUACUGGACCAGGAGGUUGCGUCUCCCCCAGUUGACAGUCCCGUCGGGUGCAGGUUGCGUCUCCUCGAUGUUUGGGAUAGUGUCAGUGAGUUAUUGUUAACCAAGAGUUAACCAGUGAAUUGGGUAAAUUCAAUAAAAGCAUGCAUAUUUACAGUUUUCAUAUAUUGCUUCUUUCAGCUUUGUACAGGCAUUGUAGUAGUUACAUGUUUAGUGGUUACUAUCUGUUUGCUUUUCUUGCCUACAUAUGCCUGAAUAGACCUAGUGGGUGAGUCGGCGAGGUCGGUGGCCGAACCCACUGGGAACUUAUUUGUAGUUCUCACACCACUAACCAUACAGGUUCCAGUGCGAGUGUUGUGGCCGAGGAUUGUGGCAAGGGCCCUGCAGCUUAGCUAGCUGACACCAGAGUUUUAGCAGUUACCAUUUUGAGUUCAUGUAUCAUCUAUUUUGAUGUACUGAAACAUUUAGUUAUAUACAUGCUUUAUAAUACAUACAUUAACAUGUCUCACUGGAACCUUUACCGCGGUCGCUCGCCGGCUCGCUCGGUCCCGGCUCUGUGGAAUAGUGGGUGAGAACUACAACAAAGUUCCCAGUGGGUUCGGUCCCAAUCUCACCGACUUUUCCACUAGGACUAAUUCAGGCAUAAUAGAAAGGAUAAGCAGAAUAGUAGCCAAACUAUAAUCAUGAUGCUAAUAUGCUUGAACAAUAAAGCAGGAAGUAUGCUCAAUGUAAAUCAUGCAAGUAUGCAAGUUCUUUGUUCUUUACGUUUUGUUCUUUAACCUUUGUUCUUUGUUUUUUAAUCUCAAGGCUAACCGGGGGGUUUCGUCACAUUAACUUGCCCACAUUAAAUCCAUCAUCGCGGGCCCUCAGCUGCCUCCCGCUAAGACCGUCCUCGGGUUUACUCCAACCCGUGAUGCAAAAACUCCGGAGCGCAUCGCUCGAGGGGGAGCGACCGCCUCGAGCACGGAACUCAUAGCAAGUAUGAUCGAUUUUUAACUCUAAGGAUAUAUAGUUCAAUCAUUGUCUUUACACUAACUCUAGUGUUCUUUACAUCACUUUAUUUUGCUAACUCUAGCAAUCAUUGUUCUUUAACUUUACUCGUUCUUUAUGCCACUUUCAUUUUCUUUCCCUAUCUCUAAUCAUUAUCAUUGUUCUUUGCGUCACAUUUCUCUUUGAUGCCACACACACUAACUCUAGUGUCACUUUUCUUUACAUUAUCGAAUGCCACUCGAUCUAUAUUUUAUUGUGUCACUUUGUUCUUUCAUCUCAUUGGGUGCUCACAUUAUAUCUCAUGCAUACAUAUAGGGUUAAAUAGGCUCUCAAACAUUUCAAAUAGCAUGUGUACUCACAUCAUGCAACAUUCACAUGUAUAUCAUCACAUCUACCCUAUAAUGCAUGCAACAAUAUAAAUAUAUGCUCAAUUGAAUGACACAUUAGGCAUAGAGGGAAUUCCAACAAGUUUGGAUAGCAACCCACCUCGUAAGCGUACUAGGAUACUACAAUGAUUUUCUUGGGAUUUUUAGCCUCUUAGUUCAUCACCUGCGGCAAAACGAAGUCCCAUUAGGCUAUUUUGCUCAUAUCUUUACAUUGGCUUUUCGUAACGUCAAUCCGAGCGCACCAACGCGUCGGAAAUACCCCCAAUUAGGUUUCUAGAGGGUCAAUUUCGCUUUGAAACCCUCCAGAGCAAAAGCCCCAAAUUUGGGUGCCCUAGCUCAUAGCGUAUCAAAACCUAGGGUUUGAUCUCUUAGAGAAGCAAAAGUAAGCUUCAAAUCAUCUAAAGGUUCCAUUUGAACCAUCCUUAGCUCAUUCAAAACCCAUUUUAGGGUUUCACCAUGGGAGGGAUGGAAGCUUUCCUCUAAGCUUCACCACCAACACCCAAAUCCAUGGUUUUGAUCUCUAAAAGAAGCAAAAGAAAGCUUCAAAUACUUAAUAGGUUCCAUUAAAACCAUUUCUAGGUCCAUUCAAACCCUAGUUGAGCUUUACCACUAUUGGGGUUCAAAGCUUACCUUGUAAGCUUUCCUUUUCCAAGCUAGGGAAGGAGAGGAGGGGUCUUCUUUUCCUCCUUGCCUUCUUCUUCACCUUCUUUCUCUUCUUUUCCUCUUCUUUCUUUGUCUUCUUCUUCUCCUUCUUGUCUUCUAGAGAGAGAAAGAGAGAUGAGAGGGAGUGUGUGAGGGAGAGAAUGAGAGGAAAAAGCCCUCAAAGCCCUCCACUUAACCAUUAGGUUGCACAAAAGCAAAUAGGCCCCCCAACUUUCAUUUUAUUGAACUGCUCAAACUGGGCAGAUUUCGGGUUCGGGGACCGGUCUCCCCGACUUGGGACCGGUCCCAGAGAGCUGCUCCCCGCAGCUGCGCAGGGCUCCCCGCGAUGCAACCGGUCUCUCCCAGGGGGACCGGUCUCUCGGGGAUCGGUCUCUCUCCGCAGGGAUCGGUUCCCGAGAGCUGGUUUUCUGGGACUUAGCCGAUUUUCGGCCUUUCUCAUUUCUCACGCGUUCGGGGACUGGUCUCUCCCACCAGGGACCGGUCCCCGAGAGCACAAAACCUGCAGAAUGCAGAUUUUUGAUUCUUUAGCUCUCGAAAACCUCCCACAACGCACUUUCGGUCAUUUUAACACCUUCGGACUUUCCGAAGUGCACCAUCCUCGGGCUUUGGUCAAUUUGACUAAAGUUCGAUAUUUAUUUUCCGAAUUUUCGGUAUAUUAUAUUCUCCACCCCUUAAAAUAAUUUCGUCCACGAAAUUACGCAUACCUUAACUUGUCGACUCAAAUAAAUGCGGAUACUCUCUCCGCAUGGUCUCCUUGAGCUCCCAAGUGGCUUCUCGCACAGCAUGGUUGUUCCAUUAGACUUUCACAUACGGAAUUCUUUCUUCUCUUUCAAGGAUGCACACCGGGUACUCCUCAUAAGACAUAUCCUCACGUAACUCCAGGGGCUCGUGCUCUAACAUAUGUGUCGAGUUACGAAUAUACUUUCGGAGAUUUGACACAUGAAAAAUAUUGUAAACUCUCGCGAGUCUCGGUGGUAGUGCGAGCUUGUACGCUACUGCCCCCACACGCUCUAGUAUCUCGAAUGGUCCAACAUAACGAGGACUUAGCUUCCCGCGGACCCCAAAACGUUUGACUCCUCGCAUCGGCGAUACUCUUAAUAAUACGCGGUCUCCAACCGCAAACUCUAAGUCCUUUCUUCGCUUAUCGGCAUAACUCUUUUGUCGAGAUUGCGUCGCCGCUAAUCGUUGACGGGCAAGACGAACCUUUUCUUCCGCCUCCCGUACCACAUCCGGGCCAAGAGCCGUUCUCUCGCCCACAUCGCUCCAAUGAAUAGGAGAACGACACUUUCGACCAUAUAGUGCUUCAAAUGGCACCAUCGCUAUACUCUCUUGAUAACUGUUAUUAUACGCGAACUCCGCCAUCAGCAAAAAAUCAUGCCAUCCUCCCUUAUAAUCCAGUGCACACGCUCAAAGCAAGUCCUCGAGAAUCUGUAUUGUUCGCUCUGACUGUCCAUCACUUUGAGGAUGAAACGCUGUGCUGAAGUCGAGCCGUGUGCCUAGCGCGUCCUGCUGGCUCUUCCAAAAGUGGGAUGUGAACCUGGGGUCUCGAUUCGAUACAAUUGAUACCGGAACCCCAUGAAGUCUCACAACCUCGUCGAGAUAAACUUGAGCUAGCUUGUCUCCCGACCACGUAGUAUGUAUCGGCAAGAAGUGUGCCGACUUUGUCAAUUGAUCCACUAUCACCCAUAUUGCAUCAUGUCCGCCUUGUGAUCGAGGCAAACCGGUAAUAAAGUCCAUCGCUAUAUCUUCCCAUUUCCAAACGGGUAUUGAUAGACUUUGUAGCUUUCCCGCCGAAAAUCGGCGCUCGGCUUUCACCUGUUGGCACAUUAAACAUUGCGCCACGAACUCCCUAAUAUCUUUCUUCAUACCCGGCCUCCAAUAAUACUCUUUCAAGUCCUUGUACAUUUUAGUGCCGCUCGGGUGUAUACUAUAAGGGGAUUGGUACGCUUCUUGCAUGAUCGCCCUUCGUAACUCAUCAUCCUUAGGCACACACCAUUGAUUUCUAAAUCGAAGUGCGCCCUCGGCUCCAAUACCAAAGUCUUCGGCAUUACCACUCUCAACUUCACUUCGUACUUUUUGAAGAUAAGGAUCCGAAGCUUGGAGUUCCUUGAUCUUUUCCAACAGGGUCGGUUGCACAACUAAUGCGGCAAGUGUAGCUGACACUCCCGGCGCUACCACUUCCAACCCAAGUCUUUGCAAUAUUUUUUGCAAUAGCGGUUGAGGCGUAAUUGCCAUCGCUAAGUUCUCCGCUGAUUUUCUACUCAAAGCAUCGGCCACGACAUUAGCUUUCCCGGGGUGGUAUAGUAUAGUGACAACAUAGUCCUUUAGCAAUUCUAACCACCGCCGCUGUCGCAUGUUCAACUCCUUCUUGGUGAACAAGUACUUUAGACUUUUAUAAUCCGUGUAGAUCUCGCAAUGCUCACUAUACAAGUAAUGCCUCCAAAGCUUUAGCGCGAAGAUCACCGCAGCUAACUCAAGGUCGUGAAUCGGAUAGUUCUUCUCAUAGCUCUUUAAUUGGCACGAUGCAUAAGCAAUGACCCGCCCUUUUUGCAUUAGUACACACCCAAGACCAACAUAAAAGGCAUCACUGUAGACUACAAAAGUCUCCCCCGGAGUCAGUAAGGCAAGCACCGGGGUCGACGUCAAUCUGCUCUUUAACUCUUCGAAGCUCCGAUCACAAUCGUCGCUCAAGACAUACUUUACUCCUUUAUGCAUGAGGCGCGUUAGUGGAGUAGUUAUUUUAGCGAACCCCUACACGAACCGCCGGUAGUAGCCCGCAAGUCCAAAAAAACUGCGGACCUUUGCUACAUUCGUUGGGCGAGGCCAAUCCUUUAUUGCCUCUACCUUCUUCGGAUCUACCGAAACUCCGUCGCCCGAUACCACAUGACCCAAGAAUGUGACUUCCUUUAGCCAAAAGUCACACUUCUUUAACUUUGCAUAGAGCUUCUCCUGUCUGAGUAUUUGCAACACAGCUCUCAGAUGCUCCUCGUGCUCCUCUUCAUUCUUUGAGUAAACCAAUACGUCGUCUAUAAACACCACGACGCACCGGUCCAAUAACGGCCUGAAGACUCGGUUCAUCAAGUCCAUAAAUGCUGCCGGGGCAUUAGUAAGUCCAAAUGGCAUUACCGUGAACUCAUAAUGGCCAUACCGCGUACGGUACGCCGUCUUGUGCACAUCCUUCGGCCUAAUCUUUAGUUGAUGAUACCCCGAUUGGAGAUCAAUCUUCGAAUACACCUUGGACCCUUGCAACUGAUCGAAUAAAUCGUCAAUCCUUGGCAACGGGUACUUGUUCUUUAUCGUUACUUUCUUCAACUCGCGAUAAUCUACGCAGAGUCGAAGUGUGCCAUCCUUUUUCUUUACAAAUAGCACCAGAGCUCCCCACGGUGACACGCUCGGCCUCACGAAGCCUUUAUCGAGCAAGUCUUGUAAUUGGCCUUUUAGCUCCUUUAACUCUACCGGUGCCAUUCUAUACGAAGCAUUCGAAACUGGUUCCGCCCCGGGAAUCAAGUCAAUGACGAACUCAACUUUCCAGUCCGGCGGCAGUCCUGGUAACUCCGCCGGAAACACAUCCGGGUACUCGCACACUACUCGAAUAUCCCCCAACUCUGGGUACUCCUCCUUUCGAGCAUCCACCAUGGUUGCCAAAUAGGCCUUACACCCUCCUUUGAUCAUCCUCUUUGCCAUUACAGACGAUAUGGUCGCCACGAAGCGCCUACUUUUGCACGCUUGGUACACCAAUUCUUCUUGAUCAAGCUCACAAAAAGUGAUCACCUUGCUUUCACAAUCUAUAACCGCAUAGUACUUGGAGAGCCAGUUGGUCCCCAAGAUAACAUCGAAUCCCCACAUCUGAUCUAGCACCAGCAGAUCAAUCGGCAUAAUCCAAUCGCCUAUUUGCACUGGACACGCCAAACACUCAUUGUGGACACUGAAUGAAUGUUCAGGGACGUUCACCCACCAGUAAUCCUCAUUGUAUAUCAUCUCUAUGCCAUGAGUUUGAGCAAAUGAUCCGCUAAUGAAUGAAUGAGAUGCGCCUGUAUCAAAUACUGUUCUAGCUCUAGUGCCUUUAAUCACAAUUAUACCUGCCACGACGUCAUCGGGUGCUGCAGGUUGUUGCUCCUCCACCUGAGCGGCAAAGACUCGGCCACUAGGCGCUCUUGAUCCCUCCGGCUGACGCAGUGAUGACGCGCGCCCAGCCGACAUUGCUGGUGGCAACCCCGCAAGCUGUCUCGGGGUAGACGGUGAUGAUACCACUGCCGGUGCAGACGACGUCCACGUCGGAUACUCCCGGAUAAGAUGUCCCAGUUGGCCGCACUUGAAACACUUGCCAUCGCGCUGCGGGCAAGUCGACACUCGGUGCUCACCGCCACAAAUAACACAUCAAGGAGGUCUCCAGUUCUUCGACUGCUGUCGGGGAUACCGAGAGGGUUUCUUAGUAUUUGGCCGGCCCCCGGCACCACCCGCCGUUCGCUUCUUGCCCUUGUCCUUGCUCUCGGCCAUAGCCUCCUGUUCUUCACGUACGUGGGCGCUACCGUGCUCCGCCCACAAUGCCCUGUCAAAGAUCCCCGCAAAGGUCGACAAUUUCAGAAUCUGCACCUUUUCAUAGAUCCUCGGCUGGAGUCCUCGCAAGAACCAAUCAGCCCGAUCCCGAUCAUCUCGAACAACAUCGGGAACACAGUCAAUAAUGUGAGAGAACUCUUGCUCAUAUUCCCCCACCGAUCGAUCACCCUGUCUCAACUUGCGGAACUUCUCUUGUAGUCUCCGCUUUACCGUGUCGAGAAAGUAGUUCGCGAAGAUUGCUCUCUUGAACUCCUCCCACAGCAUAAGCGGAAGAUCGGUAGGUCGAUCCCGCUUGACUCGCUUCCACCACACCAUCGCCGCCUUCUCAAGACAAUGGGUUGUAAGGUACACUUUGUCCUUCUCCGAGGUAUUGAGAUCCUCGAAGAGCGUUUCCAUCGAGUCGAUCCACGACUCCACAACCGCUGGCUCCACCAAACCGCCUUCAAAGGUAGGUGGGUCAAACUUCUUAAAUUGAAUAAGAGCUGCCAACGUGCGCUCUCGCUCCGCCUCUAUCGCCGCAUUAUCGGGAUUUGAGGUUCCCGACCCAGCUGGUACUACCGUAACUGGAACAGCCGCUGCUGCCGCUGCUCCCCCGUCUACGCUUGGCACUACCACAGGGGGUGCGACAUGCUCGACACCCGCCUGGGCCGCCGCCGCUUGCUGAUGCUCCAAGGCCUCCUGGAGCCGCUGAAUCUGUUCCCCUUGGCGUUGAACAGACUCCGCUUGUUGCCGCACUACGCCUAUAAGUGCGGCCAUCUGCUCCCUAAGCUCUCCAUCGCCACUCGCUCCGGAUCGCUCGGGCUCUGCAUUCGGCUCUUGUGGCAUCGACCUUGUCUGCGGUCGACCACGAGGUGCCAUUACUUCCUGAAAAGAAGCAACUCGCAUUAGUUACAUAACCAACAUUACUUGACCAUACCCAAUUCGGCGAAAGCAACUUAUGCAUUCGUUCUCGCCCAAAGCAUCAUGUCGUCGGCCGCCCGACACAAAACAAGGAGUAGGAAACAAAUGAAAAUUAAACUUAGCCUCUAAUCACAUUAGAGACGUCCCAACUUAACCCAAUCACAUACUUUCGCUAACUUUGAUUCCACGUCACUCACGUUUUCUAGAUCCUUAAGGUCUUCCAAUCCUAAGGGUCUCUAGGUCCAUUCCUAUUCUUUUACUCUUGGCUCUGAUACCACGAUAUCUGUCACGCCCCGGGACCGAUACCAAUUUGGCCCGGCCCGAGCACGUCAAAUAGACGCCGAACGGUCAGAGUUUCCCCUGUCCGCCCAAGGCUCAUCACAUGUACAUUUUCAAACAAGAAGUGCACUAGCGGAAACAUACAUAAACGGCUUACACGAGGGUAAGCAAUAGCCAUGAGUGAAAGAAAGGAAGCUAACUACUACAUAAGUAUUAUGAUUCAUUUUCGAUCAUAUACAUUUCAUUUCAUCCAACUUGUACAUUCAUAAGGUCUUUACAUUUCUUUUCAUCAUUUCUUUUUACAUCACAUUAGCUCAAAUGAAGCAUUACAUUCUUUGCUUUACAUCACUAGUCAUCAAAUACAAAAGAUGAUCAUAGGUAUACUACUACAAAAUGUAAAACUCGACUUGGUAGUCACUGUCAAAGGCGCGAUACCUUUACCGCAGUCGCUCGCCAGCUCGCUCGGUCCCGGCUCUGUGGAAUAGUGGGGUGAGAACUACAACAAAGUUCCCAGUGGGUUCGGCCCCAAUCUCACCGACUUUUCCACUAGAACUAACUCAGGCAUAAUAGAAAGGAUAAGCAAAAUAGUAGCCAAACUAUAAUGAUGAUGCUAAUAUGCCUGAACAAUAAAGCAGGAAGUAUGCUCAAUGUAAAUCAUGCAAGUAUGCAAGUUCUUUGUUCUUUACUCUUUGUUCUUUAACCUUUGUUCUUUGUUCUUUAAUCUCAAGGCUAACCCGGGGGUUUCGCGACAUUAACUUGCCCACAUUAAGUCCACCAUCGCAGGCCCUCAGCUGCCUACCACUAAGACUGUCCUUGGGUUUACUCCAACCCGUGAUGCAAAAACUCCGGAGCGCAUCGCUUGAGGAGGAGUGACCGCCCUUGAGCACGGAACUCAUAGCAAGUAUGAUCGAUCCUUAACUCUAAGGAUAUAUAGUUCAAUCAUUGUCUUUACACUAAUUCUAGUGUUCUUUACAUCACUUUAUUUUGCUAACUCUAGCAAUCAUUGUUCUUUAACUUUACUCGUUCUUUAUGUCACUUUCAUUUUCUUUCCCUGUCUCUAAUCAUUAUCAUUGUUCUUUGCGUCACAUUUCUUUUUGAUGCCACACACACUAACUCUAGUGUCACUUUUCUUUACAUUAUCAAAUGCCACUCGAUCUAUGUUUUAUUGUGUGACUUUGUUCUUUCAUCUCAUUGGGUGCUCACAUUAUAUCUCAUGCAUACAUAUAGGGUUAAAUAGGCUCUCAAACAUUUCAAAUAGCAUGUGUACUCACAUCAUGCAACAUUCACAUGUAUAUCAUCACAUUUACCCUAUAAUGCAUGCAACAAUAUAAAUAUAUGCUCAAUUGAAUGACACAUUAGGCAUAGAAGGAAUUCCAACAAGUUUGGAUAGCACCACCCAUCUCGCAGGCGUACUAGGAUGCUACAAUGAUUUUCUUGGGAUUUUUAGCCGCUUAGUUCGUCACCCGCGGCAAAACGAAGCCCCAUUAGGCCAUUUUGCUCAUAUCUUUACAUUGGCUUUUCGUAACGUCAAUCCGAGUGCACCAACGCGUCGGAAAUACCCCCAAUUAGGUUUCUAGAGAGUCAAUUUCGUUUUGAAACCCUCUUGAUCAAAAGCCCCAAAUUUGGGUGCCCUAGCUCAUAGCGUAUCAAAACCUAGGGUUUGAUCUCUUAGAGAAGCAAAAGUAACCUUCAAAUCAUCUAAAGGUUCUAUUUGAACCAUCCUUAACUCAUUCAAAACCCAUUUUAGGGUUUCACCAUGGGAAGGGUAGAAGCUUUCCUUUAUGCUCACCACCAAUACCAAAAUCCAUGGUAUUGAUCUCUAAAAGAAGCAAAAGAAAACUUCAAAUACUCAAUAGAUUCUAUUAAAACCAUUUCUAGAUCCAUCCAAACCCUAGUUGAGCUUUACCACUAUUGGGGUUCAAAGCUUACCUUGUAAGCUUUCCUUUUCCAAGCUAGGGAAGGAGAGGAGAGGUAUUCUUCUCCUCUUUGCCUUCUCUUCACCUUCUUCCUCUUCUUUUCCUUUCCUUUCUUUCUCUUCUUCUUCUCCUUUUUGUCUUCUAGAGAGAGAAAGAGAGAUGAGAGGGAGUGUGUGAGGGAGAGAAUGAGAGGAAAAAGCCCUCAAAGCCCUCCACUUAACCAUUAGGUUGCACAAAAGCAAAUAGGCCCCUCAACUUUCAUUUUAUUGAACUGCUCAAACUGGGCAAAUUUUGGGUUCGGGGACCGGUCUCCCCGACUUGGGACCGGUCCCAGAGAGCUGCUCCCUGCAGCUGCGCAGGGCUCCCCGCGAUGCAACCGGUCUCUCCCAGGGGGACCGGUCUCUCGGUGUCACGCCCCAAUCCACGCCAAUUCGGUCUGGUUUGGGUCACGUCAACAGACGCCGAACGGACAGAGCCUCCCCUGUCACGCCCCGAGACCGAUGCCAAUUUGGCCCGACCCGAGCACGUCAAACAGACGCCGAACGGACAGAGUUUCCCCUAUCCGCCCAAGGCUCAUCACAUGUACAAUUUCAAUAAGAAGUGCACUAGCGGAAACAUACACAAACGGCUUACACGAGGGUAAGCAAUAGCCAUCAGUGAAAGAAAGGAAAACUAAACAUACACAAGUAACAUGAUUCAUUUUAGAUCAUAUACAUUGCAUUCAUGUCUUACGCUUUGGAUUCCUUUUCAUUUCAUUACAUUACUUCAUCAUUUCUUUCUUACAUCACAUUUACCUCAAAAUAAGCUUACAUUCUUUUCUUUACUUUAUACAUUAACAUCUUAAAUCAUCAAAUACAAAAGAUGAUAAAAGGGAUAAACUGCUAACAAAAUAUAACCCAAUUCAGGUGGCCUCUGACUAAGGCGCGAUACUUUUACCUCGGUCGCUCGCCGGCUCGCUCGGUCCCGGCUCUGUGAAAAUAGUGGGGUGAGAACUACAACAAAGUUCCCAGUGGGUUCGGCCUCAACAUCACCGACUUUCCCACUAGGACUAACUCAGGCAUAAUAAAAAGGAUAAGCUGAAAUAUGGUAACCAAUCUAUAACAUGAUGCUAAUAUGCAUGAACAAAAGCAAGGAAUAUGCUCAACAUUAAUAGAUGCAGAUUAUGCAUGUUCUUUAGUUCUUUUCACUUUACUCUUUGUUCUUUAUUCUUUGUUCUUUGCUCUUUAAUCAUUAAGGCUAACCCGGAGGUUUCGCCACAUUAACUUGCCUCACGUUAAGUCCAUCAUCGCAGGUACUCACCAGCUAGGACCGUCCUUACGGGUCUACUCCAACCCGGAUGCAUAACUCCGGAGCGCAUCGCCCGAGGGGGAGCGACCGCCCUCGAGCACGGAACUCAACAGCAAGUAUGAUCAUAUCCUUAACUCAAAGGAUUAUAGUUCAAUCUUGACUUUACACUAGCUCUAGUGUUCUUUACAUCACUUUAUGUUGCAAACUCAUGCAAUAACAUUCUUUACAUUCUCAUUACUCUUGCUAACUCUAGCAAUCAUUGUUCUUUGCAUUUCUUUUACUUUUGCUAACUCUAGCAAUCACAUUCUUUACUUUUCUUUUACUUUUGCCAUCUUUAGCGUUCUUGUUCUUUACAUUUCUCGUUCUUAUUGCCCCACUUUACUUUAACUUUACACAUUGUCAUUUUCAUCAUUCUUUACAUCACAUUGGUUCUUUGCAUCACACUAACUCUAGUGUCUCUUUACUUUACAUUUUCAAAUGCCACUCGAUCUAUGUCAUUGUGCCACUCUGUUCUUUUGCUCACUUUGGGUGCUCACAUUUUCUCUCAUGCAUACAUCUAGGGUUUUGACAUUAUUAGGUUCUCAACCAUCUCAUUAUGCAAGUUGUGCUCACAAUCAUGCAAUCAUCACAUUUCAUCAUUACUUUACCCUAAAAUGCAUGCAACAAUAUAUAGAACAUAUGCUCAAAGAAUGACACAUUAGGCAUAGAGAGAAGUUCAAUGAGUUUGAGAAGCACCACCCACCUCGUAGGCUUUCAAAGGUGCUCCGAUGAUUUUCUUGGGAUUUUUAGAUGCUGCGUUCUUUACCUGCGGCAAAACGAACCCUUAUUAGGCCAUUUUGCCCAUAACUUUUCAUCGGCUUUUCAUAACGUUAAUCCGAGCGCACCAACGCGUCGGAAAUACCCCCAAUUAGGUUUUUGAAGGGUCAAUUUCACUUAGAAAUCCCCAUGAGCAAAAGCCCCAAUUUGGUGCCCUAGCUCCAAUGCAUAUACAAAACCUAGGGUUUGAUCUCAUUGGGAAGCAAAAAUAGCUUCAUUAUACUCUAAAUAGUCCAUUAGAACCAUUCUUAGGCUUUCCAAAACCCUAGUUGGGAUUUCACCAUGAGAGGUGGUCCAAGCUCACCUCUAUAGCAAAUCUAGAUUUUGAUCUCUUUAGAAGCAAAAGAAAGCUUCAAAACUCUCUAAACAUUUCACUAAAACUCACUUCUAGGUCAUUCAAACCCAUUUCUAGGGUUUUACUACAUUAGGGUUCAAAGCUUACCUUAUAAGCUUUCCCUAACUUGCACUAGAGAGGAAGAAGAUGAAGCCUCUUUGCUCCAAAAGCUUCUUCUUCACCUUCUUCUCCUUCUUUUCCUUCCUUUCUUUCCUUCUUCUUCUUCUCCUUUGCCUUCUAGAGAGAGAGAGGGAGAGAAGAGAGUGUUUGAGAGGGUGGGAAUGAGAGAAAAUCUCAUUAACCCCCAAUACAUAGCUAUUGGGUUGCAAAAUUGCAGCUAAACCCCUCAACUUUCACUUUAAUACACUGCCCGAACUGGGCAUUCCGCGCAGGCAGAGACCGGUCUCCCCGAGCAGGGACCGGUUCCCGAACGUCCACCCUGCGCAGCCAGAGUCGCUGCGCGCGAUGCGACCGGUCUCCCUUUGAUGGGACCGGUCUCUGGGGGACCGGUCUCUCAGGCAGAGACCGGUUCCCGAGAGCUGAUCUUCCAGGACUUAGCCGAUUUUUCGGCUGUCUCAUUUCAUACGCGUUCGGGGACCGGUCUCUCCCACCAGGGACCGGUCCCCGAGAGCUGAAAAUCUGCAGUUUCGCAGAAUUUGAUUCUUUAGCUCUCGAAAACCUUCCACAACUCACUUUUGAUCAUUUUAACACCUUCGGAUUUUCCGAAGUGUUCCAUCCUCGCACUUUGGUCAAUUUGACUAAAGUUCGACAUUUUUAUUUUCCGAAUUUUCGGUACAUUACAUCCCCUGUCCGCCCAAGGCUCUAACCACAUAUAAUUAGGCAAUUAACAAGAGAAUUGCAUAUAUCAUACAAGGCUUACUCGAGGGCAAGCAACAACAGAAGCGAAAGCUCUAAGCUAAAUAUACAACACACGUGAUAUUUGAUUUCUUUUGAACCAAAUUCAAGUAAGUAAUAAUAUUACAUUCCAUUCAACCAUCAUAUCUUUUUACAUUUAGUCAUCCACCAAUUACAUGAUUGUUUUCACUUUACAUACCUAAAUCAACAAAAUAAAGUUGAUACAUAUAUAACAAAAGGGAAUGACUACAAAAUGCAUAAAGUCCCCGGUGGCCGCUACCUACGGCGCCAAACCCUUGCCUCGGUCCUCCGCCGCCCCGCUCAUGCUAGGACCUGCAGGGUUAGUGGUGUGAGAACUACAACGAAGUUCCCAGUGGGCUCGGCAUCCGACCUCGCCGACUUACCCACUAGGUCUAUCCAGGCAUAAGUAUUUCAAAGGAAGAAAAGUAACCAUUACUAAUGCAACUAAUACUAUGCCUGCAAGGAAGAGUCAGUAGAUAAACAAUUGCAAUACAAAUAUGGAAAUGCAUGCAUGCUCCAAUCAUGAUCAAACUUUGGCUCUUACCCAAUCUUGCCGAUUAACUCUGUUAACCCCAAUGACUCACAACGCAAAAUUCCUUAAUAACGGAGGACUCGAACCUCCCUAGGGACCGUCAACUGGUGGGACUUUACCACGCCCAGUGGUGACCAACUCCGGAGCGCACCGCUCGAGGGGGAGCGACCUNNNNNNNNNNNNNNNNNNNNNNNNNNNNNNNNNNNNNNNNNNNNNNNNNNNNNNNNNNNNNNNNNNNNNNNNNNNNNNNNNNNNNNNNNNNNNNNNNNNNUAUUGUUUUUCCUUCGGGCCCGAGCGAGGGGCAGCCCUCCUUGCUGACUGCUGCUGUUAUGUUCUAGGCACAGCCAGCGACAGCAGCGUUUGCAGCAAGCAGCAGGAGCUGGCAAGCAGCAGCGCAUGUGCAGCAGCCGCAGUGGCCUCAGCUGCAGCUAGCAAUAUUUAUUGCGGCUGCCAGGGCCAGCAAAAAAAAGAAAGAAAAGGAAAGCAAAGAAGGAAAAGAAAGAAAACAAGAGAGAAAGAAGGAAGAGCAAGAAGAAAGAAAGAAACGAAAAGAUAGAUAGGAAUGCUAACUUGAAGUUCUGAUUUUGAAUUCUUGCUUUUGCUCAUACACAUAUAAUCUAGAAGUAAGACUUAUUAUGAGCUUUAUGUUGAAAACUGACCGUCGAUAAUGCACUUUUUGCAGGAUAAAGUCUAACAUGAAAUUACCAGUUAUAAACCUAAUGAGGUAAAAUCAAACCCUAGAACAGUUGGCGAAGCUCAGGUUUCGGCAAUCCUUGUGUAGCCUGACCGGGGGGGAGAGGGAGGGGGAUCCGCCAACGAGGGGGGUGAGUUCCGUCCCCCCCUAUCCCGUGUAAGCGCUGUAGAUGAUUUUCGUCCUUUGAUUGUUUUUGUUUUUUGCUUGUGAUUAUUUUGCUAAAAAACUUUCUUCCUUCUUUAGGUUAAGCUGCGAGACAGGGAAAGUGCUCGGUUGGUUCUAGAGGUUUCUUAAUGAACACUUCGCGAAUAUAUACCUCAUUAAGGGGUAACUUGUGUGAAUAGCUAUAUCUCAUUAGUAGUACAGAAUGGUAACAAAUACGUAUCUACGUAUCUAUUCAGAUUAAGUAGACCUGAAUAGUUUGACUCGCCAAGCUUUUGAGUUAUGCCCAAAUAAGGAUGGCCUACUUUCGUGCAGGUGUAGGCAAAGAGUCAAGUGUCUAAGCCAUCUAAAUUUAAAGUUAAUGUUCUCAUUUCCUAUUCAUUCGUUCUCUGGUGGGGGGUAGGUCAGUCAUUUUCACAACUCUAUAACUUAUAUUUCUUAGCCAUUUCAAUGUUUUAAAGUUAGUCUUUUCACUGUUUCCCUUGAAAUUCUUCAGACCUUGUGGGCGUGAGUGUGUGCGAUUGCUGUGAUCUUUUUAGUCUUUGUUUCCUAUAAUUAUUUGUACGUUAUCCCGGUUGUGGAGUGGGUUGAUCAGGUGGGGAUUUGCCUAUUAUCUCGCCGUGUCUUCCCUUCCUUUCCUUCCCCGGGACAAGCUUAAUUUAGCACUCAGUUAAACUAUAUUGUCUCCAAAGCUGAUUAUAGUUCAUUAUAAUUUUAUGCUCCUAGAAAAGGGAAUGCAAAAAUGCAGGAGGGUAUUGUUGCGUGAAUUAACAAGAUCUUUGAAGGUCUGGUAAAAUCUGUGACCUUAGUGAGGGGAUUUGUUGGAGGGAAUGUAGUGGAGAGACCGGGGAAUACGGCCCAUUGGAUUAGUCAGUACAGCUAAGUAAAUCGCAUUAUAUGUGAUAUUAGGCUUUUUUUUAGUUAUUCGCUUAAUUGUUAUUUAUUCUUUGGAUUUCCUCACACUCAUGCACCGGGGGCGGGCCGACAAAUACCGGGGGAAAAAAACACAUUUUUAUUCCUAACCCCCUUUCGGCCCCCUUUGGCAAAACACCUCCCCAAUAUGAACCCUUUUCUUCGGGGUGCCCUUCCGGUAACAACCCCCCCUUUUUACCCCCAAAGGGUGUUGGGUUUGAGGUGAGUGACUAAAUUAUACAAACCUCGUGUGUAGACCAGUCGUCGAUAGUGCUGCAUAGCAAAAAGCUAUCAGUUCUGUGAGUCUGGUGAGCUUAUUGUAUUUGAUAUUGCUUUUGAGUUCUGUAAUUACCUUGACUACAACCUUAGAUUUCAGGCUAUAACGUUUUUGCUAUCUAUUUUUUUAAACCAUGAUCUGAUAAUUGGUUGGGAAUGAAGGCUGGGACACUUUUAAGCAAGUGGAAGCGUGUAAGAUUAGGCAGAUAAAAGCUAAACAAAACUGACAAUCAAAGGCAAAAUGAUAUAGUAUAAAGUCUACCAUUUUACUCAAUUUUGAUUGUCUUUUGUGUCUAGGAACCAGAAUUUGAAUCUUUGUUAAAUAACGUAAUUUACUUAUAAUUCCGUUAGUUUGGCCAAUAAUAGUGUCCCCACCAAAGUCAGACGGUUCUGUUUUGAUUGGUGUAAUCCUCAGCUCCUUUUUUACUAUUAAGUACACGCGAGCAGUAGUUCUGAUUGGAGGUUUUCCUCAAUUGAGGUAGUCUGACGGAGGGUGGAGUACUAAAUUAGCUGGUCUGCUAGGAAUUUCUUUUUCUAGUCAUUAAUGUGUAAUAUUUCUCUUUUCCUAGUCAUUUUUUAGCUUGAUAGAUUCCAUUCUUGCUCUCGUAAUUAACCUCAGCUUAUAAUAUUAAGUAUUUUGUAUUUCAUACCCCCUUUUGGCUAAUCCUAAUUAAGUGACUGUUCGCUCUUAACGUAAUAUCUCGAGCUUAAAUAUUAAUUAGUUCCAUUCGUGGGUACUUUAUGCUUUGAAAUUAUUUUGAAGCUCCAAUGUCUGAAUUUUUCUUACCAGGUUUAAAUUACCUAUUUUGGUCGUAGAGUUGGAAAACCAUCAAUCGAGAAUAAUUCCAGCUUGGGAGCUUUGAAAAACUGAUGUAAGUGAUUGCUUUUCUCUAGUCUUAGAUCAAUCUUAAAUACAUCAGAAGAAGUUUUUUAAGUGAUUUAAUUAGAACACAUAUAUUGCAUGGUAAUGCUAAAUGUUGUAGCUGACAAUUCCUCAGCCGAUCUCCAGUGCUGAACGCCAUUAGCUAUCUGUAUUCUUUUCUGACUCAUAAAGACUUUCAUAGUCAUCCCUUUCCUCCGUCUUUCCCAUUAAGCUUAUCUUCCAUACUGGAAUCAGAUGACACUUCCUUGCCCUAGUUUAUUAGCACUAUAUCUGCUUUCAUUUAAGACUAAUCUUAGGUAGAGACUUAGAUCUAAGAACCUGAUAUACUACAUAAAGGGAAAUUAGCUACUCAAAAGAUCGAUGAUUGUUCUGGCAAAAACUGUCAGGUUCCAUGACACAUUUCUAUGAUCCAGUUCCACGCCUCCCUAAUGCUGAAUUACAUUGUUUAAUAAAGACUUCUAGAAAUACUUAUAAAGUAUUGAGCUAAGAUCUUGAUAACUCAGCCUAAAGUUGCAUGCUAUUGAUCCCUGAUCUUUGAUUAGAAAACUUAGAAGUUGAUGAGAUUUUUGAAAGUUGUUAAUAAAACUAUGUACAGUUCUAUGCUGUAAGUAGUAUUACACAUAGAUGAAUGUUGAAUAGAGAAGAUCUACUGGAGAAAAUCGGAAGAAGAUCAUGGACACGCAAUGGUAAUCUCUGUUUAUUAACUUUAUAAAUGAAGUUAACAUUCUGCCCAAAAGUUCAAAUUGACAUCUGGACGAGGGCAAAACGGGAACAGUCGACGACGCAAGACGCUAAAUAUUACCGGUAGAGAAUCCAGUUUGUCUAGUCCAUUUGCCACUGAGGUCGCGAAAGCUAUGUUGCUCGGCGCCAUUCGCGAGACGUCGAGAUCUUAGGUGGCAUUUGACACCACUACAGAGGUGGGGAGGGGGGUGUCUCAUCUGUAAGUCUUUUUUGACUCACGUGUUUUAUGCUCUUAUGGGGUAGUAUCAUUGAAGCGCGAUGAUUUACUUGCUGUGGUCUUUUUUCUUGGAUGCAAUAGAAGGGUACGUCUUCGGGAGUGUAGGGAUUGAUGCAGAGAUGAUAUUGAACGGCGGGUUGAUCGUAUGAGGUAGUAAGGGAACAUUGAUGAACUAGAAUGUGCGACAGUGUAGAACCCUAUGAAUGCACGGAGCGGAUAACAAUAGCUGAACUUUGGGGGACAUAUGGACUCGUAGAGGAUGGUGUGGCGGGUUAGCAUCGAUCAUGGGAAUUUAUAAAGACUAGCAUAAGGAGCUAUUGUUAUUAGUUAUUAGUGUGAUCUCCCUUAGUGGGUUUGGUCAGUUGAAAUCCUAAAGGGGCUUCAUCAGAUCGAGCUUGCGACAUUUGUCUUGGGUCGAGGGGGGGCAUCGUAAGCUAGUCGCUCCUCAUAUGAACGAUGAGACUCCGGUAGGUACGCUCAUCUAUACGGGACCAAGAGGAGAGGUGCCGUUCGUCCCGCGCACAGUUCGACCCACCGGGUGGGGCCGGGUCGGCGUGCAGGGUAUGCGAUACGUGGGCCCCGGAUGAUUUAGGGGGAGGGGUAGUGAGCGGGUCAUGUGAGGUCUGGUUGACCAUGGAAGACCCAGAUUAACCAAAAGAUUGAAGGGUUAAAGUUAACAUGAAAAAAGACAUGCCAUGCAUAUUUACAGUUUUAUUACUACUCCUUCAGCUUUGAUAUAAGGCAUUGAUAGUAGUGGAUACAUAUAAUGUAAGAAUUUUACUAUUCUCCCAACCACCCUUUACUGUAUUUCUAUUGCCGAAUAUAUGCUAGUUAGACCUAGUGAACAUGAGGGAAAGGGGCCAAGGGGGGGAAAAAAAAAAAAUAAAAAGGGACUUAAAAAGCGUAUUAAACAAGAGGAAAGGCAGGAAAAAGGAAGGGGAGGGGCGGCGAGUCGUCGAGAAUGGGUAGGUAAAAGACUGAAGGGGCGUACUGUGGGAACUAUUUCUUGAUAGUUCAUACAACUUACCUAUCUAACCUACAAUGUUUCCAUGAAUUUUCGGCUCUCGCAUGCGUCUUGUGACAAAUUAGUUUUGCAAAAGGCCACAAAGAAAAAUCACGAUCCUAGGCAUAAGCGAACACCAGACAGUAUAUAGAAUGUUUAACUAUUAUUUUGUUAUAGUUCUAUUGUUUAUCAUUUUUAUUUCUUGAUUAUGUAAAUGUUACUUAUUUUUUUGUCAAAACUUUAUGAAUGUGCUUAAUAAAGCAUGUAAUAAACUAAGAUAGUUUUUAAGUAUUAAGUAAAGUUUUAAAUACAAUGGAUUAUCAUGUUUAGUUAGACUUACUAUCACGUGGUUGUGCUUGUCUUCGUGCAAGCCAAAUGUAUAUUUGAUUAAUGUAUAUUCCUUUGGUAUUUUUAUUUUCUUAUAGUACAUGCUUAUUUUCUCUUUUUGUUAUUUUUGAGUUCCAUUUUGGUUCAAAUAUAACGCCGAACAGAGGAAAGUGACUGUUACGAUUUCAAAAUUAGGAAAGAUCUCGUGUCCACCCAGCGAAGGCCCGAGGACCUUUUGUUUAACGACAAUCUGUUUGCUGGUUUUAGAUAAAGCGGGACGUGACAGGAUGCAGUGCCAGCUAGAUAGCAUGUCGUAUAGGACGACGGUAUAAGGUAGUUGCUUAAAGAGACCACGAUUGCCAUGGUGUUACCAUUUGUGAAAGACUUUGUGGAGCCUAGAGCCACCCAAAUAAAAAAGCCUUGCCUUUUUGUCGGGUAGGGCAUCUCAGUCAGGCUGGUUGAAGGAGUGACAGCGCACCCGCAGACCACGGGACGGGGUAAUUAGUGGCAGUAUUGUUAGUUUUAUCUUUAACCAGGUACAGAAGAAACUUUGUGUUGUUUAGUCCGUUAGUGUCUUUUUAGUAUCCUUUGUUUCUUUUUUUUCUUUUCACGCGUUGGAUGCUACCGUGUUUUAGAUCUUUUAAUUGAGAUUGAUGAACACAUGAAGAAUGAAUUGUAGAAGACCUCUCACUAUCCCUCAGAGGAACUGUGGAACGUGGUGUAGGUUGGUGAGUCUUGGUAUGCUCCUAGAUUGGAGUGACUUGGGCACCUACCCUUAAAGUGUGUGAUUUGUCGUAUAUUCAUCAAAUGAGAAUGAUCGCCGAUGAAUGAUUGGUCUACGAACCGAACGAGAAGCGCUAUGCAUAGAUAUGCGACAAGUAUGGGCUAGAUUAAGCCUACGUAGGACUGUUUUUUAGUAUUUGGACCUGUGUCUCCAAAAAUUCAACCAAUUGAGAUCAAGUAUUUUCUUGUCUUUAUAAAAAGGAUAGCAGGGUGGCCAUUAUCAGAUGAGUUAUACAGCGUGUGAUUCGGGGGACGAAUUAGUGUUCAGUAUGGAAGUCGAAUUGCAAAGAGCGAAUGAAUUGUUUAAGUAAGGAUGGCGGUUGUUUUAGUAGUCUACUAACGCCCGACUAAGGCGAAGUAAAGCUUGCGUCUCGUUUUUGUUGGUUACUAUCUUUUCGAGUAUUUCUUUAUUAUAUAGUCUCCAUUGUUCUUUUAUGAUGUUAUUGUGUGGAGCGUUUGUAGUAAUGAUUUGCCUCCUUUUUUAUGGAAUUGAGAUCCCCAUGAUUGUAUUGCUGUUAGAGGUUGUGGCAUUCUCGUUUUUUUAUCUUUUGUGAGCAUAGGAUUUCUAGUUCGAGAUUUUGAAGCGACUUCUUGCUGGUGUUUAAAAAACAACGUUUUGUGUUCGAUUGCUUUUUUUUUAUUAUUUCUCAUUUCUCGAAAUUGCUUUUUCUUAAGCAAUGCCGGUUAUUCGAAUUUCGGAGGAAAUUCAAACUGGGGGUCCACCUUCAGGAUUUUUUUUUUGAAGGUGAGUAGUAGAGGUCGAAAGAAGCAGUUCCUGAUUGUAAGCACGUGAUUGGUUUUACUUGCGAUAUGGCAUAAUAAUACUGAAAACUAUCUAUGCUUCUUUUAUCAUUCUUUCCUUGUUUUCCCUUGUGUGUGUUCGUUUCUUUUUUUGGUUGUGGGCCACUGGUGUAUUUGUAGUUUUCUUCUAAUUUUGUGGUAUUAAUUUAGGGCACACCCUCUGACAACCUUUAUGUUUGGUUCUCGAUGUCAUUUGGAUAUUGUUUCCCUGUGUUAUUUGUCUCGAUAUAUGUUUCCCUGUGUGAUUUCUUUUUUAAGGAGUGUAUUUUUUGAGUUACUUAACACCAUAGUACUCUGUGUGUGUUCACGAAAAUUCUUUUAUUUAAGCCUGGGCUUUUUAGAGAAAUGUAAGGGUGUUGAAUGUUUAAAUAUUAAAUACCGACUCAAAAAUCAUGAAAUUAACGCUGUCCAUUUGGAUUGGAAACAUAACAUUGAUUGAUUCCAGGUAAGCGUUGCGGUUGAAAUGUAACAAUUAGUACCGGAUUUAAAUAAUAGAAAAAUAUAGAAAUAAAUAAAAAAUAGUAUGGUUAGAUACUAUUUUUAUUGAAUUUAGAGAAGAUGAAAUAUAAGUGGCGAAUGACCUGCUGCUGAAAUCGGAAUAAAACAGAAGGAUUUAGAAUUUUCUGUUGAAACGGGCAGAUAAGUUGAUUAGCAUGUUAAUAAAUGCACGCUCUCAGAAAUAUGAAAAUUGAGGUAUAAGUCAGAAAUAUUUGUUUAUGAGGGGCUAAUUUAGCGUUUCAUAUUUUCUGACACCUGUAAUGGAGAAAUAAAAAUCCGAAGAGCUAUCUGAUAAGAUUGCAGUCUUGAUUACCAAAGAGGGGGAGGGGGUACGAGUGUGUUCAGGGGUGGUGAGCCAGGGGUCGGGGGGGGGGGAGUCAAUAUUAGUUAACCAAAACACAGACGAAGAAAGUUCAAAAACUGAGCCACAUAGAGUCGUACAAGCUUGUAAGUAUACGAUAUAAAACCGAAGCAUGACUGUCAAGCUUUGAUCUCAAACGGUAAACAAUUAUCAGGAGGAAGUUCGGCGAAAAGAUAUCGGCAUUUCAAAGACUGCCCGGGAAUGAAUAGUGUAUUGAGGGGGUUCGUUAAUAUAUAGAAGAUAAGCAACAACUUCUUCUCCCCCUCAACCGUGCACACCCAAGAUUCACACGCACACACGCAUGAGAAUGAAGGAGAACAGAAAUGUCCCUCCUCUCUCUAAGAACCCCUUUCUCCUCUAAAAUCUCUUGCCAAAGAUGUGAUGGAUUUGCGUGGAGAAGCUAAGCUUGGAAGGUUGAUCCUUCUAUCACUUCAUCUUCUUCCUCUCCAUUGGAGCAUACUGUUGAAGGUAAGCUAAUCAAAAAACUCCAUGAUAAUGGGGCGGGAUUUCUCUAUUGCUUGGGUUUUAAGCUAGAAAAACCGAAAAAAGGAUAGUAUGGCUUUCCUGAAUUCGCUAAAAGAUGAUUGUAUGGCUUAGGUCCAUAAGUUGUAAUGUGUAGUUUUACCUAUUUGAACCAAGAGCUCAAAAAUGAAAGGCUUAAAACUGCGUAGAUCUCUAAGAAUAGUCUAAUCUUGGAAAUUGGUUAUAUAAUAACCACCCACAGUGAUGGGUCUUAGAUUAGAAUGGUUUAAUGCUUUGAAUUUUCUUUAAAGUAAUUUUUAUUAUGUAUAUUCUGCAAUAAGUUUGAUAUAAAACUAGGGACUCAAAAUGCUAACUUUCAAUAAUUUUGUUGUUGUUUUUUUUAUUCUCUUUUUUUAUACUCUCUUUUCUGCUUAAUACAUUAGUUGCGUUUUAUGGUAGUUUUAAGGUAUACGAAAAUACGCUAAAACAAUGUCAUUGUUUGUCCGCUGAAGAACUCGUUCUGCAAGUUUUCCGACGACGCGCUUACAAAUUAAUUAAAAGAAACGGACGUUAGGCUCGGUUUCCGCCUGGAGCCGAUAUUUGGCUGUACGAUCAGUAAAAUCCUGACAAACGAAGACAUCAGAAGGCAGUGGCUGACAAGAAACGAAGACUGUUAAGUAUUUCGAGAAGUAUUGCGGAAUCGAAAGGCGUUUAAUAAAGUUUCAUAAGGCUGCAAAAGACAAGCGGAUUGGAUGCAGAGGGGUACCGAACGGCGUAGCUCGGCGGCGUGGGGAAUCAUGCAGGCCGAUUAGCAAGAGGUGGACGCAAAGAGCGAGCUUUAAUUCGGAAGCGCUGCUAUUUUUGAAUCACAGGUUAUUUGGUGUUUUCUUGUGUGUGUUUUAUAUGCCAUCACGAUAGUCAUCGGGCUUCUCCUAAAAAAUAAGUUUUUUUGUUUCAUUAGUGCUUAAUCCUCCUCCCUCUCGUUUCAUUUCAUUUGGUUAGCCCAUAUUUGUUAUGUUUGCUUAUGCACUUUUUUUAGGGAACGACAAUACAUGCAUAUGCCUAUUCCUUAUAUUGAAGUUUAAUAUUUUUAUGUUGAUCGGAAGAUAAUAUUUGAGUAGUCGGUUUAUUUAUGAUUAUUAUAUGGAGUGUUUUCUUAAUAUAUCUUGUAAUGGAUAAGAGAGAGUAAUCAUAUGACUUAUUCGUAAAGCUGUAUGAUGAAUAUAAAUGAAGAGAAUGAACCUAGUUUGUGUAUUUAAAGACAUAUUUACAAAAGAAUUUAAUUUGCAUUUUUGAACUUAUUGUUAUAGCUUAGAAAAAUGCAACAUGACUUUAACUGUAGUAAUGGAUUUUGGUUAAAGAAAAAACAAAAGUGGCUACUGGGAAACUUCUUAUUGUUAACAUUUUUGAUACAAGUUUAUUUAAUUAAUUUUCGUUAUCCAUAUUGGAAAUGCGCAGGGGAGUGUAAAAUUUAUUAAAACAUAAAAGUUAUUUAAAGUUUUUUUUUGUACUUCGUGGUCAAAUUGUAUACUAUGGUCUCUCUAUAGGACAAAUAAUUAAGGGUCAGAGGUUGUUAGUUGUUCUUUUUGUAGAUCAAAUAACAUUAAUUUGUUUUUUCUAGUUUAUUGACCCAUUGAGAUUGGAACUUAGUGUGUGGAAAACCCUAUCAAAGUGGGGCAAAAAUGUUUGAUGAUUAAUGUGAGUUUAAACUAGGGGUACAUUAGCAGAAAUGACAUUAAAAUCAUAUGAAUUUUUGCUAUAUUUUGUUUAUUUUAUUUGUCACUUAUUUGUUGUGCAAUAGAAUAGAAUAUAUGUUCACAAUGCUCAUAUUGCAUGUAGUUAGCUAACAGCUUAAAAUGAUUUGAUUCAUGAAUCUUUAAGUAUGCAUAGAUCGUGUCAUAUUUAUAUGCUAUUUGUAAUAUACUCAGGGGCUAUGAGUUAAAGAUCUCUGACCUAUGUUUUAAUUAUGUUUAUUUUUUUUUAAUUCUUUUUAUGUUAGCUAAAGAACUAGUAUGAGUGUAUAUUACUUACAAAAUGGUAAAUGUAACUGAGCCUCCAAAUGAACGAAAUUUAUUUGUUUCAUUGGUCAUUUCUAAGUUUUUUAGAUUAAUAUCUUUAUGUAUGUUUAGUUGUGUAUUUAUUUUGAUUUGGUUAAUACCUUUGACUCUUUGUAGAAAACCUUUAUGUUGUUAUUGUUGUAUUUAAUUCACUUAUGUUACAGAUGCCCCCUUUUUAAUUUUUCUGGUUUUGUACAAUUGAUAACAUCCUUUGAUUCCUAUGUAUGAGUGAUUGACCGCUUAUUAAGGGUGGUUAUAGCUGCUUGUUUAUUUUUUGUCAUCGGGAGAAUGAAUUCUACUUCUUCCUAUUGCCUAGUCUGUGCUGUGGGGUUCGCUCCCUCCAGUUUGGCGCUCCGGGAGUUUUGGUCUUACUUAGAGAGGUUCAACCUUGCUUGCUCUUCGGUAAGCCCGCUUGUUAUCCGCAGGCGUACUCGAGGGAUCGACCAACUAUGGCAUCUCUCUUAGGAGAUGAUAUGUGACCUUGCUGUGAACCUUGUGUUCACCACCGAGAUUGUGUUACCUAUUGAGUCAUACCCGAUUAUUCUUUUGUUAUGAUAGCUUGCUUUCCAUUAGUGUUGUUGUUGUUCAUAAGUAGCUUACUAGUAGUAUGGUUAGGGUUUUUACUUAUUUUUUUUUUGCUCUAUUCCUCUCAUGCAUAUAAAUAUACCAUUUCACCUAAGAAGAUUGGCCCACUGUCUGGGAGUAGCCUAUUGCAGUCACUCACUCAUAUAUUGUUGUUCAUGAUAGUUGCUUCCAUAGUUUUUGUUCAUUGUUCACCAUAUGAGAUUUGAGUAGAAGCUAGCCGGCGGGGGUUCAACAGGUUGUAUCUAGUAAGUCGAGAUGGUGAGUGGCCAAAGUGCGGGUAGCCUUUGCUUAGGAACCUUGACAUUGAGUCGGCGAGGGGCGAGGGCGUAGCUCUUUGCCUGGGACUCACGAGAUUGGGUCAGACCUUUGAGAUAUGAGUCGAGUAGAGACAGAGUGAGGUAGCUCUUCACCUAUAGAUUUGAAUCUUAGGCAAGUUAGCAGCGGAUUGGUAAUAACAUGAAUAGCAUAAGAGAUUGCAUUCAUACCUUGAUUAGACAUAGUUGCAUGGUGCUCAUAAACUUAUGUUGUUGUAUGUAUUUAUCUUCACUGUUGAGGCAUAUUAGAUGAUAAGAUAGCUUGUGCUUAGAUGAUGUUCCAUGAACUUUGCAUUUGCAAUAGCCAUUAGUAGAUAUAAGUCGUGCAGACUUUCCAUAUAAUGGUGUCUAUCUAGUCGUAUCUGGGGUGGGGCGUUGCCAGCUUAUGGAGAGCCUAGUGGGGAGGAUCGGGCUAAAGGCUGGAGAUGCGGCGGCGAAUCCACUGGGAACUAUAUUAUAUAUUCUCACCCCGUUUGUUUUGGUUGUGCCUACAGCGUUUAACUCACGGGAGAAGAAGCGAUCGGCACAGAGAGAUCGCGUUAUGGCUUAGCGCCCUCCAGCCCCCGCCUUCUAGUUUGAUCUAGUUUUUUACUUUUUCCUUCUAUAUUGCAUUAGAGUUACCUAUUACAUAUAAUUAGAAGUAGAUGAUGUAUAGGAUGUGAGUAUUUUAGAUAAAUGGUAAACUAAGUUUAUCUCUUUGAAGAAUAAUGUAAGCUUAUAUUCAUAGUUUGGAAAAGAAUGCAAGUUGUAAUUAAAUGUAUCGAGCUGAAUGGUUGUAAUAGAAUAGUUAAGUAUCUCUCUUUUGUUUCACUUGUAUGUCUUCUACUUGUGACGCUUGCUCUUGUAUUGUUCAGCACUGUUUGUGCUCUCGCUGUUGUUGCAUGAUCAUGUAUGUAUUCAAGUUGAUUUCCUGGGGACUUGUUGUACAUGAUCUCGUUGUUUAGCCUUGGGCGGACAGGGGAGGUGCUGUCCGUUCGGCGGUCCGCCUGCCGCGCCCGAACCGUGCCAAAUCGGUAGCGGCCUCGGGGCGCGGGGCGUGACACUAGCGAAGUGCUAGAAGUAAUCUAUGGCGAGAAGUGAGACUCGCGGUAGAGAUAGAAGUGGCGAAACGACUCUCAGAGCAAUAUGAAUAAUAAAUUGCGAGAGUUGAGCCAUGAUGCUUAUGAGAACACCCGAGUGGCCCGAAAAUUUCGGAUGUCAUUCCGGUAGAUUGAACAGUGAAGGUAGCAUCACUGUUGAGAGAACGGUCGAUUAGUGGCCAAGUUUGAGCACGUGGGCCUAGUAGUACCUCAAUGUGAGGUAAGAGGGUCGUGCUUGUGUAGUUGGCGUACAUAGGCAAGAACUGCCUAACACUAGACUUAGUGUGGAACGCUAUAGAGGCGUAUGACGUUCGAGUAUAGGUACUCGUGGAGUGCGGAUAUGGAUCAGCCGAGUGAGUGUGUUGGCAGUAGCACUUGAGCAUUGCUAGGUGUGAAGCGUGCCAUGGAUCACUCGUGGGAUUGGGUCUUGUGACAUAGAAUCCUAUAGCGGCAUAAAGAGCCGAACUUGGACAUAGCCUAGUAGAGGGGCGUUGAACUAGUGUAGUAAAAACACUAAACAAGAACGAGUAGCAUGUCAAUUAGCUAGAAAACUUACUACAAUGAUCAAACGAGUGGCAUUGAGUCUAGUAUUGUAAACUUGACAUGAACUUAGGGAUAGUAGAGAUCCCGGCAUUUAGUAUGCAUUGUAUUUUGUGCAGCAGAGACACAUUGAUCCUAGUAGACAGGGUAUCCUCUUGUGAGGAUUGGAUCAUACUCACUAGUCUGUUUUUGCUUGUCGGUGGUCGCUCCACCGAGGCACGAGUCUCCGGAAUACUUCACUAGGGGCAGAUGUAGUUAUCCCGCAGACGGUCUCGGUGUGCGAGUGCAGUUUCUCCUCACCUAUGAGAUUGAGAGUGAGUCGAGGGUUUAACCUACGGGUUAACCAAGUAGAUUGGGUAAUAAACAUGAAUGCAUGGUAGACUUGCAUGAUUACCUUGAGAAGACAUAGUGUAUGUUGUAGUUUGCAUUGCUAUAUACUUUUCUAUACUCAUGACAUGGUACUAGCAUGAUAGUAGUUGUUGCAUGCAUUACCAUCAUUGAUGGCAUGAUAGAGUAGUUGCAGUUCAUUUCUAUAUAUAUCUAUCUAUCUCUCUAUCUGUGCCAGCUUAGACCUAGUGGGAAAACCGGCGACGUCAGCGGCCGAACCUACUGGGAACUAUAUUUAUAUAGUUCUCACCCCGUGUGGUUUUGGGGUAUAGGUACACACAGAGGCGAGUCAAGCGAGGACCGCGGCAAGGGCGUAGCGCCCUAAGUGAGCUUAGUUAGUAGCUUUUCCUUUAUGCAUUAGAGUACCCUCAUGUACUAGAUGAUGUUUUGGAUAGAUAUGGGAGAGCUACUUGUAUUUUGAGAAAAAUAUGUAUUUACAUUUUGGAAGAUGAAAAAUGUAAUGUAAUCAGAUGAUGUAACUAUUGAAUAGUUGUAAUAGUUAGACUAUCUCUCUUUAUAUACUUGUAUAUCACUUGUGGUUCUUGCUCUUAGAUGUAUUGCACUUAUGUGCACCGUAUUCGAUCAUGUAUGUUAUUUAAGCAAAUUCCUAGGUGCUUAACUGUACAUGAUUUGGUUGCUUAGCCUUGGGCGGACAGGAGAGGUGCUGUCCGUUCGGCGGUCCGUCCGGCACGCCCGAACCCUGGCCAGAGACCUGAACUCCCUGGCCAGGGGCUUCCAGGUCUUUUUGUCGUAAAGGUCUGAAUCGGUUUAAAAGUCGAAAAAGUGGCAAAAGCGAGGCAAAAGCGAGCAAACUGGAGGCUAAGCAAAGUUUAGCUUGGUUCUGAGAGGGUUGUACAAAAGUUCGUACAAAAGUAGUAGAAAAGUAGGUACUAUUACGACCUAAAUUAGGUACCUGGUUGUACCGGAAAGUCGAGGGAAAAUCACGGAUGCGCGUGGCUUAGCGGGCCUAAGAGGGCUUGAAGUGGCCUUGGAAAGUUUACCGAAAGGUUAGCUUCUAUGUGGUAUUGAAGUACCAAAAUCUUCAGGCCAUGGAAUGUGUUAGAGUGGCUGAAAAGGUGAUCCUGAUUGAAUCCGUAUUAUCUUUCCUAUUCGUCUUAUCAUUGGUUGGAUAUUAGUACUACGAUUAUACGGACUUGUUAUUUCGUUCUUUAUAUGAGUUGCAUUUAGUACGUUUAUACGUUUAAGAAACCAGAAAUGGGAAAUAAGAAAUUCGAAACAAGAAACAAGAAAUUAGAGUGCCGAUUGGGCCCCCAAAGCGGUGUAAUUGAACGGGUGUAAUUCAGGUAGUAGCGCCUGGGAGUCGACGGAGGGCGAUUAUGGCAGGAGCCUAAAUGAGAUUGGGCACUACGUUUUGAGGCCUCGCGUAGCGAGCUCCCCCUCGCUGGCGGGAGCUCGUGCCUUGAGUAUCGUUCAUACUAGCUAGGAAUUGAGAUUCCUAUGUAUCAAGUUAGUAACAGAAAUGUGAUUGAGAUCACAAGAAAUGUAGUGAAAUAAAACGAUUGAGAUCGUUAGUAGCAAGAAAUUGAAAUGAGCAAGAAAUACGGUGAAAGUAAAAGAAAUGAACAGAGAUUAGUAAUCACAGUGCGGGGCGGGGUUUAGGUGAUGGUUAAACCGUGNNNNNNNNNNNNNNNNNNNNNNNNNAAGGAGGAGGAAGCUGAAGAAGACUUCAUCCUCAUAUCUUCUUCCUUGGCCAUUGGAGAAGCUUGUUUGAGGUAAGCUUUACACCCUCUAAUGGUAGCUUCUAGUUUAUGGGUUUUUAAGCUCUAGAAAUGGAAUUUAAUGGUGAUUUAGAGACUGUUAAUCUCAUUUGUUGCAAGAUCUAUAGCUGAUGUUGCUCUUGCCACACAUGAGGAGUUAGAGCUCCAAAUGAGAGCUUUAAUGUAGAUCUCUAGGGCUUGGUCUUAUGCUCUAGAAAUGGAUUUAGUAGCCUUCCUAGAUGCUAAUUAGAUGGAUUGUGUUUAGAUCCAAAGUUCUAAUGUGGGUUUUUGUCUAAUUGCGACCUAGGCUCCAAAAUGGGGUUUUUUCAAAUAUAAGGUUUGAUCUCAUUUGAGUGGUCAAAACCUAAUUGUUAUGUCUCCGAACGCGUAGGAAGCGACGGUUCGUCGAUUCGUUGAGCGGGUGCGACGUUCCGGCUAAAACAAGUGUUGUAGGUUCGUUUCUGCCUGGAGGGCCGAGGCGACGUCGUAAGGUCGUGAAAAUGGAUUCGUGGCAUUCGUGGCAUCAAACCGAAGACCUAUAAUUUCGGAGGCUGCGAAGGGAACACGAUUGAGGCGCGGUUGCAAGUAUUGGCCUGAACCGGGUCACGGGUGCCACGGGAGGCCGAUUGCAAGUGACUACGAGCAAUCGAACUCGAUGACAGGUGGGUUUGUGUUUUACCGAAGCGACUAGGUCGCCUGCAUGUCAAAGUGUAUUAUGAGUUCCUGUUGACGCAUAUGUAUGAGCAUAUUGCUAGAUGAUAAUGCAUAGUAACAUAAUGAGGAAGCAUAUAUAUGCGUAAUAGUAGCAUGUGAAUCAUAAUAGUGAUGGUUGAUUAUGCUAAUUAGAAAUUGCUUGUUAAUGCAUCGAAUUACAUGCUAGGUGAUGACAUGAUAUAGAGAUGCUAGUAAAGUACUUAAUUGCAUGUUGAUAUACAUAUGCAUAGUGAGGUAUGUGCUCGGGGUACUUAGCAUUAUGAUAUCAAGCAUAUGGCAAUGUGAGCAUGUGCAUGAGAUUAUGUGAUCGUAGAAACUCGAUGGGAACAAUUGCUAGAUUAUGUAAAUAGAUCGAGUGGCAUUACCUAGUGUCAUGAACAUAGGAUUGAGCAAGUAAACCUAGAAUCAAGAUCUAGGUAGAAAUGACAUUAAACCUAGUGUUGUGAACUUAGGUUGUGGAUUGAACCUAGGUAAAUGGCAACCUUGUGAAUGUGUACAAGUAGUGUGUUGAGAACGAGUGGCACCUAGUUAAAUUUAAAUAACUUGACGAGUGGCAUGACAAGUAGAGUAUAAGUGUAAACACUUGUUGUACGUUGAACUUAGAAGUGAACUAGUUCCCAUGUGGAUGUCUAGAGUGUAGAUAUCCUCAAUGAUGGGAUUUGAUCAUACUCAUAUGUCUGUUCGAAGCUUGUGCUGGUCGCUCCCACAAGACAGUGUACUCCGGAGUUGUCACACGAUAGGGAUAGCCUUUUUGGGUCCCGAGGGGUUAGCCUUUUUGGGCCCCGCAGACAGUCUAGGGCGAGUGAGCUGAUCCUCCCCAUGUGAGUCAGAAGUGAGCUGAUCCUCACCUGUGAAUUCAGAUUGGUUGGGUAUUUGUGUGAGUGGGGGAGUGAGCGGAUCCUCCCGAAGUGUUUAGAAUUGUGAGUCGGGCGAGUGAGCGGAUCCUCCCCGUUGUGAUUAGAUUGUGAGUUGGGUGAGUGAGCGGAAUCCUCCCCGAAGUGUUUAAAUUGAGUCGGGCGAGUGAGCGGAUCCUCCCGUGUGAUUAAGAUUGUGAGUCGGGCGAGUGAGCGGAUCCUCCGACCAGUGUUUGGAUUGUGAGUCGGUGAGUGAGCGGAUCCUCCCCGUUGUGAUUAGGUUGUGAGUUGGGUGAGUGAGCUGAUCUCACCUGCGAGAUGAGUCUUAGUGGAUUUGUUCUAUACUAGACAUAGUAUGUUGAAUAGAAACCUUAGAGAGUAGCUGAUGUAAUAGAAAUAGUAUCGAAUGAACUACUUAGUUGAUUGCAUUGCAUGAAUUGGCAUGUAGCAUGGCAAUUGUUGCAUUUGUGAGGCAAAGCAUGGUAAUGUUAGUUGCAUAUUAUAUAUAUCAUAUCUAUCUGUUUAUUAAACUAACCUGCAGUUUGAGGCCUUUGAACCUGUUGGUGAGCUUUUCCCUUGGUGCCGUACCCAUGGAACCAUAGAGUGGUUCUCACCCCACUUGCUUUGGGGUGUUACAGGUUCGCACGUGAGCGGCGCGGCACGCGAGGCGAGGGCGUAGCUCCGUAGAUAGCACCCUACUCCAGAGACCAGAGAUAGUAGUACCCCCGUCUCCAUAGCUUAGGGGUAUAGAGAUGAAAAGAUCCAAUGUAUCAAAAUUUGUAAAGAAUAAAUGAUGUAAUAACUCAGAUUGCAUUUGGAUGGAAAGAAUUGUAAUUGAGAUGUAAAAAAUGUAUGAAUAUGAAGCAUGUAAUAAUUUAGGAUGUGUUAUGUUGUUGAUACCUUCCUUUAUGCAUUCAGUGUAUAAUACUGUUCCUGCUUGGAACCUCUUGUAUUAUACUGUUUGUUGAGCCUUGAACGUACAGGGGGAGACUCUGUCCGGUACAGGGGAAUCCCCGUCCAUUCGGCGCUGUCGGCGGCCCACCCGCCAAAUAGGUAGCGGGUCGCGGGUCGUGACAGGAGAUGGUAUCAGAGCAUAAAGUAGAGAAUGGGCAAUAUUUGUAGACAGACCUAGGAGAUCCUAGGAUAGUGAAACCAUAGAGGCUAAGGCUCGUGAGAGAUGAGGCUUGUGAUUUUUUGGCGAAAAGAAUUUAUGAAAUUGGGUUGUGUCGUGAACCUUUAAAACUGAUGUUAGAGGUAGAUUCAAUGUGUGGUGUAUUCUCAACCGAGAUGAUCAUGUUGGGUGGCAAACAACAUGAGGCCGAGAGAUGAGAAUAGACGCCCUGUGUAACUUUCGCACCGAUUUGAGUCGAUGUCGGUUGUUUCGUACUUGACCUAGAGGGUCGAGAACGUCGAGUCGUUUGCGUUUAAGGACGCGAUGGUGCCGGCGUAAACGAUCUUUGUUUAGAUCGGCACGGGAGGGGACAGGUGAUUCCCUGAGGCAGUCCGAGGUUCGGAUGUUAUUCCGUUGAAUGAACAGUGAAAGCAAGAUCACUGUAGUAGAAGUGUUUGGUUAGUGUAAGUAGGGCAGGUGGGCCUAAUAGUACCUCGAAUUGAGGUGGGCGAGUCGUGCUCGUGUGGGUCGGUGACUGUGGUUCAUUUGUGGAAACCGAGGUGAUGUUUGGCCAAUAACUCUGUCGAGGAGUUUGGCUUGAUUUACGAACAGAGUGUCAUUGUGGGUUUUGUUUGUAGGGCUAUUUGCAGUUGGAAAAUGGCAAUUGAAAGAUAAGGUAAAGUGGUCUCUUGGAGACACUUGAAUAGCAGAUAGCCACGUGAGAGUUGGAGUUGAAGCUCUCAGCGAGUUGAGCUUGAGGGUAAGCUCUUUUUGGGUUAACAUUCGAGAUGCUAGAGUGGACCAUCUCGUGAUAGAGGUAAGGAUCUAGUUGGAUAGAAGCACUCCUGACUUGAUCGAUGCCACCAAUGAAUUGCUUCUAGGCAAUGCCGGUGGUCGGAUCGGAGUGAGUUCCCCGAUUGGUGGCGUAAUGCAAGGAGUAGUUCCUUGUGAGCCAGUAGUGCAAUUUUGAUGUACACUUAGUGAAUGUGAGUGGAUCUAGUCUUAUAUCCUUCGUAGUGGGCCUUUGGAAAUUCCGAUUAGUGAAUGGCCACGUCCGAGAAAGAAAAGUGGCAAUUGGAAUCCCGAUCUAGAUAAAUCGAGUUACGUGUGAAUUGGAUUGGAAGUUAGUUGAGUUUCGAGGCAAACUCUUUUAAGGAGGGGAGAAUGUAAGGUACCGCACUUCUAAAACCAUGAAGUUAUGGUGUAUCUUCGAUUGAAAGCCAUUUGAAAGGUUCCGGUGAAGUUCGGGAGAAUCCGGCGAUUCGGUGCGCGUAGGCGCUAAAAAGGGAGCCGAAAGGCCCAUGUUUGGUCCAUGGAUUAAAUCCAGCAUUAUCAUGGAUGGAAAAGAUGAUGAAAACAUGCUUGAAAACAUGUUGGGAGAGUCUUUGGUUCGAUUUGAAACGAAUCCGGGUACAACGAGCGAAAACGGAGCGAAACACAGGUGAAAAAACUGAAAAUUUGGCUAAGUCUGGAAAUGCUGUUUUUCUGGACCUUCGGGGACCGGUCCCUCAAGUCCAGAGACCGGUCCCAGCACCCGAAAAUGGCCCAGUUUGGGCUGUGUGUGACUCAUUUUGUUGAGGGACCUUUGUGCAAUUGUGCAAAGUGUAUAGAGGGUGUUGGAGGCUUAUUUCUCUCCUUCUCCCUCACAUUGGCAACCAAGUAGACCUCUCUCUCUCUCUAAGCUCCCACUCUCUCUCUCAAGAAAGAAAAGAAAGAGAAGGAGAAGAAGAAAAAGGAGAAAGGAGGAAGAAGCUUGAAGAAGACUUCAUCCUCAUCUUCUUCCCUUGGCCAUUGGAGAAGCUUGUUUGAGGUAAGCUUUACACCCUCUAAUGGUAGCUUCUAGUUUAUGGGUUUUUAAGCUCUAGAAAUGGGAUUUAAUGGUGAUUUAGAGACUGUUAAUCUCAUUUGUUGCAAGAUCUAUAGCUUGAUGUUGCUCUUUGCAACAAUGAGGAGUUAGAGCUCCAAAUGAGAGCUUUAAUGGUAGAUCUCUAGGGCUUUGGUCUUAUGCUCUAGAAAUGGAUUUAGUAGCCUUCCUAGAUGCUAAUUAGAUGGAUUGUGUUUAGAUCCAAAGUUCUAAUGGUGGGUUUUUGUCUAAUUGCGACCUAGGGCUCCAAAAUGGGGUUUUUUCAAAUAUAAGGUUUUGAUCUCAUUUGAGUGGUCAGAAACCUAAUUGUUAUGUCUCCGAACGCGUAGGAAGCGACGGUUCGUCGAUUCGUUGAGCGGGUGCGACGUUCCGGCUAAAACAAGUGUUGUAGGUUCGUUUCUGCCUGGAGGGCCGAGGCGACGUCGUAAGGUCGUGAAAAUGGAUUCGUGGCAUCGUGGCAUCAAACCGAAGACCUAUAAUUUCCGAGGCUGCGAAGCGGAACACGAUUGAGGCGCGGUUGCAGUAUUGGGCUGAACCGGGUCACGGGUGCCACGGGAGGCCGAUUGCAAGUGACUACGAGCAAUCGGAACGCGAUGACAGGUGGGUUGUGUUUACCGAAGCGACUAGGUCGCCUGCAUGUCAAAGUGUAUUAUGAGUUCCUGUUGACGCAUAUGUAUGAGCAUAUUGCUAGAUGAUAAUGCAUAGUAACAUAAUGAGGAAGCAUAUAUAUGCGUAAUAGUAGCAUGUGAAUCAUAAUAGGUGAUGGUUGAUUAUGCUAAUUAGAAAUUGCUUGUUAAUGCAUCGGAAUUACAUGCUAGGUGAUGACAUGAUAUAGAGAUGCUAAGUAAAGUACUUAAUUGCAUGUUGAUAUACAUAUGCAUAGUGAGGUAUGUGCUCGGGGUACUUAGCAUUAUGAUAUCAAGCAUAUUGGCAAUGUGAGCAUGUGCAUGAGAUUAUGUGAUCGUAGAAACUCGAUGGGAACAUAUUGCUAGAUUAUGUAAAUAGAUCGAGUGGCAUUAACCUAGUGUCAUGAACAUAGGAUUGAGCAAGUAAACCUAGAAUCAAGAUCUAGGUAGAAUGACAUUAAACCUAGUGUUGUGAACUUAGGUUGUGGAUUGGAACCUAGGUAAAUGGCAACCUUGUGAAUGUGUACAAGUAGUGUGUUGAGAACGAGUGGCACCUAGUUAAAUUUAAAUAACUUGACGAGUGGCAUGACAAGUAAAGUAUAAGUGUAAACACUUGUUGUACGUUGAACUUAGAAGUGAACUAGUUCCCAAGUGUGGAUGUCUAGAGUGUAGGAUAUCCUCAAUGAUGGGGAUUUGAUCAUACUCAUAUGUCUGUUCGAAGCUUGUGCUGGUCGCUCCCCACAAGAAGUGUACUCCGGAGUUGUCACACGAUAGGGAUAGCCUUUUUGGGUCCCGAGGGGUUAGCCUUUUUGGGCCCCGCAGACAGUCUUGGGCGAGUGAGCUGAUCCUCCCCAUGUGAGUCAGGUAAGUGAGCUGAUCCUCACCUGUGAGAUUCAGAUUGGGUUGUGGUAUUUGUGUGAGUUGGGUGAGUGAGCGGAUCCUCCCCGAAGUGUUUAGAUUGUGAGUCGGGCGAGUGAGCGGAUCCUCCCCGUUGUGAUUAGAUUGUGAGUCGGGCGAGUGAGCGGAUCCUCCCCGAAGUGUUUGGAUUGUGAGUCGGGCGAGUGAGCGGAUCCUCCCCGUUGUGAUUAGGUUGUGAGUUGGGUGAGUGAGCUGAUCCUCACCUGUGAGAUUGAGUCUUGAGUGGAUUUGUAUUUAUACUAGACAUAGUAUAUGUUGAAUAGAAACCUUAGAGAGUAGCUGAUGUAAUAGAAAGUAGUAUCGAAUGAACUACUUAGUUGAUUGCAUUGCAUGAAUUGCAUGUAGCAUGGCAUUGUUGCAUUUGUGAGGCAAAGCAUGGUAAUGUUAGUUGCAUAUUAUAUAUAUCAUAUCUAUCUGUUUAUUAAACUAACCUGCAGUUUGCCUCCUUUGAACCUGUUGGUUGAGCUUUUUCCUUGGUGGCCGUACCCACUGGGAACUAUGAGUAUGGUUUUCACCCCCGUUGCUUUGGGGUGUUACAGGUUCGCACGUGAGCGGCGCGCAGGCGUGAGGCGAGGGCGUAGCUCCGUAGAUAGCGCCCUACUCCAGAGACAGAGAUAGUAGUACCCCGUCUCCAUAGCUUAGGGGUAUAGAGAUGAAAAGAUCCAAUGUAUCAAAAUUUGUAAAGAAUAAAUGAUGUAAUAACUCAGAUUGCAUUUGGAUGAAAAGAAUUGUAAUUGAGAUGUAAAAAUGUAUGAAUAUGAAUGCAUGUAAUAAUUUAGGAUGUGUUAUGUUGUUGAUACCUUCCUUUAUGCAUUCAGUGUAUGAAUACUGUUCCUGCUUGGAACCUCUUGUAUUAUACUGUUUGUUGAGCCUUGAACGUACAGGGGAGACUCUGUCCGAGGUACAGGGGAAUCCCCGGUCCAUUCGGCGCUGUCGGCGGCCCAACCCGGCCAAAUAGGUAGCGGGUCGCGGGUCGUGACAGGAGAUGGUAUCAGAGCAUAAAGUAGAGAAUGGGCAAAUAGUUUAGACAGACCUAGGAGAUCCUAGGAUAGUGAAACCAUAGAGGCUAAGGCUCGUGAGAGAUGAGGACUUGUGAUUUUUUGGCGAAAGAAUUUAUGAAUUGGGUUGUGUCGUGAACCUUUAAAACUGAUGUUAGAGGUAGAUUCAAUGUGUGGUGUAUUCUCAACCGAGGAUGAUCAUGUUGGGUGCAAACAACAUGAAGCCGAGAGAUGAGAAUAGACGCCCUUGUGUAACUUUCGCCCGAUUUGAGUCGAUGUCGGUUGUUUCGUACUUGACCUAGAGGGUCGAGAACCGGUCGAGUCGUUGCGUUUUAGGACGCGAUGGUGCCGCGUAAACGAUCUUUGUUUAGAUCGGCACGGGAGGGGACAGGUGAUGUCCCUGAGCAGUCCGAGGGUUCGGAUGUUAUUCCCGUUGAAUGAACAGUGAAAGCAAGAUCACUGUAGGUAGAGUGUUUGGUUAGUGGUUAAGUACGGGCAGGUGGGCCUAAUAGUACCUCGAAUUGAGGUGGGCGAGUCGUGCUCGUGUGGUCGGUGACUGGUGGUUCAUUUGUGGAAACCGAGGUGAUCGGUUUGGCCAAUAACUCUGUCGAGGAGUUUGGCUUGGAUUUACGAACAGAGUGUUCAUGUGGGUUUGUUGUAGGGCUAUUUGCAGUUGGAAAUGGCAAUUGAAAGAUAAGGUAAAGUGGUCUCUUGGAGACACUUGAAUAGCAGAUAGCCACGUGAGAGUUGGAGUUGAAGCUCUCAAGCGAGUUUGGAGCUUGAGGGUAAUGCUCUUUUGUGGGUUAACAUUCGAGAUGUGCUAGAGUGGACCAUCUCGUGAUAGAGUAAGGAUCUAGUUGAGGAUUGAAGCACUCGUGAUUGAUCGAUGCACCAAUGAUAUUGCUUCUAGGCAAUGCCGGUGGUCGGAUCGGAGUGAGUUCCCCGAUUGGGUGCGUAAUGCAAGGAGUAGUUCCUUGUGAGCCAGUAGUGCAAUUUUGAUGUUACACUUAGUGAAUGUGAGUGGAUCUAGUCUUAUAUCCUUCGUAGUGGGCCUUUGGACAAUUCCGAUUAGUGAAUGGCCACUCCGAGAAAGAAAAGUGCAUUGGAAUCCCCGAUUGCUAGAUAAAUCGAGUUACGGUGUGAAUUGGAUUGGAAGUUAGUUGAGUUUCGAGGACGAAACUCUUUUAAGGAGGGGAGAAUGUAAGGUACCGGACUUCUAAAACCAUGAAGUUAUGGUGUAUCUUCGAUUGGAAAGCCAUUUGAAAGGUUCCGGUGAAGUUCGGGAGAAUCCGGGCGAUUCGGUGCGCGUAGGCGCUAAAAGGGAGCCGAAAGGCCAUGUUGGUCCAUGGAUUAAAUCCAGCAUUAGCAUGGAUGAAAAGAUGAUGAAAACAUGCUUGAAAACAUGUUGGGAGAGUUUUGGUUCGAUUGUUGUUAGAUUCGAUCGGAGGUAAACGAGCAGAAACGGAGGCGAAACGGUUGAAAAGGCUGAAAAAUUGGUAAGUCUGAAAUCUGUUUCUGGCUUCGGGGCCGGUCCCUCAAGGUACAGAGACCGCGUCCAGCACCGAAAAUGGCCGUUGGGCUGUGUGUGACUCAUGUUUGUGGAGGGCCUUGGGGUUCAUUGUGCAUAAGUGUUAUAGAGAGGUGUUGGCAGGUUGAUUUCUCUCCUUAUCUCCCUCACAUUGGCACAAGUAGACCUCUCUCUUCUCUAAGCUCCCACUCUCUCUCUCAGAAAGAAAAGAAAGAGAAGUAGAGAAGAAAAAGGAGAAUGGAGGAGAGCUUGAAGAGAGUUCAGUCUCAUUUCGUCCCUUUUGCCAUGGAGAAGCUUGUUGAGGUAGCGUUACACCUCUAAUGGUAGCUUCUAGUUUAUGGGUUUUUUAGCUCUAGAAAUGGGGAUUUAAUGGUGAUUAGAGACUGUAAUCUCAUUUGUGAAGAUCUAUAGCUUGAUGUUGCUCUUUGCUAACAUGAGGAGUUAGAGCUCAAAUGAGGCUUUAAGUAGAUCUCUUAGGGGCUUUGGUCUUAAUGCUCCUAGAAUGGAUUUAGUAGCCUUCCUAGAUAGGCUAAUUAUGAUGGAUUGUGUUUAUGAUCUUGAAAGUUCUCAAUUGGUGGGUGUUUUUGUCUAAUUGCGACCUAGGGCAUCCAAGAAUGAGGAGUUUUUUCAAAUAUAAGGGGGGUUUGAUGGCGUGAUGGGGGGGUGAGUGGUCAGAAACCUAAUUUUAGUCGGGGGCGAACGCGAGAUAAGCGACGUUCGUCGAUUUCGUUGUGUGUCGUGGGGGGGUGCGAGGUUCGGCUAAAACAAGUGUUUUGUAGGUUGUUUCUGCCUGGAGGCCGAGGCGACGAUGUAAGGUCGUGAAAAUGGAUUCGUGAUCGUAGCAUCAAACGAAGACCCUAUAUUUCCGAGGCUGCGAAGCGGAACACGAUUGAGCCGUUGCAGUAUUUGGGUGAACCGGGUCACGGGUCGCCACGGGGGCGAUUGCAAGUGGACUACGAGCAAUCGGAAGCGAUGAACAGCGUGGUUGUGUUUUACGAAGCGACUUUAGGUCGCCUGCAUGUCAAAGUGUAUUAUGUUGAGUAUCCUGUUUGACGAUAUGUAUGAGCAUAUGUAGGAUGAUAAUGCCAUAGUAACAUAAUGAGGAAGCAUAUAUGCGUAAUUAGUGCAUGUGGAAUCAUAAUAGUGAUGGUUGAUUAUGCUAUUAGAAAAUUUGCUUGUUUAAUGCCAUGCGAAUUAAUUGCUAGGUAUGACAUGAUUAGAGAUGCUAGGAUCUUAAUUCGCAUUGUGAGUAUAAUAUCAUGUGACGGUAUGUGCUCGGCGGUACUUAGCAUUAUUGAUAUCAAGCAUAUUGCAAUGUGAGCAUGUGCAUGAAUUAUGUGAUUGUAGAAACAUCGGGAUGGGAACAUAUUUGCUAGUUUAUGUAUAAUAGAUCGAGUGCUUAACUGUGUCUCAUGAACCAUUAGGAUGAGCAAGUACACUAGUAAUCAGAUCUAGGUAGAAUGACAUUAUAACCUAAGUGUUAGUGAACUUAGCGUUGUGGGAUGGAACCUAGGUAAAUGAACCUUGUGAAUGUGAAAGUAGAUGUGUUUCGGAGAACGAGUUUGAGACACUAGUUAAAUUUAAAUAACUUGACGAGAUGGCAGACAAGUAAACGUAUAAGUGUAAACAUUGUUGUACGUUGAACUUAGACAGUGAACUAGUUCAUAGUGUAGUAGAUGUCUAAGAGUGGUUAGGAAUAUCCCAGAUGGGAUGGGGAUGUUGUCAUCUCAUAGAAUUGUCUUUCGGAGUUGUGCUGUUCGCUCCCAACAAGAAUGCUACUCUCGGGUUGUCACACUGAUAGGGGAUAGGCCUGUUUGUCGUCCCGAGGGUGAGCUUUUGGGCCGGAGACAUCUGGGCGGGUGAGCUGAUCUCCAUGUGAGUCAGGUAAGUGAGCUGUAUCCACUGUGAGAUUCAUGAUUGGUGUGGUGGUAUUUGUGUGAGUUGGGUGAGGUGAACGGAUCCUCCCGAAGUGUUUAGAUGUGAGUCGGGCGAUAGUGAGCGGAUCCUCCCUAAUGUGAUUAGUUGUGAGAUCGGGUAGUGAGCGGAUCUCCGCGAAGUGUUUAAUUGUGGAAGUCGGGCGAGUGAGGGAUCCUCCGCGUUGUGAUUAGAUUGUGAGUUCGGCGAGUAGCGUAUCCUCCCGACAAGUGUUUUGAUUGUGAGCUCGGAGCGAAUGUGAGCGGAUCCUCCCGUUGUGAUUAGGUUGUGAGAUGGGUAGAGUGAGCUGAUCUCACUGUGAGUGAGUUUUGAGUGUGUUUGUAUUUGAUAUAGAACAUUAGUAUAGUUGCAAGGGUAGAAACUUAUGAGAGUAGCUGAGUGAAUAGAAAGUAGUAUCGAUAUGAACUUUAGUUGAUUGCAUUUGAUUGAAUUGAUGUAGCAUGGCUCUGUUGCAUUUGGGAGCAAAGCAUGUAAUUGUUGAGUUGAUUAUAUAUAUAAUCAUAUAUAUUUGUUUAUUAAACUAACCUCCAGUUUGCCUCCUUGAACCUGUGUUGGUUGAGCUUUUCCCUUGGGUAGCCGUCACCACUGAGGAACCAUAGAGUUUGUUCUCACCCGUGCUUUGGGUUGUUAACAGGUUCGCACGUGAGCCGCGGCAGCGCGAGGCGAGGGCGUAGCUCCGUAAGAUAGCCCCUACUCCAAGACCAGAGAUACAUACCGUCUCCAUAAGCUUAGGCUGGGUAUAGAGAUGAAAGAUCAUGUAUCAAAAUUGUAAAGAAUAAAUGAGUGUAUAACUCAGAUUGCAUUGGAGGAAAAGAAUUGUAAUGAGAUUGUUAAAAAUGUAGAGUUAAUGUUAAGAAAGGUAGGUUUACGUUAGACUCAAUAAUGUAGUAAAUAAGAAAUGUUUAAAACUAUGUAACCUAGAAAAGUAGAGAUAUGGGGAUUCGAUACCUCUGCCCCAUGAGCCUUGAACGUACAGGGGAGACUCUGUCCGAGGUACAGGGGAAUCCCCGGUCCAUUCGGCGCUGUCGGCGGCCCGACCCGGCCAAAUAGGUAGCGGGUCGCGGGUCGUGACAGAUUGGGGCCGAACCCACUGGGAACUUUGUUGUAGUUCUCACCCCACUAUUCCACAAAGCCGAGACCGAGCGAGCCGUCGAGCGGCCGUGGUAAAGGUAUCGCACCUUAGUCAGAGGCCUCCCGAGUCGGGCUUUACAUUUUGUUAGUAGUAUACCCUUUUAUCAUAUUUUGUUAUAAUACAUUGAACUUUUGCAAAUUGCGGAGUUCGAGUGUGUGGAAUGAAGUGUUGAACUAUCCUACAUGUUCUAAAAGGUUUGGACAAGUUUUUGAUCAAGUUAGAGGAUGAUUGGAAAGCUAGAAGCAAGAAAGUGCAUUGAACUGGCGAAAUUCAGCAUUUUCUGCAUUGUGUACCGGUACAGUCAUCACCCUGUACCGGUGCAGCAAGCAACAGCAGCUGCAGCUGCGUGGCAGCAAGGCUAUUUUAGUCAUUUCACUUCAUCUAUCCAUCCUUAUCCCUCCCAGCUCGACCCUGAAGAUGCUUAUCACUUGUAAGCUCAGAGAAAUAGGGUUUCUAAGCUCCCCUCUUCUUUCUCUCUCUAGAAUUUUCUCCCUCUACGUAGAAGUUGUCGUUUUGCACCGAUUUCGCGUCGCGUUCGUGGCUCGCAGGUUCGGAGACUCAGAGGAUGUCUUUGGUGCGUGGGGAGAAGGAUUUUUGUUGAAUUUUCUGUGAGUUCACAGCAGGGAAAGCUGAUUCUCAGCUUUAGACAAGUAAUUAACUCAAUUUCUCUCUAAUUUACAGUUUAGUAUCCGAUUUUGAUGCGUUUCGGUUUCAUUGCUCCCAGCUGAGUUUGAGAAGGAUUCUAGCAGCUUGAGAGGAGUUAGUUAGUUGUGAUUUAACUAUCUGGGACCAGGGUUAAGCUACUUCAAGGCUGGACAAAGGUAAUUAGUCAACUAUGACAUAGAUUCAGGAUUAUAUGAAGUUUAAUUGAGUAAUUGACGCAGUUUGGAUUGAAUUCUUCGCAGCAGGUUUUUAAGCCUCUUUGAGCUGAACCUGUGCUCUUGAAAGCUGGUUUGGGAGGCUAUUUUAAGCAAGGGUAAAUAGAAAUUUCAGUUCUAAAACUGAAUCCAUAGGAUUUCGGCGAUAUUAACUUAUAGUUGAGCCUUUUGAUGUCAUUUUGAUGUUGUUCGCAGUAAGAGCGCGAUCGAGCCUUGGAUUAUCUUCAGUGGGCAUUGGAGAGCAAUUGGAGACUUAAUUUGAGGUACUAAUGUGACCCAAAACAGGGAUUUAAGCAUGUACUUUGUAUGAAGUGCGAAUUGUACCGAAAUUGGAUAUUUCGGUUAUAAUAUUGAUACGACUUUCGUGCCUUAUUUUUCAGCAGAGCUGAGACCUUGUGGAGCUAAUUUUGAGACUUCCUUUGGACUGAUUGGAGCCUAGUAAUAGGUGGGUUUGACCUAACCAGAGCAAGUGAAGCUCCCCUAUGUUCUAUAUGAUACUAUAGAAAUAGCAUAUGAAUGCAUUUUGCGUAACUUGGGAAUCGACAUAGAUUCAAGACAUUAUUACAAUUAUAGUUGCUAUAUGUAUGUAUAGUGAACUGAAACCUCUCUUAAGUAGAGGAAUUCAUGCAUAGAAGUAAACAUGUUUAUGUUUGACUUAGUUGAAUGAAUCAGGGACAAUCUAGUAUGUUCCUAAAGUAGAGAACAAUGACAUGCUUUGUGACUAUAACCAUAGUGCCAUGAUAGUAGAAAGCUUCUAAUGCUAUGUGUAAAUUAGCAUUACUCUUACAUGAUUACUAAUCUAGUGGAUACUAGCUAUGUUCAAUAUCUGUUAUAUUGAAAUUCUGAUCAAAGGAUCGAGAGUGAAAACAUUGUAAGAUAAAACAUGAUGAUUGAAAUGUAUUGGAUUAUGAACGUUGCUUGCUUGCCAUCGUGCUCAUUCGCACACGCUUGUGAGGGUAACUCCCUACAAGCUGGCACUCCGGAGUUGGCCUACGCGACAGUUGCUCGCCCGUGCGGGAUUGGGUGCCGAAGUGGAUUGCCGUGGGGAGUGUAUACUACCACGGGGCCAUUAGGCGCGGCGCAAGCUGAGCUACCUUGGGUAGGUCCUUAUGAAUGAAAUGAAAGUACUAAGUGACAAAUGACAGUAAUGAAUGCUCAUCAGUUAUAGUGUAUAGUAUUUACUUACACAUCCAUGUUUAUGUUCAUGUUUAUAGUAAUUGCGAUACUUCUAUUAUUCAGUUGAUUCAUUACUACAGAAAUCAUGAUAAUAUGUUGAUUACAUACCUAUUGCCUGUUAGCAUUGCCUAUAUAUAUAUCAUGCAAUUACCAUUUUUACUUUCAUUUAGUACAUCAUGAGCCUAGUGGUGUAAUUCGCUGAGGCUGGUGGCUUACCCACUAGGAACUAUUGUCAAUAGUUCUCACGCCCUUUUUAUUGUUGUUUUUACAGAGCCAUCUACAGGAGAGGCUUGGGAUCGUAGCAAGGGAGUCGCGUCUAGCUAGACAUUGCUAGGAGCAUGCUAGUCGAUCACCUUACUACUCGGGCUACGGCCGAGGGUGAUGUCCCUAUGUAUAGAGAGACCUCCAUUGUACCUACUUUUUGUAUACCCCGUGAUGUAUAUUUACUGUCGAACCAGAUAUUAUAGUUGUGAUACUUUCUCUUUUAGUUGAGAUUUUGGAUUGUGUACCCUUUGUUCUACUGUUGAUAGUUUUAUUGACUUCUACUAUGCUCUGAUAUCAGGAUAGGAUUCUUUUCUGUUUGUCUCCUAUCGACUUGCUUUCUUGUAGACAUCUUAUAUACUGCAGGUCUAUGCACGUACCUGAUAUGCUUCCGCCGGUACCCGGGCGUGACAUUUGUAUUUGAUGAUUUAAGAUAUUGAUGUAUAAGGCAAAGAAAGAAAAGAAUGUAAUGUUUAUUUUGAGCAAAUGUGAUGUAAAAGAAAUGAUGAAAGCAAUGUAAAGAAUCAUGAAUGUACAAGUUGGAUGAAAUGGAUACAUGUAUGUGAUCAAAAGUUGAAUCAUAAUACUUGAGUAGAUGUUUAGUUCCCUUCCUUUCACUCAUGGCUAUUGUUUACCCUCGUGUAAGCCGUUUGUGUAUGUUUUCGCUAGUGCACUUCUUGUUUGAAAAUGUACAGGUGAUGAGUCUUGGGCGGACAGAAAAUACUCUGUCCGUUCGGCGUCUGUUUGACGUGCUCGGGCCGGCCCAAAUUGGUAUCGAUCCCGGGGCGUGACACUAGAUAUGUGCGUGAGAUGCUAGAGGCAUAUGUAUGUGGACCCAUUAUGAUAAUUGGAAAUUAUUGCAUAUGUAGCAUAUCCUCACUCAUGAGAAUGGUAAACUUAUGGCAUUAUGUGUAACACACUGAACUUUAACAAAUUGCAAGGUUCAAGUGUUUGAUCUGUGUUUCAAGAUUUUUCAGGUAUUCUGGAGGGGCAUUGACGGUGUUCCGACCUAUAACUCACAUCCCAAGAAUUGAGAAUUAAAACUUAGUACCAAAACCUAAAAAAUGUGGAUUUUGGAUUGCUCUCGGGUUUGCCUUUGUAGGGCAGAGUACCGAUACUGCAUCGGGUUGGUACCAGUACCCAGUGUAUUUCUUCGCCAACCCGAGGCUCAGGUUUGCGCAGACUGCUGCUUGGUACCGAUACUCUUUCUCGUGUCACCGGUACGCAGUGCAGUUCGCAGACUGCAAUUUUUGAGGGGUGUUUUUGUUAUUGUAGCAAUACUAUAAAGCGCCCCACGCCCCUUCUAGGGCUCCCUAAGCUUGGAAUAGUGGAGAACCAGGUAAGGGACCCCUCCACUUUCCCUCUUUGAUUUCCUUCCCUUUUUCUUGGAUUUUUAGAGGAUUAACCACCUCUUUUGCUCCCUUUUGGCAUGCUGGUGGUUUUUCCUCCAUGAGUGAAGCCUUGGAGCAUUGUUUAGAGCUUUUUUGAAGAGGGAACUUCAACUCUAGCACCAUCCUAGGUAGGUUUGGUGUAAUAUAUGGAAGCUGGGAGUUACGAUGUCAAUUUUGUUAUAAAGGAUCAAAGAGAAGUUUGGAUUAAAUGUACAUCUUUCCUGAGUGAUUUGUGAUGCAUUGGAAUGAAUUCCGAAGAUAAAUGAGUGUUUCGGCGCAAAUUGGGCGCGAAACGAAAUAUAAAGAGAAUUUCCGGGUUCCGAUGCUAACUUUGAUUAAAAGAACCAUAGUGAGGUUUGGGGAUCAUUAACCAUGAGUUUGGAAGUAUUUUGGACGUGUUGGAGCAAGUGGGAGUGCAAAAAGGAACUCCAAGUGUUGUUGCUGCCAUGUCAAGUAUUGGAGCUUAAGCAUGUUGUUAAUCUUGAACAAAAUAAGCAAGAUAGUGCAAAAAUGUAAUUGGGUUGUUCCAGGAUUAAUUUGGAAGCUUAGGAAUAUUAUUUGGCUUGUAUUGGAAGAAGUUGGAGGGUUUCGAAGUGAACCGAAAGCGCGAAAAGGCUCCGAAGUGAAGUUGCUGCCAUGAAUGGAAUUGGAGCUUGAUUUCAUUGCUAAUCCGGCUAAAAUGAUGCAAUAGAUGAAAUUGGAUUGCUCCCGAAUUAAAUUAGUAGCUUGUGGAGGUUCAUGGGCAUGUAUUGGAAGGGUUUAGAGAGAUUUAGGAUGAAGUGACUGCGUGAAACGAGCUUCGAGAGAAGCUGCUGCCAUAUAAGGUUGUUGGAGAUUGAUUAUGUUGUUGAUCUUACUCACAUUGGUCAAGAUGAUGUUAAAAUGAAAAUUAAUUGCUUCCAAAUUAAAUUGGCAGCUUGUAGAGGUGUAUUAGUAUAAUUUAGAAGUGAUUAGAAGUGUUCGCAGCGAACUAGACGCGCAAAAAGAUCUCAAUUUGCUGCUGUCAGGCUGAGGUGUAGUGCAUGGACUGAACUGCGAACCUGCAGGAACUGAUUUGCGAAUUGCUGGAAUGCAAUGCAAUUUUGCAGUUUUGAGGGGUCUAAAUGCAUUUUGUUGAUCUGAUCACUUAAACCCAUUGAUCCUCCACCUGUGGGCAUACGUAAUUGACUCUCUCUUUCUUUCUUUUCUCUUUUCUUUCCAUCUUUUUUUCCUCUCUCUCUCUCUAGCUGUAUGAAGGAAGGUUGGUGGAGUUGGUGCUCGUGGCUGGGAGGAAGAUGGAGAAUAGAGUAAUACUCCCUUCCUUCUCUUUUAUUUCUUUCCUUCUUCCCUUCCUUCUUGUCUUUCUCUUCCUUUUUCUCUCUCAAACUGAGAGGAGUGGGAUGUGUUGAAGGGAAAGUGGUGAUGGUGCUGUUGGAGCUGAGAAGAGGUUUCGGCAGUGGGGAAAUUGGUUGUUGGAGCUUCAAAACCUGAGGUGAGAUUAAAUAAUCUCUUGGUUAGGGUUGUGUUUUCAUGAUAGGGCUGAUUCUAAUCAACCUAGGAUGGAGUUGGCUUGGUUUCUUGAUUAUCAAAGCAUGUUUACCAUGAAAAUUCCUAAAGGGGCUGGAUGUGGACAGCACAUGUAUAUAUAUAUAUAUAUAUAUAUAUAUACAUGUGGAUUGGUUAUAGUAAUAAGUUAUUAUUCAGAUUUGGGUGAGAGUUUGAUGUGAAGUCCUCUAAACUGAUUGUUUUGAGGUUUCUUGGGCGAGCAAAGAGUUGAAUUGCUCUAUGUUCUUCAUGGAGUUGUGUAUUAGCAGGUUGAUUAGAGAAUAGUUUUAUGUAUAGAACCUGCAUAAAGGUUUGAAUAGUGAUAGGUUCAUUGAACCUAAGCUCGAUAAUGCGCUUUUGCAGGAUUAAAGUCCUAACUUGGAAUUGACCGCGUACAAACCUAAUUGAGGGUAAAACUGUCACGCCCGGGUACCAGCAGAAGCAUAUCCGGUACGUGCACAGACCCGCCAUACACCUGCAGUAUAUAAGGCGUCUACAAGAAACAAGUCGAUAGGAAGAACAUAGGAAAAUCCUAUCCUGAUAUCAGAGCAAAGUAUAAGUCCACAAUACUAUCAACAGAGGAACAAAGAGUAACCAAUCCAAAAUUUUCACAUCAUAAAGAAAUAUAAAAACUAUAAUCUCUGGUUCCAAACAGUAAAUAAACAUCAUAGACUACUCAAAAUACAUAUACAAUGGUAGUCACUCUAUACACUGGGACAUCACCCUCGACCGUAGCCCGAGUAGCAAGGUGAUCAACUAGCAAGCUCCUAGCAAUGUCUAGCUAGACGCGACUCCCUUGCCACGAUCCCUAGCCUCUCCUGUCAAUGGCUCUGUAAAAACAACCAUAAAAAGGGCGUGAGAACUAUUAACAAUAGUUCCCAGUGGGUAAGCCGCCAGCCUCGGCGAAUUACACCACUAGGCUCAUGAUGUACCGAAUGAAAGUAAAAAGAGUAAUUGCAUGAUAUAUCUACAUUGCUAAUAGGUAACGAACAUGUAGUCAGCAUGUAAUCGUAAUUUCUACAGUAACGAAUCAACUGAAUAAUAGAAGCAUAGCAACUACUAUAAGCAUGAACAUAAACAUGAACAUAAGUAUGGAUGUGUAAGUAAAUACUGUGCACUAUAACUGGUAAUCAUUCAUUACUGUCAAAUGUCAUUUAGUACUUUCAUUUCAUUUAAAGUUUUCCUUUCAUUCAUCAGGACCUACACAAGGUAGUCCGGCUUGCGCCGCGCCUAAUGGCCCCGUGGUAGUAUACCCUCCCCACGGCAAUCCACUUCGGCACCCAAUCCCGCACGGGCGAGCAACUGACGCGUAGGCCAACUCCAGAGUGCCGGCUUUUAGGGAGCUACCCUCACAAACGUGUGCGAAUGAGCACGGUGGCAAGCAAACAAGGUCCAUAGCUCAGUAUAUCUUAAUCAUCGUGUCAUAGUACACUAUGUUGUCACUCUCGAUCUAUUGAUCGGAAUUCUCAAUAUGAUAAACAAUGAAACUUGCUAGUAUCCACUAGAUUAGUAAACACAUAAAAGUAAUGCCAAUUUACAUAUUGCAUUAGAAACUUCUCACUAUUAAUAUACUAUCAAUAGGGUCAAGAGAAUGUCAUUGUUUUCUAUUUUGUAGAAGCAUAAUACACUUAUCACUUGGUUAUUCAACUGAACUAAACAGGAAUACUUUACUGCAUGAAUACUUUAUGCAUGACUACUCUCUACUUCAUAGAGGUUUCAUUUCAAUUGUAUCAAGCAUUGUGGCAAGAUUAUUCCGAGUCCUUUAUCAUUCACAUAAACACAAUAGCGUACAACCAAACCAAUUCUAUAGUAACAUAUAGAACAUAUGGGAGUUUCACUUGAUCUGGUUAGGUCAAACCCACCUAUCACUAAGCUCAAACCAGAUCAACGACGUCCCGAAAUUCAGCUCUACUAGACUUCAGCCCUGCUGAAAACAAAGCAUCAAAACAGCGUCGAGGCGAUUACUUAUACAUAAGAAUCCAAUUUCGGCAAAAUUCUCAAUUAAUACAAGGUGGAAGCUUAAUUCCCUGUUUUGGCUCCGUUUAAUACCUCAAGUUAAGCUUCCCAAAAUCCCUCACGUAUCAGUCGGAGAUAAUCCGAAAGUCCAUCGCAAGCCUGCUGCGAACAAUUUCCAAAACGGCAUCAAAACGCUCAAAUAUAAGUUAAUAUCGCCAAAAUCUUGCGGAAUCAGUUUUGGAACUGAAAUUUCUAUUUACCCUUGGUUAAAAUAUCCUCGAAACCAGCUUCCAAGAGCACAGGUUCAGCUCAAAGGAGCUCAAAAACCUACUGCGAAGAAUUCAUUCCAAACUACGUCAAUUACCCGAUUAAACUUCAUAUAGUCCUGAAAUUAUGUCAUUAGUUGACUAAUUACCUUUAUCCAGCUUUGAAGCAGCUUAUCCCUGGUCCAAGGUAGUUAAAUCACAGCUAAUUAACUCCCCUCAAGCUGCUGAAAUCCUCCUCGAACUCAGCUGGGAGCAAUAAAAUCGAAACGCGUCAAAAUCGGACACUAAACCACAAACUAGAGGGUGAUUGAGCUAAAAACCUCUUUAAAGCUUUCUUUCAGCAACUCCCAGCAAUAGACAUGAAAAGCACUACUGAAAACACUUCACUUUACCUUUUAAAAGCUGACCCCAAGUCCACCCAACCAGCAAACGUUGAGCGGGACGCGAAAACGGCGCAAAACGGUGACUUUUACUCUUAGAGAGAGAAACCCUAGAGAGAGAAAGAGGGUGAGAGGCAGGGCAGCUUCUCUAAGCUCCAGCACCAUCUAAGAAGCUUCAAGGGUCGAGCUGAAGGUAAGUAGAUAAGUAUAGAAUGUGAAAUUACCAAAAUAGCCUUGCUGCCACGUUUUUGCCAUUGUGUACCGGUACACAAUGAUGGUUGUACCGGUACACCAAGCAGAAAAAUGCUAAUUUCGCCAGAUCAAAGCACUUUCUUGCUUUUGGCCAUCCAAUCCUUCUCUAACUUGUACAAAAACUUGUCCAAGCCUUUUAGAAUAUGUAGGAUAGAUCCACAUCUCAUUCCUCACACUCGAACUUCGCAAUUUGCAAAGGUUCUGUGUAUUACAAAAACGAACGUGUUGGCGAAGUCGGUUUAGCAAUCCGUCGAGCCUACGCGAAGAUAUCACCAAAAGGACAUUUUCGACUACAAUUGUAGCGAGCGCGGGCCGCGAUUCAUGGAAAAGUGCGGGAAGUCGAUUUCUCGCGUUCCGGUAUCAAGUAAAGGUGGGUUGUGCUUACCGAAGCGAUUAGGUCGCUUCCGUGCCAAAGCAACGUAUGGUUUUUCAUUGACGCAUAUAUGCUUAGCGGUAGGUUAUGAUUAAUAAAAUGAAGGCAUGAAUCAAAUCAUAUAAAUUGCCUGCCAUUGGAACAUGCACAUGAGUAUAAUGAUAAUCUUGUUGAAUAAUGGAUGAAUAUUGAUAUGUGAUAACCAUGCUAGAUGCAUAUGAAUGCAUGAGUUGUGAAUACUAGAUGCAUAUGAAUAUGAAUGCUAGAUGCAUGUGAAUGUAUUAUGGUUAAAGCUAAAGCAUAUAUGGACUUUGACAUAUUGUGGACGUGAACCUAGUGUAUUAAACAUAGGUUGGAUAUUUUAUAGAUCGAGUGGCAUGACCUAGUGUUAAUAAACAUAGGUCGGACAUAACCUAGUAUCAUUAAAUAUAGGUUGAAUUAGUAAACCUAGAGUCGAAAUCUAAGUAAAAUGACAUAGAACCUAGCAAGUGAACCUAGGUUAUGAUGUAUAGUGAAACUUAGUGUAUUUGAACUAAGUUGUGGAUUUUAGUGGUAGAAUGACCACUAGGAAAUAAUUGGUUUAGACCUAGGAAGGUCGUCAACAUAAGGUAAAGUGAGUAAACCCUUAAGUUGUGGAAAUAAAUUCCGGAAUCCCAAGACCUAUGAUGACCUUGGUAUCAAGGCUAGGGCGUGUGCGACGAUUUCGCCGCCGAGAUUGAUACCAAGGGAGGAAAAGAGGGUCUGUGCGCAGAGUCACCACUCGGAGGCUUAAACUAUUACCCGGCGUGUGUGAUAAUUUCGCCGCCAGAUGGUUAAGCCGGCUUGUGGGGCAUGCCAUAAAACAAGUGAAUCAGAACUACGGGAUCGACGGUUCUCCUCUCCCGGUAGUUAUUCAACGGGAUCGACAGUUCUCCUCUCCCGGUAUGAGCUCAGCGGGUUUGAUGGUUCUCCUCGCCCGUUAAGCUUGAGCGGCGUAGGGUCACGAGGAUCGACGAUUCUCCUCUCCCUGUGAUUGUACCUAUUGUCGCGUGGACUUAGGGCUGAGGUGCUUGUGAGACGUCCUUCACCUCGAGCCUGACUUGACGCGGUACUCCGCGGAUGAUUGACUCGAGACCGAGUCGGGUGGAUAGCUUGAUUAAGGUAGAUGACACCUUAGAAGCUAGUAUGAUAUGAGCUUGGAUAGCGAGAUAGAAAGUAGGAUCAGUAGAUCUACUUGUUACUUAGUUGCAUAAUUUGCAUAUUGCAUAUCGUGAGGCAUACAUGUUUAAAUAUCUGCAUAAAUUAUUGUGAUUAUCUGUUGGACUAACAUGUUACAGUGCCUCCUUUGGACCUGGUGGGUCGAGCUCUUCCCUUGGGUGGCCGUACCCAUUGGGAACUAUAUUUAUAUAGUUCUCACCCCCGUGUUGUUUUUGGGGGUACAGGUUCACACGCGAGCGGCGCAGCGGCGUGAGGACAGGGCGUAGCUCCGUAGAUAGCGCCCCACCACUGAGACCGAGAUAGCAAUACCCUGAAGAGGUCUAGCUCAAAGUUCAGAUUGAAAGAAACAAACUUGUAGUAAAUUUGUAUAAGUUGUAAUAACUUAAAGGUAUUUGUAAUAUUGUAAAUGUAAAAUCUUGAGAUGAAUGCUUGUACUAGCAUAGUUAGCAUUUUAUGUUUUUGAUACUUAUGCAAUCUGUGGUUGAAUACAGUUCCUGGUUGGAACCUCUUGUAUUACAUUGUAUAGAUUGUGACGCCUAGAACGUAUAGGGGAGGCUCUGUCCGUUCGGCGGUUUGUCGGCAUGCCCGAAUCCGACCAAAUAGGCGGAGCUCGAGGCAUGACAUUUGGAGCAUUAAGAGAGGUUAGUAUCUAUGAUCUCUCAUUUGGAUCAUAUUUUGGUAGAGUUUUUGCAUAUAAACCUAGAAAUGAGAAAUCUAGGAUUUAUUUGGGGAUUUUUUAUUUGUAACUUUUGGAACCUAAUUUAUUGGUUUAGAACCUUCCUUUAGGUUGGAUUUGAAGGGUCCUAGCUCUCAUUUGGGAUUUGAGAAGGUUUUUCCACUUUUAAGGUGAGUUUUAACCCUUUUCUUGGAUUGGUUAAAGAUGAACACUUUGGGUGUUCGUUCGUUUCGUUUAACCCUCUUAGAAUUUUCUUUAGGAAGCUAAGUGACUAGUGGACAUCUUCGUUGGCACAAACGAAGGGGAUUAGUGGAGUUCUUGGUGGGUUUGACCUAACCGAAAUGGAUAAACCCCCCCUAUGUUAUUUUCUGCAUUGUAAAAUAAAAAUUCUUGCAUAUUCAUAUUAGAUAGGGCAUAUGUGAAUUUUAGAAGCUUAAAAUACAUGUGUUAUGUAUCAUAAAAAAUCAUCUCUAUGUAGUAGAGAAAUAUGAGUAUAGUAUUCUUACAAAUGAGAAGCAUUCUUUCAUGUGAUUUGGAAACAUGUGUUAUAUAGUUAAAAUGACAAGUAUAACAUGCUUUUGGACAUAAAACUCAUGCUUGACAUAGUGGACACAAAUGCCAUAAAGAAGCAUUCAACUUAGUGGACGGUUAAACUACUACAUGAUAACAUAGUGAUAGGCCAUUGAAUCACUAGCAUUUAUACCAUGUUUUAGACAUGAUAAUAUUGGACUUGAGAUAGAUGAUUACGCUUGCUUGCCAUUGUGCUCAUUCACACAUGCUUGUGAGGGUCGCUCCCUACAAGCCGGCACUCCGGAGAUAGCUAUCGCGACAUAUGCUCGCCCGUGCGUGAUUGGGCGCUGAAAUGGGAUACCAUGGGGGAGGCUCAUUUCAAGGGUGGGAAUGUUGACUACCAUGGGACCAUUAGGCACGGCGUAAGCAAGACUAUCCUUGUGUAGGUCCUAUAUGAUUGGAACAAAGUUAAACUAAAAUACAAAGUGGACAUUAGACAAAUUAGUAAACAAUGACAUUUUACUAGUUGUACUUGAGGACAUUAUGUAUUUAUACACAUGCAUAUUCAUAUUAGAAUAGCAUUUAUACUUGUGGAAACUCAUGCUAAGUAGAGGCAUAGUAGUUAGUAAGUUUUAUUACAUGCUCAAUAUACAUAUUGUUCUUUCUAUUUAAUAUUAGAACAUACUACUUAUGCCUCCAUAACCUAGUGGUGUAUUUCGCUAAGGUCGGCGGCUUGCCCACUGGAAACUAUUGAUUAAUAGUUCUCACGCCCCCUGUUUUGUUUUUUUUUUUUACAGAGCCUUCCACACUGGGUGAGGUUAGGGACCGCGGCAAGGGUGUCGCCACUAGGUAGUCACGAGGGGUCUUUCUUUUAGGUGAUUCACCUCUCUUUUUGUUUUACUUGGAGAGGAUGAGAGUUUUGUACUCUUAUGUAGAGACCACCAUUUUUGUUUAUCUAAUCUUGUAUUUGAGAUCCUAUCUUGUACUACUUUAUUGUUUACAUUAGGGGAUUAGCUCCUUUUAUCCUGCUUGUCUUUAGAAAUCUAGUUGUGUAUGCUCUGAUAAUCUAUUAGAUGCUUUAUUUAUCUUACCUCUUUAUACUGUUGUUGUAGACGCCUUAUAUGUUGUAGGUAUAUAGCGGGUCUGGACACGCACCGGGCAGGCUUCCGCUGGGUCCCGGGGCGUGAUAGAUUAUUUUGGUAUAAGAGCCUAGGGUUGAGUCUUAGUGGACCUAACAAAUCUUUGACCAGUUGGACUAUAGGAAAUAGGCUCGCGAGAGACGGGGUCUAUUUUGAUUUGUAAGCGAAAGUAUUAUAAUUGGAUUUUAUUAUAACUCUAAAAAGUUGGAGUUUAAUCGAAGUGUAUAGCUUCUAACUUCCCGGAGGGUUACGUUGGCGGCCGACAACGUAACAUCAGGAGUUAGUAGUAAAGGACACUUCCUUACUUUCGCAUGAUUUGAGUAUUAUUUACUUGAGUAGGGUUGCGAUAGCGUGAGUUUUACUAACUUGCCCUUUUAUGUUGUUGUAGUGAUAAUGCCAACUACUGGCUCUAAAUCUGUUGGGGCAGAGAACGCGGCAAACCUGGAGGAGGUGGAGACCUCCGCUACUUCCGGGUCUAGCGAGGUCCGUGACCUGAGAACUCAGCUUGCGGUCCUCAUUGAUUUAGUGGCUCAGUAGGCGGCGGCGGCUCAGCAACAGGCCGAUGUGGCGCACUGGCAGGAAACGCGGAUGAAGCAAUUGGAGAACUUGCUUCUUCAGCAGGCGGCUACUAGGGAGGCCCAGACUUCCACACCCCCCGCGCCGGCCAAGGUGGUGGCACCGAGGGCGCCGUCUCCCGCUCCCGGUACUUCGCGCGCGGCGCCCAUAGUCGUACCUCGAGAGGAGGAUGUCGCGGCACCACCGAUUCAGGUGCCUCCGGCGGGGGCAGUUUUUCCCGUGAUGGUCGAGGGAGCGGAGCGGGACCGGCUCAUGGAUCGCCUCAAUGAGUUCAGGAGGUGCAAUCCCAGGAUUUUUUAUGGAGAGAAAGCCGACCACUGGAUCGUGGAGAAGUGUUUGAUGCACAUGGAAAAGCUUUUUCGCGACACCUUUGUGGAAGAGAGAGACCGAAUUUGGCUCGCCACUCAUCACCUGGACGCUGAAGCCUACCGUUGGUGGUUGGAUAUCCAAGACAACCCCAACACCGACCUUUCAGCAAUUACGUGGAAGAGGUUCAAGGAACUUCUGUUGGAGCACUACUUCCCCGACAGCGUCAAGAGGCAAAUAGAGAAGGACUUGCGCGGCUUGCGCCAAGGGGAUCGGACGGUAGCCGAGUACGAGAGAGAGUUCUCUCUGCUUCUGUAUUGCGUGCCUUUCGUCGUGCGUGACGACGAGGACAAGGCCCGUAUUUUUUAAAGUGAACUUUGACCGUCGAUUUUUUGGUUUGUGAAAUCGUCAUAUCUGCAAACCUACCGAGAUGUGGUGAACCGCGUUCUCAUUGUGGAGAGGGGCUCGGCGGAUGUGCAAGAACGGAGAGAAGGCUUGGACAAGGGAGAGGGAAAAAGGCCCGCGGCUGAGGGUUUGAGUCAGGCGCACUCUAGGAGGCCGCCGAAGCACCCUAGAAGCGAGUCGAGAGGGCGUGGCUCAUUUGCACAGAGAGAAGGUUUUGAUCGACGCCGACCUCCCCAGUGUGUUAUCUGUGGUGGUCCUCACAUUCCACCGCAGUGUCCACAGCGGGGAGGCAUGUGCUUCCUUUGUGGCCAGGAGGGCCACUUCCGAACCGAGUGCCGGAGAAGUUCGUUACCGGCAUCGUCAUCUGCAUCGGCACCGACAUUGCCAGCUGCCAACCAAGGGACUCCAUCGGCACACUACCCGCCUAGGGGGCCACCCAUCCAGCGAUAGACUGGUACCUUAUCGGACUUCUAAAAUUAUGAAGUUACGGUGUACAUUUGGUUGGAAAGCCAUUUGAAUGGUUCCGGUGAAGUUCGGUGAAGUUUGGGAGCAUUCAGGCGUUUCGAUGUGCGUAGGCGUGAAAACGGUACCCAAAAGGCUAUGUGUCACGCCCCGGGGUCCAGCGGAAGCUUGCCCGGCACGUGUCUAGACCCGCCAUACGUCUGAAACAUAUAAGGCGUCUACACAAUUUCGAUAAAUAAGACAAUAGUACAAAAAGGUCUAGUAAUAUCAGAGCACAAAACAACUAGAUUUUACAACAUAGUAGGUAAAAGAAAAAGUAAAUCCACUAAGAUAAAACAUAACUUAGUAAAAAGAAAGCCAACUACAAGUACAAGGGAAGAUACAAUGGUGGUCUCUAAACAUGGUAACAAAACCUCUCUCUCACAAAUCUCAAACAGAGAGAAGAACCACCUAGGAUCAAAACUGGCUCCACCACUAACUAAGCGAUCCCCUUGCCACGAUCCCGUGCCUCCACCGGUGCUGAAGGCUCUAAAAAGAAAUCAUAAAAUAGGGGGCGUGAGAACUAUUAAAUAAUAGUUCCCAGUGGGCAAUUACUGACUUCAGUGAAAUGCGCCACUCGGCCCAAACUGGAGGAAGGUAAGUAGAUAAGGCAAUACUUAAAGCAAAAGCUACCACAUAAUCACUACUUGGCAUGAAUUGCAUAAAUAAUAAACUACCCAUGAUCUCUACUUAACAUGAUUGGCAUAAGUAAUAAAGCAACUAUAUCAUGAAUGUACAUGGAUGUAUAGGACAUGCAGAAGCUUAGGAAUGCAACCAACCCGAUGUCCUCAAUGCAAAAAUAGUAAAGAUGUCAUUGUUUACUAUUCUAGUCCAAAUUCACUUUAAUAGUUUUAAAGUUCACUUAGCAUGUUCUGUCACUAAGUCCCAAUCAUGUAAGACCCGCCCAAAGGCUGUCUGGCCUGCGCCGUGCCUAGUGGUCCCAUGGUAGUCAACAUCCCCACUCUAGGAAUGAGCCUCCCCCACGGCAAUCCAUUUCGGCGCCCAAUCCCGCACGGGCGAGCAUAUGUCGCGAUGGCUAUCUCCGGAGUGCCGGCUUGUAGGGAGCGACCCUCACAAGUAUAUGCGAAUGAGCACAAUGGCAAACAAGCAAUGAUCUAUCCAAGUACCAAGUCCUCAUGUCUAAAAUAUGGAAUACCAGUCAACUGUAUCGAUGGCCUAUCACUAUGUCAUCAUGUCUAAAACAUGGAAUGUAAUAACUGUCUCAAUGGCCUAUCUCUAUGUCAUCAUGUCUAAAACAUGGAAUAUAGCAGAUGUCUAGGUGGCCUAACACUAUGUCUCCAUGUUGCAGUUUAACAAUUUUCUAGUUCGAGUGCCCCUUUAUGACACUUUUGCUCACUAAGUCAUAGCAUGGCAAUUAUGUUCAAGAGUACAUGAUUCUAGUCAUUUUCCACGUAAGAGACAUAUUUUGAGUUGCAAAUAAAGACCACAUAGCACAUGCAUGCAUACUACUCUUACGGCUCUACUACAUAAAGUGAAAUUAUCAUGAUACAUAAUACAUGUGUUUUAGGCGCUCCAAAAUUCAUAUAAAUUCUACUUAUCAUGAAUAUGCAUGCAUUUAUAGUAAAUGAAGACAAUAAACCACAUAGGAGGCAUUUUCUCCCUAUAUCAAAGAAGCCAAACCCACCAACGACAACGGAACCCUUCGAUUGCUCCGACGAGGGUGUCCACCACUCUCCUAGUACCCUAAAGGUAUGGAAACAAGUGUCACAAGAACCAUACAAACAACACUUAGCUCAAACAUUAAGCUUUUCAAGCUAAGGCGGGGAAAACUCACCGAAAAUGGUGAAUAUCUCUCUUGAUCUCCAAAAGGAGGCAAGAAUCCUUCAAAACCAACCUAAAGGAAGGUUCUAAUAAGAUCAAUCAAGAUCAAAAAGCCUCAACUCGAAAAUCCCCAUUUCUAACCCUAAAAUUCAAAAUCUAGGGUUUUCUCUAACCAAAUCCAACAAAACAUGUAUCAAAUAAAAAAUACAUGUCACUAACCUCUUAAAUAGUCUCAAACCAAGUCCAAAAUCAGCUAGGGUUGGAGGUCUCCUCACAAACAAGCUCCUCUCAAAGCUCCAAGUCUUCAACCAUGGAGAAAACCCAACAAAAAGCAAAGAAGAGGAGAAGGGAGAGAUCAAAACACCAUAAAAUCCACCAAAAAUGGAGAUCAAACAAGGGAAGGGGAGACUCACCUUGAUCUCCACUGGUUAGGGCUCAAAGAGAGCAGCUAAGGGGGCUGGGGUCAUCUAUAUAGGUGUUGUAACAAUUGCAAAUACACCCCUCCCCGAAACAGCCCAUUCUGCACUGCGUACCGGUACACGGGUUUGUGUACCGGUACACAUCCCACGAACCAGCCCAACCCGAGCUUCGGGUUGGCGCUCUGGCUGCCAGGGUCGAUGGCUGUACCGGUACAGCCAUCACCGCGUACCGGUACGCCACCCUGCAGAAAGCCACCCAAGAGCACACCAAUAAUCCAAUUUUUUUGGGUUUUAGUGCCAAGUUUUAAAUCUCAAUUCUCGGGACUCGAACCAUAGGUCGGAAUACUAUCCACGACCCUCCACGAAGUGUGGAAAAGUUCGAAACACAAGUCAAACACUCGGACCUCACUAUUUGCGACGGUUCGGUGUGCUACACUAUGUUAGACCAUGAACUAAAUCCGGCAUUAGCGUGGAUGGAAAGAUGAUGAAAUUACGCUCGAAAAUAUGUUUUGAGAGUUUCGGUUCAAUUUGAAAUGAAUCGGAGUUCAAACGAGCGAAAACGAACGAAAACGGAGAAGAAAGCUGAAAAUGCUGAAAAAUUGGCUAAGUCCUAAAAAUGCUGAAAUUCUGGACCUACGGGGUCCGGACCCUGGCUUCAAGGUCCGGACCCUGAGCCCGAAAAUGGCCCAGUUUAGUGCAGUUUGCAUAGUUGAGGGGGUUUCUUGCAAAUAGGGCAUAUGGGGGCUAUUAGAGAGAGUUAGAGCCUCUCUCUCUCUCAUUCCCUCACCAUUUGCAACCCAACAAACACCAUCUCUCCCUCUCUAAAGUGUCUCUCUCUCUUCAAGAAGGAAGGCAAGGAGGGGGAUUGGUGGAGGGUGAAGCUUGAAGAAGGAUCAUCAUCUUCUUCUCCUUCUUCUUCACCUUGGAGCAAGCUUAAAGAGGUAAGCUUCAUGGAGCUUUAAUGGUAGAACCUUAGGGCUUUGCUUAUAUGCUCUAAGAAUGAUUUAUAUGGAACUCUUAGAUGCCAAAUAGAUGAUUUGUGCUUGAAUCUAGAGAUAUAAUGGUGGAUUUUUACCUAGUUGUAAUCUAGGGCUCCAAAUUGGGGUUUUGAGAAGUUGUGGGAUUUGAUCUAAACUGAACCUCUGUAAACCUAAUUGCUAGGUGUUCUGACGUGUUGGCGAAGUCGGUUCGGCAAUUCGUCGAGCCUGUGCAAAGAUAUUGAAGAAAAGGCCUGUUGAGGUACAGAUUGCCGCAGCUCGCGACGAAAGCUUCCUAAAAUUACAAGAACGGAACCCUAGCCUCCUGGCAGCAUUAAAAGGUGGGGGGUGUCCAUCCCAAAGCAACUGGGCUUCCUUCUAUGUCCGAGAUAGAAUUGUUGAUCAUGUUUCAUAUAUUAUUCUUAUACAUUAUAGGAUGAUUGUUGUAGUUGCAUUUCUACUUCCUUGCAUGCAUGUCUAGUAGUGUAGCAUUGUGGGGCUCGACACUUAAACCUAGAAUGCAUGAGGAUUGGGUCGGGUGACAUGAGAUCCUAUAGUGAUAAGAAUAUGGUGAACUUGAACUUGGUAAUGAGAACCAAUGGAUUGUGAACUAGUGUAAUAAAAACACUUGAAACUUGGACGAGUGGCAUGUAAACAAGAGACACUAUAACAAGAACGAGUGGCAUGUCAGUUUAGUGUAUUGAGACACAUACAACAUCAUGACAUAAAUGAGCGGCAUCAAAUCUAGUGUAGUGGAACACUAUGGCAUUUGAACCUAGGGAUAGUAGAUUUUUUCCGAUUGUCAUGUUGUGGAUAUUAUGCAUUUGGCAUUAGUGCAGUUGAGGCAUUGUGGCCCUAGUAGAUAGGGUAUCCUCCAGUGCGGGGAUUGGAUCAUACUCACAUAGUCUGUGUAACUUUGGCGUGGUCGCUCUACCCAAGUAGUGAGCUCCGGAGUAAUAGUCGCGUUGGGGCAGACAUAGUUGUCCCGCAGACGGGUCUCGGGUGGGUGUAGCACAGAGUCUCCCCACUAGCGAGAUUUGAGAUGUGAGUCGAGGUAGCAACCUUUGGGUUGGCCAUGAGAUUGAUUAUCGAGGCAUAGUUGCACGACGCACUAUAUAGUAGCUUGUACAUCUUGAUUAUCGAGGCAUAGUUGAACGACGCACUAUGUAGUAGCUUGUUCAUUCAUGUGAUUAUCGAGGCAUAGUAUCAUGUGUAGAGACAUUACUAUGUAGUAGCUCAUUUCCUUAUUGUUCAUUGAGGCAUAGUAGCAUGUGUAGAGACAUACUAUGUAGUAACUCAUUCAUGUAUCCAGCUUUGAGGCAUAAUAUCAUGUGUAGAGACAUUACUAUGUAGUAGCUCAUUUUCUUAUUGUUCAUUGAGGCAUAGUAGCAUAUGUAGAGACAUACUAUGUAGUAGCUCAUGCAUUUCAUUGAUUAUGAGGCAUAGUAGCAUGUUGCAUAUUUUCUACUAUGUUGUAGCUCAUUUCAAGAUAUCUAUCUAUCUAUCUAUCUGUUGCUCAUGCCUGCUUAGACCUAGUGGGAAGAUCGGCAGAGUCGGCGGCCGAACCCACUGGGAACUAUAUUUAUAUAGUUCUCACCCCACUUUGUUGCAGGGCCUAGCGAGAGAGUACGGGCAGAGGACCGUGGUAAGGGCAUAGCGCCCUAGUUAGCUAGCAGCUUCCUUAUGCAUUAGAGUACCCUCGUGUACCCGGUUGACAUGAUUAGUAAAUAUUGUAUUUUGGAGAGCUAGCAUGUAUGAUGAGAGAACAUUAUGUAUCCACAUUUUGGGAGAUGAAAAUGUAAAUUAAUUAUGCAAAUGAUGUAAAUGUUGAAUGUCAAAUGCGAUGUAAUAGCUAGAACUGUCUCUUUUUAUGCACUUGUAUAAUUACUUGUAUCUUGCUCUUGUUGGUAUAGCACUUGUGGUGCUUCGUUGAAUCAUGUAUAUUAAUUGAGUUUAUUCUGGGCAACUCUUGUACAUGAUCUUGUUGUUGAGCCUUGGGUGGGCAGGGGAGGUGCUGUCCGUCCGGCGUCUGUUCGACGUGCCGGGAUUCGACCAAAUUGGCAAGUCGUGGGCCAUGACAGAUAAAGUGGUAUCAGAGCGUAAAGAGCAAGUAAAGAGCAAAUAAAGAUAGAGUCUAGGAUGACCUAGGAGACCCUAGGACGGAAAACUUAAGGAUAUAGGUGUGUGAGUGAGACGUGGACCUAUGCGGGUGGCGGAAGUUGAAUCGAUUGGGUCAAGUUUUGUAAACCUCUAAGACGGAUGUUAGAGGUAGACUCGAUGUGUGGUUUAUUCUCGACCAAGUGCGUUCAUGUUGGGCGAUCAACAACAUGAAACCGAGGGAUGAGAAUAGACGCUCCUGCGUGACUUUCGCCGGAUUUGAGUUGAGUUGAUGUUAGUUGUUACGUGCUCUACCUAGAGAGUCGAGACUGACCGUGUUGUCACGGUUCAGGAAAUGAUGGCACCGCGUAGGCGAUCUUUGUUUAGAUCGGCACUGGAUGGGACAAGUAAUGUCCUUGAGCAAUUCGAGAUGAGUGGAGACUUGGGACUUCGCGAGCGGUUGGCCACUAGUGGGAGUCGCGAGGCAACGAGCCGAAUUGGUGCUACGACAGCAGGAGGCUGUCAUGCGCCAGGAGGAGCGGAUUAAUGGACUCCAAGAAACGGUUGAUCGAUUGGUGACCGUGCCAGUUUCAGCUCGUCGAGCGCGGCCGGGAGUCGCGGCGGAGGUGUUUCCGUCGGGGUCGGGCAAUCCGACUUCUAGCACUUCAAAGGUGGUGGUGGUGAGGGAGCGAGCCUUGGCGGCCCUCAUGAUUUUCAAGGAAUUUGAUCCGCCUACCUUUGAUGGAGAGGAUGUAGAUCCGUGGAUUGUGGAGUCGUGGAUUGAUUCCAUGGAAACUCUGUUUGAGGAUCUGUACUUUGUGCGAGCAGGAGUUCUCCCGUAUCGUGAGUUGUAUCCAGAAUGUGGUGCGGGAUGACGGGAUCAAGCUGAUUGCUUGUACGAGGACUUCGGCUGGAGAUUUCCAAAGUUGUGUAUACUCUUAAGUGCAAACUUUUGCCAAAAUUAAGGAUUGAGCGUUGUGGGCGGCCGUGCUAUUCGCAAGAUGAGCGCCGCUGAGGGGAUGACCAGACCUUCGCAUUGGCGACUGCCUUCUCCUUUCUGAGACAGCCUGCGGGUGUGCCAUCUGUAGCAUGGUCGGGAGAGUGAGUAGUGAGGACGUGGCGACCGGAGGGUCCGCGGCGUGUGUACCGAGUGGCCAUGAGGACGCGACCCAGGUCGAUGAGCAUUGCAUGCAUUGUCGUGGUCAGUUGCUACUAUUUAUGCAUUAGUAUAGUAGGGACCAAUGGACGGGUAGGUGAAGAUACCUUGGCAUGCUUGUGUGUGAGAGUGUAGCACCUGCUUGAACAGGAAGAGAGCUAGACGGCACUAGCAAAAUGCUAGUAGUGGUUCUUGGACGAGUAAUGAUACUCGUGGAGUGCGGAUUUGAUUCAACCGAGGGAGUGAGAUGGCAGUAGCACUUUAGCAUUGCUAAGUGUGAAGCGUGCCAUGGAUCACUCGUGGGACUGGUGACUCGCACUAGGUGCAUAGUAGCCGGUAGUAGUGCGUGUGGCUCGGAAGAGCGUGUUGUGUAGGACGACGACGGCGGGUGUUGCUUGGGGACGACCCGUGCCUGGACCAUUUGUGGACUGUAGAGCUUGGGCCCAUUGGGCAGGCGCAGUUAGCUGUGAGUGACAGCGGCCCGGUACCUACGGGUAGGGCAGAGUUUUGGUCAGAGCGGUAGUCCGAGCUUACACCCAAUAUAUAUAUACACACUUUGAAUUUAAAAAUUCAAAUUUGAAUUUCUUUUAUUAUCAAAUCUCGGAUAUUACACAUAUGAUGGGUGUGGGCUUUGACGAGUAUUCCAUGACCUCCACUCAGCUGGGACUAUACAAUAGAAGGAUUGUAUUGUACAGUAACUGCACGUAGAGGUUCAGUCCGAUAUGCAUUUUUGACUGGAUUGCCACUACGUGCUGCUAGGUGUCACUGGUGGAUUAUGGGAACCAAUAGGAAUAAUUAUAGAUAAUUAAUUAUUCUAUAAGGGUGGAAUCAAAAGAGUUUGAACUAUCAAAAGGAGUUUCGAUGAUGAUGUAGGUAGGGAUCGCAUUAUAUCUCACUAUCAGACAUAAUUGAACCUAUUAGGUCACACACAUAAGAAAUCAUGCAUGAUCGAUAUUUAGGAAACGAUAAAAGAAGUUUAUCAGAUGGUUUAAUUGCAAUUAUAAUAUAGUUAAAUACUAAAGUUUACUAAUUUAUUAGUAAAAUGACUAAUUUGCAAUUAUUGUAAAUUAGAGGUAUUUAUGUGUAAAAGAUGCAUGGUGUAUUUACUAAUCAUUAGAAAAUAAUAUGAGGACUUAUAUGUAAAUGUUACACACGAAUCGAAUUGAAAUUCGGAUUCGGUUAAUAUUAUAACCAGCUUGACGGUUAAUGGAUAAUCCAAUCAGACUAGGGUUUCGAUUAGGAUUAGGAUUAGGCUUAGGGUUUUCUCAUUAUAAAUACAUGUCAUAUAACAUAUUAAAAUUAAAAUAAUACAAGAUAAAUAGAAAACCCUAGACGUCAAUCCUCUCUUUCUUCCUUAAGUCCUCCACAAUUAAUCUAUCGGUUUCAAUCUUCAAAAAGUUGCUAGCACAUCUAAAAGAUUGAUUCAUCUUUCUUAAAUUGACGCAAGAGUUAAUUCGUGAUUGGAUCACGGAUCGAAGUGGUCGUUUAAUUCGAUCAAGGGCGUGAUUUCGUGUGGACGCGAAUAGAGGCCAGGCGCGUGCGCGGCUAAGCGAGGACGAAUAAUUUUUACUAACAAUUGUCAUCUUCACGGUGAUCUCAACCCACGCAAGGUGAAAAACUAGAUCCUAUUUGAUUAGAUCAAUUAGAUCAAUUAUUAAUGAUCUAAAGCGAAACACAAGGAGAUCUUUGGUUUUGGAAAAUUUUUAAUUGUGUUAUUUUCUUCCGCUGCGCACACAUAAUGUCACGCCCCGCUAUCGCCAAUUUGGUCGGUUCGGGCACACCAACAGACGCCGAACGGACAGCACCUCCCCUGUCCGCCCAAGGCUCCAACAACGAGUAUAAUCAAGCAAAUCAAACAACGAGAUUGCAAUUAUACAAGACUUGCUCGAGGGCAAGCAACAACCACAAGUAGUGAAAGCUCUAAGCUACUACAUACAUCAUACAACUAUACACAUCAUAUUUGAUUACUUUUAAACCAAAUACAAGUGAACUAAAGUUAUUACAUUCAUUCUCUUUGCAUUCAUGAUUAUACAUCACCUAGUCAUCCAACAAAACAUAUGAUUUACAUCUUUAUACAUCAUUUCUUUUCAACAUACAAAAGUUGAAACAUAAACAUAAGGAAUGACUAUAAACUCCGGUAGCCGCUAACUACGGCGCAAUACCCUUGCCCCGAUCCUCCGCCACUCCGCUCGCGCUAGGAUCUGCAGGGUUAGUGGUGUGAGAACUAAAAGAAGUUCCCAGUGGGUUCGGCCGCCGACCUCGCCGAUUUGCCCACUAGGUCUAUGCUUAUAUGUAAUUCAAGAAAAGAUAGAUAGCAAACCAACUAAUGCUACUACGAAUACAAUGCCUGCAAGAAAGCUGAAUCAACAGAUAUAUGAUCAUAUGUAUGAUAAAUAUGCAUGCAUGUUUUUCCACAUUCACUUUGGCUUUUACCCAAUUAACCCGCUUAACACUUGUUAACCGCAAAACUCACAGCCCAAAAUCCCUCUCAAUCAGGGGACUCGAACCGCCCGAGGGACCGUCUUCGGGGACCGCUCUCCCCGUGGUGUCAAUUCCGAAACGUACCGUUUGAGGGGGAGCUACCUCCCUCAAGCCAAGACUCAAUGUGAGUAUGAUCCAGUCCUCAAUUUGAGGACGUAUAGCCACACUUGCUAUCUUGUCACAAGCCACGAUGCCAAAAUGCACUAACAGGUUUUUACCUUGUCAUAUAUAAAUCACUCUCUAGGCUACACUUGCCGUAAUGCCACAAUGGUUUAACCUUGUUUAGCAAUUCAUCUCUCGGUGCCAAUCUUGUCGCUAAUGUCAAUGUCACCUUUGUUUACUAUUAUCAUAGACCAUAUCACACGUUCAUAGGGUUCCAACAUACAUGGUCCAUUACAAUUUAUAUGUUUUCUAACCUAGAAGCAUACAAUUGUUUUCCAACCAUAGAUACAAGUCACAUAGCCCUAUAAUGCAUGAUUUCUACUAUACAUAUAUGCUCAAACAAAGGCAACAUAGAUAUAGAAGGAAACUCAGAGAUUUCGGAUAGCACCCCCACCUUGUAGGAAUGCUAAGAUGCCACGAUCCAAAUUUCGUGAUUUUUAGACGUCUAUUUCUUCCGACUUCGGAAAAACUGAGCCAAAACAGGCUUUUUCCACGAUUUCUCCGCGUACGCUCGUCGGAUUGCCGAACCGAAUUCGCCAAUGCGUUAGAAUACCUAGCAAUUAGGGUCACAUGAAAUCAAUCCCAAGCUUAGACCUCACAUUUACAAAACCCUAAAACAUAGCCCUAGGUUUCACCUAAACCUCAUAAUAUCCACCAUUAAUGGAUAUUAAUACAUUAACUACCCACAAUAACUCCUAGAAGCACAUGCUAGAAGAAUUACAACCAAAACCUAGCUUGGAAUCGAGAAAAUCAACCUUUAGAUUCAAGCUUUCUCCAAGCCCCUUGUACAAUUGCAAGCACCACCCUCCACUUGACCUUCUUCUCCACCAAAGUCCCUUCAAAGGCCUUUCUUGCUCAAGCCCUAGAGAGAGAGAAGGAGAGAGAGGAGUUUUAGAGAGAGAGAGGGAAGCCCUAAAUGUGUUGGGGUGAGAGAAAUGAGAAGAAAACCUCAUUUCUCAAACAUAUACACACCCACACUUACACAUUUGCACAUUAGCCCCUCCAACUACACCAAUUCACAGCAACCCAAACUGGGCAGAUUUCGCCUAUGGGGUCCGGUCCCUGGACAGGGUCCGGACCCCGAGAGCAUGAUUUUUCAGCAUUUUGCUGAAAACUCACCAGCCAGCUCUCCUGGGUCCUCUAACCUCUAUGCAACUCAUUCCCAAGUGUUUUAAACACUUUGCGGACCGCUCUAACUAGUCCGACUCCGCGCUCCGGUCAAUUUGACGGAAGCUCGGUACAAUUUAUCGGGGAUACGAUAUGUUACACAUAAUUUUCUUACAAGUACGGCAAGAACGAACUCCGAGAUUGUCUCAAUCUAAUAAGGAUCGUGCUCGCCCCAAACGCCUCAGUCCUUCUCGAGUUCCCCAUGAGUGCCGUAAGAAGCGCACACUUGGGAAAAGGAUGCUGCACAGGAGCCCGUACCUCCUGUGGUUGCGCUGCGGACGGAGGAGCAAACACGACUUCAUCAGCUCCGACGUAUGUAACGUACUUAUUAUUUUACAUUCUCAGUAAUAGAGUUUGUAGAAUAAGGAGGUUGUCAUUGUAUCACUCUGACUUUAAUAACACUAAGUCUCUUUCUUUCUUGGUGCAAACAUAGGAGUAAUAGUGCAAAAUCUAUUCAAGUAGUGUAAUAUGCAACCGCAUCUAUUUAAUGUAGGUUGCACCACUGAGAGAGUGCGCGCACCCUCCAGUAGCUAGCGAUUCCCUUUUGCGAUCGUUCAGGCGAAAUGAAGAAAUACUCCAAGUAGAUGACCGUGCAACGGCGUCUUUGUUAGUUGAGGAUGUGUUACUGGAAUGCGAAGGAGUAUGUAAUCGUGUAGGUUUGAUGUAAAUAGUGUAUCUUUUUUAGUAAUAAAUCAAUUGACCAUACUAUUUUACACAAAGCAGCUGCACGACGUUGUCGUCCAAAUUUGUGAGGACGUCGAGCCAUUAUCUUUGGUAUGUACAGUGGAUGCGUCGGCGAAAGAAGAGUAGGCCACCGAGCCGAUAGCACCGGUAGUGUCGGAAUCGAAGGUCUCGGCCGAGAAAAAAGAGAAGCCUGCUGAGACGGUGGCAGCCGCACAGCCGCCACCAAAGGUGGCGGCAGAAGAAGAGAAGCCCGGCAAGGUGGUGGAUGCCGCACCACUGGAACGAAGGCCCGCCCAGCCGAACCAAUACCUAAACGGGAAGGUGAAUGUUGCAACGCUACUUAUAAAUAGUAUAAUAUGCAUCAAGCCGUGUUAAAUUUGCUAAGUAAUCAUGUAAUUUUCUAAAUUUUGCAUUCUUUCAUGAAUUUGUGAAUAGGCCCCCGCAGUGAUCGACAUUCCCCCCUGGGAAGAGAAGAAGCCCACCGAGACGGUGGCAGUCGUACCGCCGACACCGAAGGCGACGGCGGAAGAAGAGAAGCCCAACGAGACGGUGGAUACUGCCCAGUCAAAACGAAGGCCCGCCCAGCUGAAAUCAAUACCUAAACGGGUAGGUAAAUGUUGCAACGCUACUUAUAAAUAGUGCAAUAUUCGGCAAGCCGUGCAAAAUUUGCCAACUAAUCGUGUAAUUUUCUAAAUUUUGCAUUCUUUCAUGAAUUUGUGAAUAGGCUCCCGUAGUGAUCGACAUCCCCCCUUCGAAAGAGGAAAAGCCCGCCGAGGCGAUGGCAGCCGCACCGUCUGUUAGAAAAUUGCGUACGGUAAAAACGCAGCGGAAAAAGAAAUCAAACAAAUUUGAUUUUGAAAACUCUCGAGAUCCAAUCUCAAAAACCACGNUUCUCUAACAACCACCUGCAUAUUCGCUUCAGUGUCCCCACACUGUCGACUCGAGACUCGUCUACCCUGAAAGGGAAGCGACCUAUGCACCAAUCUCACUGGAUCAAUCACCGUCCCCGUGAUGAUCCAUUGAUCGGGAGCAUUUAGGAAUUAACCACCAAUGACACAUGUCUCAAAUUCUCAACUCUUGAGAAUAUAUGUCAUCAUCUUAUUAAUUCCUUGGACGAUUCAUGGACACAUACACAACAUGAAUGGAAAUAAUAACCCAAAUUUAUUCAUAAUAUUUUAAAAUCAAAUACAAAAUUAUGUCCUAGAAAGAAUACAUGUGUCGACCUGGUUGGCUUCUAGGGCAUAUAUCUAACACCGUCGCCACCGAAGGUAGCGGCGGGAAAAAAAAGCCCGACGUGGUGGUGGACGCCGCACCACCGGAACGAAGGCCCGUCCAGCCGAAACCAAUACCUAAACGAGUAAGUGAAUGUUGCAACGCUACUUGUAAAUACUGCAAUAUUCGUCAAGCCAUGUAAAAUUUGCCAAGUAAUCGCAUUCUUUCAUGAAUUUGAAAAUAGGCCCCCAUAGUGAUCAACAUCUCCUCCUCGGAAGAGGAGAAGCCCGUUGAGGCGCUGGCACCCGCACCACACCGAAAUAAAAGCAAGCCCAGUCGGAACCUAAACCUAAAAGGGCUAAACGGGUAUGUGAAUGUUACAACGCUACUUACAAAUAGUGCAAUAUUUGGUCAAUCCGUAUAAUAUUAGCAAAGUAAUUGUGUAUUUCUCUAAAUUUUGCAUUCUUUUAUAAAUAUGCCAAUAGGCCCCCGUAGUGAUCGACGUCCCACCCUCGGAAGAAAGGAAAAAGUCAAAAAAACAAACGGUCGCAAGGAGUAUUGCAAAAAUGGGGUUGAAGUACUAUGAUAAGGGCGUGCUACUGACAGAGGACUAGAAUUUAAUAGAAAAAUUCAUUUUUAGCGACACCUCCGUGGUACGCGUGCCCUUGAAGAACAUUGACAUAGGUCGAAAGGAAUUAGUGGACCUUAGUAGCCACAUGGCAUUCAUCAACUCUGACUAGCAUCUCUUGGAACAUUGACAUAGGGUCAGCGACGACGGCACGUUGGUAGUCGCUGGAGGUUGGGCAUGGCCAUAGGAGGGGGCUAAAGGUGUGGAUCACCUAGGGAUGGUCUACGGCAGAGGUGAAGGAUGCAUGGUGGAUAAAAAUGGUGGAGGAGAGGCCAUCAAGCUUUUCCGGCGGCCGGGGAAGCUUGUCGGCGGUCGAGGUGCGCGCACGGCUAGGGCAGUGAUCUGUUUAUGAUAGCUAGGGCGUAGCUGGGGGACUAGGUCGGCUAGAUCUAGGGUUUUGCGCAAAGAAACCCUAUAUGCACUUUAUAUAUAAUGCGCAAUUUGCAGAAAAGUCCCCACAAGCUAACUUAUUUAAGCUGAGUCCCUGCUAGGGAGUGUAACUUGCGCGUAUGCACCUCGAUGUUCAAAACCACGCAAAACGAUACAUAAAAUAUACGGAGUUUUGCAACUUUUCCGUUUUGCCACUCUCGACCCCUCAGCUAACAUUUCACGAUUCUCGGAGAUCCGUCCGUCGAAUUUCCGAUCGGAUCACGCCAGUGCGUUCAGCACGACUGGGGCAUCGAAUAUACCAUUUCGUUUCGUCUGAAUUGGUUGUCGAUUCGCAACGAAACUCAUCCCCUCUCCAAUAUUCCAAACACCAUAGAUCUAUCUAUAUAUAUAUACAAAUCUAAUAAACUCCAUUUUUCUCGAAUAUCGUGCAUCAAAUCUAAAAUCCGUCCGUACCAUUGGUUCCAGAAUAGCCGAACCGUUCAAAACGAGAUAUUGGAUUGCUAUAAUCGGAGUCCAAUACGCACCAGAAACCAUCUCCACUCGUUGGCUUCUCCGAAAAAUCGGAGUUACUGUUCACUUUAAGUCAUUACUAAAGUUCGCGUAACUACUCCAUCCUAACUCGUUUUCUCUUGAAAUUUGACGAGUGUUUAUAUAAUUAAAUUACACAUAAAAAUAUCAUCAACACAGAGUUUAUCUGUACAGCAAAAAUCUCAAUCCUUACAGAGAGAGAAAAAGAGGAGUUCAUUUUUUUAAUAUGUUAUCUCUUGGGAAGGUAAAAAAAUUUAAUUUUUUAAUAUAUUAUUUCUUAGAAAAGUGAAAAGACAAAGAGAUCUUUUGGUAGGAGAGAGAGGUGUAAAGAAACAAAUUUUCUCUUGGAAAAGUGAAAAGAUUUAUUUUUUUAAUAUAUUAUUUUUUGAGAAGGUGAAAGAUAAAUAGAAAAUUUAUUAGUUAGAGAAGAAAGAGGUGUAACAUGGAAAGUGAAACUACUUUUUGUCUCUUGGGAUGGUAAAACGAUUUAUAUUUUUUAAUAUAUUAUUUCUUGGGAAAAUAAAAAGGCAAAGAUAUCUUUUCGUAGAAGGGAGAGAAGUGCAGAAAAACAAAUUUUCUUUUAAGAAUGUGAAAAGAUUUAUUUUUAAUAUAUUAUUUUUUUAAAAUGUGAAAGUUAAAGAGAGAAUUUGGUAGGACAGAGAGGAUUAGAGAAAAAAGAAAGAGGGGUAGAGAAACUCAGGGAAGAGAGACAUAUAGAUAGAGACAAAUAAGAUUGUAGGGAUGACAAAAGAAAAGAAAGGGAUCUCAUAUGACGUGGAGGCAGAAAAAACUGUCACGUGGAUAGAAGGAACCAUUAAAUUAUAUAUACUAGUGAAGGCCCGCGCUUCGCUGCGGAAGAUUUAUGCAUUUUUUAAAAUAUUUUGAACAAACUAAUAUAUUUCUAUAUUUAUGUUGUUAUCAUUUUUAAAAAUUUAAAUUUAAAUUUUUUAAUUUUCAAAUCUAAUUUUAAAUUUUAAACUUUAAAAAAUUAAAGAGCUAAAAUAUAUAUAUAUAUAUAUAUAUAUAUAUAUAUAUUUAAAUAGAGAGAAAUAAAAAAUAAUUUGAAAAUUGCAGAGAGCAGAGAGGGAAAAAAACAAAAAGAGCAUUGUCCGCGCCGCGCCGCGCCCCGCCCCGCGCUUCAGCGUGUCCGCGCCACACCGCGGGCCGCCUCACGCUCCUGCGUUUUUUUAUUUCAUAAAUUAAGAGAAAACAAUUAAAGAAAAAGACACAAAAAUACAAAAAAAAUUAGAAAAAAGAUUAAUUUUACAUUAAAAAAAAAUAGUAAUUUUGCUCUUAUUUUGGGCUUUCGUAAAAUAUUACUAUUCAGGACCAAUCAAAUUUGAAGGGAACUAUUAUUAUCUCUCAUAAUUUUUUAUCCAAUAAUUAAAAAGUUGAAAAUACCGACCGCUUUAUGCUUUCGAUAGCACAACAACUUUACACAGAAAUAUAUAGAUAGUAUUUCAUAGAUGCCACCAUAUAUAUUAGUAUACAUAAUAAUUAGCAGUUUAACAUAUAUAUAAAAAUUUUGGCUAAUAUUUCAUCAAAUACAGAGAGAGCGAGAGAGAGAGAGAUGUAUAUAACCCGCGCAAUUUGAGAUCGCAAUCAAAACUCUAAAAACAAUGACAAAAAAAAUAUUUUGACAAUUUGUUUAAUUUUCUAACAAAAAACUCCAUUAAUUAUUGCGUUAAAACUAUAAAAGGUUUGAGACUUAAGGUACUGUUGUUUGAAAAAAAAAGAAAAAGAAAGAGAAAAUAGAUGAGAGUGAGAGGUGCUUCACCGACCUCUUGCAUGAACCGAACAGAGAUGCCCGAGUUGCAGCAUCCUUUGCUUGUGGAGAUCUCAUAUGCGGCCUCCACUCCUCUCCCUUUCUCUAACCCAUUCUCAACUUUGUUUCCACUCUUUCUCUCUCGUUGUCACACACACUCUCUCUCUCUCUCUCUCUCUCUCACGUUUACCCAAAGAGAGAGAGAGAGACCACAAAAGAAGAUCUAGCAAAAGAGAGCUACUCCAAGGGUAUAUAUAUAUAUAUAUAUAUAUAUAUUCUUCUCUCUAUCAAUUCUAUAUAUUUUUUAUAUUCAUUAUGCACGUAAGUGAAGAUGUUAAUAUAAAUUUCUGGAUCUGUUUCUGAGUGGAUAUGUUUAUAUAUAGGAACAAUUGCUUAUAUACCCCUGAAAAGUUCCCGACUUUUCAAUUUAUCCCUCUUAGAUGGCUAAUAUUGAAAAUACCUUUUUUACGUUCCAACUUAUUUCUAAUAUAUCCCUAGAGUUAAAAUUUGUUAAUGAACUCUGUUAUUUCUGUAAAAUUACUAUUUUGCCUUUUCAAAUAUAUCAUUUUACUAUCACUGGCUUUCUUAUUUGCUCUUAAAGUCAGGUGCACUAAAAGUAUUUUGAUUUUUGGUCUUUUCCAAUAUACUUCUCUACUGUUACCAANGAACUUAAGUUCAGGGUGGAGCUCUUAUUCAGCAAUUAUUGGUUCAAUUCAGAUAAAUUAAAAGAGAAAUCUGGUUCAAAGAUAGAAAUAUAUAGAGCAAUUGGUUUGGUUCGAUCUAAUGAAGUUGACCCGCUUCAGUAUUAUUGGUUCGGUUCAGAUAAUUAAAAAAGAAAUCUGGUUCAAAGAUGGAAAUAUAUAGAAUAAUUGAUUCUGUCCAAUGAAGCAAGUUGAUCUGGUUCGAAUCAAGCACAAACAGAGAAAAAUUAUAAAUUAUUUGAAGAACUUGAGCCAGUUCAAGAUGGCACCCAACAACCCGAUUUGGUUCAAACAAAGAAAGAGAAAUUGGUGGAGCCCACAUUUAAUUUAACAAAGAAAGAGAAUGAUACUAUGUGGCAAAGUUUAAGAAAAAUAAUGUAUAGAUUUGUAUGGAUAGAUUAUUAAUUUUAAAUUUUUUAGACCAACUUAAUAACAAAUCUCAGCUUAUUUUUGAAAAGAUUUGUCUAUAUCUAUACCUAUACCUACCUAUACAUUAUUUUUCUUAAACUUUGCCACAUGGCAUCCUUCUUUUUCUUUGUUAAAUUAAAUGUGGACUCCUCCAAUUUCUCUUUCUUUGUUUGAACCAAACCAAAUUGUUGGUUGCCACUUUCAGCCGGCUCAAGUCUUCCAAAUAAUUAUAUAAUUUUUUUCUGUUUAUGCUUGAAUCGAACCAGAUCAAUUUGCUUCAUUGGAUCGAAUUAAUUAUUUAUAUAUUUCCAUCUUUGAAUCAAUUUUUUUUUUUAAUUAUCUGAACCGAACCAAUAAUAUUGAACCGAGUCAACUUACUUCAUUAGAUCGAACCAAACCAAUUGCUCUAUUUUUUUCUAUCUUUGAACCAGAUUUCUCUUUUAAUUUAUCUGAACUGAACCAAUAAUUGUUGAAUAAGAGUUUCAUCCUGAACUAGCUCAAGUUCUCUUCUUUUUUUGCUUGAACUGAACUAGAUUUCUUUUUCUUUGCUUGAACAAAAUCGAUGCCCUCUUUCUUGCUUGAACCAAGCUCGGUCAAAUAUAUACCAUUUUCCUCUUCUCUUUGUUUUUAUAGAAAUUCUCAUUAAGGAUUUUUUUUAGAAAAAAAAUUAAUUGAUAUUUGUAUUAAUUUAUUAUUAAUAUUGAUAUAAAAUAUGAUGAUAAAGUAUAUUUAGCAAACAUAUAAUGUCUUUAUUUAUUUAUUUUUUAACUGUUGAUUCAUACAUAUAUUGUUUACACGUUUGAAUAAUUUAUAAUAAAUAAAUAUAAAUUAUUUAAAAUAUUAUGAAAAGAUAUAUUAUUAAUAUUUUAAAUUUUUUGUUUUGUUUUGGUUUUUUUUUUUUGUCGCAUCGCACGAUUUAGUAGUUUACUAGUGUUGAACCCGCGCUUCGCUGCGGCCAAUUUUGACACUAAUAUUCUAAUAUAAAUUUUAAAAUAAUUUUGAUGCCAAUAUUUUAAUAUGAAUUAUUAUAUAUAAUCACAAAAAAGACAAUACAAUCAGGUAUAUAAGCAAGCAGAAUAUAUAAAAUCUGACAGCCAAAUGUACUGAUUGAUAUACUCAAAAAGAAAGUGAAGCUUCUUCACGUGCAAAAAUUUUAUGAACACUGUGUUCAUAUGAAAUUAUUUGGGGAUAUUUUGGAUGGACGCCAUGUGGCACUACGGCCACGUGGGACAUCAUCCCGCUGCUCUGCCUGUUAGGAGAGCAGUGGAAUUUUUUUCGAUGCACCAGGUUCACCUCUUUUUCUUUAAAAUUUUAUUUUUUAUUUUUAAAUAUAAUUUAAUAUAAUAGAUAUAUAUUUUAUGAUAUCUAAAAAUAUAUAUGCAAAAGGAUUUUAAAUCAUAAACCAUAAAUUCUUUUACAUAUAUUUUUAAAAUAUCAUAAUAUAUAUUAGAUUAUAAUUAAAAAAUAAAAAAUAAAAUUUUAAAACAAAAAAAUGGUGCACCGGGUGCACCAAAAAAAAAGCACUACUCUCCCAAAAGCAGAGUAACGGGGCGUGGGGAGGUGUUACGCGGCGCCCAUCGGAGGCGUCCGAGUGCCACGCGGCGGCCAAACGCCGUAUCCCCAAAUUUCUUUCUAUGGGCACAAUGCCAGAAAAUUUUUGCCACUUCUUCACCCCCUUUCACCACCAUUUUUCUCUUUUAUGCUCCCGAAGCAGACCCUUUUCCCCUUUUAUGCUCCCAAAGCAGCGGGAUGGUAAAUAGGCUUCGACUCGUCACGGGCAAAGGGUAUAGAUCAGGCUCGGGUCGUCGACGAUGGACACAGCGGCGGCAACGGCUUGGACGGCUUGGGCGGUGGACACAGCACCAACGACGGCUUCAGCGAUGACGACGGCAGACGCGAUGGCGGUGGCGGCGGCAGACGCAGAGGACAGAGCGAGCGCAGUGGCGGCCGCAGGCGUGGUGGGCGCGGUGGUGGUCGCGGAUGCGAUGGACGCGGUGGCGGCGACUUCCUGUCAACUGUAAAUAUAUAUGUAUAUUUUUUUAAAUUUGUAAUUUUUUUUUUAAUCCUUCUCUUCUUCUCCACUCUCUUUCUCUUUUUUUUUUCUCUCUCUUUUUUUUUUAAACUUCUUCCUUAAUGUUCACAGUACGCUCUUUUUUUUUUUUUCUAUUUUUUUAGUUUUUUUUAAGUAUUGAUGAAGCCUCCUCUUGUGCCGUCCGCGGAUCCUCCGUGUGAUUCCCCCCCUGCUCGAGCUUCUUUCUCAAGUUAUUUAUAAAGCUCAAGUAUAAAUUUUCAAAAUUUUUUCAUAUCUUAAAGAGAUUUUUAAGAUAUUGGGAAAUAUGUGAUCCCGGAUUUUUCGGGAUCUUGUUGACUGGGUAGAGAUGGAGGUGGAGAAGAGAGAGAUAGAGGGAGGAGAGAGAGAGAGGGAGACCUAGGGAGGAGAGAUAAAGGGUCACAGGUUCCUAGAAAGAGAGAUGGAGGAGAAGAGAGAGAUAAAGAGACUUAGUGCACAGGACCUAACAAAAAAAAUGCAUGACGUGGGAGCACAAAAAAGUGCCACGUAUAUCUUUAGAGACUGUCAAAUUAUGUAUUUGUUAAGGAUAUUUAAAAUUUCAACUGUUGUAUUAAAAACUAGCGGAUGCUAUUGCAUCAACUUUCACUUUUUCCCUUCCUAACCCUAAAUUCCUCUUUCUUCCAAACCCUAAUUCCACUUCCCUGUUUUUCUUCACGCCUCACACACACAACCGACUCUCUCUCUCUCUCUCUCUCUCUCUCGCUCUACGCCCGAAGACUCCGGCAGCGCUCUUCAAUCGUCACCGUUCGCACACCCCCGGCAGCGCACUCUUCGCCGUUCGCAUAUCCCGAUGGAACUCCGGCAGCAGCGCUUUCAACAGGUUCGUUCUUCGUUUUCCAUUGAUCUUCAUCAUUUUUUUUUAAAAUUCUUCUUAUGGUUUUUUGAGCAGAAUGUGAGGGAUUUUCUUUCUUGAGCUUCUAAUUAGAGUUUGAUGUGAUUUUUUUUUUUUAAAUUUUGAAGUACAUUUCGAAUUGUUGUGAUGUAAACUUGUAAUGCAUUUUUAUUUGGACAAUGUGUUAUGUAGUAAAGGAGUUUAUGUUGUUGUGUUUACUUUAAAUUAUUGUGAUUUGCUACAGAUUAAUUUUUUUUUUUUAUAUUACUCUUUGUUGUUCACGUCUAUUGCUUAUAAAAUGUAUUGUAAUGUCUAAUCGAGCUGUGAGUCAAAUAUGAGCACGAGAUAACGAGCCGAGUUACGAGCUAACGAGCUAACAAGUAAGGUAGCAUUGAAUAGUCAAGCUAACGAGCCGAAAACGAGCUAGCUCAAAUAAAUUGCGAGCCGAUCACGAGCUGGACAUUUCGAGUUUGUCACGAGCCCGAGCUGAACACGAGCUGACCUUGAAUACUUUCGAGCCGAUCUCGAGCUGGCUCCAGCUCGUUCGUGUUCGGCUCGUUGAUAGCCCUACCUAACAACCUCACAAAAAAUCACACAACCUAUAAAAAAAUAAUAACAGUCUAAAAAUGGUGAAUUACUCACAACUUUCUAAUACUAGUAAACGAUUCACUAUAUUUCUCAUUUCUGUGAGUCAGUAAAAGGAAGGUAGAUUAGCCAAAUAAAAUUUUGAAAAAAAUAUUUGGUAAAUUAAAAUUUUUAUAAAGUUACUGUAAAAAAAGUCCCCAUUUUGUAUUUACCGAUUUAGCCCAAAUUCUUGAGUAUAUAUUCAACAGAAACACAUACAUCUUUUAGGUACUGUUAUAUUUUGUUAUUUUUUGUUGAUUAAGAAAAGGGCACUGCAGACGAAGUUGGAUACUAUUGAAAAGAUGGAACCUAUGGAGAAAAAGGACGCAGAGAUCAGCGGUGUUAUCGCCCCUCCGCCGCCCGCCGCUGCCGCCGGUGGUGCUACGCCCACUGAUGCCGAGUCCGAAGUGGAAGACUACGAGCGCCAAGCUCGCGAGCUUAAAGCCGGCCUUCAUCCCUUGAAGGUUUUUUUUUUCUUUUUCUUUUUUUUAUUCUUUUUGUAAUCCUUCUUUUUCUCUUAGAUCUUUGCUUCUCCUGAUGCACUUUAGGGCAUAACCAAUCCGUUCGAGGGAUUUGAACCCCCUAGAGAGAUAGUAGAAGGAAAGGGGGAGGAGGGAAAAAGAUAUUGGAGAAAGGCAGUUUAUUUCAUUCACUAUUGAUAAAACCCUUACACUACAUAUUUGUAGGCUCUAUGACUACGAAUAGAUAUUCUGAUUGAAAAUGAGCAAAAUACCAUAAAGUUUCUCCUUUGUUUUGUUUCUGUCUAGAUGGAGUUUUGGCUCGAAAAUUUUCUUUUAUUUUGAUUUACAAUCUAUAUCUUCCUAGAAGGCGCUGGAAUUACAAUUUUUUUUUUUUUUUUCUAUUUCUGCAUCUGAUUAUUCGGUGUUUUGUGAACUUCCUCAAUCUAUAGAUUAGACAUAAAUAAUUAUCGCUUGUGGGUGUGGUGAAGUUUGCAAUUAUGGUAUUUUUCAUACGAACUUGUGGCGGCUGGGAAAGAGUAUUGUGAUGGGUUAGCAGAUUAUCUUUUCGUAUACCUGAAGAUAGUGGUUAGUCAGUGAUUGGGAAAGUAUCAUCACUAUAUGGCAAAGUUAAUCAUUUGCCUGGAGCUAGCAGUUACUGCACAAAAAAGCUUUAAUUUUGGCUUCUUUAUAUUAUAUGCGUACUGUAAUAGUUGAUUCAAAUGAUCUGGUGAGAUGUUGAGAUGUUGAGAUGUUAUGAACGGUUGAAGGGAUUGAGUCUUGUCGUAUUUGUUUCCUUCUCUUGAUAUUUAUUUAUUUAUUUAUUUACUUAUAUUUUUAUGAUGGCAGCAUAAGUUUGUGUUUUGGUACACGAGACGGGCACCUGGGGUUAGGUCACAGACAUCAUAUGAGGACAAUAUUAAGACACUAGUGGACUUUAGUACGGUAUGAUACUUUUCAAACUAUAAGUAGAUGAUCAUAUGAUAAUUAGUUUUAUUUUAUGCUGUUAUGCAGUUUCCACUAUUGGAAUACUGAAUUUGCUUACUGAUGUGUAUAGGUUGAAGGAUUUUGGGUUUGCUAUUGCCAUCUUGCACGUCCUUCCUCUCUCCCAAGUCCAACAGAUCUGCAUCUUUUUAAAGAGGGUAUUCGCCCUUUAUGGGAGGUACACUUUUAGUUGUGUGGUUCUAUUCGUUUCUAACGUGUCUAAAUAAAGCCAUCAUUAGAAAAGCCAUUUUAGAAAACUCAUUAUGUCUUUAGUUAAUAAAGGAAAUGCACCUAGUUGUUACCUAAAGAAAGUUUAUCUGUAGGAUGCUGCAAAUUGCAAUGGUGGGAAGUGGAUAAUACGAUUCAAAAAAAUUGUUUCAGGCCGUUUCUGGGAAGACUUGGUAAGUAUAUGGGUUCUUUCAGCUAUUGAAGUUCUGUUAAUGCUAUUAGCCUCCUGCUUGACUACAUAGCACUCUUCCCAUCUUUCUUCUUUUUUUUUAUGAAUACUUCUAUUGUGAUUGUUGAUGUUUACUUUAUUGUUUGCACUAUGUACUUGUUGUUGUUUUAUUGAUAUAUCUGUCAAAAGUAAAUGAGCUACACGUAUAUCGGUAUAUAAGCAAACUGAAUGAGCACUAAAAUAUGAUAGUUUUGACAGCUGUAAUGUGAUUUAAGAGAUACAUGGACAACUUAAUUUAUAUGUGAAAUAAAUGCACCUCUACAUCUAAACAAUAUUGUAGAAUUUUUGAUAAUGAGUAAUUAAUCAUCUAAGCUACUUGUUAUGGCUUAUUUAAAGUCGUUUGAUGUCAUGACUUCAUUUCUGGGUUUCUCUUCAUUCCUGCUUCAUAUUUUUAAUUGCAUAUCUUUGUCUGAAGAUUGAUUCUUUUAUCUUGUAGCUGAAGUAUAUCUCUAUCAAUGUAACUAUCAAAUAGAAAGCGGUUAAUCAUUUUCAUCUGAGAAAACACUCUUAUUGAUAACAAGCAAGGAAAUACGUUACUUGCUUCUAUAGCUUAUGAAAAAUCAUUAAUGUCUAAAACUAGAUUGGGAGUUAUUCUUCCAAUCAUGAUUUCUUAUUUUAGUUAAAUUAUUGUGUUACUGACUGUUGAUUUUUACGCUUUCUUUUGUAUCUUGUAUUUCAGUAUCUUUCAGUUAAAAUAUCUGUAAUGUAGAGAGGGAUUAUCCAUUUGUACUUUUAGACUUGAUGAAUAUGCAUUACACAAAUAGAACAGGAUAGCUAUUACUUUUUCCUUGAUGUGCUAAAUCUACUCACACCUUAGGCGUACUGCUAUCUAUUCACUAUUUGUUUAUUUAGGGCCUUUUCCUUAGUUGAUCCAAAGUCCUGUGUGCUAGAUUAACUUAUAUACUUGUUCCAUAGCUCGUAUAGUCUUGGAAGCCGCGCGGGCUGCUUUCAUAAACAAAUAAAAUAAGAUGAUUCAUAUUGUAACAUAUCUAGUAUGUGGAUCGCCUGAUUGCUCAAUUCUAACUAACCAACUAUGACUACUGUCAUAGUGCUAGUGAAAGUUAAUUAUAUUGUUUCAUUAUUAACCAAUGAUCUUGCCGGCCUCCGCCCAUCUUUACUUAUCCGAUCAUAUUUUUCUCGGUAUCUGCAGACUUUGCGGCCCUUUCCCUUAAAUUUGGGUUGCAAAAGUAAAUUUAGGAUUCAAAAAGUCUGAGAUGGGCUCAGUGCUCCUAGUAUGAAGAGAACUAGCCAGUUGACUGCUUGGUUGACUGCAAUUAUUAUAACAAUAGUAGAAACAGAGAAACCCCUUUUAAUUUCCUUAUCAUAUUAUGUCCAACCCUUUAGAGCUUCUUUUUAUUAAAUAAUUCUUUAGUUUAUAUGAAGUCACAUUAACUAUUGGCACAUGCAGAUGAUAUUUGGGAUUUAAUUGGAUCAUAAUACUUUUGUCGGGAGUAGAUAAAGCUACCAAAGAAUGGGGUUCAUACGUGUAUAAGAUAUAUAAACCUAGUAUCCUACUUGAAUCCCAUGGGAAAUUGAAAGGAGAAUGUAUAUUUUUGUACUCUGUAGGAUCAACUCAUUCCAACAGACACCUAAUAUACUAAUAAGUUUAAAAACUUGGUGAUUAUUUCUUACUUUGCAACCUUGGUUGUUUUUCUUUUUCAAUUUCUCAACUUAUGUAAAUGGUUGAUUAGCUUGUAUGUAUAACCUUAAUACAGCGUAUCUGUUGUUUUCUAACAAUAUAUGUGUACUUGGGACCUGUUGAUGCUCAUUAAGUUAUGUUGAAUUUGAAAGUGGAUAUUUGAAUUUAAAAUCUAAAUUUAAAAUCUUACGGUUUAAUUGUAAAUUUAAAAUUUCAAAACUUAAAAAUUUAAAUUAAAAAUCUAAACUAAAAUUUAAAAUUUUGAAUUUGGAAAAUUUUAAAUUAAAAUGUGAAGACUUAUGUUUGUGGAGAAAACAUGAAGUUGAAGAUGUUAGAAAGCAGUUAAACUCCGACAUUUCAACAUUUCAACAUUUUAAACUAUAUUUAUUAAUUUUUAUAUGACAAAAAUUGAAGAAGAAUAUAAAACUGACACUUAACACCUUCAAAAUAGGCGUCAAAAUAAUUAUGUAAUAGAUGACAAUGUAUUAUUUCUUAUUGUUACUGUCGCGCCCCCGCCCCGGAACCCCUACCAAUUUGGUCCGGUUCGGGCGCGGCGGACAGACGCCGAACGGACAGGACCUUCCCUGUCCGCCCAAGGCCAAACAACCUGAUCAAGUACAAUUAAGCGCCUAGGAAUUGCUUAAAUAACAUACAUGAUCAAAUACGAUGCACACAAGUGUAAUACAACUAAGAGCAAGAACCACAAGUAAUGUACAAGCAUAUAAAGAGAGGUAGUCUAACUAUUACAACCAUUCAAUAGUUACAUCAUUUGGUUACAUUACAUUUUCAUCUUCCAAAAUGUAAAUACAUGUUUUUUUUCUUUCCAAAAUACAUCAUAGCUCUCCAAUGCCUAUCCAAAAUAUACAUCUUUUAGUGCACGAGGGUACUCUAUAUGCAAAAAGGAAAGCUACAAACUACUCACUUAGGGCGCUAUGCCCUUGCCGCGAUCCUCGCUCGGCUCACCCCUGUGUGUACUUGUCCCCCAAAACCACACGAGGUGAGAACUAUAUAAAUAUAGUUCCCAGUGGGUUCGGCUGCCGACUCCGCCGGUUUUUCCACUAUGUCUAAGCAGGCACAGAUAGAGAGAUAGAUAGAUAGAUAGAGAAAUAAACUACAACUACUCUAUCAUGCCUCCAACAAUAGUAAUGAGAUUACUUAUGCAAUAACUACUAUCAUGCUGAUAUGAUGUCAAGAGUAUAUAGGGUACAUAGCAAUGUAAUCUACAACAUACACUAUGUCUACUCAAGAUAAUGAUGCAAUUCUACUUUGCCAUUUAUGUUUAUUACCCAAUCUACUUGGCUAACCCGUAGGUUAAGCCCUCGACUCACGCUCAAUUUCAUAGGUGAGGAGAAUCUGCACUCGCACACCGAGACCGUCUGCGGGACAACUACGUCUGCCCCUAGUGAAGUAUUCCGGAGACUCGUGCCACGGUGGAGCGACCACCGACAGCGAAAACAGACUAGUGAGUAUGAUCCAAUCCUCACGAGAGGAUACCCUAUCUACAAGGGUCAGAGUUCCUCUGCUGUACCAUAUACAAUGCAUCCUAGAUGCCAGGAUCUCUACCAUCCCUAGAACCAUGUCACAUUUACUACUCUAGACCUGAUGCCACUCGUUCGAUCAUUGUAGUAAGUUUUCUAGCUAGUUGACAUGCCACUCGUUCAUGUUUAGUGUUUCUACUACACUAGUUCAAUGCUACUCUACUAGGCUAUGUCCAAGUUCGGCUCUUUAUGUCAUUAUAGGAUUCUCAUGCCACAAGACCCAAUCCUCAUGUUACCCUAGUCCAUGUGUUCGACUCAUAAGUUACACUAUUAAGAAGCAUGCAAGGAAAAGAAAAUAUACAUCUAUUAAUCUUAUAAUGUAAUAUGAUCAACAUAAGUAACUUAGACAUAAAAGGAAACCUGAAUGCUUCGGGAUGGACACCCCCCACCUCUUGAGGAUAUGGAGGCUUUAGAAAUGCCCUCCAACGAACGUUACGAUGACGUCUCGGCCUCUUAGGUCGAAAUGAAGCUUGGUUGGCCUCGUUUCGCCAAUAUCUUUUCGCCCGCUCGACGAAUCGAAAAUCCGACUUCGCCCUUGCGUUUAGACACCUCUAUGUUAGCUUCAAAGAGAGAAGAGAGGAAGAGGGAGAGGUCCAAAAGCCUUCCUAGCUUGAUCUCCUUCUUCUUCUCCUUCCUUUUCCUCCUUUUUUUCCUUCUCUUUUCUUCUUCUUCCUCUCCUUUGUUCUUUCCUUUCUAGAGAGAGAGAAAGGGAGAAAGAGAGUGUAUGAGGGAGAGAGUGGAAUGAGAGAAUGAGAGGGAGAGAGGGACCCAUAAGCCCUCUAAUGUAACAAUAUCCAGCUGGCCCCCUCAACUUUUAAUCCUCUGCACAGCCCUCACUGGGUAGUCUGCGUGCGGAGGGAACGGUCUCCCCGACCUGGGACCGGUCCCCGAGAUUGGGACUUCCAGGACUUAGCCAAUUUCUGGCUUUUCUCGCUGGGCUCGCGUUCGGGGACCGGUCCCUCCCUUCCAGGGACCGGUUGCAUCAAGAAUCCCUGUAACCCCCAGCCUCGGGGUCCGGUCUCUCCCUGCCAGGGACCGGUCCCCGAGAGCAACUUUUGCCCAGUGUAGGUUUUACACUAUUGCUCUCGUGGACUCGACUCUAAGGCUCUUUUGGUGAUGUAGACCUCUUCGGCCUUUCCGAAGGUCACCAACACGACCCUUGGUCGUUUCUAAACGAAGUCUAACCCUCGUAUUCGAGAAUUCACUUCCUCACAGUUACGCAGCGAAUGCAUGUUACUUCUUUAAAAGGGAGUUAAAACUCCUACAUUUCAGCAUUUUAUACUAUAUUAAUUAAUUUUUAUAUGAUAAAAAUUGAAGAAAAAUAUAAAAUGGACACUUAACACCUUUAGAACAGGUGUUCCAAAUAAUUAGUAGAUGACAAUGUAUUAUUCUUAUUGUCAGGCAAUGAAUGCAUGUUACUUCAGCAGAAAGUGAAUAAACACCUAUAUAGUGAAAAAGAAAUUAAAGCAUGAAGCAGGUUCACCACGCCACCGUAGACCAACCACUUAAUUCAUCCAUGGUAUCUCUUUAAACCUCUAACUUAAUUUUAAAGUUAUAAAAUAUUAAAUUAUAAAUUACUACUAUGUAACUCGUGAACCAAUCAGUAAUUUAAGUACUUUUUGGGUCCGGUCACUAUACGAUGACUCCCCCCCCGCCACCGUAGACCAACCACUUAAUUCAUCCAUGGUAUCUCUUUAAAUCUCUAACUUAAUUUUAAAGUUAUAAAAUAUUAAAUUAUAAAUUACUACUAUAUAACUUGUGAACCAAUCAGUAAUUUAAGUACUUUUUGGGUCCGGUCACUAUACGAUGACUCCCCCCCUCCCCCUACUGUUAAUUUCUAAACUAUGUAAUGUUUGAUAACUUAUGUAUAAAAAUGUUUGGAUUAGAAAAAUUAUUUUUAUGCAUAAGUAGCUUCAAUUAUCUAACUUUUUAAGCUGGUCUAUGAUUCAUUAGGCUCACCAAAAGUUUCGAAAGGAGAAUUCAUUUUCAUCACGUAAGUGAGAAAAAAUAAAAAAGUUGAAUGAACUGAAUGCAUAAAUAUAUUCUAUAAAUUACACGUAAUAUUUAAUAAUUAAUAUUUAAAAAUAAAAUAUGAUAUGAUAUAUGUGAUAUACAAUAUUUAAAUAACUUGUAGUACAAAAUUUUUUUUUUUAAUACAUUUUAGAAUUGGUCUACAAUAGAUUGGGUGCAUGGAAAAUGUUGAUGAACACAUCUUUUUUUUUUUUUUCUCUGUUGACACUCUUAAUGAAUGAAGGAAACAAGGAAGUGGGAGAGGUGCACGUGUCGAAAUGACAAGCUCUCCCACGCCCUUUAAUGAAUAUUUGUAGAUAUAGAUAUCAAGUUAGUGCUCAGGCACGUUGAAUUAAAUUUUGCGUCAACACAGAGGAGAAACUAGGAUUUCAACAACAUUUUUGGCUUGGUUUAGUUUGUACUCUGAAUAACUUGGAGCCGUAAUUUGUCGUGCAUAUAUUAUCUGUGCUUUCUUGUACUAGUAUUUUGCUUUUGUUGUGCAUGUCUUUUGCCUCACUUUGUUGUGUGAAUAUUUUUUCAUUGAGAGAAUUCUUUUCCUAGAGCCCAAAUCUAAAGACUAAAUUCCAAGUGGAGUAAGUUUCCUUUUCUCUUCCUUUGUUCUUCCUCUGCUUUGCAACUUCCUUGGUACCUAAUUACUCUGUAUUGUUGUUGGUGGGUCUUUCCUCUUCCAUUCAAGUCCUUGGCUGUUGCAUAAUCUUCUCCUCCUGUCCUCUGUUGUGUCAUCGCAAGCCAUAUAUUAUGCCCACAAAUGUGAACACUAUUCGAAGGAUAGCUACGACCGGGUUGUUUUGUCAUGCAAAUUAUCAAGAGUUGAAGGCCACAAUUGAAGGAUUGAGCAUGGGGUGGCCACACCGUUCUGAAUAAUAUCUAUUUUGUCACCAUUGUUGUCAUUCUUUUGUUGCUUCCUCAUUCUCUUUGAAACCUGAAAAAUGUUUUCCAAAAAGUUCUUUGUACUAGACACAUCUAAUCACAAUAAGUAGCUACUUCUUCCGUUGAUUACUUGGAGAAGUAUAUUGGUAGGCUUCAUUACUUCCAUUGUCGAAUUUGCAAUUUAAUUGUUCAAUCCAUGUUUCAGUUUUUCUUGCAUUGCUUGUUGGCUAGAUUACAAACUUGGGAAAGUACUAGCCGGACUUUCGACUAAUAAUAGUACAAUAAUUGGUAUUUAUUCAUUUGAUGCGCAAUUGUAAUUAGAUUUAAGAAAGCAUUUAGUCAAAUAGGUAAUUGUCAUCUAAUGAUUUUGAAUUUUGGAUGAAGCUAUGUCGUUGGAGCAAAACAUCUCAUUUUGGUUUAGUGCGUCAUAACUAGUGUCUCAAACCAAUUUGAAUAUGGAACAAUUACUUUUUCUUAAUUACAAUUACUCCAAAGAAAAGAUUUAACUUUAUACAGUCGGCCCAAAUAAGCAAAACCUGCCUAUAAGGCAAAGUUUGAUUCAGUUUUGAUAAAUUUGUCAUACUUCAUCUCUUUUACUAAAGGGCAAUUGGAAGUUUUUCUUUGCCUUUUGGAAUAAUAGAAGUAUUAUGCUUCACUUUAGUGCAAAACAUUUGGUGAAAUCUAGUUUUAUUAUGAUUACUUGAGCUCUCUUAGAGAGAGCGAGAGAGAGAGAGAGAGAGAGAGUCCGGCUUGAGUUGUUUCGAAAGCAUGGAAACCUCCAUGCUUUCAAGUUGUUUUCGAUGAUGAGACUUUUGUAUCGACGUCCGGGUCCGUUAGACUUGAUCUUAGUGUAUUUCAUAUACCUGGGAAACAAAUUUCACGAUUUUUCGAUAUCAUUUACCUAGUGACCGAAAGGGCUCGAAAUCAACAAUUGUAAUAGUUAAGGUGAUCCAUUUGCAAGUUUAACGGUGUAAAAAUAUCCAACUUAGGCAAAAUUUUGAUAGAAAAUUUCUUAUACUAUAUAAAACAAGAUCAAUAUCUUUGAUCUAAAAUUUCAUAUGAUCAUUAGUUUCUAUGAGAUUUUGUGAGAGAUAUAACGCUCAAAUUUUAUAUCAAAGAUAUUGAUGCUGUUUUGUAAAGUACAAAGAAUUUUCUAGCAAUAUUUCACUUGAUUUGGAUGUUUUUACACCGUUAAACUAGCAAAUGGUCACCUCAACCAUUAAAAUUGUUGAUUUUGAGCCCCUUAAUUUUUAGGUAAAUGUUAUUGAAAAUCGCAAAAUUUGUUUUUCAAGUACUUCAAAUAAUCUAGAUCAUCUAAGGGAGUUGAUCGCUAAUUCAAAAGUCCCAUCGGAGGCCUCCAUGUUUUUGAAAUCAUACUAGCCCAAUUAUAUAUAUAUAUAUAUAUAUAUAUAUAUAUAUAUAUAACUAGGCUGGAAUACUAUCAAUAGCACCAAGCUAUUGGUGCUAUUAAUUUUUUAUCCCUUGGAUUGAGAAAUGUGUGGUUAGGAUGAUGUGGGCCCCCUAGGGUUGAGUGAGUGGUUGGUUGAAUAGUAUAAUCUAACGGGUAAAAUUAAUCAAAGGGUUAAAUCUAACAGUAAAAAAGUUGAUAGCACCAAAUCCUUGGUGCUAUUGAUAGUAUCCCAGUCGGACUAUAUAUAUAUAUAUAUANCUCUCUCUCUCUCUCUCUAUAUAUAUAUAUUAUAUAUAUAUAUAUGUAUAUGUGUAUGUAUUAUAUAUGUAUAUGUAUAUGUGUAUGUAUUAUAUAUGUAUAUGUAUGUGUGUAUUUGUAUAUGUAUAUAUACAUAUACGUAUGUAUAUAUGUAUACAUAUAUGUAUAUAUGUAUGUAUGUAUGUAUGUAUGUAUGGGGUUUAGGGUAAUAUAUGUAUGUAUAUAUGUAUAUAUAUAUAUGUAUGUAUGUAUAUAUAUAUAUGUAUGUGUGUAUAUAUCUAUGUAUAUAUAUAUAUAUAGAGAGAGAGAGAGAGAGAGAGAGAGGGAGGGAGCAGAACUGCUGUGCUCUUAGUAGCACGGAGGCCUUCGUGCUCCUGAGCCAUUUUCGAUGAUGGAAUUUCCGAAUCGACGAUCGGCUCCGUUAGACUUGAUCUAGCGUAUUUAAAGUUUCUAGAAAAUAAUUUUUACGAUUUUUCGAUAUCAUUUACCUAACAAUUGAAAGGAUUUAGUAUCAACGGUUGAAAAUAAAAAUCCUAUAAAAAAUAGUGAUAUAGCACUAAAAUUUUCGAUUAGAGAUAUUGAUCUUCUUGUAGAUAGUAUAAAGAAUUUUGUGUCAAAAUUUCAUCUGAUUUGAAUGCUUCUACACCGUUAAACUUGAAAAUGGCAGACAUCAACCAUUAAAAAUGAUUGAUUUUGAACCCUUUCGAUCACUAGGUAAAUGAUAUCGAAAAAUAGCAAAAAUUAUUCUUCAGAAACUUUAAAUACGCUAUAUCAAAUCUAAUGGAGCCAAUCGUCGAUUCGGAAAUUCCAUCAUCGAAAACGGCUCAAGAGCAUGGAGGCCUCCAUGCUCCUAAGAGCACAUCAGUCCUGCUCUCUCUCUCCCUCUCUCUCUCUCUCUCUAUAUAUAUAUAUAUAGACCAAUUGCACCAAGCUAUUGGUGCUAUUAGGUUUUUAGCUCGUAGAUGAAAAAAUGUACGGUUAGGAUGAUGUGGGCCCCCUAGGGUUGAGUGAGUUAUUAAUUUAAUAGUAUAAUCUAACGGGUGAAAAUAGUCAAAGGGUUAAAUCUAACGGCGAAAAACUUGAUAGCACCAAACGCUUGUUGCUAUCGAUAGUAUCCCAGGUGGACUCUCUCUCUCUCUCUCUAUAUAUAUAUAUAUAUAUAUAUAUAUAUAUAGAACGAGGCUACUAUACUAUCUAUAGUACCGGAGCUCUGGUGCUAUAGUCUCGUUUUCGAUCUUUGGGUGUUCAAAUCAACGAUCCAGACCAUUAAAUAUGAUCUAGGGUAUAUGAAGUUCUUAGGAAUAAAAUUUUAAUUUUUUUUUACAACUUUUACUUAGUAAGUAAACAAUGUCAAAUAUGAAUGGUAGAAAUUGAACAAUCUUAAAUUUGAGGAUAAACUUUUGAAUUCAAGAUCAAGGAUGCUGACCUUGAUCUAGAUAGUUAAAAGUAUUUUCCAUCAAAAUUUGAAUAAAUGUAGAUUCUUCUACACUGUUAAACUAUAAACUCGCCAUAGUAGCCAUUGAAAAUUGACAAUUUUGAAAUGGUUUGAUCAUAAAGUAAACUAUGUCUAAAAAGUAUAAAAUUUAAUUCGUAAAAACUUCAAAUACCCUAGAUUAGUUUUAAUGGUGUGGAUUGUUAAUUUGAAUAUUUUAAGAUUGAAAAUGAGACUAGUACCGGAGCUCUGGUACUAUACAUAUUAUAGGAGCCUAGCUCUCUCUCUCUCUCUUUCUAUAUAUAUAGAGUCCGGCUACUAUGUUAUCAAUAGCACCAAGCUCUUGGUGCUACCAAGUUUUCCGCCAUUAGAUCUACCCUUUUGACCAUUUUCACCCGUUAGAUCAUACUAUUCAAUCAACCACCCACUCAAUCCUAGGGGACCACUAUCAUCCUGACCGCACAUCCCUCAAUCAAAGGGCCGAAAACCUAAUAGAUGGAAAAUACUUUAAACUAAAUAGAUCAAGGUCAAAAUAUUAAUUAAUGAAUGGCUAUCCUCAAAUUUAAGAUAGGAAUCUUAAAUUUGAACAAUCUUAAAUUUAAGAUAGGAAUCUUCCCCAUCAAGUGAACACAAAAAUGAAUGGUUGAAAAUGAAUAUCCUCUAAAAAGUGAUGACAGGAAUCUUGUAAUCAAGAUCGAGAGUAUAGAUCUUGUUCUAAAUUGUUUAAAAAAUUUUCUAACCAAAAUUCAAUUGAUUUGGAUAUCUUUACACCGCUAAACGAGAAAACGCCUUAUAUUGACCAUUAAAAUUACAAAUUUUAAAACCCUUUGAUCAUUAGGUCAAUAAUGUCGAAAAAAUUUGAAAUUUAGUUUCUAGAUACUUAAGUGGUAUAGAUAAUAUUCAACGGUGCUGAUCUUCGAUUUGGAUGCUUCAUCAUCGAAAAUAAAUGGGUAGCAACGGAGCUUGUUUGCUACUGAUAGUAUUCCAGCUCAACUCUCUCUCUCUCUCUCUCUCUCUCUCUCUCUCUCUCUCUCUCUCUAUAUAUAUAUAUAUAUAUAUAUAUAUAGAUAUAUAUAUUUAUGGGGAAAGGGGAGGGAGAGAGUCCAACUAGAAUACUUUUGGAUGCACGGAGGAUACCACAUAUUUGAAAGCGUUGAGGUUUUUCGACCAGCUUCUAAAUCAAACUUGAUGUUGUUGAAACUCUAAUAAGUAAUUCAAACUUAAAUCUUAGGAGGUUGGAUAGACAUUGAUUUUGAGAAUUAUAUUUUUAUGUGCAAUUGACAACCCUAUUUACACACUUCUUUGAGCCAUUAGAUUUGGAAACAUGUUGUGAAAAUGCAGGAAGAAGAAUUCAUAGGAUUCAAAUACUAUAGAUUUUGACUACCAACAACAUAACAAAGCGAGAUCAAUUUUUGAAACCAAGCAUAGUUGCCUCAUUUGAGCUGUAUUUUUGGUUUUCCUUGUACAGUGAAAUAAAUUAUUGAGAUAAAUUUUCCCUUGAAGAGGUUGUCAACUCUUUUCACGCUGGGCGACUAGUUUGAAAAGUUUUUUUUUUCCCCUGAAAAGCUCUAGGUUUUUUUUUUUCUUUUUUGACAACUCAGUAAUGCAAUUCAAACUUUGGUCAAGGCGUGAACAGAUUCAUCACAUGCAGUGUGAAUUUCUGUCCACAAACAGUAUCUCCUAUACAUGCACGGCAUUUGGAUACUAAGGCUGCGUUAGGUUCGGGUAUAAGUAAGAACUGCUUAUUUUAGGGAUAGGUACAAGUUCAGGUAUAAGCAUGAACUAGGCCAAUUUUGCGUUUGGAUGAGAAUUGAGUUGUUUCUGAGAAUAAGGUAAAUAGUAUUUUGAUGGUUAGAUUGAAACAAGAGGAAUAAGAAUUAUAAUUUUAAACUAAAUAGAUUGGAACAUUAGGAAUAAGAGUUAUAAUUUUAAAUUAAAAAUAUUUUAUCUAAUUAAUUAACGUCAAAAUAUUAAUUAAAAAUAAUUUAAUAAAUUAAUAAAUUCAUUAGCUAUGAAUAUUGUAUAAGACAAUAAAAAUAUAUUAAUUAAUUAAUUAAAUAUAAAGUGUGAUUUAACUUUUUAAUUAGUUAGUAAAUUAUUUUAGUUAGAUAACUAGUAAAAAAAAUUAAUUAGAUUAAUAGAAAUAUUAAUGAUUGAUCAAUAUAAAUAUUAGUUUAUGGAUAAACACAUUAAAUUAUUAAUAAUUAAUCAUCUAAUUAAUUAUAAAUAAUAAUUUAAUUAAUUACUUUAUUAUUUAAGCAAUGGAUAAUGAUUUAAAUAUAUUAACUAGAUUAAUUAAUAAUAUAAUACCAUAAUUAAAAUUAAAUUUAUACUUUAAUUAACCUUGUUCCCACGUGGGAACAAGCUUGUUCCAGAGAAAAAGAUGGAACAACAGUUCCAGCUUUAUACCGAAUUAUACAAGCUUAUUCUAGGCACUCGAGAACUAUUGUUUUUGGGUGCUAAACACAGCGCUUGGGAACAAAGUGGGGAACAAGGGCUCUUAUCUCUACUUUUGUUCCUGAACCAAACGCCACCUAAGGAUACAAAAUAUUUGACCCAGAAAGUAUGUAAGACUUCAUACCAUAACCACGUCAUUUAAUCAAUAGUACAAUUGUACAAGACUCACAUAACUUAUUCUGUAGUAGUGGUGGUGAUUUUUUCCCCCAAAACCGCACUAACAUAAAUCCCUCCAUUUCUCUGCAGUACAACAAACAUAAUCCCACUCGUAUCUCAGCAAUCAAAACAAUAUUCUCUAAUUUUUAUUUUUAUGAAACCAUUUUGAGAACAACGAUCGAUGCAGAAGACUUACAAUUACAUUUUUAAACGAGAAAAGCCACUGGAGUACUUUGAAAGCAAACCGAAAAUCAUCACAUAACCAUCAAAUUACAGAUUGUCACAGUAUAGGCGUCACAGACAUGGACGCGGUCACGAACAUGGACAUGAGAUACGAGAUACGACACGAUUUGAGCAUGGCGAAUAGGCAGCUUCCAAAAGUUAGGACACGAACACAGUAUGUACACCGCUAAUAAAUAUAAUUAUAUUAAUAUUAUAAUAUUAUUAUAUAUAUUCGAUAUUAAUUUUGCUAAAUUAUUGUUAUAUUUUUCGUGCGAAUGAAAGUUAAUAAAAUUUUCAUUGAUAGUUCAUAUAUUUUAAGGAAAGAAAUUCUCUGCCAUACAAUUUAUAUUAUCCAAAAAAAUUUGUACAUAUUAAUAAAAAAGCCAACUAUCUAUUGUCUUAUAUAAUUUAUGGAUAAAAAAAGCAAAAUAAUAUAUAUGUAUUAUGUAUUAUUUUAAUGGAAUGCCGUGUCAAACAUGCGUCCAUGGCGUGUCCGCAUCGGGCACGAGUCUGAAAUGGACGCGUGUCUGACACAGACACGAGAGACUUAUAGAAGUAACCGUGAUAUAUAGUCACAACACAUAAUGAUAGUUCUGUAAUAGUCAUCCAAGCAUAAACCAUAGUAACUAGAAAUAAACAAGUAUCAGAACUAGACUAUUUGGGAACUCCCCAAGCACCAGGAUUGAGCUAAGAUGCGAUCUAACUUUCGUGUCCUAACACUGUGUCCUGCGCCCCACCACCCGGAGUACCUGUAAAAAGGGGGGUGGACGAGAAACAUACAAGUUGUUUUUCAGUGAGUACAAUGCGGGUCGAGGGCAAGUUGCAUCUACUAGUAAACAUUAUAGGUAUACGAAGGCAAAGUAGCAGGAACAGUAAGCAUAGGUACGGUAAUCAUAAUAGCUGAAACUAAAAUGAAAGUUGUGCUACUGUAGAAAGAAUUGAGCAUCUAAAAUUAUCAUGGCAAGGUAUUGAUCUAUCAAUUGGAUAUGCAUCAAAAGACUUGAGGGAAUCAACACCCAAUCAUCACUCACUAUCACAGAUCUCGGCCAGCCCACUGUCACAUGGAUUUGAGGCAAGUGUGCAGCAGCCAGUGUUUGAAAAGGCGCAAGGCGCAAAAAGGCGCAAAGGCCUUAUGGAGCCUAGGCGUGAGGCGCAUUGUGAGGCGUGUGCCUCAAGAACGUGAGGCGCAUAUCUAAUAAAAAAUAAAACACUCUUAACAAGCCUAUUUUAAAUAAAUGUUUUAUGUUAAAAUAUUCUAAAAUAGCUAUACAAAAACAAAAUAACCAUAAAAAAGUAAAAAAAUCGUAUGCAUAAAUGUUCUCAGCCUAAAAAUAAAGAAAUUAUGUUUCAACUUUCAACUUAAAAGUGCUUGCUGCUGCUUCUUGCUUCUUGUCGCUGCUACUUAUUGCCAUUGGGGGGUGGAAAAGAGAAUGACUAAGAGAAAAGGGAAAAAAAUGUUCAAGUAGAAAUUUACUUGAAAUUUUUUUAAAAAAAUUCUCAACAUUUUAGAAUAUAUUGAAGAAACUCAAAACCCGAAAACCCAAACCCUAGACACAUUAAAAGUAAAUAUCAUGAGGCGUGUCUGAGGCGCGCGCCUCACUCCUUGAGACGAGGCGUGUCUGAGGCGCGCGCCUCACUCCUUGAGGCGUCGAGACUCGCGCCUUGCGCCUAGGCGUUGAGGUCAGGCGCGCGCCUUUUCAAACAUUGGCAGCAGAUAACAUGUAUCUCGUCAUAUACAAACCUAGGCUCACGGUUUUCGAAAAAGAGCAUCAUUGGCCUGGGGGUGGAUCAGACUUUUGCAUCGGUGUUUGCAAAAUGUGCAGCAAGCAGCGGCGAUGGCCAUAUGCGACAUGCUCAAUUUAUACUGUCCAACAACGAUUGAUCAGCUGAGAAACUCCAAGGAGUGUCAACGAGUUCAAGCAGAGCUAUAGGUCAUAUGUAUGUGUCCGAUAACAAAUAAGAUACUCAAAGGCUCUACAUCUCAUGACAUCAUACAAGGCAGUAUGGCAUAUACGAAUAAACAGCAGGCAUGAAACCAACUAGAUAAUAACAAUAACAGAUGUAAGCUAAUAUGAACAUGUAUAGUAGGUGUGAGUAAACGAAUCAUAAUAUUGUAAGGAACAGGGAAGGGAAAACCGAAUAGGCUUACUACAUCGACACUAGAUCGAAGUGCCCACCUCAAAUUUGUGUACUUUAGUCCUCGACUCGACUAGCCUCUCUUGUUAUCGCUGGAAUCUAGACUAAUCAUAUAAAUGUCAAAACCUGUUCCUAAGUGUAAAAUCGGCUAUAGAACGACUCAUUUGGGUUAAAACUCCCAUAAUAUGGCUUCCGAAACCCACACCGGAGCUGUAACCACAACUUGGUCAAUUGGCUAAUCCUUAGGCAUCUCUAUAGCCCCUAGACUGUCUCGAAAGGCAUUGCAAAGUGUGAGUGGAUAGCAGCGCAUAUCGCGCUCUAGACCGAAGACUACGGCCUCGUAUCAUGCCGUAAUAGGUUCCAAUUUACAUCGAUUUUGGCGUAGGAGCCACUUCUAAAAUUGUCCUGCUGGUGGUUACGACCAACAAGGACCUAUGAAACAACCUUCAAUGUGUUUCGGAGUUCAUAAGGACCAACUGCACCGUGCUGUGGAGAUAAAUCUCCUCGGUAAGCCCUGAAACUGCUGUUUAUAGCUUCGCCACUGCGGGGCAGUAAAACAAUUCACGUUUAGCCCUGAGAGGUUGAUUUCACACGUAACACAACGCCAACGAAGCCUCAGCUACCGGCGAGCGCGAUCAAGAACUCCUUGCUGAUCGGUUUGGCCAUAACGACCCGAAAAAGACAUUCCGGUACUGUUUUGGUGUUGAAACAUGCACGAAAUCACGUUCAGCCUAGUAGGGGUCUCUGACUCAAGUUUUGAUGUGUUGGGAUAGUGAGAGAAUCACAAUGCGUGACCGCAGCCAAUGGUGCGUCCGAAUCAAAUGGCACUAGGCAGCACAAACGUUCUGAUCAGCCCCUUGCAGUCUCUUGCUCACCAUUUUGAUGAGCCAGGAUAGCGAACGACGAACUAAAAUGGAUAGCCACUGGGAUAAUUGUGACUGAUGAAUCACACGAUCAGUUGCAGAUUACCUUGCCAUUGGAUCCGUGCCUCAAGACUCUACCAUUGGGACUUGGUCAGGAGAAUUUACUGUGGUCAUCUCUACCCACCUUUGUUCAUUCUAACCCCAACGAGCCAUGACAAGGCUGAAUUUAUUAGAAGAACCCGUUGUUGGUUAGAAAGACCGGGACCUGGGAAACAUGCUUGAUGCAUUUUGACAUCCUAUAGCUUCGGCAUAUCGCUUAGCCCCGUUCAUCUUCGGCACAAGAGCGCUCGAUCAGUGAGCUAUUGCGUACUCUUUCAAGAAUGACUGCUUCUGGGCAAACCUCUUGGCUGGCUCUGCAUACCUACCUCUUUUAUGACUGAGCGGUCAUUUAGGGGCCUUAGCUGGUGAUCAGGGCUGUUUCCCUCUCGACGAUGAAGCUUAUCCUCCAUAGAGUGGGACAGCAAGAACACAUUCACGGCCAGCUACAACCAGUGGCUCGCUAAAACCCAUCUCGAAAUUCCAAUUCUCGUCAAAAAAGCAUCAGAUUUCUGCGCACAGCUCAGUCUCCAAAGCGCAUAGUAUAGCACACGCGUAUCCUUCAACCCCUAAAGGAUCUUGAUCAUUGAAAGCACGAUCAAGAUGCACCUCAGCCUGCACUAGGCCCACACGUCACAACCCGAACAACAACCAAUGCCCAAAAACAUCCGAUUGCAUGUAAAGUAAACGAAAUGACGGUGGUGGGAGAUCGUUACCUCGAUUCGAUGUAAAUAAGUGGACUUGGAUAUGGAGGGGGUUGUUUUGUUCAGAUCCAAUAGGGAGACGCACGUCCUUUUGGGUCGUCGGAUAUCGUGACUAAAGGGAGGCUCUGCUUGGGCUUUCUUUUUUCUCUACUGCAUGUUGGAGAUGCGGUUGGAUAGAGGGCUGCUGGGAUGAAGGCGGCGGCCGGGAUGGCUCACUAGCGUCGAGCCACUUGAAUGGAGGUGCGGCUUAGCCGAACCAUGCCGAGAGAGAGAAAAAGAGGGAAAGACGGCCGGGAUGGGAGCCACUUGGUUAUGUGUUGGUGACUUGGCUGUGCGUGUGCUCUGUCGGUGUUGGAAAGCCCGAGGAAAGCCUGUUUGGUCUGGGUUGAGUCGGGAAUGAUAGGACUAGAGAGAGAGGGGGAGAAGGAUUUGGUUGGGGGGGGGNGGGGGGGGGGGGGGGGGGGUGGCGGCUAGGGUAAAAACCCUAGGAUUUUGUCUGCUCUCUAAAGCUGGGGUCAUAACAAUUGGGUGAUCACCUUUGGCUUCUUAGUGCUGUGCCAACAUGCCCCUCUCGUAUGUUAAAAUUACACAAGAGUCCUCUCAUAGCGAAGAUGGACGAGGAAUCCUCUAGAAUUCGAACUUCCACCGCAACCCAAAAUUGCGCAUGUGUAGGGCGAAUUCCAAAUUUCGUAGUUUCACAAUCAGAAUUCUAAUCUCGAUGAAACUUAGUUUACUGUGUUCAUCUCUGUGUGUACUUGUGUGUAGGACUUCUGUUUUCAAAAAUUUCAAGAAAAGUCACAUGAAAUGAUUACUCGAUCACAGUGAGAUCCUAUUUCCAAGUUUUGUUUGUGUUGCAACGAAAAAUCCCAAAACCCUCCUAUUUGUAGUAUUUGAUGCAUCAAAUAAAACUUUUUUUAAUUUUUGAAUGCAAUUUUCUUUUAUUUUGUAAAUUCGUGUUUGAUUCAAGCUUAAAUCAUUUAGUUUUAAUUGGUUUGGCUGACCCAAACUCCUUUUCUCCAAUAAACACGGAAACAAAUCCAAAAAGACCUUUCAGCUUCCCAAUAUUGCCUUGUCUUCUAUGCAUGACCCUUGGGGGGUCGUGUUGUGUUGAAAACGAAAAGAUAAGAAUUUAUUAUCGGAUAGGCUCUUUACACUAGAAAUGCUUGGUUUUUGAUACUUUGAGGAGCAGAUUUGAUGAAUAGAAAUUUUACAUUUAUUCAUAUCCCUUGCAAUGGUGUUCUUCUUUUUGGUGUGAGCAUUGACACUUCUUCCUUGCACUGAGAUCGUCUUCGUCAACUUGAUCAUUGUCGCUUCUUGCUGGUGGCAAGAUUGGCUUCUGCUCUGGCCCUCCUUUUCUUUUGGGUUCCUGACUCUUUUUUUUCUUCCUCGUUGCCAAAGUUCUACUAAUGGUAUAUCGCUCUCGUAGAUCAUGGAUCCCCCGCAAUCGUGCGAUUGGUGCACUUCUUAUAUCUUCUCUCUCAUCUCUUGAUAUCCAAUUAGCCCUUUCAAUCUAGCCUUCCAUGAUAAUCAACCAUUUUUGCUAAAACAGCCAAAUCUAAAAGUUUUAAGUCCAAUAAAACCGAAUUUGCUUCUUUGGAAAUGUGAUAUGUUUUUUUAAUUGCUUCUUAUUAUCUCAUAUAUUGAAGGUUUCUCCCUAUCUUAGUAUUGCUUUAGUUUGAUUUUAAUUUUCCGUCUUGCUGAAAUUUUUUUUUUGCUUCCUCGCUUUACUUUAAUUUCAGUAAAGUUCACAAAAAAUCAAUAAAUUGAACCUAGUUUAUUUUAAGAAAUACCUUUAAACGAAAACAAAGUUGAAAAUUCAGAUAUGGCUGCUCUUCGGUUUGCAUCAAUUGGUAUCAGAGCAGGUCAGAGCAGGUUCUUUUCGUGGGAACAUUUGUUUUGAUCUAAACAAUUAUUCUUUGGUGCUGAAGUUUCUCUUUCUUCUUCUUCCUUUUGGGCCAAAAUAUUAAAAAAAACAAAAAACAACAUCCCUUCAUUGAUCAAUUUGGAAGCAUUUGAUAAUGGCAGAUAAUAGUGAAAAUUCUUGUGAUUGGAGAGAAGAAUAUGAGAAACCACAAGAUUCUAUGAGAAACAUAUAAAAUCAAAUAAAUAACAUUCAAUAACUGUUAGAAAGAUUAACUAUGCAAUAACAAUAUGCGGUGGGAGAAGAUUGAGAGAGUGACACAGAUUUUGACAAUUGUACUUUACCUGCGAAAAGAAAUCCUUUUUUUCAAAAUCAAGGAAAUAUACUUCGAUGGUAUCAGGGCAUUGAAAUAGACGUGAAUGAGUUCGAGGGUAAAUUACAACCUGAAAAAAUUGUGGAGUACACAAAAUGGAACAAAAUUUUGAAUGUAAAAAAUUACUUAGAAAAGAAAGUUCAAUUGAAAGGUCAUGGCUUAGUGUGGUGGAAACAAAUUCAAAACGAUAGGGUUAGAAAGGGUAAGGAAAAGAUUACCUCCCGGGAAAGAAAACUUGAUAGCGCUAUACAUGACCUUGGUAAUUUGAUCAUAGCGCUAUACAUGAUGGUAGGGAGAACACUUACAUAGUCAUAAAGGACCAAAAAGGUUAGAUUGGUUCCCCUGGUGAGAAUUGAUGUCACAAAUAAUUUUUUUUUAAUUUUUGAAUGCAAUUUUUUUUAUUUUGUAAGUUUGUGUUUGAUUCGGGUUUUAAUCAUUUAGUUUUAGUUGGUUUAGCUAACCUAAGCACCAUUUAUCCAAUAAAUAUAGAAACAAACCCAAAAAGACCUUUCAACUUUUCAAAAUCACCUCGUCUUCUAUGCACGACACUUGGGUGAUCGUAUUGUGUUGAAGAUGAAAGGACACGAUUUUAUUAUAGGAUUGACUUUUAACAUUAUACAUGGUUCUUCAUGCUCUAAGGAGCAUAUUUGAUGAAUAGAAAUUUUUAAUCUUAUUCUUUAUCCUUGCCAUGGUGUUUUCUUCCCGGUGUGAUCAUCGACGUUUCUUCCUUGCGUCUAUAUAGUCUUUCUCAACUUGAUUGUUGUCGCUUCUUCCUCGUGGCAAGAUCGGCUUCUCCGACCUUUCCUCUUCUUUCGGGUUGUUGCCUCCUUUUCUUAUCCUUGCCGAAGUUCUACUUGUGGUGUACCGUCCUCCUCGCCGAUCGUGGAUCCCCGGCAAUCGUGUGAUCGAUGCACUUUGUGUAUCUUAUCUUAUCUUAUCUCAUCUCCUGAUGUCCUAUUAUCCUUUUCAAUUUAAUCUUCCACAAUUACCAACUGUCUGCCAAAACAAUUAAAUCUAAAAGCUUAGAGUCUGAUAAAACCAAAUUUAUCUUUUUGGAGUUACUAUAUGUAUUUUCAAUUGGUUGUUGUUAUCUCGUAUAUUGAAGGUUUAUUUCCAUCUUAGUAUUUCUUCAAUUUGAUUUUAAUUUUCUGUCUCGUUGAAUAUUUUUUUCUUGCUUCCUUGCUUUAACUAAAGCUCGUCAGAAUCGAAUUGCAUCUAAUUUAUUUCAAGAAAUAUCUUUAUAUGAAACAAAGUUGAAAAAUUCAGAUUUCGUAACCCUCGAUUUGCAUCAGUAUCACUCAGAUUUCACAGCAGGCACCAAGAGUACUAGAGACCGUCAAUUGCCGCACAAAACUUGUAUUAAAGGAGUAAAAAUUACAUUAGGUCUAUCUGUUAUUAUAACAACAUAAUGAUGCUUCUCUAUGGAUUGGAUAAACUGUAAUUUGCCUUCUGUGCCCUUGCAUCCAACUCCCUUUCAUAGCAAAUAUCUGGUCUUGUUGUUUCAAAUGCAUAAUCUAGGACAACCAUUCUUGGUGCACAAAAGUUGAAGCUUCAAUUUCUAAAAAAAUAUUCUUCUACCAGCAUGUUAUUUAUUUUUUGGCCAACAUAGGAGUAUUUUAUGUUGUUGUAUCCAUCAUGUUGCACCUUCCAAUCAAGAAAGCCUUCUAUAUGACUUUUCAAGACCACAGCAGAUUAGGAGAUACCUCAAUUAGGCAACUUGUUUGGUGAUCUUAAGAGUAGCUGUCAUGCAGAAUCAUUUUAGACUAGAGAAAUUAGCGGGUAGCUUCCAGUUUUGAUCAAAUUAAAACAACCAAAGAAUAAAAUAACAGUAUUUAGAUUGCCUUACCUAAUUAUCAAAGCUGUCAAAAAAUUGGGAAGCGCAUAAAAUGCAUGUAUCCAGAAAUCAGAAAUGGGCCUUUUAAUUUGAAAACACACAGUAUCAUUACUAUAUAAAACACUUAAAAAACAAAAGUGGAACUCUUGAUGCUUCUAGAGCAUAAAUCUUAGUAAUAAAACUUGGACAUAUAUUGUUUUCUUCUUUCUUGUUCCAUUGACAUGUAACUUUUAUACAGAGUGCAAAUCUUUGAAAUCACAAUUAUAUAUAUAUAUAUACAUAUAUAUAUCUAUAGAGCUAGGCUCCUAUGCUUUUGAAAGUACGGAGGCUUCCGUGCUUGUAAAUUGUUUUCGAUGAUGGGACCUCCGAUUCGGCGAUCAGUUCCGUUAGUCAUGGUCUACGCUAUUAGAACUAUCUAGAAACCAAAUUUCAUAAUUUUUUGACUUCGUUUGUCUAGUGAACGAGUAGCCUCAAAAUGAACGGCUGAAAAUGAAAAUCUUAUGGACUCAAAUUUCAAAUCAAAAGUAUUGAUCUUGCUAUUGAUGUGAAGUAAAAUUUUUUAUUAAAUUUUCAUGUAAUUUGGAUACUUCUAUACCGUUGAACUUAAAAACGUGCCACAUCGGCCGUUAAAAUAGUCAUUUUUGAGACCUUUUGAUCGGUUGGUAAAUGAUGUCAAAAAUUAUAAAAUUUGGUUUCUAGAUAGUUCCAAUAGGAUAGAUUAUACCUAACGGAGAGAAUCGUCGAAUCGGAUGUCCUAUCAUCGAAAACAAUUUACAAGCACGGAGGUUUCUGUGCUUUCGAAAGUACUAGAGACGUACUCUAUAUAUAUAUAUAUAUAUAGAGUUGAGCUAGAAUAUUAUCGAUAGCAAACGGGCUCCGUUGCCACCCAUUUGUUUUCGAUGAUAGAGCCUCCAAAUCGACGAUUGACAUCGUUGAACAUGAUCUAUACCACUUGAAGUGUUUAGAAAUCAAAUUUUAAAUCUUUUUGACAUCAUUUGCCUAAUGAUCAAAGGGUUUCAAAAUUUGUAAUUUUAAUGGUCGAUAUGAGGCAUUUUCUCGUUUAACGACGUAAAGAUAUCCAAAUCAAUUGAAUUUUUGUUAGAAAAUUCUUUAAACUAUUUAAAACAAGAUCUAUACUCUUGAUCUUGAUUACAAGACUCCUAUCAUUAUUUUUUAAAAAAUAUUCAUUUUCAGCCCUUUAUUUUUGUGUCCACUAGAUGGAUAAGAUAACAAUAUUGAAAAUGUAUGAAUUUUGAUUUCUAAACACUUCAAGUGGUAUAGAUCAUGUUCAACAAUGCCGAUCGUCGAUUUGAAGGCUCCAUCGAAAACAAAUAGGUGGCAACGGAGCCUGUUUGUUGUUGAUAGUAUUCUAGCUCAACUCUCUCUCUCUCUCUCUCUCUCUCUCUCUCUAUAUAUAUAUAUAUAUAUAUAGAGUCCGGCUACUAUACUCUUAUGAGUACGAUCACCUUCGUACUCAUAAGUUGUUUUUGAUGAUAGAGUUUCCGAAUCGACGAUCCAUACCGUUAAACAUUAUCUAGAGGAUUUAAAACUUUUAGAAAUUAAAUUUUAUAAUUUUUUGAUAUCAUUUACCUUACGAUCAAUAGUUCACAAAAUUGACAAUUUUUAACGGCCGGUAUGGGAUACUUCCUAGUUUAACGGUGUAAAAGAAUUGGAAUAGGUCGAAUUUUUAAUAGAAAAUUCUAUUCACUACCUAGAUAAAGAUCAAUAACUUCGAUCUUAAAUUGAAGGAUCCGAUCAUCUAUUUUUAGGACGUUGUUCGAUUUUGACCGUUUAUUUUAUGCUCGCUUGAUAGACUUUAUUAUGAUUUCGAAAAAUUACGAAAUUUAUUUUCUAGAAGUUUCAAAUACUCUAGAUCAUAUUUAACGGAGUGGAUCGUCGAUUCGGAAGCCAAGUCAUCGAAAACAACUUAUGAGUACGAAGGGCCCUAUACUCAUAAGAGUAUAUAUAUAUAUAGAGUAGGGCUACUAUACUCUUAUGAGUAUAGGGCCCUUCGUACUCAUAAGUUGUUUUCGAUGACUUGGCUUCUGAAUCUACGAUCCACUCCGUUAAAUAUGAUCUAGACUAUUUGAAACUUCUAGAAAAUAAAUUUCGUUAUUUUUCGAAAUCAUAAUAAAGUCCAUCAAGCGUGCAUAAAAUGAACGGUCAAAAUCGAACGACGUCCUAAAAAUGGAUGAUCGGAUCCUUCAAUUUAAGAUCGGAGUUAUUGAUCUUUUUUUAGGUAGUGAAUAGAAUUUUCGAUAUUCUAUCGAAAAUUCAACCUAUUCCAAUUCUUUUACAUCGUUAAACUAGCAAGUAUCUUAUACCGGCCGUUAAAAAUUGUCAAUUUUGUGAGCUUUUGAUCGUAAGGUAAAUGAUGUCGAAAAAUUAUGAAAUUUGAUGUUUAGAAGUUUUAAAUGAUCUAGAUAAUGUUUAACGGUAUAGAUCGUCGAUCGGAAGCUCUAUCAUCGAAAACGACUUAUGAGUAUGAGGGUGAUCGUACUCAUAAGAGUAUAGUAGCCGGACUUUAUAUAUAUAUAUAUAUAUAUAUAUAUAUAGAGCUAGGUUGGUAUAUUAUCGGUAGCACGGAGGCCUCCGUGCUAUCAAGUUGUUUUCAAUGAAGGCGCUUCCAAAUCGACGAUCGGCUCCGUUAGACUUGAUCUGCACUAUUAAAAGUAUUUGGAAACUAAAUUUCAUAAUUUUUCGGUAUCAUUUACCUAUCAAACGAGUAGUCUAAAGAUGAACGGCUGAAAGUAAAAAUUUCAUAAAAAAUGAUGAUAAAAAUCUUGAAUUUAAGAUCAGAGGUACUGAUCUUACUCUAAAUUGUAAAAUGAAUUUUCUAUAAAAAUUUCAUCAGAUUUGGAUUGUUUUACACCGUUAAAUUUACAAAUGCAUCACAUCUACCAUUAAAAUUAUCAAUUUUGAGACCUUUUGAUCACUAGCCAAAUGAUGUCGAAAAAUUAUGAAACUUAGUUGCCAAAUAUUUUUAAUAGUGUAGAUCAAGUCUAACGGAGCCGAUCGUCGAUUUGGAAGCCGUAUCAUUGAAAACAACUUGGUAACACGGAGGUCUCUAUGCUAUCGAUAGUAUACCAGCCUAGCUUAUAUAUAUAUAUAUAUAUAUAUAUAUAUAUUAUAUAUAUAUAUAGGGUCCUACUAUACUAUUAUGAGUACGAUCGCCUCGUACUCAUGAAGUUGUUUCGAUGAUGGAGCUUCCGAAUCGACGAUCCACACCUGUAAACGUUAUUUACGGCAUUUAAAACUUCUAGAAAUCAAAUUUCAUAUAAUUUUCGGACAUCAUUUACCUUACGAUCAAAAGCUCACAAAAUUGAUAAUUUUUAACGGCCGGGUAUGGAAUAUUGCUUAGUUUAACGGUGCAAAAGAAUCCGAAUAGGUUUGAAUUUUUGAUAGAAAAUUAUAUUCACUACCUACGUAAAGAUCAAUAACUCCGAAUCUUAAAUUGAAGAAUCCCGAUUAUCCAUUUUUAAGAUAUCAUUCGAUUUGAUCGUUCAUUUUAUGCCCGCUUGAUGGGCUUUAUUAAUUUCGAAAAGUUACGAAAUUUAUUUUCGAGAAGUUUCAAAUAUCUCUUAGAUCAUAUUAAUGAGUGGAUCGUCGAUUCGGAAGUCAUCAUCGAAAACAACUUACGAGUACAAAGGCUCCAAACUCAUAAUUAGAUAGUAGCCACUGCCAUAUAUAUAUAUAUAUAUAUAUAUAUAUAGAUAUUAAUAUUAUAUAUAUUAUUAUAUAGAGCAGGAUUGCUGUGCUCUCAGGGAGCACGGAGCGCUCUGUGCUCCUGAGCCCGUUUCGAUGAUGGAGUUUUCGAAUCGACGAUCGCGCUCCGUUAACUUGAUCUAGCGUAUUUGAAGUUUCUAGAAAAUAAUUUUUGCCUAUUUUUCGAUAUCAUUUAUCUAGCAAUCGAAAGGAUUCAAAAUUAAUAAUUUUUAAUGGUUUGAAAAUAAAAAUCAUUAUAUAAAAGUGAGUGUAGUAUAUAGCAGUUUAAAUUUCGAUCAAAAUAUUGAUCUUGUUGUAUAUAGUAUAAAGAAUUUUGUAUCAAAUUUCAUCUGUUUGAAAUACUUCACACCGUUAAACUUGAAAACGGCAGAUAUCAACCUAUUAAAAAUAGGAAUUUUGAAUCUUUCGAUCACUAUGUAAAUGAUAUGAAAAAUCGCAAAAAUUAUUUUCUAGAAACUGUCAAAUGCACUAGAUCAAGUCUAACGGAAUCGAUCGUCGAUUCGAAAAUCCAUCAUCGAAAACGCUCAGGAGCAGCUCUGAGAGCACAGCAGCUUGCUCUAUAUAUAAUAUAUAAGAAUUAGGCUGGAAUACUAUUAAUAGUAAAACGUCUUUUUGCUAUCAAAGUUUUUAACCCUUGCAUGAAAAAUUGUAGGUCAGGAUGAUAUUAGUCGUGAGAUGAAGUGCCCCUAGGGUUGAGUGGGUCCUCAUUGGGUUAUAGUAUUUAAUCCAAUGAUUAGAAAUAAUGAAAAGAGUUUAUCCAAAGGCUAAAAAUUGGUAGCAACAAUGGGAUUUUGCUACUAAUAGUAUCCCAGUCAACUCUCUCUCUCUCUCUCUAUAAUAUAUAUAUAAUAUAUAUAUAUAUAAAUGAGCUCCUAUGUUUUUAAAGUACAAGUGAUUCGUACUUGUAAGUUUCGGCCCUUGGAUUAAGGGAUGGGCGAUAAUGAUGAUGUGCGGACCCCUAGGGUUGAGUGUGGGUAAUUGGUUAAAUAGUAUAAUCUAACGAGUAAAAUUAUCAAAGGCGUAGAUCUAACGGUAAAAAAUUUAUAAGCACCAAGUGCUUGGUGCUUUUACAAGCACCAUAGGCCGGAUUCUAUAUAUAUAUAUAAUAUAUAUAUAUAUAUAUAUAUAGAACUAGGUUACUAUACUAUUAAUGGUACCAGCGCUUGGUGCUAUUAGGUUUUUGGCCCUUAGAUGUAGGAUGUGGGAUUAGGAAGAUAGUGUUUCCUAGGGUUGAGUGGAUGGUUGGUCGAAUAAUAUGAUCUAAUGGGUGGAAAUCGUCAAAGAGAGAUUUAACAGUAGACACUUGAGGGGGGGGGGGGGGGGGGGGGUAGCCCAAGCUGGUUUGGUACUCGCAUUAGAAUAGUAGCCGGACUCUCUGCUCUCUCUCUCUCUCUCUCUUCUCGCUCUCAUAUAAUAUAUAUAUAUAUAUAUAUAUAUAUAUGUUCUGGCUACUAUACUCUUUUACGUACGAUUGCCUUCGUACUCAUCAGUCGUUUUUGAUUAUAGACCUUCCGAAUCGAUGAUGCAUACCAUUAAACGUUAUAUAGAGCAUUUAAAAUUUCUAGAAAUUAAAUUUUAUAAUUUUUUGACAUCAUUUACCUUACGAUUAAAAGAUCUCAAAAUUGACAAUUUUUAACGGCCGGUAUGGAAUACCUGCUAGUUUAACGGUGUAAAAGAAUCGGAAUCGGUUGAAUCUUUGAUAGAAAAUUCUAUUAACUAUCUAGACAUUUUAUGCCCGCUUGAUCGACUUUAUUAUGAUUUCGAAAAAUUACGAAAUUUAUGUUUAGAAGUUUCAAAUAUUCUAAAGCAUUAUUUAACGGAGUAGAUCGUCGAUUUGGAAGCUCCAUCAUUGAAAACAACUUAUGGGUUGUACGAAGGGCUCUAUACUCAUAAGAGUAUAGUAGCCCUUCUCUCUCUCUCUCUCUCUCUCUCUCUCUCUAUAUAUAUAUAUAUAUAUAGCGAUAUUCUUGGUUUUCGGUCGAGUUUUUCAUUACUUCUAGAAGUAUAAAUCUUUCGCAGAAGAUGCAUACUUUUUUGUAUUUCUUUAAUAUUUGGGUUUGUGUAUGUAUACGUUUGCCUGGUUGCAUACAUACAUAAGUUGGUGUUUUAUAGAACUUAAGAGGAUGGCUUGCGGUGUUGCAUGUCUCCUAUACACGAGGGCUUACUCCCUCGUUCAUUCACUUCCUCAGCUUUAUGCAUCUUAUUAUUAUUUCUAGUAUGUCCAUUUAGAGUCGUUAGAUGCUUCAUCCUGUGUUCUCAUCGCAGCAGCAACACAUUAUGAGAUGUUUUGGAUGUUCUUGUGGCAGGUGCUGGCGUUAGUUGGUGAUCAGCUUGACUACGGGGACAAUAUUUGUGGUGCGGUGCUAAGUAUUCGUUUCAACGAGGAUAUAUUGAGUGUGUGGAACCGGGAUGCAUCGGACCACCAGGUUUGGAGCCCCACAUCCCUUUCGAUUUGUAUAAUAUAUUUACUUUGAUUUGCAUGCGCCUCCAUCAAUACUGAUGUAGAUUCAUUUUCUUUUUACUGCUUCUAGGCUGUGAUGGCUUUAAGGGACUCAAUAAAACGACAUCUGAAGCUGCCGCAUAGCUACUUGAUGGAGUAUAAGCCGCAUGAUGCAUCUCUACGCGAUAACUCGUCGUAUCGGAAUGCUUGGUUGAGGGGAUAGAUCGAUGGAUGGAGUUGUGUGUGGGUCGUCCUUCUAUGUUGGAGCAACAAAUGUUACUGGAUUAUCUGUUAUCUGCUUUGUAUUAUAUUAAGACUUUCAUUAUGACUGCUGCUAACUCGCUAUGGUGUGCGAAUUUCAAACAUGUGAUGUGACGAGUACGGUAGCUUCUAUGGUUGUUGUAGAAUGUACGUAGGCAGAAGGACAAUGAGCCGAACAGCAUAAUAUAACAUGGAGAUCUGAUUAGGAACGAUAACAUAUAUGGAUAACAUAUAUGUUGUGAUUAGCAGUAACAUAAGUAUUGAAGUUGACUACAAUAUUUCUAACGGUGCGGAGGGUUUUUUUUUUUUUUUUUUUUUUUUUUUUUUUUUUUUUAAUCCUUAUUUUGAUGAUAUAGCAUUCAAAUCAGUAAUAACAUUGUUAUAUAGUGUAGGGCUUAUGCUUUGCAGUGGAUAGAAAUCAAGACAUGCCAAUAAUAAAAAUAAUAUCAAGCAUUCGCCAACGGAAAAAAAGUGAUAAUAUGUAAUAUACCUUUCGGAACUUAAAAUAUAUGUAAUAAAUUCUUGGUAAACUAAAUUGUCCCUAAUUGAUUUUCAAAUAUUGAUUCAAAUAUUUCCAUACUUUUGGGAUUUACUAAUAGGAUUUGAGGUUCAAAAGAGUAUUUUAGUGAAUGCCGGGCAGCUUUGAAAAUUCUGAAUAGUUUUUAGAGGUAUCUGAAUAGUUUUAGAGGUAAAUAAGCAAAAGAGGGAAAAAAAAAGUUUAUAUUCAAGCCCAAAGGAUAUGAUGUUUAUUUUAAUAUGCAUGUUGUAGGGAAAAAAAGAAACACAAACAUCAUUAUAAAAUAUCAUACUUAUAAUAGUUUCAGCUGAAGAACUUGUUGGAUCGUCGUACUCGUCUUAUAGUCUCUUAGAUUUGCGACUAGUUGGAUCGUUGUAUUUGUCUUAUCGACUAUUGGAUUUGCAACGCCUUUUUGAAUUUUUGAUCAGGCGUCGUGUCGUGAUCUCUAUGCUUGAUAGUCGUGGAAGGUUACCUGAGUCUCCAGCAAUCGUCCAGCCUCCAAAAUUCUGGAAAUGUAGGUAGAAAUCCUAGAGUGAAAAUAUAGAGGGGAGAAAGAGGCCUUUUUUUUUUUUUUUUUUUUUUUUUUUUUUUUUUUUUUUUUUUUUUUCGUACAUCAAAAUUGAGAGGGUUUCACAUAUAUAGGUUAUCAGGAUCCCUUAUCCUGAGUCUCACAUCGAGAUAAGAAUAAGAAUAUCUAUUAAAAUAAUCAUUACGGAAUAUAUUUAUUAAUUAGUAAAAAAUAUAUAAUUUGUCCUUAUACUUAUUAGAAUAAAUUCUGAUCCAAAUCACACGUGGAUUGGGUUGAGUUAGAACCAAUUAAUGUGGACAUACAACAUGACAGGAAUCUACUACAUUGGCCAAUUUUCUCUCAUAUGUUAUACUUUUCUACAUGUAAUGGCGCAUGCGACUUGACGAAAAGCGUAAUGUAGGGGUGCUAUAUUAAGUUCAUCAAACUAACAAAGCACAUCACUAAUUAAAUUCGUUUAUUCCCUAAAAUAUCGCAACACAUCGUAUCAAAUAUCACAAAUCCCUUUCGUGUAAUGAUAGGGCUCAACCCCAAAAUUAUUUUUUUGUAUUUAUGAUUAUCUUAAGUAAUACAAUCAAGAUUACCACCCAAGCAAUGAAUCACAUAACUUACAUAGUUUGUUAUUGCAACAUCUCCCUCAGUCCCUCACAUUACUCAAUAUAGGUCCAAGCACUUUAUUAGACAUGUUCCACGAGAUCAUGUUUUCUUAUGACCCCGAGAUAUAUGCUAAGUUAGUCACAUCGGACCUUUGUUUCAUAACUUGCUUCUAAGUCCAGGGCAUAAAAGGUUUAGUACUCCCACAGUGACAUAAAGAGAAGAACAUAUGUCGCUGUACUGAUUGGUCGAUAAGUACAUAUAGUAUAAUAUAUAUGCUAUGGCAGAGCUCCCACUUAAUGAGUCGGAUCACACUCUAAAAAAAUACCAUACAAGUCUAAAUCUACGUACCACUUAGGCGCUUAACCCAAUUCAGGACCAAACCUAAAUACACAAAUUCGGUUACAGUAUAGACUCGAUAUGGUAUUCACAAUAUUAUCCACAUCCUAUAAUAUACUGGAUUUUGCCAAAUUGAUAGAAUUACAAUUUGAGUUGCUGGUUAGCAUGUUUUUAAAAUGCUGGAAUAAGUUAGAACCAUUUUGGCAUGAAAUUGACAUGAAAACAGAGUUGGAAUUUGAAAUCUAGAUGAUUUUGAGGUUUCUGUCACUUUCUCUACGCUAGGAAAUGGUUUGGACUGCCUAAAAUUACUAUGCGGACUGAUGUGAAUUUGGACCCUAUGUUGUGGGUGCCCAGUUCUAUCGAAAGAGGACCCAGAUAGGUUACGGGCCUUGUUUCGAAUGCCCAAUAUUAUUGCAGCAGUAUGAAAUUUGUUGUAUAUGUGACUUGAUUAAGGCGGUUAAUGGCGAGUCAACAUGCAGACUCAUUGUCUUUUCGAAUGCAGAACUGUGUACCCGUAAAAAACAUUUCGGGCGGAGCUAUAUAGAAUCGGACUGUAGAGUGCAAUUAGUGUCAUACGAAACACUCGAUUAUAAGGUUUUGGAUACUUGAAUGAUGGUCUCGGGUGCCCAAAACUAUGAAUUUUGGUUGAGAAUAGGAUCUUCAAAAUUUUGUGAGCUUUGGUGCAAUUGUUACAUUACAUAUGUGAACAGAGGGGUGGUUGUUUGACUCUUUUUCUCCUUAGUUCUCCUGCACGUAUAGAGACCAAGAGAGAGAGAUCGAGAGAGUGACCGAGAGAGGAAAACGAAGAGAAAGGAGCGUGGGGGAAAUCGUGAUCGAGGAGAUUAGUUGAAAAAUGCGAUUUUGGAGGUAAGUAAAAUGUAUAAUUGGAAACUUGAUCGAGGUUUCUGUAACUAUGAUUUUACAGUAGAUGAUUUUAGCAUCUUAUAUUUUAGGAGGUGAUUUUUGAUUGAGGUUUUGGUGACGCUGGUGUGCUGAGUUCUCUUUUUUUUCAAUCUCCAUUUGGGGCAUCUAUCUAGGCAGGUUCAUUAUCGCUGAACAUGGCGAGCUAACUCCUAUGGCUAUUUUUCCUGCAUAUAUAUUAUAAUUCAAUGAUAUCUGUCGGUAUUAUUGUUAUAACGAUAUCUUAAUCUGUAUAUACAUGCACUCAUGUAUGGUGACAAUUGAUUUGACGGCAUGAUGAUUCCUGUAUAUUAGAUUCUCUUUAUAUCUGUUGCAUAUUAUCACUAUGAGAAAGAUGAUUAUAGACAGACAGUGGGACAUAUGACAUAGAAUUAUGCCUAAAGACAUUUGGACAAUUUUUAUUAUGAUCUGUUUGACAUUACAUAUGAUCAUAGCCUGCAUUGUUGGAUUUGAUCUGUUUCACAUUACAUAUGAUUAUAGCCUGCAUUGUUGGAUUGAGCUCAAUUGUGAGCAAUGUGAUAUGAUGAUACUCGACUGGGUCGCACCCCACAAGUGCCCGUUUCGAGCUAUGGCAGCAAAUUAGAUGUUCUAGAUGUACGCAUACGGGCUAGACCGCUAGGUGAGGGUUGGUUACCGAGCAUGCGUCGGCGCAGGCUUGACUGAACCUAUGAUGAGCCAACCAGUGCGAUUGGGUCUUACGACUUUGCUUAUUAGAUAUCGAGUUGAUGCGUGAUAUUUCUUUGCUACUACACUGAUUUACAUAGAGAUAUGAUUAUGGUAGAGGUAUUACUACUAUUCAUUCACUUCCAUCACUACAAUAGAGGCAUGAUAGUUGCUAUAUUUAUCAGUUUAGUUUAUAUUAUUAUUUACUACUUUUGCCUUUGACAGAGCUAUUGGUGUAGGUCGUCACCUCUGGGAUUAUAGUUCUCAUGCCCUCUUUUGUUGAUUCUUUUUCAGAGACUUCGGCACCAGCUUUUGAUCGAAGUAAGGGAAUAGCGAGUUAGAUAACAUCUCCUAUCCAGACAUGCGACAGCUAGAGGAGGACCCUGUGGAUUGUUUUAUAUAUAGUAGCAUUGUAUAUGAUGUACCGGCGAGGCUAGCAUGAGAUGUAUUUAUAUAUAGUAGCAUUGUAUAGUGGAUAUGUCAUACAUAUACUGCUAUACCUGUUGUCUGUUUUAUAAUGCUCUGGUACUUGUUUAGUUGCCAACUUCUAGGACCUGUCAUAUGCUAGUUGUGGACACCUAGGAUUGUUGACUAGUUGAUAUUUCAUAUGCUUCGGGUGUACAUGGUGCGCCUUGUGCAUCCAACGAGUCAGUUGACGGCCCAGAGGCUUCUAUUUCAACUCGGGGCGACAUAUUGUGAGACCCCGUUAAUUUUAUAUAUAAGAUAUAAUAGGGCUAAACUAUUAACCCAGUUAUAACAUUUUGGGCUGUAGUUAGACCCACUAGGUUAAGAGAGUUAAGCUUAUUAGGGCUAGAGUUGUCCUGAGAUGGGUUACCCCUAGGAAGUGGGGCGUUACAAUUAGUAUCGGAGCCAAUUAUUAGCCGGAAAUGUGAAUGAGCCUCGGCUGAGCCAGAGUUAGUCUCGGCUGAGCCAGAGUUAUAUAGUGGGGAAAGCGAGGCUCACAUGCUCAUGACUAUUAUGGUUAAAGUGUGGCUCCGCCACAAGGUCGGUUAAGGCUAGAGAAACGAGUCUCACAUCGCCUGGUACUUGUGAGUCUGAGCCUGACGAGGACGUUAGGACUUAAAAGAGGGGAGAGUGUGAGACCCUGGUAGUCCUAUAUACAAGAUGUAACAGGGCUAAACUCUUAACCCGGCUAUAAAAUUUUGGGUGGUGGUUAGGCCCAAGAGAUUAAGAGAGUAAAGCAUGCUAGGGCUAGAAUAGUCCUAGAAUAGGUAAACCCCUGGGAAAUGGGCGUCACACAUAUUUGACUCAUUGAUAGUCUUAUCUUAAACUAAUUAAGGCAACUUUCAAAUUUUUUGACUCCAUUCUCAACAAUACCAAUGCGCCAAGUAUCAAUUAUGCAAUUAUAUUGAAGUUUAAACAAAAUCCUUUAUUACUAAGAAAAUAUAUGAUACAUAAUUAAAACAAUGUCCAUACAUCAAAUCUUUCAUAGACCCAUACUACGUACAUAGCUUUGGAACACAUCCCUAGCUAUCGACUUGCUUAGUAGAUUUAUUACCAUCCUAGUGGUGGAGAUGUGUUGAAGAGGGGCAUCACCAAGCUUAAUCACAUCUAGAAUGUAUGUAAGGUACUGGACUUCUAAAAUAAUGAAAUUAUGGUUUAUGUUGGUUUGGAGAACCAUUGGAAUGGUUCCGGUGAAGUUCGGAAGCAUUCGGGCGUUUCCGGAGCGCGUAGGCGUAAAAAGGGGACCCGAAAGGCUAUGUUGGACCAUGAACUAAAUCCAGCAUUAGCGCGGAUGAAAAGAUGAUGAAAACACGCUCGAAAACAUGUUUGGAGAGUCUCGGUUCGAUUUGAAAAGAAUCGGAGGCCAAACGAGCGAAAACGAGCGAAAACGAACCCCAAAAGCUGAAAAAGCUGAAAAUUUGGCUAAGUCCUAAAAUGCUGUUUUUCUCGACCUACGGAGACCGGUCCCUCAAGUCCAAGGACCGGUCCUUUAUACAAAAAAUGCCCCGUGCUGGCUGUGCACAAAAAUACAAAGUUGAGGGGGUUUCUUGCAAUUUGGUGUUAAUAGAGGUUAAAGGGAGGUGAUAUGAGCCCUUCUCUCUCACUCCCUCAUAUUCUAAACACCAAAACACUAUCUCUCUCUCUCUAGAUUAGCUCUCCUCUCUCUCUAAAAGGGUGGGUUUUGGAGGAGGGAUUGGUGGAGAAGAAGGCAAAGGAGUAGAUCUUCAUCUUCAUCUUCUUCUUCCUUGGAUUUGGAGCAAGCUUUGGAGGUAAGCUUGAUGUCCAUUCAUGGUGAUUUCUCAAGGUUUGAUUUAUAUGCUCUAAGAAUAGUUUAGAUAGAAUCCUAGCAUGCUAAAUAGACGGAAAAUACUUGAUUCAUGAAUCAAUUUGGAGUAUUUUGCUAUAAUUGCAUCUAGGGCUCCAAUUUUGGAGUUUUUGGAAAUAUGAGGGUUUGAUCUCAAUUGACCAUCCGUAAACCUAAUUGGUAGGUAAACGAACGCGUUGGCGAAGUCGGUUCGGCGAUUCGUCAACCCUACGGGAAGAUAUCGAAGAAACGGACGUUCGGAGCUUCGUUUUCGCCUGGAGGGCCGAGGCGACGUCCAAAAAUUAUGAAAAUGGAUUUGGAGCACCGUGGCGGCAAACCGUAGACCUAUAAUUUCCGGAACUGUGAAGCGGCGCACGGUUGGUGCGCAACUGCAAGAUCGGGCCGUGUCUGAUACGGGUGCCGCGGGAGGCCGAUUGCAAGUGACUACAAGCAAUCGGAACGUGAAUCGAGGUGGGUUGUGCUCACCGAACGACUAGGUCGCCUCUAUGUCUAAGAGGAAUGUUGCUAUUGAUGCAUACCUGUGUAGUGUAGGUUGCAUGAGAUAAUAUGGAUGCAUGAACCUUAUUAUGCUUGAUGUUUAUUACCUACCCUUGAGAAAUGCAUGAUGACAUAUUGAGGAAAAUGAUAGGUGGAUGCAUUAUGAUAUUGUAUAUGCUAGAUGAAAUGCAUAGUGACAUAUUAUAGAUUAUGUUAGAUAACAUAUGCCUAUUGAACUCGAGGUUUAUGUAGCGACAUGACGAGUGGCAUGUAAACAAUAUUGAUAAUAGAACGAGUGGCAUCUAAUGUAGUGUAUUAUGACACUAAUGGUAUGUGAACUUAGGGAUAGAUGGAUUCCCUAGUGAAUGACUCGUGAACAAAGAACUUAGUAUAGCUAAGCAUUUAUGCAUGAAUGUCGGAAUAGGUGAGUUCCGAGAGAGUUGUUGGCCCUAG